rnacentral:lncRNA from 1 species
UUUUUUUUUUGUGCAGCCAACCAUAGGACAACCUUAGCCUGAAACAUUUAUUAACACAACAAUUGAAAUUUUUAUGGGAAGACAUACUUAACAAAUUAUUAGUUGUUACUUGUUACUUUACCAAAUUUUGUUGAAUUCCACUCAAAGUUGUCUUCUUCCUACCAGGACAAGAAUCUAGCAAUUGGAUUCUCUUGUUUGAUAGGUCAUAUAUGCACAGUGUCCAAUGGUUCUUUAUGAGAACCGGUAAGAAGACCUACACCAAUAGACUGCCAUUAAACAUACAUUUAAAUAUUGUACCUUCAUGCAAUAAAAAUACAAAUCCAAGCAUUAAACACAGGAAUCCACCUUGUUAACAUUGACAUAUGGAAUAUCCAUCUGAUACACAUGUGGUUCAAAGCGUCCUAUAACUGCCUCCCUCACUAAGUGUUUUGCCUAGGAGUGGAUUACCAUUUCCUGCAUAUCAAAUAGGGGAUAACAUCAGGUUUGUCAUUGUAGGUAAUGCCUGGUUCAAGACAUGAAAUAAAGUUAAGCAAUGAUUUAAUGGAAUAGUCAUCAUUACAGCUAUGUAGGGGGAUAGAAACAGUUUCGUCUUCGGUUUAUGUUCAUACUGCAACAAUCUACAGUAGGCAUCGACGACCUGAUUUUGUAGAUCAUAAAAGUGUAAGCAACUAAUUAUAUUAAAGCCACACUUUCACUUUCAAACUUAAAAUAAUGCAUAAAGAGGGAUAAGAAGUCAUAUGCACGUCGUUCCCUAUCCAACCAUUCCCUUCGAAACAGCCCAAAUUGCCUCUGGUUAGGAUAGUGUCAUGCAUAGACACUAGUUCCUCACUAUUGCAAACACAUACAAUUUAGUUUUUGUGUUAUCACUAUCAUACAAUGAGAUGAGUGUCUCUGAAGUAUGUUACCUAGCAUCCAAAUCCUCUCUAAAUACCAGUGCAGCUGCUUGUUUUAAGUCCAUUCUGAUGGCAGAUUGUUUAGUUUGUGGUUGGGAUAUGUAUGGGGACAACAGGUUUGGAGCCAUUCAACGCACUCGUCGUCUCUAGACGUUCCUAUUUGUGGGGACAACAUUACCUUUUGGUUCUUCUUCACCAUCUGCAAUACGAGAUUUAGAACUAGUCAGCAAAGGUAUACAUUAUGAUUGAGUACUUGAGUUGUUAACCAUAUGGGUGUUUGCAUAAAUUUUAUCACUUACCGCUUACUACAUUAAUGGGUACACUGGGCUGCAACUCAAACUCAGGGGCAACAACGCGAUCUGGUGUGUCUAUCACAUGGUCUGCAGCAUGUGAAGCCAUGUACUCAUCACCAAGAAAUGCAUGGUCAUCGACUGUGGGAGUGUUGGCUGGUGCAUCGCCAGAGUGACCACCAGCAUCUGAAUUUACCCCACUAUGUCUUCGAGCCCCUAACUUAUGCAUAAGGCCACGCAUUAUUCUCAGCUGCUACUGAAUGCCCCAUUGAUAUUGGUCGAUUGCUCGUUCCGCAUCAUGAUAUUGAUGUCAUUUUUCCUAUCACAUGAUAUUGAUGUCAAUCUUUGAGCACAAAAUAUCACAACAACAUAUUUCUUUAUAGUUAAGAAUCAAAAAUAAAUUACAAUGACAAUGAAAUGAACAUUUAUUAAUUUUUUUAAAAAUUAACAGCUUACAUCACUAUUUUCAGCAUCAACAUUUGUGUCAUGGUCCACAUUAGUCUCUACCUCCAUAGUUCUUUCUACAGUUGGAGAUCUCUAGGACGCCUAUAAUUAGCAUUGAAGAUUAGUAAUUAAAUAAUGAGUGUUAUGCUAGUAAUGACAAUAUAUUUAUGCAUGCAUCACUUACAAAAUCAACCUCAGCAUGUCCGAAUGCUCCAAACUCCUUUAUCUUAACGACUAGUCGCCGCUUAAUCAAAUCAUCAGUCCAUGUCAAUGCUAGGGGCACUAUAAUGGGGACUUGAACUGAAGGAAUUUGGAAUUUAAUGACAUAAUGCAGCUGCAUAAUAAAUACAAACAUCAGUAGGCAAAUGUUACUUAGUUGUGCAAUAAAAUUAUAUAAAAAAAUGGAAGACAAAUACUGAAUAAGUUCAUUACCUGUAGAAAUAAAACACAGCCAUGUACCCAAGAGGUGUUAGACUGUUGGUAUCGCCUAAUUCCCUUAACCAGUUGGUCAAGCACAAACUAGGCCCAAUUAACGUCAUUUCAGAAUCCAUCCUCAUGGAUGGUAUGCCACAAGUUACGGCAACCAUUGAGCCUAGACGUGGGGGCCAACAAUGUGGCACAUGCGUAGUAAAUGAAUGCUCUACGAAACUCCUCGCCUACAGGUAAGUUCAGGAGUUUCUCCUUGCAUGCCCGAAUAGUCCUAAAUGGAUGCUCUGAUGAUGUAAAGGUCACCUGCAGAAUCCGCCCUUCUGUUGGGAGGCCGAAAAUGAGGCCAACAUUGAUGGCUGUAACAGGAUAGUGUUUCUAAGCUGAGAACUCUAUCCGUCUAAAUCCAACAUUGAAAUGUUGGAUUAGAAAGAUACAGAUGUUGUGGCGCACCUCUGUGCAAUUUAAGUUUAAGAGACCUCCAAAUUGGAGGUCUCUUAUGGCUUGUAUUUUUUCCUCUGGUAAACGGUUGCAGAGUUUCUUAAAUCGUGCAGUUGAGCAUCGUGUAAACAUUGAUGGGCCCUGCAUGCAAUGUUUGACAACAUGGCCAUGUUAGGAAUAGCAACAUCAUUGCAGUUGGUAAUGCAAAAAAUAAGUGAAAAAGUAAAGAUGUCAUUUCUCAUAGUUACAAAGACUUGUUUGCUUGUAUUUAGAAAUAAUAUACAGCAGGGUAAGACAUGAGAUGGGGUUAGGUGCUAUUGACAGUGAGAUAUCCUAUAAGAGAGAGGAUUGUUAGUUUAUGAAUAAGCUUAUAUAGAAUAGACAAUAACAGUAAAACUGUACAGAAUAGACUAUAAAAGUACAAAAAUAAAUAUGGGAAUAUUACAUGAUAUAUAAAAGAAGGAAAUCAAGUCAAUUUAUGGAAAUAAAUUGACUAAUUCUAUUAGAGAAAGAAACCAUAAACAAAUCAAUGAAUAAUCCUAUUUAAUUCCCAUUUAGAUUGUAAGACAACUUGAUAGAACCAAAAUCAUUGGUAAUGAAUUUGUGAUCUUCAACAACAAUGAACAAAUGGAGUAAACAGAAAAUGCUAUGGAAAAGUAGAUUUCUUUCAUUGCCUUAACAUGGUUACAAUAAAAUGCUUGAGAAGGUGGAAAUAAAAGCUCACUAACUCAAAGGCCUUUUCUUCGUAUUCCCUCGCACACACUAGGUUUUGUGUCAGGAAUAAUCUUUGCAAUAAUUGUAUUCCCCCAAGUGUUUUCCACUAUACCUAACAACAUACUGGUUGCUAAGGGCCUUGCAUUCAUGGAUGUGAGCAAGGAAAAAAACUUAAAGAGAUCUCUUUGUUUUCCCUGUUCUUUUCAUUCUUCUGGCUAUUUAAAAGGGGUCUAACCUGCUCCUUUUGAUACUUCUGACAGACACAAAAUCUUGAGGAACUACUAGAGCAAGCACUUUGCUAUUGCCAUUGAACAUGGACAAGGUUUGGAAUCCAAGCUUCCGUUGAGAGUAUUCCCACAUGGUAAUUACUAUCAUUGAAUAAUUGUACACUAUCUUCUAAUACCAUGAAUCAUGUGUUCGGCCGAAGUUAAUUCAUACCUAAGUUGUUAGCUGAGUGAGGAUCCAUGGGAAAAUAAAUGAAAACUAGGACUCUAAAUCUAAACUUCUGAAAGUUUUGAGGCUUGAAUCUGAUUCACUGGGCAUAAUAAUCUAAAAUUUGCAAAAUAGAGGAAGUGGUCAUUUCAAAUUAGGUACUGAUACAAUAUGAACUGCUACUACAUAAUUUUUUGUAGAAUAGUAAACAAAGAGUAUCUUUGCCCUUGAAAACAAGAAUAAAUAAGGUGAAUCCAUGAGUCUUGGAGAAUUAAAUGAAUGAAGAGGAGUUUGGAAACCAUAAACUCCAACUGGUAGAUGGCCAAUACAACAAGAACAUCAACUAAGGUAAUAAACAUCAAACAUAGUUUCAAGUAGAGGUUAUGACACUGCUUGUUACACUUGAAACUUCAUCAGCAGUUCUCCUUCAUUACCACAACAGUUUAACUAGCAUUAAGUUAUGUUUUAUGCCAAUGCAUCAGUCUUAAAACCAAAACAUAGUUCACAACAUACACUUAUAAUAUCCUGCUUAAUUACAAGUUUUUUGUUUGCCUAAGAAAUCAAAAUUUUAAUAUCAGGCAGGACUCGACUAGAGUUUCAACAGCUUGGUUGCAUACCCAUUUACAGAUGCCAAAUUAUUAGAUAUUUGAGAAUAUUCUGAGGCUUUAAUUUCAAGACUUAAACUUCAAGAAUUACAAAAAUCUUUAGAGAGAGAGGACUUAAUUAUUUGGACAAUAUUUACAACAACAAUAAUAAUCAUCAUCAUCAUGAAGAUUGAUGUUUCAGUUCUAAUGUUUCAGUCAGUUCAUGCACCAAAUCUUCUAUCAAUUUCACAUGGAGCCGACCUAUUCAUCCACAUUCACAUUUGGUUGAGCGAGAUAUUGGUCCAACACAUUAAAAUACUGCCCCAAAAGGAGAAUUUCUGCCUUAUCGCCCUGGAAUCCCAACUAUUUAAUUGAAUUUUUUUUGAGGUACAAGUCAAGAAAACUUCUGCAAGGGAUUACAAUCAUAUGUGCCAGAUUUUCACAGAGAGCACCAUUUCAUAUGUUUUAAAGGCUGGAUAUACAGUUGAGAGAAUUAGAGUGCGUUUGGAAAUGUUUUUUCUCGAAGUGUAAUUAAAUAAAAAGUUUUCCUUUCUCAUAGAUUAAAAACAUAAAAUAUGAAAUUUUUGAUAAAAUGGAAACCACUAUUUGGGGUGGGUAAGAAUAGCUAAGAGAUUGUAUGCAACAAAAAUCAUGAAGUUAGCUCAAAAUGGGAAUGAAAUUUUUAUUCCAUUAUAGAGUAUUAAGUGCAACCAAAUAUUGAAAUGAAUCUUUGUUAAGAUUUUCUAGAUACCAUUCCAUUCUUAGCAAAGGAACAGUCUUAUUAAUUCUAAAGUAAGUGUUAAGUACCUAAAGGAGAACAAAAAUAAUAUAAAAGAAAAAAAUUUUAAGAAAAUAAAUUGUAAACAUUUAUUUAUCUUCUUUUCCUUGAUUUUCUUAGCAAUCAAAUAAGAAAACAAUUUUAUAAAGUUAGAAAUAGAAAAUAUGAAAUUAAUAAAAUUGAAAACAUUAUUUAGAGGUGGAAUGAGAAAAACUUAGAGAUGUUGAUGAAAUAAAAAUAAUGAAUUAAAUUAACAUAAAAUUGGAAUGAAAUGUUCAUUGCAAUUCAACUUAUUAAAGUACAACAAAUAUUAGAAUGAAUAUUCAUUACCAUUCUAUAACUAGGAAACAAACACAAGACGAACUGAAUGCCUCAAGCAACAUCAACUAUCCAUUAGUUUGAUUUCCAGAAACUAGAAAUCCAAGAUUCACCUAGGAAAGUGUAAGAAGUGAUCUGAAGUAAAUAGAAAUCUUUAGUGCCAGUUAGAAAGUGAGGCUACUAGAUUAGCAGUAAUCUCUAUAUCUGAGCAGCUCUUGACAGUGAACCGAAGUUGAGCGUAAAAAAUAACUCUUGGUCCGUAUAGAAAAUCAAAUUUCAUUUUUUCACUCAAAUAAGCUAAACAAAGGCCAAAGAGGAAAAUAAACACAAUCAAAUUUCAUUCAUUUGGAGAUUUAAAAUUUGGGGAAAGAGACUCACUUCCUAGGGUUAUUUAUCAUUAGUCUCUGACAUGCAAUUUUGAUUCGAGUAUGGCAAGGAUUUCGGUGAGCGAGUUGGUUGUUCAUCAGCAAUCUAGUUGCUGACUCAGCUCCUAAGGUUUUAUGCCUUUGGAAGAAGAGUUCAAUGGCCAUCACUAGCAACGUCUCUCAACAUUGAGGGUUGAAAAGAGUGAAUAGAAGAAAAAUGUCAAACAAUUAGUAAGAAAACAAAAUCACAAGUCAUUUGAAGAUUCUCACCAGUGGGUUCUUAAUAGUUUAAAGUAAGGAAGUGGCUCUUAGUGGGUUAUUGGCUAAAACUGGGGCUACCUAGUAAAACCUGUUGAACCGAUUCCAAACCGGUUCAACCGAUUGAGAAAAAUUCUAAAAUUUAACAAAAGAUUCCUCGAAGAAUAAGGAAUCCAACAAAACAAAAAAAACAGCGCUCAAUUUCGAGCUUGGAUGAGGGAGAACCGGUCAAAACAAUGCAAUGUGUUUAUAAAACGGGGCUGCUUAGCAAAACCUGUUUAACCGGUUCCCAAACGGUCCAACCGAUUGAGAAAAAUUCUAAAAAUUUACCAGAAGAUUCCUCGAAGAAUAAAUAAUCCAACAAAAAAACGACACUCAAUUCUGAGCUCGAAUGAGGGAGAAUCGACUAAAACAAUGCAAUGUGUUUAUAAAACGAGGCUGCCUAGCAGAACCUAUUGAACUGGCUCCCAACCGAUUCAACUGAUUGAGAAAAUUUUUGAAACUUUACUAGAAGAUUCCUCGAAGAAUAAGGAAUCCAAAAAAAAAUGAAUCUCAAUUCCGAGCCUGGAUGGGGGAGAACCGGCCGAAACAAUGCAAUGUGUUUAUAAAAUGGGGUUGCCUAGCAGAACCUGCUGAAUCGGUUCCCAACCAGUACAAUCAAUUAAGAAAAAUUAUGAAACUUUACCAAUAGAUUCCUAAAAAGAAUAAGGAAUCCAACAAAAAAAACGACGCUCAAUUCCAAGCCCGGAUGAGGGAGAAUCGGCUGAAACAAUGCAAUGUGUUUAUAAAAUGGGGUUGCCUAGCAGAACCUAUUGAACCGGUUCCUAACCGGUACAACCGAUUGAGAAAAAUUCUGAAACUUUACAAGUAGAUUCUCAACCGACAAAACAGCCUCCAUACCAUACACUAAAGAGUAAGGUGUAGCUCCUAUGGAGGUGCGAAAAGAGGUACAGUAUGCCCACAAUGCAAAAGGAAGUUUCUCUGACUAAUCUCGAGAAGUUUCAGUCAUCAUCCUGAAAAUUCUCUUAAUAUUCUUAUUCGCAGCCUCUACUGCCCUGUUGGUCUGUGGCCUAUAUGCUGAAGAUCUAUGAUGUCGGAUGUCAUACUUUUGCAACAAAGUAUCUACCUCAACUGGGAAGUGCACCCCUCUAUCUGAAAUUAAUUCAUGGGGAACCCCAUAGCGGCAAAUGAUGUGUGACCUGAUGAAACUAGCAACCCUAGCAAAUGUCAAAGAAUAAGGAAUCCAAAAAAAAAAAAAAAAAAACGGCGCUCAAUUCCGAGCUCGGAUGAGGGAGAACCGGCCAAAACAAUGCAAUGUGUUCCUUGUAGAAGGCCAAACCCGAACCACCCAACCUUAUUAAAACUAAGGCCACGGAUCUCAUUAAACAACCAACAAUGCAGCCUCCCUGAACUCAAGAAACCCAACUGGAAAUUCAGCCACACAGACAUCCACAUGCGGCCACCUAAAUCUCCUGAAACCAAACUGAAAUUUCAUUCACUUGAAGCCUUCCACCUACAGCUACUUAAAUCCCAUGGAACAAACUGAAAUUUCAGCCUCCUAUAGCCUAUGAAUCCAGUUGAAAUUCAGCCACCUAUAGCCCCCUCUCCCCAAUACAACUACUGGAAUCACCAAGAAGCAAACCGAAAUUUCAGCCACAUGGGGCCUCUACAUAUAGCCACAAGACCCAGGGUUUAAGUCCAGAUUAUUGAUGGGUAGCCCCAAAUUUAAAAAACAGAGAAGGUCAUGGAGACCCUUUCUCAAUACAAAGCAAAGGAGGUUUCAAGAAAAACCAAGUGGCAGAAAUGCCCAUACCAACAUAGCCACCUGAAUCUAGCAUUUAAGAAGUUCCUCAAUCCAAAGCUACAAGGCCAUAAGAAUCCUUCCCUUAACAAUCAAAAGGUCACAAUGACCUUCAACCAAAACCAAAACUAAUGAAGGCAGUGACCCUAUUACUCACACAUCAAAAGUAGGUCACACACCCCCCAAUUCUUUAUCAGAACCAACCCAAAAUGAGACAUCCACAACUAACAUAAAAAAUGAAACAUGCAAUAGUUACAUAUCAAGAGCAUCCAUAAAGCUUACCAGAUUGUUCUCCCCUCAAGCAGAAAUUUGCUUGGCUUCAAGGCCGUCUUUCCUUCAAGUUCUCACCAAUCAAGAGCUCCUUACUCUCUUCCCUCUUUGCUCACUUCACGUGCACCCAAAACUUUCUUAAAUGCUCAAAACCUUCUCCACACUCUGUUCUUUUCCCUCACCAAACUUGGACAAAGUUUUGUCCCUUAGAAAAAAAUGCAAAGGAAAAGGUCCUUCUCUAUUUCCAUUUUGCCUUUUUAUACCAGAACCCCUGCUCCUCCCACUUCCACCUUCGUUUUUCCCUCUUUUAGCUCUGGAAAGUGCCCCCAUCAACCUCGGAAUCCAUCUCCAUAAACACUCCUCACAGUCACGAGGUGAGCUGUUCUCUCCACAUUUACUCCAUUGCUUCACCACCAAGAAUCCAUAUGGAUUCAUGGUGGGCUAUAAGGAACCUAAACCAAGGCUCAAAAUGGACCCAAAAUAUUUCCCAAGACCGAUUUGGAGCUUAUGGGCCCUAGUCAUGUAGGAUUUGGGCCCCAAAAUCAGUGCUCUAUACAAGUUGGCCCAACGAAUUGGUUGAACCAGUUGAUAAAAAAAUUGAAAUUUUGACAGAAUAUUCCUUGAAGAACAAGGAGUCCAUAAAAAAAAUGGUGUGUGAUUCUGAGUUCGGAUGAGGAAGAUAUGAUCGAAACAAGCUCAAGUGCUCCGUAUUCGAACCUGCUCCUAUGAACUCUGGCUAAACUAAAGAUUUGGGGAGAUCUCACUUCCUUCUUUUAGCAUGAUGUGAAAAACUAAGGAAUUGGUCAUGACAACACUCCAAAAUGAACUACACACUCACACUACAUUGGANNNNNNNNNNNNNNNNNNNNNNNNNNNNNNNNNNNNNNNNNNNNNNNNNNNNNNNNNNNNNNNNNNNNNNNNNNNNNNNNNNNNNNNNNNNNNNNNNNNNUGACAACACUCCAAAAUGAACUACACACUCACACUACAUUGGACCGCAGAUGAACCUACACAAGGCUCGAAAAUCGAUCAAGCCCAAAAGGGGGUCAUGGUGGUGCCAUAAGGAAAAAAUUGGGUGCAUGUGACAUCCCUAAGAUAAAUGCAAGUGUCGAAGGACAAAAUUGAGGGUCUACAGUAUUACAUUUUUCAAAGAGAUUAUGGAUGUCAUGGAAAACUCUUUAAAGAUCUCAAAUUUAUCAAAUAAUCAAUGGCUCGAUGAUAAUACACUGUUGUUGAUUCCAAGAUUUUCAAAUCCGAGUGGGCUGAUGGUGACUCACAAAACUGUUCUUCAAUUCUGUGGUUCAAAUUAGUGGACUUCUUUAAACCACCUUUCAAAUUGGACAGUUGCAUAGAGGACAAAACUGCUUUUGAUGGAUUUAAAGCUCUUCAAAUCCAUGAACUUCAAAGGUUUUUAGAUUCGUCCUCAAAGCCUAUAUAAGGCCCCUAUUUCUCUUUAGAAGGCAUCAACAUUUUAGUAGGAAAAUUGAGAGCAAACAAGUGAGAUAUCCUCUUGAGUGAAUGACCUUGUAAUUGAGAAAACUCAAAACUCUCAAAGUGUUUGUAAGGCAAUGUUUGGGCCUCAAAUGAAAUGGUAGCAAGGGAGAAAAUCAGGAAAGAGAAAAACAACCAAUGUCUAGGGCUAAAACCAAAUGCUUUGGAGGUAGUAAAAUUAGGGUAGGAUACGUGGAAUUCCAACUUAGAUUUUUGUGAUUUUGUUUUUUCAUAAUCAGUAAAGGCCAUUUUCGAAAAUAUUAAAAAUUCAUAUUCUUCUUCUCAAUUUUGACACUUCCUUUAGGUCUUAGGCUUAAAUGACGAGAACUUAUAUGGACCAAAGAUUAAUUUUUGGGCCUAGCUGGAUCCAAAACACAAUUCUCCCUAUAUUAUGUACACCUGAAACAUUUUUCAAAUUAAUUUUAUGAACUAAUUUUGAAAUAUAUCUUCAUAGCAUCUACACAAAGCAUAUAUAUUGUGUAUGUACUAUUAAUAAAAAUUUGUUUACAUGAAAUUAAAAAUAAUCAUGUUUUAAAAUAAAUAAAAAAAUUAUAUAUGAAAACCUAAGAAUAUACUAUUAUUUCAAUAGAGAUAAAAUUGUUAAAAUACUAAUAAAUUAAAUAUCUUAAAUUGAUAAAUUAUAUGAAUAAAUAAGAAAAGAAAAAAAAAAUAUAAAAAAACAACAUGCAAACAUGUGAAACUAAAAAGUUCAAAGGCAUGAAAUUCAAUAUGGCAAAAAUUCAAAAAAAUGGAACCACAUUUGCAUUUUUAACUUCAUACAUUUACAUUUAUUUUAUUUUAUUUUAAGUUUGUCUUAUUUAUAUGUUAUACAACUCUAUUAUUUUUAAAUUAUUAAUUUAUUGAUAAAUAAAAUAGUAAUUAUUAUUAUUAUCAAUUUAUUUUUGUUUAAGUAAUACUAGAUCCUUAAGUUUACAUGUAUAAUAUUUUUAUCAUUAAAGUAUAUAUUUUUAAUUUCAAUAAUAAUUUUUAAAAGCACUGAAACUUCAAUAGUGAAGUCUUAUUUGGCAAUUACAACAUUAUAAAAAUGAAUUCACAUCUGGCAAUUGAGGUUUUAACUUAAAUUUUUUUUAUAAAAAUGAUAACAUGGGUCCUCCAUGUCAACAAAAGGGGCAUUUUAGACAAAAGUUUAGGAAAGUGGUUAAAAUAAAAUUUUCCCCAUAAUAGGGCUAUUUUGGCCCAAAACACUUCAGAAAAAAAAAAAAAACUCCUAAAGUUUUUGUUCCUUUCUCAUUCUCAUUAAUGUCUAAUAUUGGAGCGAAAACAAAUGAUUAUUAAAACCUUAUAGUCCUAGGUACAUUCAAGCACAAGAAUCAAAAUCAUCAAAUCCAUUCCUAUUAAAAAAAAAUUGGGAUGAAAACAUAAUAUUGAUUCUCUUUCCCCAUUUUUAUGUACCAAACAUGGCCUAAACAUGUGAGAUAAAGAAAAUGAUCAAGCUUCUUUAUUAUACAUGCUUUCUUAAAAGAAAAAAAAAAAGUAGGCAUUAAUUUUAUGCAUUGGUAAUGAUCAAAUUGAACCUAAAUAAAUCAAGUUUUAGGCAAACAUCUAAAUAAACUUGACUUUAUUAGCACAAACAUGAAAAUAUUUAAUAUGGGUUUAUAUAUCCAUGUGUAACAUGAUUGAAUUCUAUUCAAAUGUGUAAAAAUAAAUAAUUAAAUAAUUACAUACCUUUUUUUCCGACUUUGCUCAUGCCAUUAAGAUUUUUCACCCACGAAAAACAACCUAUAUUACAAAAAAUGAAACAAGAUGAGCAACAUUUUUAAUGCUAAAGCAAAUGUUAAAAUUAUAAAAUUAUUAUCAUUGGACACAUACUUUUUUAAACAUAUGAGCAAGCUAAUUGAAAAUAAUAAAUAUAAAAAACAAAGAUUUUUUAUAAUGCUUAUAAAUAAGUUAAAACAACAAAUAAAAAAAAUAUUAAUAUACUAAAAAAUCCAAGUUUAUGAAAGGUAUUAAGAAUCCAGUGUAUAAGUUGAACAAUUAAAUAGGAAUUUAAAAUUAAAAUAUUAUACCUUAAAUUGGAAAUAGCUAGAUACUUGGUGUUUAUCAGAAUCUUAUCUCUACCCUAUACAGAUCAUAAACAAAUUAAAGAAAAAAAAUAAAAUUAGAAGGAAAAAUAUACUAUAAGGCAUAUUUAUUUCGAGCCCAUCGAAAUACUGAGAGCAACCACUUUACAAAAUUGUAUUCAUGUCAUGUAACUCACUGUUUUUUCUCAAAAAAAGUUUUUUUUUUUUAUGAAAAAAAAAAAAAACAUACCUAAACUGUUGAUUGUCUUGAAGUAAUUCAAAGAAUAGCCCUCGAUGUAUCAUAAAUUCACAUUAAACCACAAAAUCAAAAGAUUGUAAAGCUAAGAAUAUAUAUACCUCCAGGGGAAGGAGCCAUUGAUGUUGAAAGCUUGUUCUUCAAAAGAGCUUUAAGAUGUGAUUGUAAAGCUAAGAAUAUAAAUUCACACUAAACGACCUUUCUCUGCAUCCAAUGUUUUGAUCCCCUCUCAAACAUUAACGCUAACCACUACCUCGGUAUAUGCUUCGGAUUUUUUCCAAGAAAGAAUGAAAGAGAGAUGCUUCUGAGAGGAGAGAGAGAGGACACAUUUGUAAAGUGGACGUAAUACAACCUCUACCAUUAUGGGAAAUGACACAUUUGUAGUAUCGGGGUUUGUGGUAUUGGAACUUUCAGAUAAGGAAUUUGAAAAUUUUUAAAUAUAUAAUUAAAAAAAAAAUAGUCGAAUAAGAAAGUCCUUUCAAUAUGAUCUUUAUGAAUAAUAAAGAAAUGUUUGCAUGAAGAUCAACUCAAUAUGAUCCGUAUGUUCUAAUUAAUUUUCUUUUUCUUUUUUUUUUUUCAUAUUAAUUUUAUUAUUAAUUCUACCACCAAUCCUGAGAAGAUCAAAAUUAAUUCCUACAAGCCUAAAUCAUUGAAAGACCUUUUCUCGAGAAAAGAGAGUUCAGAGAUAUUUAUGAACCGAGAGUGGAUACAGAAGACCCUUAUUGAAUGUAGGGUUUCUUUGAAAAGAGACGAAGUCGGUCAACAUCUCUGAAAAGUCUGAAUGGAGAGGACUCUGAGUUGAGUUGAUGGGGCAGCGGACCAGUUUAUUGGGACUUUAACAGAGAUAUUUUCUCUCUAUGACGCUGCCCUUUGAGCUGUCUCCACUUGCAACUUUUCUUUUGUACCAGACCAUCCUAACAAACAAAAAUUUAAAUUUAUAAAAUAUAACUAUUUAAAAUUAAUUAAUAAUUUACAUUUUUUAAUUAAAAUUACUACUUUUAAUGUUUAAUAACAGUUUUUUAAUGAUAUAAGUAUUAUUUUUUAUUAUAAUAAAUACUAUUUUUAAUUGAGGAGUAUAUAAAAUUUGAAUUAUUUAAAAAAAUUUUCUAUUUUAUAAAUAUUUUUAUAUAAAUACAUCAAAACUUUUUUUUAUUUUUUCAAAUGAAUAUAUAUACAUAUAUAUAUAUAUUUUUUAUUUUUUCAAAUGAAUAUAUAUACAUAUAUAUAUAUAUAUAUAUAUAUAUAUAUAUAUAUAUAUAUAUAUAUAUAUAUAUAUAAUUGAUUCUUUAAAAUAUUUUAGACAUUUUAAAAUUUUAUCCAAUUCCUUUUUAUAAAAAACCAUUUUUUAACAUUGAGGUCAUUUCCAAAACUACCCUCAAAUGUUAUUUCAUAUGUAAAACCAAUUCAAUCUUAUUUUAUGUAUUAAUUUUAUUUUAUGAGUUCAAAUAAUAAUAGCAUAAUAAUAUAUAUUAAGCUACAAUACUAAAAUAUUUUAAUUAACAUUAAUAUUUUAACAUUUUGGAUUGGAAAUGCUCUAAUGAAAGAUAUUUUGCUGCCCAUUGCAUUAAAACAAGCAUUUGACAAAACAUUUUAUCUUACAUAUUGGCACAACAAAAUUUCAUUAUAAAUCUACAAAAUAAUCCAUCACAAUGAAUAUGCAAACAUUUUCACCAUGAUUUCCAACCAUGUUUCCCUAUGAUCACUACUAUUUACGAGGAAAGAUUUAAAACUUGUUUGUCAAAAUUGAUUUAUUAAUUAUAGUUUUAAUUAAUAAUUAAUCAAUUAUUAAUUUAUUUUUUUUGUUAUAAAAAUUAUACUUCAAGGAUUUUAUUACAUGUUCAUGGUUUUACACUAUUCUAAAUAAAUCAAAAUUUAGGUAAAAUAAAUUCAUUUUUCUUAAGAUUUAAAUUAAAUACAAAUGCAGCUUAAAAUUCCACCCAUUACCUCCCUUAAAAUACUAUAACUAUUCAAGUUAUACACUACAAUCAAACAUAUUACAAAAAAAAAAAAAAAUCAUUAGUCAGAUUAAUUCAAGAGGUAGUGUAAAGCAUAGUAUGUUAAUUUUGACCAAGUGUUGCAUCCAAUUCUUAUACAAAAGUCUAUAUAUUACAAGAAAUUAAAGUGAGAAAAGGAUUAAAAGUUUAAAAACAUGGGAAUGAUAAACCCCAAGUAAAUAUCUAUUUGAAACCUUGUCAAAAUUUGCCUCAAGUUGACUUUUGAAUUAACUUUACUAUUAUAAUCACUACUACAAAAAUAAUAUAUGAUGUUACUAUUUAUGGUGUCGCAUUUAAAAUAAUGACACCAUUGAACUUAAAAUUUAUAAAGGUGACACAUCAUAUAAAAAAUCUUCAAUUAGGAUAGUUAGAUGAUGCUAAUUUCAGAUUUACGGUGUCAUUUUUUGGAAGUGACACCAUAUGAAAUAAAAAGUUUUAAAUUUUAUAACUCAAUGGGCCCUUUUUAAAAAUAGUGAGUAGGAACAAUUUAUGAAAAGUCCAUUGUUUCCAUAUAUACAUUAACUAAUAUAAAAGAUCUUGUUGCUUAACCCUAACCAUCGUUUUCUUCUCUUUCUUCUCACACCCAUGGUCGGCACACCCAUAAUUGAUAUUCUUUGCUUCGUAAAAUCUCGUGUAAGUCAAAUCUCUUAUCUAUCAUCUUCAUUUUUUUUUAUUAAUGCAAAAACUUUGUAGUAUAANNNNNNNNNNNNNNNNNNNNNNNNNNNNNNNNNNNNNNNNNNNNNNNNNNNNNNNNNNNNNNNNNNNNNNNNNNNNNNNNNNNNNNNNNNNNNNNNNNNNNNNNNNNNNNNNNNNNNNNNNNNNNNNNNNNNNNNNNNNNNNNNNNNNNNNNNNNNNNNNNNNNNNNNNNNNNNNNNNNNNNNNNNNNNNNNNNNNNNNNNNNNNNNNNNNNNNNNNNNNNNNNNNNNNNNNNNNNNNNNNNNNNNNNNNNNNNNNNNNNNNNNNNNNNNNNNNNNNNNNNNNNNNNNNNNNNNNNNNNNNNNNNNNNNNNNNNNNNNNNNNNNNNNNNNNNNNNNNNNNNNNNNNNNNNNNNNNNNNNNNNNNNNNNNNNNNNNNNNNNNNNNNNNNNNNNNNNNNNNNNNNNNNNNNNNNNNNNNNNNNNNNNNNNNNNNNNNNNNNNNNNNNNNNNNNNNNNNNNNNNNNNNNNNNNNNNNNNNNNNNNNNNNNNNNNNNNNNNNNNNNNNNNNNNNNNNNNNNNNNNNNNNNNNNNNNNNNNNNNNNNNNNNNNNNNNNNNNNNNNNNNNNNNNNNNNNNNNNNNNNNNNNNNNNNNNNNNNNNNNNNNNNNNNNNNNNNNNNNNNNNNNNNNNNNNNNNNNNNNNNNNNNNNNNNNNNNNNNNNNNNNNNNNNNNNNNNNNNNNNNNNNNNNNNNNNNNNNNNNNNNNNNNNNNNNNNNNNNNNNNNNNNNNNNNNNNNNNNNNNNNNNNNNNNNNNNNNNNNNNNNNNNNNNNNNNNNNNNNNNNNNNNNNNNNNNNNNNNNNNNNNNNNNNNNNNNNNNNNNNNNNNNNNNNNNNNNNNNNNNNNNNNNNNNNNNNNNNNNNNNNNNNNNNNNNNNNNNNNNNNNNNNNNNNNNNNNNNNNNNNNNNNNNNNNNNNNNNNNNNNNNNNNNNNNNNNNNNNNNNNNNNNNNNNNNNNNNNNNNNNNNNNNNNNNNNNNNNNNNNNNNNNNNNNNNNNNNNNNNNNNNNNNNNNNNNNNNNNNNNNNNNNNNNNNNNNNNNNNNNNNNNNNNNNNNNNNNNNNNNNNNNNNNNNNNNNNNNNNNNNNNNNNNNNNNNNNNNNNNNNNNNNNNNNNNNNNNNNNNNNNNNNNNNNNNNNNNNNNNNNNNNNNNNNNNNNNNNNNNNNNNNNNNNNNNNNNNNNNNNNNNNNNNNNNNNNNNNNNNNNNNNNNNNNNNNNNNNNNNNNNNNNNNNNNNNNNNNNNNNNNNNNNNNNNNNNNNNNNNNNNNNNNNNNNNNNNNNNNNNNNNNNNNNNNNNNNNNNNNNNNNNNNNNNNNNNNNNNNNNNNNNNNNNNNNNNNNNNNNNNNNNNNNNNNNNNNNNNNNNNNNNNNNNNNNNNNNNNNNNNNNNNNNNNNNNNNNNNNNNNNNNNNNNNNNNNNNNNNNNNNNNNNNNNNNNNNNNNNNNNNNNNNNNNNNNNNNNNNNNNNNNNNNNNNNNNNNNNNNNNNNNNNNNNNNNNNNNNNNNNNNNNNNNNNNNNNNNNNNNNNNNNNNNNNNNNNNNNNNNNNNNNNNNNNNNNNNNNNNNNNNNNNNNNNNNNNNNNNNNNNNNNNNNNNNNNNNNNNNNNNNNNNNNNNNNNNNNNNNNNNNNNNNNNNNNNNNNNNNNNNNNNNNNNNNNNNNNNNNNNNNNNNNNNNNNNNNNNNNNNNNNNNNNNNNNNNNNNNNNNNNNNNNNNNNNNNNNNNNNNNNNNNNNNNNNNNNNNNNNNNNNNNNNNNNNNNNNNNNNNNNNNNNNNNNNNNNNNNNNNNNNNNNNNNNNNNNNNNNNNNNNNNNNNNNNNNNNNNNNNNNNNNNNNNNNNNNNNNNNNNNNNNNNNNNNNNNNNNNNNNNNNNNNNNNNNNNNNNNNNNNNNNNNNNNNNNNNNNNNNNNNNNNNNNNNNNNNNNNNNNNNNNNNNNNNNNNNNNNNNNNNNNNNNNNNNNNNNNNNNNNNNNNNNNNNNNNNNNNNNNNNNNNNNNNNNNNNNNNNNNNNNNNNNNNNNNNNNNNNNNNNNNNNNNNNNNNNNNNNNNNNNNNNNNNNNNNNNNNNNNNNNNNNNNNNNNNNNNNNNNNNNNNNNNNNNNNNNNNNNNNNNNNNNNNNNNNNNNNNNNNNNNNNNNNNNNNNNNNNNNNNNNNNNNNNNNNNNNNNNNNNNNNNNNNNNNNNNNNNNNNNNNNNNNNNNNNNNNNNNNNNNNNNNNNNNNNNNNNNNNNNNNNNNNNNNNNNNNNNNNNNNNNNNNNNNNNNNNNNNNNNNNNNNNNNNNNNNNNNNNNNNNNNNNNNNNNNNNNNNNNNNNNNNNNNNNNNNNNNNNNNNNNNNNNNNNNNNNNNNNNNNNNNNNNNNNNNNNNNNNNNNNNNNNNNNNNNNNNNNNNNNNNNNNNNNNNNNNNNNNNNNNNNNNNNNNNNNNNNNNNNNNNNNNNNNNNNNNNNNNNNNNNNNNNNNNNNNNNNNNNNNNNNNNNNNNNNNNNNNNNNNNNNNNNNNNNNNNNNNNNNNNNNNNNNNNNNNNNNNNNNNNNNNNNNNNNNNNNNNNNNNNNNNNNNNNNNNNNNNNNNNNNNNNNNNNNNNNNNNNNNNNNNNNNNNNNNNNNNNNNNNNNNNNNNNNNNNNNNNNNNNNNNNNNNNNNNNNNNNNNNNNNNNNNNNNNNNNNNNNNNNNNNNNNNNNNNNNNNNNNNNNNNNNNNNNNNNNNNNNNNNNNNNNNNNNNNNNNNNNNNNNNNNNNNNNNNNNNNNNNNNNNNNNNNNNNNNNNNNNNNNNNNNNNNNNNNNNNNNNNNNNNNNNNNNNNNNNNNNNNNNNNNNNNNNNNNNNNNNNNNNNNNNNNNNNNNNNNNNNNNNNNNNNNNNNNNNNNNNNNNNNNNNNNNNNNNNNNNNNNNNNNNNNNNNNNNNNNNNNNNNNNNNNNNNNNNNNNNNNNNNNNNNNNNNNNNNNNNNNNNNNNNNNNNNNNNNNNNNNNNNNNNNNNNNNNNNNNNNNNNNNNNNNNNNNNNNNNNNNNNNNNNNNNNNNNNNNNNNNNNNNNNNNNNNNNNNNNNNNNNNNNNNNNNNNNNNNNNNNNNNNNNNNNNNNNNNNNNNNNNNNNNNNNNNNNNNNNNNNNNNNNNNNNNNNNNNNNNNNNNNNNNNNNNNNNNNNNNNNNNNNNNNNNNNNNNNNNNNNNNNNNNNNNNNNNNNNNNNNNNNNNNNNNNNNNNNNNNNNNNNNNNNNNNNNNNNNNNNNNNNNNNNNNNNNNNNNNNNNNNNNNNNNNNNNNNNNNNNNNNNNNNNNNNNNNNNNNNNNNNNNNNNNNNNNNNNNNNNNNNNNNNNNNNNNNNNNNNNNNNNNNNNNNNNNNNNNNNNNNNNNNNNNNNNNNNNNNNNNNNNNNNNNNNNNNNNNNNNNNNNNNNNNNNNNNNNNNNNNNNNNNNNNNNNNNNNNNNNNNNNNNNNNNNNNNNNNNNNNNNNNNNNNNNNNNNNNNNNNNNNNNNNNNNNNNNNNNNNNNNNNNNNNNNNNNNNNNNNNNNNNNNNNNNNNNNNNNNNNNNNNNNNNNNNNNNNNNNNNNNNNNNNNNNNNNNNNNNNNNNNNNNNNNNNNNNNNNNNNNNNNNNNNNNNNNNNNNNNNNNNNNNNNNNNNNNNNNNNNNNNNNNNNNNNNNNNNNNNNNNNNNNNNNNNNNNNNNNNNNNNNNNNNNNNNNNNNNNNNNNNNNNNNNNNNNNNNNNNNNNNNNNNNNNNNNNNNNNNNNNNNNNNNNNNNNNNNNNNNNNNNNNNNNNNNNNNNNNNNNNNNNNNNNNNNNNNNNNNNNNNNNNNNNNNNNNNNNNNNNNNNNNNNNNNNNNNNNNNNNNNNNNNNNNNNNNNNNNNNNNNNNNNNNNNNNNNNNNNNNNNNNNNNNNNNNNNNNNNNNNNNNNNNNNNNNNNNNNNNNNNNNNNNNNNNNNNNNNNNNNNNNNNNNNNNNNNNNNNNNNNNNNNNNNNNNNNNNNNNNNNNNNNNNNNNNNNNNNNNNNNNNUUGAUAUACAAAUAUUAUUGGAUGAUGUAAUAUGUUACAAAUUAAUUCAUAAGCAUUAUGAAAAUAUAAGUUAAAUGUAAUAUGAUUAUUAUAUUUAUGGACAAUUUACACAGGUUAGUCUUAUUUAUUAAUAAGCAUUACAAAAAUCUACAAACUAAUCAACAAAAAACAACCAUAUCUUCCAUAAUCAUUUACAAUGAUGUGACACCAUAAAUUAAAGGUGAUACAUUUAACGUGACACCAUAACUCAAAGAUGAUGCAUUUAAUAUGACACCUUAUAUAUUUCAUACAACUCUAUAUCAAAUUAAGCAUCACUAAAAAUAUAUGGUGUCUCUUCUAAAUGUGUCACCAUUUAUUUGCUUUGGUGUUGCUUCCAAAUACAUCACCAAUUGAUACCCUCUAUGGUGUCAGUGGAUAAGGUGACGCUAUGUUGUAGUGACACCCUAUGUUUAUAGUGACUUAUUAUAAAUGUCACCAUAUAUCUUUUUCCUUGUAGUGAAUGGAAGUAUAAAUUUUAAAAGGAUUCUCUGUGAUUAUAGGAUUUAAUUCUAAUACUCUUAUACGUAGCCAAGGGUCAUUGGACUCAUGGCAGCACACAAACAUAUCCCCUUGUAUCUAUGGAAAUUGACAUGCAAAAUACAAAUAUUUCCUCUUACAUCCCUAUUGUGUUAUAGCAUGAGUAUGAAUGUGUAUUGUCAUCUUAAGCAAACUAAUGUUGUUGCCAAUUUUUCUUGGACGCUUUUUUUAAAAAUAAAAAUAAAAUAAUGUAAGGCUAUAUAGCAGAUUCAAUUGAUAUUUUUUUCAUCUUGUCCUACAUAUGAAAAUUACAAGUAGUUCAAGAAUCCUUGUUGAAUGAAAUUGACUGAAAACAAAUCUUAUUUAUGUAAAUUCUCAAAUACUUACAACAAGAAGCCCAAACCCCCACCCCAUCUUCAUGAACUUCAUAACAAAAUACUAUAAUCCUCCCUAUGAAAUAGAACUAAUUAAUUUAAUAUCAAUAAAUCCAAAUUGCUUUCAACAUCAGGCACAAGGAGGGAUUUGAAAGUUUGUGGUUUUAUACAAUAGAACCAUCUAGAGGGAGGUUGAAUAGAUAAUCUUUUAUUAUUAGCUCAAAAACUUCAAUUUUUAUUUUAUUGUAUUGAGUUAUAUAAUUGUUAAUGUUUAAACAUCUUAUAUCGUAAAACUACUUGGAGGUGAUUUAGUGUCUUUAUGUAUUGGCAAUUCUAGGUUGAAAUUUUCAUUGUAUUCGCCUAACUCAGUUACUUCAAAUCCUUCUUCAAACUCUUGUCAUUCCUAAAUUGCUCAUAAUUGAAGAUUGUUAAAGGAGAUAGUUGGUGUUCUUGAGGCAAUUGAUGAUAUUAAACAUUGAUCAACCGAGUUUUAAACUUUUAUUCUUUUGCUGAAAAUUGGAGUUGAAGUUUAAGGAUAUCAAAUUUUGUAUUUAAAUUAUUUGGAUCAAUUACUAAUUGAUCAUGCUAAAAGGUAACAAUUUAUGUUGUAACAUGAAUUUUACAAUCUCAUCUUAUCUAUUAGAAUUUGAUCAAAUCUAUAAAAUCUUUAUUUUUUCCAAACAAAUCUGAGUUAUUAGAUGGAGAUUAAAACCUUAGUAUUUAAGCCCCUUUUUUUUAGAAAAGGCUUUAACAAUUGUAAGAGCUAGGUGGCUUUCUUGAGCUUCAAAUUCUUUAUCUAUUUUGGGAUGUUUGGUUUGAUUUUUUUUUUUAUUUUUUUUUUAUGGGUUUUAAGUUAAAAAUCUUUCAAAAUGAGUUGAUUCAAUAUAGGUUUCAUUCACACUCUUGCAUUUGUCAUCUUUAGGAUAAAAUCUAAAUUUCUUCUUAUGUAGGUUCAAGAAAAGGUCGAAAGUUUGGUGUGAACUUUAAGUAUGCUUUAAAAGAAGAAAGUGGGUAACUUAAGUUUGAAGGUACUAGGCAAACAAUUCCAAAGAGGAUUGAAGGUUUGAGUUAAGUAAAUCCUUGUAUUCAGUUUUUUUUUUCAUAGUGUUUGUUUUUUUUUAUCAUCUAUAGGCCUGUGAUAGUUUACCUAUUCAAAGGUUUUGUAUAUUAAAUCUUGUUGUUAUUAUCUCUUUAUUUCUAUCUUAUAUUUUCAUUAGUCUAUGUUGUGUCUAUGAAAGUUCCAUUGAUUUGUUAUAUAUGUUGGUUGAUUGAGAAAAUGAACUAAAAAAUGAUCAUUUAACCUUUGGCAUAGUAUGAAAUAAUUUAUGAUUUAGUAUUAAUGAGAAUUAAAACUUUGUAAAUUAUCAAAACUAUGUAGAUUUGAGCUCAGAUGUUGAAGCAUCUCUUAAAGGCAGUUGAGGUGCUCUCAACACUUGACUAUCACUUGAGCAUCUUUUUAAGACUCUAGGGUAUGCUUGAAGCUCAACUUCAAAAUUUUAUUUUUUGAUUAAAAUAAACACCUACUUUUUCAAUUUUCAUAUUGUCUACUUCAUGUAUUCUUAAAUCAUCAUUAUCCUUUUUGUAACUCCCAAUAUUUAUUAGCAUCUUUCUGAGUUGAUUCUACAACAAUCUUGCAUCUUCAAAAGAAGUGGAAGUCAAUGGAACCAAAUUGUCAACCUAAUCUAAAUAGAUUAAUGUACCAUCACUUUAAUUAGGAUAUAAUUAAUCAAUUAAAAAAAUAGCAUUUAAUCAUAUAAAGAAAUAUAUGAUUUAUGUGAAAAAACCACCAAUAAAGCAUCCUAGAGACCUUACAUAUAUAAAAGUCAUAGGGUUCAUAGAUUGUCAAGUUAAAUUCACUAAAUAUGAAGAAUAAGUACAUAGAUUUAGCUAGUAAUUAUUACUCUCCCUCAAACUUAUAUUGGUAGUCACCAAUUCUCAAUUCCAUAACAUAGUUACUUCCAUGCUGCUUAGUGGAUUGCUCAUGACCUUAAGGGAAUGUGAUAGACAAUGUGAACUAAAAACAAGGCAAGCUCAUUAAGAUGUUCCUUUUUAAUGCAUAAGGUGUGCAAUAAAAUGAGAUCGAGAAUCCUAUGCUUUGAGAGAAGGAUACUACAGUAAAAAAUGGUACCCAAAUACUAUUGAAUGACAACAUAGCUCUUGUUGCUCCUUUAUUUUUAUUUAUUUUAUUUUUUUAUUUUUGUAAUUAUCUCUUUUUUUGUUUUGAUAUCAACAUUAGAAAUAUAGAAGUCCAGAAAUUUUUUUUAGUGCUUGCAUAUUGAAGGUUCAUGCUAUAAGAGUUGGAAAAACUUGAAUAGAAACUCCCUUGAAUGAUGUAUCAAAGCUCAAUGUAUCAAUGUUAACAUAAACAUUUGAGUAGAGUAGGAUAACAUUUCUAUGUCAUAUGAAGAAAUAUACUAAAAGGGAACCAUGAAUACGAUUGGAGAAAUAUAUAUUAUAAUUUAGAGGAUUAUUAUGGUCUAUUGGUCAUAUUCAAAUGGAAGUAAUAUGGUAAUCAAUAUUUCCAUGUCAUUUGAAGAAACAUAAUAAGAGGGAACCAUGCAUGGAUAUGAUUUGAGAAAUAUAUAUUAUAAUUUAGAGGAUUACUACCUUAUAUUGGUUAUAUUCAAAUGAAAGUAAUAUGGUAAUCAAUAUGUAAUCGGUAAGAAAAUAGGUUAUGAACAAGUCAUAUUAUAACUACCUCAAAAAUCAAUAAUACAAGGAUGAAAGAGGUAUACUGAGGAAGGGUCACACCUAAAGGAUCACUUUAUUAGCACAAGUAGGAAAAUGUUAACAUAGGGUUAUGCAUUUAAGUGUAACAUGAUUGAAUUUUAUUACAAUGUCUAAAAUUUAAAUAAUUGCAUACCUCUUUUCUGAUUUUGCUCAUGCCAUUAAGAUUUUUUAUCCACAAGAAACAACCUAUAUUACAAAAAAUGGAAAAAUUAUUUUAGAAUAGUAAGAAAUUUAGGGUUCUUAUAAAUAAAAAAGAAUAUAAUUUUUUAAUACUUAAAAAAAAAAUUCCAAAGGUAAGAAUCUAAAAGCCUAUUUGAUUGUGUGAUUUAAAAACAAUUUUCUGUUUUUAAAAAUAGAAAAUUGUUUUUAAAAAUUUCUAAUUAACAUUGUUGGGUUGUCAUUCUCUAAAAACAAUUUUUAAAAACAAAGUGAAAUAGAUAAUAAUUUUUAGAGAAUAAAUAUGAAUUGUUUUCACUAGUUUUUACAAAUAAAAGAAAAAUGUGGAUUCAUUUGGGUUAUGUUUUUUUAAACUUGUUUUUUAUUCUUCAACUUAAAAAUAAUUUUUAAAAACAAAUUUAAGAAAAUAUGGCCAAAAAAACCCUAAAUGUUUACAGUAAUUUUCUAAUUUUUCAUCUCAUAAGCAAUCAAACUCUAACAUCUCACUAUUAACGUAUUAGAAAUGCAUUAUCAACUUUUUAAGUGAUACAACAUUUUGCAUAUUAAAGGGAAUGUAUAAUUAUAAAAUUAUUUUCAUAGGACAAAUACCUUUUUAAACAUAUGAGCAACCUAAUUCUGAAAAAGAGAAAAAAAGAAUGAUAAAGAGCACAAUAUUUUUUUUUUGUAUAGUGCUUAAAAAUUAGUUAAAACAACAAAUAAAAAAUAUUAAUUUACUGAAAGAUCUAAGUUUUUGAAACAUAUUAAGAAUCCAUUGUGUAAGUUGAACAAUUAAACAAGAAUUCAAAAUUAUCCUAUUGUAUUUUAAACUGGAAGUAGCUAGAUACUCACGAGGUUUAUCAAAAUCUUGUCUCUAUUCUCCAUAGAUCAUAAAUAAGUUAAAGAAAAAAUAAAACCAAGAAGAAAAAAAUACUAUAAGAUAUAUUUAUUCCAAGCUCGUCGAAAUACUGAGAGCACCCAUUUACAAAAUUGUAUUCCCGUCAUGUAACAAUUGAAUCCAACUCAUGUGACUCAUUGUUUUUUUUUUCUCAAAAACAAGUUUUUUUAAUUGCAAAAGAAAAAAGACUUAUCUGUUGAUGGUCUUGAAGUAAUUCAAAGGAUAGCCCUCAGAGGUAGGUACCAAAAACCACAAUAUCAAAAGAUGGUAAAACUAAUAAUAUAUGAAGAGUCGGUACAUUAAGUGAGAUUUUUUUAUAAGAGUACUGUAGUUUUAGAAAAUAAUUCUCAAACUACCGUAGUAGGAAAAAUAAUUCCAAAUCCACCGUAAUUUUUGUCAGGUAUGAAAGAUGAAUUUUUUUUUUAAAUCGUCUCUUCAAAAUACUAUUUAUAACAUUUUAAAAAAAAAUUUUAAAUCAUCUUUCUAAAAUAUGAGAAAUUGUCUCUUGAAAAUACAACUUUGGAAAAAAAAAAGAAGAUGAUUUUCAGAAGAAAGAAAAACUAAGAAGUAAUAAAUCAUCUCUUGAAAAGACGAUUUUUCACCAACAAUUUUCACAAAAAAAAAUUCAUAAAAAAAAGAAAAAGAGAAAACUUCAAAAAUCCAUUUUUCCAUUCCCUACUAUACUUAUACAAUAAUACAAUUAUUAUAAAUAUAUAUUAUAAAAUUAAUUAAUUUUAUUUACUAAAUUUAAUAUUUUUUCUAUUAUUUUUUUCUAAAAAAAAAAUUAUUAUUAAUUUAUUAAAAAAAUAAAAAAUUGAGAAAUUGUCUCUUGAAGAGACGAUUUUCACCAAAAAAUAAAAAAAAAGAAUAAAAAUAAAAAUUCAAAAAUCAAUUUUUCCAUUCUCUGUCAUACUUAUACAAUAAUAAAAUUAUUAUAAAUAUAUAUUAUAAAAUUAAUUAAUUUAUUUACUAAAUUUAAUAUAAGAUAAAUAAUAUUUAUCUAUUAUUCUUUUUUCUUUCAUUUUGGAAAAAAAAUAUUAUCAAUUUAUGUGAAAAAUGAGUUUAAAAAAUAAAUUUAUUAUUAAUUUAUUAAAUAAUUAUUUACAAAAUAAUUAAUUUUGUUUUUUUAUUUUAAAAUUAAUUUUAUUAUAUAAAUUUUAAAUUUUAAAAUAUUAAUCUUUAAGUUAAAAUUUUACUAUAAAAAAUGAAUAAUUUCACAUAUUUUUAGGCGAAUUUUACUUAUCAUAAGGCCUCCACUACACACAUCAUUUCCCCUAAUCCAAUAAUGCACUACACCCAUAGACCAUAGGAGAAUCUUACCUAGUACACUCUAUCACUUCAUACACUAUUACACUACAAUUCCAUUACAACACUCAACCAAUUUGACAAGAGUUUGAAGUAUUGUCAUUUCUUUUUAAAUGUUUAAAUACUCCACCAAUUUGAUCGUUUCAAGUAUUGUCAUUUCUUUUAAAACAUUCAAACGUGUGUAUAUAUAUAUAUAUACACACACCCCAUAUCCUACACACUAUACCCAUUCUACCUCUUCCCAACUUCACUUACAAUAUAAAUCAAUUUCAAACUUCUUCAUCCUCAUUUUCUCUUUCUUCCCCAUUUGAAACCAAGUUUUUCACUUUCCAUCGCUUUUAUCCAAAUCUCCCAUUUCUCUUUGUGGAACUUCUGGGUAUAUCUCCUAUUUUUUCUUCAAACACUCACACUGUUUAUCUUGAAAGGUAAUAUUUUUGCUUUAUUUUUAUUUCAAAUUAUUUUGUAAUAUAUGGUUUUUAUUAUUAUAUAAGUUUUAAAAUUUAUUUGGAUUAUGCAAUAUUUGUUUGAAUAAUAUUUAUUGGAAAUUAUUAUUUUAAAUAGAUUAAAUCAUUAAAAAAUAAAUAAAAGUUAUAUUAUUUUAUUUUUAGAUAAUAUUUUUGCCCUUGUUUCAUAUUUAUUUUGUAAUGCAUGAUGGAUAUUUAUUGUUAUACAUAUAUUAAUUUAUUGGAUUUAUGUUAAUUUUUUUAGAAUAUUAUUUGUUGUAAAUUAUCAUUAUAUAAUUCAAAAAAUAAAAGUGGUAUUAGUUUAUUUAAUUAAUAUGGAAUAAUAGGAUUAUUGAUUAUGUUUAUCAAUCAAAUAAUAUGUUUUAUAAAAUAAUAAAAUUAAAAAUUAAAAAGAAAAUAAAAUAUUAGUAAAAUGAGAAUGGAAAAUAAUAAUAAUAAAAUAAUUAUAUAUCUAUGUAUUUGCAUAAAAUAUUAUUUUAAAAAUAUUAAAGUCUAAAAAAUAGAAAUACAACAUUAUCUGACAUUAUGAAUUUAUUCUAUAUAUUUUUUUAAAAUUAAUGUUAGCCUUAAAUCAUUGAAAAAAUUGUUGUAAAAAUAAAAAUAUAAAUAAAAGUAGAAGUAAAACUAAAAUGUUAUUUGAUAUAUUUAAAUGAAUAUUUAAAUGUAUAGAAUAUAAAAUAAAAAAGUAAUGGUGUAUAAUAUAAAAUAGUAACCGUGCGUAUUAAAUGUAUAUAAUAUGUAAAUUUAUAUUUAAAAUGUUAAAUAAUAGCCAUAUUGUGGAUCCCGCAUUUCGGCUCAUGCGAUUUCCACUCGAUGACAAGUUCGAUUUUUAUUCGAAAAUGAUUUUAUUUAUUAAAAAAAAAUAUGACUUGAAGUCGCUACUUAUUUUUGUUUUAUUUUUAAAAGGGUAAACAAAAUAAGAAAGAAAACCCUAAGCGUGACUCCUUAUUUUGGAAAAUGUGGUCUGUGAAAAACCGGAUCAGGCUCGGGGGUCAGGUUACUUAUUGGGAAGGUACGGUAAAGACCGUAGCACCCCUCUAAGUCCCUAAAGUCGGGUCUCUACUAAUAAAAUGAAGCUGACGUGGCAAUCAAUAGGAAAAUCAAUGGAUACUCAAAUUAAUCAUGCACAUAUGGGAAUCAAAAGCAUGCAUAGAGAAUGAACAGAACGGGAGUGGAUGCGUACUUGGAACAUGAACGAGCGAUACGUUAUCAUAAAAAUAGAGUCGGUGUACAAUAAAGAAUACAAAACAUGUCACAUGCAUUACCAAACAAUGAUUAAGCUGUUCGAGGGAGGAUUGAAAUUUAUUCGAGGAUUGGAGUCUUAGAGAUUAUUUAAAAAUCGAAUUUUUAGGAAUUAAAUAUAAGAAUGAGAAUUUUAGAAAUUAAAUUAGAAAUAAAUUGGGACUUCGAGAUUUAUUCGAGAAUUGGAGAUUUGCAAAAUAAAUUUAAGGACUGGAAUUUCUAAAAUUAAAUUUGAAAGAAAUUGGAACUUUGGAAAUUAUUUGGGAGUUUGGGAUUUUUAAGAAUUAUUUGAGAAUGAAUGAAAAUUCGAUUUGAAAGAAAUUAGAGUUUCAAAAUUUACUUGAAAGUGAAAUUUUAGAAAUUAAAUUCGGAAUUAUGGAAUUUUUGGAAAAUUAAGUCUUAAAAAUUUGAAUCUUGGAAAGUUAAAUUUAAAAUUAGAAUUUGAAAAUUAUUCCGAGAAUUGAAUUUUGAAGAAUUAAAUCUAAAAAUUGGAGCUUUGGAAAAUUAAAUUAAGAAUUUGAGUUUUGAAAAUCAACUUUAGAAAUUGAGGAUUCGAAAAAACAUUCAAAAGUGGAGACCUUGAAAAUUAGAUUUAAGAAAAGAAUUUUGAGAAAUUAAACUUUGGGAAUAAAGAUUUUGAAAGUUAAAUUCGAAAAUUAAAAAAAAAAAAUGGAAAGUUAAACCUUGAUAUCAAAGAGGAAGAAUUUGAAUAAAUGAAUAAAUAAACAAAUAUAUAUAUAUAUAUAUAUAUAUAUAUAUAAAAGAAUAAAAUGGAGGUGGUCGUUGGGGGUGCGGGCCAAGGGUGGCCCCGUGAAGUGACAUGAUCACCUCAUGAUUACCAUCUCCCUAAACUUUAAGCUCCGCCAUACCAAAUAACCGCAAUCAGUCCAACGGUCUCUGAUGAUCGAGAGUUGUUUCAUCAAGAGAGGGUAUUUCUCCAUUGAUUUUAGGAACAUGAGGAAUAGAGACCAUCUGAUUUAAUAUUUUGCCUACUUCACCAUCGAGUGCAUUCUCAUCUGUCAGAUCUAGAGAAUAUGACCAACCCUCCCCAUUGUGUGACUUUUCGUCAGGACUAGAACAUGAACUAGAAAGUCCCAUACCAUCUAUAUCUUUCUGGCCGCUCUCAUGCCUAAAUCCAUAAUUUUCCAUAGAUUGAUCGGGCCAUUCUUUUGGAAGAAUAGAUACUUGCAAAUCCUCUACCACUUCAUGUGAAAAUCUAGCUGUUUCGUCAAUAGCAAGUUGUGAUAGUUCUUCUUAAAGAGCAUGUUCGAUAAUCUCACCAUUCUCCGCAUUGCCACAUUCAUUAUCAUAACGAUCUUCCUUUAAAUGUUAUCCAUCAUAAUAACUUACAUCAUUUUGCACAAUGGUGCCACCAUACCCGCACUUAGAAAACGGAUCAUCAUCAGAAGCCGGAGACCCCACCGAACAACAAUAGGAUCUUGCCCACAUGCGAUCAUUUGCAAUGAUAUCAAUGUCGGCUGCAUUGAUCUUGACAGCAGCUAAUUCUUUCUCCUUCAUUCUCAUGGCAUUCUCGUUAGCAUCGGUCGACAUAAUGACAAUAAGCAGUUUUUGAGGUUCUUCUUGAAUUUUAUCAAGGAGAUAUCGUCCAUCCAUGCAGCUGCCCCAUUAUUUUACUUUGACCGGGACCUGAAAAACUUGCCUCACUAUUCAUUCCCGCAUNNNNNNNNNNNNNNNNNNNNNNNNNNNNNNNNNNNNNNNNNNNNNNNNNNNNNNNNNNNNNNNNNNNNNNNNNNNNNNNNNNNNNNNNNNNNNNNNNNNNCAAGCAUGACAAUAUUAAGAUCCAACUCUAGGUAUUGAUUCAAAAGUAGUGGCUUAGGAGGCAUCGAUAUUAUUUUGAGUGUAUGGAACGUUCUCAAAAGUGAACUAUGCCCACAGAUCGGAGUAACAAAACCUGUAUUAGGCAAUGCUGUCAGCUUGCAGGGAGUCUUUCAUGACUGCUUAAACUCGAAUUCGGGCAUCUUAAAGUACCACAACAUGGCCAUAGUUGAAACUCCCAAACCCGAAGAGAGUUAGUUGAGGUUCCAGAUAAAGAAAAUUGGUGCGCUUGAGCUCAUCAGGUGCAGAAGGUAUGACCUUAACCGAUUCGGUGGGUUUGGGGUUGUAAGGUUUAGUGGUUGGAAUGUUUUGGUAAGAAGAAUAGGAUGAGAGACUAGUUGAGCUAAGGGAUCAAAGUUGAGUUGUAUCUGAUGGGUGAUCCAGAUGACGGUUUUCUUCUUGUUAAGUGCAACAGAUGAAAAGUUGGAUGGGGUAUGAGGAGUAUUUGGCUUUUGGUUUAUGCUCGGUAUAGAACAAAUGUCAUGGGAAUGCGUUGAAAGGAUGCUAGGGAAUCGUACGUACGUGUACACAGCAUCUGCGUGGGAGGCUAGAGAAAUAAUGGGUGGGAAAAGAAAACGGGUCAAACGUAAGGGGUGAUUUGAAGAUAGUGAGAGAAUGAAAUAAGUGUGUAUGCUUGUGGUGGUUAUCGAAAAUGUGAGGGGUGGGGAGUGUGAUAGCUUCAAUGGGUAUGAGAAUAGGGAUAAGCCGACAGGGAGCACGAUAGAGGGUGGAUUUUGCAAAAGGUCUUGUGGGCCAUGCAAAGGUGGAAGAGAUGGGGUACAUGGUAGGUAUUGAAAAAUGGUGUGUGGUGUAGAGAGAUGAAACGGGAGGUGAGCAGUGAGUGGGAUGUAGGGGUAAAAGGGUGGCCAUGCACACAUGUGGAGUAAACCCAUCAAUAUUGCACUUCCCAAUUCAUCCCGUGGCCGAUGAAUACAACAUCCCGGUGCUACUUCUCAUACCCAUUUUGCAUUUUCUGAAUGUCAACACCUGAAUAUAGCUUUGAAUGCUGAAAAGGUGGCGACAAACACCCGAUCAUGAUAGGAUGAUGGCUCUGAAUGUCAAGCUGGGAAGGAAUGGUGGCUUUGAAGGCCCAAACCGAGAAGAUAUGGUGGCUUUGAAUGUCAAACUGCGGAGAAUGAUGGCUCUGAACGCCCGAAUGUGAGAACGACGGCUCCUUGAACGCCUGAAACUGUGAAGAGGUAGUGGCUCUGAACGUUGAACUAAAAAGAGAUGAUGGCUCUGAAUGUCGAAACUGAAGAUGCAAUGAUGAUGGCUCUGAACGCCGAAACUGAAAAUGUGACUCUUAACAUCAAAUUGAAAAUGCGAUGAUGGCUCUGAACGCCGAAACUGAGAAGCGACGAUGAUGGCUCUGAACGCCAAAACCAAAAAUGCGAUGAUGAUGGCUUAGAGUGCCGAAACUAAAAAUGCGACUCUGAACGUCAAGUUGAAAAUGUGAUGAUGAUGACUCUGAACACCAAAACUAAGAGGCGAUAAUGAUGGAUCUGAAUGCCGAAACCAAAAAUGCGAUGAUGAUGGCUCUGAACGCCGAAACUGAAAAUGCGACUCUGAACGUCAAGCUGAAAAUGUGAUGAUGAUGGCUCUGAACGCCGAAACUGAGAAGCGAUAAUGAUGGCUCCGAACGCUGAAAGAAAAAAUGAGAUGAUGAUGGCUCUGAACGCUGAAACUGAGAAGCGGUGAUGAUGGCUCUGAAUGCCAAAACGGAAAAUGAUAUAAUGACCCUGAAUGCCGAACUAUGAACAUGGCUUUGAAUGCCAAACUGCGAAUAAAUGGUGGCUUUGAACGCCAAACUAAAAAUAAUAGCCAUGAAUGCUAAGCAAAAACAACGGCUGUGAACGCCAAUGAUAACUAUGAAUGUCAAGCUGAGAAANNNNNNNNNNNNNNNNNNNNNNNNNNNNNNNNNNNNNNNNNNNNNNNNNNNNNNNNNNNNNNNNNNNNNNNNNNNNNNNNNNNNNNNNNNNNNNNNNNNNCAAAAACAACUGGCUGUGAACGCCAAUGAUAACUAUGAAUGUCAAGCUGAGAAAGACAACUUUAAACGUCGUAAUUGAGAGGACAUGGUGGCUUUGAACACCAGGCUGAAAAUGGAUGACUUUGAACAUCAUAACCGAUAAUGGAUGGUGGCUCUAAAUGCCAAACUGUAAGGAAAUGAUUAGGGGGGGGGGGGGGGGGGNNNNNNNNNNNNNNNNNNNNNNNNNNNNNNNNNNNNNNNNNNNNNNNNNNNNNNNNNNNNNNNNNNNNNNNNNNNNNNNNNNNNNNNNNNNNNNNNNNNNAGUCUCAUGACCCGCUCGAUGAAAUCACGAGGUUUGUCGGAGUGUCGCAAUAAGCCGAACUCCUCUAACUCAUAAUGCUCUGCCGAAAGAAUCUAUCGUCACCCCGAACGGAUAAUCCGAUAGUCUUAGGGAGUAGUCUGGUAAGAGACAUACCACGAUCUUGACAUAACAAUCUACUGAAUAGUCUUGGCUAGUGAGGCUAUCAAAACCCGAAUAUCGUGCUCCACUGAAAGCUCAUCUCGACGAAAAGCACAGGAAUAGUGACCAGUGAAGCAAAUGCAAUAUCUCUUGACUGAGUAAUGAAAACUAUAAUAGAUCUGUGAGAGAAUGAUCAUCUCCAUAGCUAAAGGAGGGAAAUAUGCCCCAGUAUGGCAUCAGAUAUAUCCAAUCUGUCCUAAUAACUCAAGAAUAACUCUAUGGGGACAUACAAAGGAUCUAACAUGUACUCCACUGAAAUAGUGACGCAGGCAUCCACGCGCCUGAGAUAACUCCUUCUAAGAAUCACGACUAUAUCAGAAAACGUGAAUCUGGCUGAAAGACUCAAGAGAGGCUCCAUGGAGUAUCAGGACACAAUGAAAUCGAAUCAUCAACCCGAUGUGUAUCUCAAAAUCGAGGGUGAUCAUGCGAAUCAGUGGGGGAUGUACAAAUCUCGACUGAAAUGGGGAAUACACCCCAGUGUGGCAUCAUAAAUGUGACAAGUCGGAAAGUCAGAUGAGCUCAAAUCAUCCAUCAUCGAAUUCGUGAUCCAAGUCAUCCAUGUCUAUAACUGAAUCAGACCCACAGAUCAAAGGGGCGUCUCCCAGAAGGAAAGCAUGAUGACAUCUAAGUGUCGAGAAGUGCAGGCCUAACUGGGCAAUUCCCAAGAGGCUCCAUUGAGGAAUCAUCAUAAAGAUACCGAAUAGAUCAUCGUCUCGAUGUACGUCUUGCAAAUGGGGAUAAGCGCGUAACUCCACCAAGAUCUAUAAAUCUCAUCCUGAAUGGUAAUAUGCCCCAGUAUGGCAUCAAACAUAUGAUAGGUCGGAGACCGGGCAACAUGAAAUCAUCUAUCAUCGAACAUGCGACAUCUGUGAAGAUCCAUAAAUCUCAUCUAAAAUGGAAAAUAUGCCCUCGUAUGGCAUCAGGUGCAUAAUAGGUCAAAAGAACAAGUGACAUGAAACCAUCUCUCAUCAAACAUGUGACCUCUGUGAAGAUCCGUAAAUCUCAUCUGAAACGGAAAUAUGCCCCAGUAUGGCAUCGGAUGUGUGACAGGUCAGAAGAACAAGUGACAUGAAACCAUCUCUCAUCAAACAUGUAAUCCUGGUCAUCCGAAUCCAUAACUGAAUCAUGCCCACAGAUCUAAGAUGUACCUCCCGGAUGGAGAAGCAUGAUGGCAUCUAAGUGCCGAGAAGUGCGGGCCUAGCUAGAUGGCUCUCGGCAGGCUCCACUGAGGAAUCAUGAUAAGGUAACGAUCAUGUCCACGUCUUAGUGAGCAUCUAGUAAGUGAUGAUGAUCGUGCAAGUCCAUGAGGAUCCAUAAACCUCUAAAUGAAAUGGGAUAUGCCCUAGUGUGGCAUCAGAGGUACGAUAGGUCAAAAAUCGGGUGACACCAAAUCAUCCAUCGUCAAACACAUAAUCCCGGUAAUUCGAACACAACUGAAUCGGACCUACACAUCAAAGAGGCGACUCCUAGAAGAAGGAAGCACGACGAUAUCUAAAUAUCAACCAGAUCUCAAACACUCGUCCAAGUAGAGGCUGUCAAAGAUGACAUCUGAUCCCAUGACCUCAGGGUGGUCUUAAGACAUGGGACGUAACGUAGGCCAAGGUGAUAAGGUGAUAGAAAUGAAGGAAAACUAGACUCAAAUACCCAAUGAUCAAAAACCCACGCCCUCAUAUAUGAAAUGCAACAUGUAUAAUGAAUCUCGUGAGCCAUGGACCUAAGGAUGCCUAACAUGAAUAUGAUGUCGAUAAGGAGACAAAUAAAGCAAAAUGAACUGAUAGUGAUAUGUGUAAUGAUGAUGUGAAGAGAGUAUCAAACCCGAGAUGGGUUGCUGUAAGAAAAGAAUAAGACGUGAAGUGAAAAUGAUGAAUCCAAAGCGAAAACGAGGAUGAUGAUGAAACAAAUAACACAAAGAGGAGUAGUGAUCAACUCAAAUCAGACAUGGAGUGAAGUCACAUCAACAAUGAACGUAAUGAUGGAAGGGACAAUGACCCAGAGCUCCUAAGAGAAGGUCACUCAUCUCGCUCUCAAAAUAUACAAUAAAAAUGAAUACAAAGCAUAGAGGGUCUCAGAAAGCUCACAUACGAACUCCCAUCAACAAACAUACUCAAUCAAGUCACCCUCGAACAUCAACAUACACACUCAAUGAUAGAAAAUAAUACACAUGCGUUUUGUUUUUUUUUUUUUUACAUAUAUACAAAUGUACACACCUUGAACAUGAACAAAAUAAGCCUAAAUAUGAUAUCAAUAAUGGAUAGACGCUAUCUCGAAAGCUAAGGUAACAAAAACCCUCUUUGACAAGAUAACCUUUUCAAACUAAGAAUCUCUGAACCAGUGUCCGUUGGAUAGAUAGUGGUAAUGAUAUGACUACCCUCCAUGUAAUGAACUGAGGAAGAUCACCACUCGGGGUGGAAAGAAUAUGAAGCAAAACAAGUAGUAGAUAGAAUAAAGAAGAAUAGAUGAAGAACACAACCAAUGAGAUACAAUGGAAUGCAGUGAUGCAAUGAUGAGAAGAGAUAAUGAGAAGAAUGUGCCCCUCGGUCCAAGGCUCAUGAAACUUCCAAACAAUGAAUGCAUACACCAAAAGGGCCCCUAUCCCGGUGUGAAAAUGUGAGCAAGGCGAUAAGAAAGAAAUGCUAUAAUGCUCAUGCGAGGCUCAAUGGGCUAGCAACAGACUAUAUAUCAAAAGGGAAUAACAAGGUAUAUGGCUAACUGAAAUGACGGCCACCAUCCUACGACCAUGGUGUCAAACAUAGUACCUCUUUAGCUGAUCCAUAUUGGUCGGCUUUGAGAAUCGGUUUCCAUCUAAAUCCAUCAACCAUGCAACAUCCUCUGGGGUCAACUCCCUGAUGAAGUAAGGUUCGCUCCAGUUGGGUCUGAACUUCUUUCUAGGAUCUCUGAUCAAUCCCCUGAUGAUCUUCAGAACCAAGUCACCUAUCCGUAGUGGUCAGAGCUUGACCUGCUUUUUGAAAGUGCGGGCCAUCUUCCUCUGAUAUGCACGAAUGUGGUCGGCUGCUCUCAAUCUCCUCUCAUCUUGGAGAUUGAGCUGAUCAAAUCGAGACUGAGCCCAAUCUGCCUCGAGCAUCUGUUGCUCUAAUGCUACCCUCAAUGAACCCAACUCUAUCUCGACUGGUAGCACUACCUCCAUAUUGUAUACCAAAGAGUAGGGUGUGGCUCCUGUAGAGGUGUGAAAAGAAGUCCGGUAAGCCCACAAUGCGAAAGGAAGCUUCUCAAACCAAUCCCGAGAAGUCUUGAUCAUCCUCCGCAAGAUCCUCUUAAUAUUCUUAUUCACGGUCUCUACUGCCCCGUUCGUCUGCGGCCUGUACGCAGACGACCUAUGGUGUCGGAUGCCAUAUUACCGCACUAAAGUGUCAACCUCUGCCCUGAAAUGUACCCUUCUAUCCGAAAUCAGCUCAUGAGGGACUCCACAGCAACAGAUAAUGUGUGACCUGAUGAAACUAGCCACUCCAGAUGAUGUCAAUCUCGCAUACGAAGCGGCCUCCACCCACUUGGUGAAGUAAUCGAUGGCGACCAGGAUGAACUCAUGACCACUGGAAGAUUUCGGCGAAAUCUUUCCGAUGAUGUCAAUACCCCAUACAGAAAAUGGUCAUGGUGAAGUCAGUGCAUGCAACUCCGAGGACGGCACGUGAAUGAGAUCUCCAUGUAUCUGACACUCGGGACAUCUCUGAACAAACUGGAAACAAUCUAUCUCCAUGGUCAACCAGAAAUAGCCAAUCCUCAUGAUCUUACGGGCCAACAUAUGUCCUCCCAUAUGUGGUCUGCAGACUCUUGCAUGAACCUCUCUUAUCACUCUAUUGGCAGAGGCUCGGUCCAAGUACAAUAAUAGCAUCUCGUCAGCCGAUCGUCUAUACAAUGUCUUGCCACAAAUCACCAAUCCGGUGGCUAACUGUCUCAAUGAUCUCCUAUCCUUGGCCAUGGCAGUCUCAAGAUACACGCCAAGUCUCAGAAAGUGAUAUAUGUCAUGGUACCAGGGCAAACCAUCAUCUAUCUCCGUAUCAUCAAUUAGACAACAGUACGCAAGAGCAGAUCUCGACUCGAUCAACAAUGGGCGAACGGUGACAUCAGUAGGAAUGUCAAUCAUGGAAGCUAGAGUAGCUAAGGCAUCAGCAAACUGGUUCUGCGCUCUAGGCAGAUGGGUAUAUAUCAAAUCAUCGAAUCUCCCAACCAGUAGCUUUAAAUAUGCGUGGUAAGGCCUAAGCUUCACAUUUCUAGUCUUCCAUUUGCCUUGAAUCUGUCUCAAUACUAAAUUGGAGUCACCAAACACCUCUAUCUGUCUAAUCCCGAGCUCUAGGGCCGUUUCUAAUCCCAAGAUACAAGCCUUAUAUUCAACAAUGUUGUUCGUGGCAGGAUGUCGAUCCCAGAAUGCCAAACGAACAGAUCUGGGAAUGUGAUCACCAUGAGGGGAUAUCAACAAGACGCCUAUCCCGUAUCCAGAAUGGUUGGCUGCACCAUCAAAGUACAUGCGCCAACCUGAUAAACUGGUCACAACAGCCACAUCCUCGUCCGGGAAGUCAUCAUCAAUGGCUCUGCCGUCGGAAACUGGUAAAGAAACUAGGUGAUCCACGACAAUGCUCCCUUUGAUGGACUUCUGAGUGACAUAAUGGAUGUCAAACUCGAUUGGAAGUACCAACCAUCUUAUGAGGCGACCAACUAAGGCGGGUUUGUCAAACAAAUAUCUCAGAGGAUCUAAAUGGGAUAUCAAGUGCACUAAAUACUCUAUCAUAUAAUGUCUCAGUUGGCGUGUGGCCCAAACCAAUGCCAAACAGUAACACUCAAUCAUGACAUAUCUUGUCUCAUAGUCUAGCAUCCUCUUACUCAUAUAAUAAAUAGCUCGGUCCUUGCCUGAAUCAUCAAGCUGAGCUAACAUACACCCCAAUGCUACGUCUGAAACUGAUAGGUAUAGGAGUAAGGGACGACCUGGUGUAGGAGGCGCCAAGACUGGAGGUGACAACAAGUACUCUCUGAUCCUCUCAAAUGCACGCUGACACUGAUCAUCCCAAAUAGUAGGUUGACUCUUCCUCAAGAGUCGAAAAAUGGGCUCACAGAUGUCUGUCAAUCUGGCAAGGAAUCUGCUGAUGUACUGAAGUCUACCUAGGAAGCCUCUGACCUCUCUCUCUAUCCUCGGUGCAGGCAUGUCAAGAAUAGCUUUGAUCUUAUCCGGAUCUACCUUUAUGCCUCUUUCAUUGACCAUAUAUCCAAGGAGUUUCCCAGAAGUCACUCCGAAAGUGCACUUCUUGGGAUUGAGUCUCAAUCUGAAUUGUCUAAUCCUCUCAAAGAACCUCUCCAGAGCUGUCAGGUGAUCUGGUCUAUCUUGGGAUUUCACUAUCAUGUUGCCUACAUAAACCUCGACAUCCCGAUGCAUCAUGUCAUGGAAGAGGGUGGUCACCGCUCUUUGAUAAGUGGCUCCUGCGUUCUUCAAUCCGAAUGACAUGACUCUAUAGCAAUAAGUACCCCACUCGGUAAUGAAAGACAUUUUCUCCAUGUCCUCUAAAGUCAUUAAGAUCUGAUUGCAUCCGGAAAAUCCGUCCAUAAAGGACAACAUCGAAUGACCUGCCGUACUGUCAAUUAGCAUGUCGAUGUGUGGAAGAGGAAAAUCAUCCUUAGGAUUGACCUUGCUGAGGUCUCGAAAAUCAACACAGACUUUCACCUUGCCGUCCUUUUUGGGAAUAAGGACGACAUUGGCCAACCACUCCGGGUACUCGACCAUUGAAAAAAAUCCUACACUAAGUUGCUUCUGAAUCUCCUUAUUUACCUGCAAGCUCCAACGAGGAUGCAAUCGUGUCAACUUCUGCUUAACCGGUCUGAUAUGGGGCAGAAGUGGCAAACGAUGCUGGAUGAUAGAUGGAUCAAGGCUUGGCAUAUCCUCAUAGGACCAUGCGAAAAUGUCCAAGUAUGCUAUGAGCAACUGGAUGAGGCUAUCCCUUUCAUCAACAGAUAAAUCUGAUCCGAUCCUUAACUCCCUAGGCUGAUCUGCUGUGCCGAAAUAAAAAAUCUCUAUGUCCCCUACAACAUGUGAAACUCUCUGAUCAAUGGGAUCCGAAUCGGAAAUAGAAGAUGAGUCAUCGUCUGAAUCAUGCUGUGCAAUCUCAUCAUCAAUGUCAAAAAUCUAUGAUGUGGGUGAGGAUGGUGCGGGUAAAGCAAUAACAUGAGAGACAGACAAAUACUAAAAAAUGCUCAAAUCCAUAGAUGAAGAGUCAGAAACAUCGUCAUGACGGGAGACAAAUCCCGAUAAGACAUUAAAGGAAAGAGGUGGGUCCACAAAGUUGGACGCUCUCUUAACUAAGCCAACAAGGCCAUCAAACAAGCCAUCAACAACUAUAACAUCCUCAGCAAUCUCCAGAACGGGGGCGACCUGGAUCUCCUCGACAAUCUCGAGGAUGGACACCCCGAAGAGAUCGAAUGGUGAAGCGAGCUCAAAUGGGGCUAUCUCCUUGAUUUGGCUCAAGCUCAUCGCGAUCAUCUCAUCAACAUACUCGUCAUGUGGCACGACUUUGUCUAAUAUGUUGCUGCUCUCGAAAAAUGUCCAGUAAUCAUCGAUCUCAUCCGAGAAGCAAAGCGUCAUAAGGCUCGUGCGAUCUGGGGAGGAAGGAGUGAUCAACGCAGAAGUUGAAGGGCCAGGGGCUCCGUCACUCAAUCGUAACUGUCGGACGAGGCGCUGAAGCUCGGCCUCCUGGGUGGUGCUAAGUCCUCCGAUGAUCCCAUCAGAUAGUGCAUGUGGCUCCGACGCCCUCACAAAGUAAUCUGUUAGGCUCAUGGUAUAUGGGUGAACAGGAUAAUAAAAUGGAAUAUGGGUCAGUCGAGCCCUCACCCUCUCCUUCGGCAAUCGCUCCAUAUUACGAUAAUCAGCCUCAGUGGGGAUGAACCUGAGUCCGAAUGCUACGUCGUGAUCAAGGAAGGUCAUGAACUCACUAGGCCCGUACUGACGCUGCCCUAACCCCAUGCCGGGAAGAUAAGACAUACCCCUCAUCAUGUCAAGCACUAGAUACUGUGCUGGUCGAAAGAUAUGGCUACAAAGUCUCGACAGAAAUCCUCUAUCUCCAAAGUCUGCACCUCGUCGAAGGUGAAUCCGAUCAAAAAAAGAUAGUCAUCAGUGUGACUAAUCUGAAGUACAGGCUUGGCAGAAAUGAACACAUCUCCUAUAGACUGCACCACAACGGCCUGGCCAUCAUGAAUAAACUUCACCUUCUAAUGAAGGGAAUAAGGAAUGGCCCCAACUCUAUGGAUCCAUGGUCGGCUCAGAAGUAGGUUAAAGGAUGUAGGAAUCCUCAAAACCUGAAACACGACAACAAAAGUGGUCGGACCAAUCAAUAGCUCAAUCUCCAAUGUACCCAUGACCUUCCUCUGAGUACUAUCAUAUGCGCGAAUGGUCUGAGUGGAGGGACCGAAGUCAGAUGGUGCGUAGCCGAGGGCAAUGGCAGUGGAAAGAGGACAGACGUUCAGGACCAAGCCAUUGUCCAGAAAGAUAGAUGGGACUCGGCGGCCUGAACAAUCGACAGAUAUAUAAAGUGGACUUGUGUGGUCCGAGCCCUCCGUGGCAAGUCAUCAUCGAAGAAUACAAUGCAUGUGGCUCUGCUGGCCGUCAUCAUAUGAAUCAAUCUCUUAGGAGAAGUGGUAGUAUCGACUCUGAUCUGGUUCAAGGCUCGAAUCAGAGCAUCACGGUGAGUGCUCAAGGAUGCCAACAGGCUCUAGAUGGAAAUACGAGCUUGGGUGCUCUGUAGCUGUCUCAAAAUCUCGUCAUCCUUUACUCUGACCUCCUCGAGAGCAGAUAUACCCUCAACUAACCUAGCUGCUACGGGAGGUGGCUGUCGCAACACUCUACCUCAUUGGAGAAUAUAAUGAACAUCUAGAGUCUGAGAAUCAUCAACACGCGGAGCCUGAACCUCCUCAACAUCCGGGAUCAAGAUGAAUGAAGUCUGGACGCUGUAAUGUGGAAAAAUCAAUGGCUCAACAAUGGUAGUCUGUACCGAUGCCGCCCUGGGAACUAAUUCGAAUGAAACGGGCAUCCAAGGCCCCAAAGUCGCUUUGUCCAUCUCAUAAAUACCAUUUGACACAAUAGGCUCUGGGUUUGAAUCAUCCGAACUAAGCAUAUGAACGUGAUCAUCAAGCUCAACGAAGUCCAAGAAAUGUAUGCCAUCGGCCGGUGGAGGAACGACAUGUGUAGUGUGGGCAGGUAAUGGGUUUGUGGUCACAUUCAGCUGACCCUGACCCAAGUGCACCAAACCUUGGUUGAUCAAAUCCUGAACGACAUGCCUCAAAGCAGUUCAUCGAUCGGUCUCACGUCCAGGCCCUUGAUGGUAUGCACAGUGCAAAUCCAUCCUGAACUGAGGUGGAAUAGGCUGAGGAGGUGGCCUAGGGGUGAGAGCAGUCAAUAACCCGGCCUCUGUAAGCUUCCGAAGAGCCUGGCUCAAUGGCAUGCCUAAUUGUGAGAACUACCUCUGCGUCCUCAAAGCAAAUGGAGCAGAAGCCUGCUGAGCUCUGGGUCGGGGAUAAGAAGUUAUGGGUCUCGUAGUGAACUGAGCAGCAUAGCACGAUUGUCCUAUGGCCUUGUAUGAGACAGGUGACCUCUCGAUGCCUUGGGUGGCAUAGUAAGGCAAAGCCAAAGUCUGUGGCAUAUAGGACUAAUCAUGAGUCGGACGAGGCGCCCGUGGCCUAUACUGCUGAAGUGGAUAUGAAGGAUGAGUCUCUAGAAGCUGUGGGACCGACUGAUGGCGCCUGAGAGGUCUUUGACUAGAAGAACCGAUAGCGCUCACAUCAACUGACCUCUGUCCUCCAAAGGGUUUCUUCCCCUUAACAUCACUAGGGGAAGAAUCAGUUCACAAUUAUCUCAAGAUGCCGUCCUCGACAUCGUACAAAGCCAAAACCAACGAACCAAAAUCUAUGAAGAGUACCCCAAUCACGUGUCUGGCAAUCCUGGGCUGUAGGCUCCUCAAAACCAUCUGUAUCUGAUCUCUCUCUAGAGGCCUGUCAAUGGUCUCGGCAAUCUUCCUACGCCAACGGGAGAUGAAGGAUGAAACUGACUCAUCUAUCCUCUACCUCAGAGCCUCGAGCUCUCUCCUUGAUACAUCCAUCAUAGUGUUAAACGAAAACUAUCAUAAGAACUCCUAGGCCAAGUCGUCCCAUGUCCGGCAUCGUGAAGACUCUAGGAAUGCGAACCAGCGCUGGGCUGCCCCACUUAGAGAUAGCGGGAACAAAGUGAUCAUCUAUGACUCAUCCAAUCCGUGUGCUCUCAUCACUGUGCUAUAGAGUCUGAGGUGGAUGCGAGGACAACCAAUGCCCGUAUACCUCUCAAUGUCCAGCAUCCUGAACUGAGCCGACAAACUGGCCACCAGCAUACCCUCAAGAUCAUCCCAAAUAGCUGAUCCAUCUGACACUCUCAUCUACCUCAUAUGCUGCUCGAUACGGUCCAUAUGUGCAUGAGCGUCAUUAGUGACUGUGGUCUGAACGAUUGCAGGUGGGGCAACCUCAGAAUGCCCAUGCAAUACAUAAGGUGAGGCCUGAGGCACCAUUGGAACAGGUGGUGGCAGUGGCUGUGGCAACGAAUCAUGAAGAGUCUCAUCAUGAACUACGAGUGGUCUGCUCUACUGGCUGCCAAUCUCCUGCCUGAGGCUAGCCAAAGCCUCUUGGAUAGAAGCCAUGACGGUCGUAAACUGAUCCACUGUAACAACCUAUUGAUCCAUACUCAAUCUCUCGGAAUACCGGACUAAUCUCCCCUCUACUCUAACCCAAGAAGACGUAUCCAGACUACGAACAAAGAUUUGAUCCUAAAAGCGCGAAGAAAUGAAUAAGGAUAUGGGACGAAGAAAGCACAGAAGAAAUGAUAAUCUGAAUGGAAACAAGCAAGACAUCUAAGUGAAGGUAGACUUUCUGACCAUACUCAAACUCAUACUAAUCUCUGUACACUUUCAAUUGAAGACUAAAAAAGGAGUAUCGGAAUCCAAACUGUGGCUACAGAGGCUUUGAAAGUUCUCAGAUGCACCCACAUGUAGGGAGUGAACCCUAAUCGAAUGAUCUACGGCUCAACCUACGAGGUCAAGGUGGCUCUAAAUGGAUAUGAGUGGGCUUUAAAAGAUCCCUUAAGCAGAGGCGAUCAUACUGAUUACUACUCAAAAAGUGCUAUUUGAUAGCUUAUAAUUAAUCCUUUUAAACACUUUUGAGUAGUAGUUUAGGCCUUUUAACUCAAUUGGCAUGUUAAGGACCCUUGAAAGGAAUUUUAAUCACUUUGUGUAAGUUUUGGUGUUUUUGUUAGUAAUUUGAUCAUCAAAGCAAGUCAAGACUGAGGAGAGCUAUGAGGAAUCUUGGGCAAAGCUUAGAAGUCAUUUGCCAAGAGUAAAUCCGGAUUGCAAGGAGAAAAAGUAAAGAGAAUCUGCCAAGAAGCAUAUUCUUGAUGACAGUCGUAUCAGCCACUUUUGGAGCCUCUUAUGAGGUCCAAUUGAUGCAUGCUAUAUACCAUUUCAAAGCUCAGGAAGUCAACAAUCCAAUGCUACAAACGGUGUAUAAUUCAGAGUUGAAACGAAGAAGUUGCAGCCAUUGCAAGCCAAUCACUCCGAGCUGAAGGAAGCAUUUUGCAAAGUGCUGCGAAAUCACCCUUUUGUUGCGAAGUGAUUCCGCAGCCUUUUUGUACAGUAGGGUGUAUUUCCUUCUGAAGUUGCCCGACAUAUACCGCGAGAGGGAAGUUGGGAACCUCAAGGUGGAAGCCAACUUCGCAGCCCUGCGAAGAUAGCAUGUUGUUGCGAAAUGAUUUCGCAGCCCUCUUGAGUGUCUGAGAAAUCUCGCAGACACCAUUUUCUCUUGCGAAAUGGUUCCUGGAGCCUCCCGAUAUUUGCUACCGACAUUGGGAGAUAUUUUACAUCAGAUUUUUGUUGUCUAAAUCCCAAAAUACUCCUUGUAAGCCACCAAUUACAAGAUUCCUUAGCUUUUAAGUUAGUAAAAAGAGAAAAUAUCUAUGUAAUAAUUAGUUUUAUAUUAUGUUCAUAUAUAUACCUCUCGGGAGCCUGUUCUCAGGGAGGAGAUCCUUUUGUAAAGUUUUGGGUAAGCAAGUAAAGUUUAUUUUUUUCUACUGCCUUACCUUCUCACUUUGUAUUUUUUAGUUAAUACUAAGUUAUGAACUCUCUGAGGAGUUUUCCCCAGAGAAUGAGUAACUAAACCUCUAAUUCCUUGGAGCUAAGGUUGCCGGGGAAGGUUCCAAGUGCAAGAAUGCAAAGCUUUGUGGUUUUAGCUAGUAAUGAAGAGGAAGUGAAAUCCUUUAGUGAUUUCUAUGUUUUUAGUUAACUUAAAACACCUUAGAGUCACCUGGGCCAACACUUGGUAAGGCAAGUGAUUUCCAACCAUGGAAAUGCACUAGUUUACCCCUUGCAAGCCUCUGGUAGGUGACUUCAGGGUAGGAUUUUCUAGAAUAGCCAACACUUGAUAAGCUUUUGGACUCCAAGGAGACAUCCAUUAGUUAUCUCUUGCGAGCUUUUGACGGGUAAUCCAAGGUUAAGGAUCACCUUGAAUGGUUAAGGCUUAGUGAGAGGCUUAAACCAUUGCAAGUUGCAUCAGUGAGAGAAUUAAAGUGAAAUCUAAUUGAAGGAUGAAUCUGUACAACACCAGCUAGAGAAUUGACUAUAUGUUGAAUCUCUAACGCGAGGAAAGGAACCAUCUGACCGGAGCUAGGUCUUUUGCAUAAGGAACCACCCCAGUGAACCUAACUCUCCAAGGAAUGCUUUUCUUCCUAAGUUAUUCCGAGUACUUGUUAUGUUAGUUAGUUUAAAUCUUUACCAAUCAAAGUUUGUGUUUUAUGUCUUAAGCUAACCUUGAAAUGAAACAAGACCAAUUCACUUGGAAUUGGUAUCAUUGAUAGCUUGCUAAUCCUUCCCAGUGAACGAUCCUAGAGCCGCUAUACUAUAGUAGCUUUUUCUUUGCUACCCUAGUAUAUGGUGUUAUAGGUUAUAAAUUUUGUUGAUUACUCCCUCAAUCAAGGAGCACCAGCUGGACACGAAUCAGCUGAGACACCAAUUGGGCACGAAUCACAUACCCUCCGACAGUAUGCAACCCUCUGUACGUCUCCGAAGAGACGGGGCGCUUCCAUGCAAGGUGGUCAUCACCUCCACACAUGCACUAUCUCGACAUCCCAAGGGGGUUUCCUAUGGUGAAAACCUCUCAAACUCGCAACGCUCAAUGGUCAACUAGAGUGCACAGUGAAUGGUGCGGGUGCAUCCAAAAACCCUAGGAAGCUAAAACAGAAAGAUGAAACACACUGGCCGCACAAAUAUCCAUGAGACCUAGCUCCGAGCUAUACGAGUCUUCAAUGAUCGGACUCCAAUCGACAUCAAAGUGUCGCUCUCCUCCAGAAUGCUCCCAUACAUUGAUAUAGCCUGUCGCUAAACCCUACUCCUAAUCUCUGGCUCGGUCAGAGAAUAAGCACACAGAGGGCCUCACACUUGCAAUAGUGAGGACCAGAAUGAAGGGAAUGACCGAGACCAAGAGAUUUGGAGGUAGGGGGAUAGAUGUGCGGCCCACAUAGACAGGCGACAUGCAAUCAAGCAGAGGAAGGGUAGUCAUGCGACAUGCAGUUAAGCAGUAGACAGAAUACAUCACUUAUGCACACACACAAACUAUGACGAUCAGGAUGAAUAGCGACACGAACAUCAUGCUCAAAGACAAUCAAGAUAGUAUACAAGCCAAAGAAAACAACAUGGCAAGUCAAGCGAUGUGCAAUAGUGAGUCUAUAUAUGUGAAGUAAGUAGAACAAUCAGGAAGAAUCAGAAUCGCUAUACCAAGCAAAACAAGAUGAGCAGUCUAUGAUAAUCAGCAUGUUAAUGUACUAAACUAAUAUAGCAAUGAAGCACAGAAAAAGUGACAUCCGAAACCCCAAUCAAGAUAAUUGAUAUAUCAAUGUCCCAAUACAAUAUCCAAGCAUGCAUAAAAAAACUCUCAAUGUGCAAUCAAGAGACAAGUACUCAUUGAUUGACUCAUCAAAUACCACAUUUGCUUCAUCCUAAGUUCAAGCUUGACCCUCUAAAUGAUCCCCAACGGAGUCGCCAUUUUGUGGACCCUGUAUUUCGGCUCAUGCGAUUUCCACUCAAUGGCGAGCUCGAUUUUUAUUUGAAAAUGAUUUUAUUUAUUAAAAAAAAAAUAUGACUUGGAGUCACCACUUAUUUUUGUUUUAUUUUUAAAAGGGUAAACAAAAUAAGAAAGAAAACCCUAAGUGUGACUCCUUAUUUUGGAAAAUAUGAUAUGUGAAAAACCGGAUCGGGCUCGGGGGUCAGGCUACUUAUCGAGAAGGUACAGUAAAAACCAUAGCACCCCUCUAAGUCCCUAAAGUUGGGUCUCUACUAACAAAAUGAAGUUGAUGUGGUGAUCAAUAGGAAAAUCAAUGGAUACUCAAAUCGACCAUGCACAUAUGGGAUCAAAACAUGCAUAAAGAAUGACCAGAAUGGGAGUUGAUGCGUACCUGGGCCACGAACGAGCAAUGCGCUAUCAUAAAAAUGGGGUCGGUGUACAAUAAAGAGCACAAAACAUAUCACACGCGUCACCAAAUAGAACUUAAAAUUGUUCAAGGGAAAACUAGAUUUUUUAAAUUUUAUUUGAAAAUUGGAGUCUUAGAGAUUAUUUGAAAAUUGGAGUUUUAGAGAUUAUUUGAAAAUUGGAUUUUUAGAAAUUAAAUAUAAGAAUGAGAAUUUUAGAAAUUAAAUUUGAAAAAAAUUGGAAUUUUGAAAAUUAUUUGAGAGGUUGGGGGUUUUUUUUUUUAAAAAAAAAUUAAAUUACGGAAAUUGGGACUUUAGAAAUAAAAUUUUGAAAGAAAUUAGAAUCGAAAAUUGUUUGAGAAGCAGAAACUAUGAAAAUUGAAUAAAAAAAUUGGAAAUCUUGAAAAUCAUUUUAAAGCAUAAUUUUUAGAAAUAAAUGAAUAAAAUGAUAAUAAUAAAUAAGUAACGGAAUAAAUGCGAGAAUUGGAACAUUGGAAACUGAAAAAAAUUAAGUUCGGAAAUUGAAAAAUUGGAAUUUCAAAUAACUAAAUUUGGAAAUCGAAAUUUUAAAGAAUUAUUUAAAGACGGAAUUUCAAAUAAAUGAAUAAGUGAUUAAAUAAAUUAAUGAAAUAAUAAUAAUGACGAAAUAAUAAAGAUUAGGUAAAUAAUUGCGAAAAAUAGAAUUUUAGAGAUUGAAGAUUGAAUUUAGAGAUUGAAAAUUUGAGAAAUUAUUUAGAGAUGAGAUUUUAAAUAUAUGAAUAAGUGAAUAAAUAAAUGAACAUGAUAAUAAUAAUAACGAAAAUAAUCAUUUAACAACUGAAUGUGAAUAGUGAAAUUUUUUAGAUUGGAAAUUAAAUUUGAAAAACGGAAUAUUGAAAAAUUGAACUUUAAUUAUUAGAAUUUCUAAAAUAAAUGAAUGGAAUAAUAAUAAUAAUAAUGAAAAUAAUAUUUAAAUGAAUGAAAGUGAAUAGUGGAAUUUUUUAGAUUGAAAAUUAAAUUUGAACGUCAGAUUUUUCAAGAAUUGGACUUUAGUGAUUGAAAUUUUUAAAAGAAAUAAAUAAAUAAAUAUGGAAUAACAAUAAUAAUUAACAAAAAUAAUAUUUAAACGGAUGAAAGUGAAUAGUGAAAUUUUUUAGAUUGAAAAUUAAAUUUGAAAGUUAGAUUUUUGAAGAAUUGAACUUUAAUGAUUGAAAUUUUUUAAAGAAAGAAAGAAAUAAAUAUGGAAUAAUAAUAAUAAUAAUGAAAAUAAUAUUUAAACGAAUGAACGUGAAUAGUGGAAUUUUUUAGAUUGAAAAUUAAAUUCGGAAGUCAGAUUUUUGAAGAAUUGAACUUUAAUGAUUUGAAUUUUUAAAAGAAAUAAAUAAAUAAAUAUGGAAUAAUAAUAAUAAUAACAAAAGUGAUGUUUAAACGAAUGAACGUGAAUAGUGGAAUUUUUUUAGAUUGAAAAUUAAAUUCGGAAGUCAGAUUUUUGAAAAAUUGAACUUUAAUGAUUGGAAUUUUUUUAAAGAAAUAAAUAAAUAAAUAUAGAAUAAUAAUAAUAAUUAACAAAAAUAAUAUUUAAAUGAAUGAAAGUGAAUAGUGGAAUUUUUUAGAUUGAAAAUUAAAUUUGAAAGUCAGAUUCUUGAAGAAUUGAACUUUAAUGAUUAGAAUUUUUUUAAAGAAAUAAGUAAAUAAAUAUGGAAUAAUAAUAAUGAUUAACAAAAACAAUGUUUAAAUGAAUGAACGUGAAUAGUGAAAUUUUUUUAGAUUGAAAAUUAAAUUCGAAAGUCAAAUUUUUGAAGAAUUGAACUUUAAUGAUUGGAAUUUUUUAAAGAAAUAAAUAAAUAAAUAUGGAAUAAUAAUAAUAAUUAACAAAAAUAAUAUUUAAAUGAAUGAAAGUGAAUAGUGGAAUUUUUGAGAUUGAAAAUUAAAUUUGAAAGUUAGAUUUUUAAAGAAUUGAACUUUAAUGAUUGGAAUUUUUUAAAUAAAUAAAUAAAUAAAUAAAUAAAUAUGGAAUAAUAAUAAUAAUUAACAAAAAUAAUAUUUAAAUGAAUGAAAGUGAAUAGUGAAAUUUUUGAGAUUGAAAAUUAAACUUGGACCUUGGAGAACUAGACCUAAAAUUAGAACCUUAGAAAAUUAUUUCAUGAAUGGAAACUUGGAAAACCGAUUUUUUUUUUUGUUUUUUUAAAAAGAAAACAAAGUUUAGGUAAAUUGAAUUUUCGAGAAUCAAAAUUUUAUAAAUCGAAUUUAAAAUUAAAUUUUAGAAAAUUAUUUCGAAAAUGAUAUUUUGUAUAAUUAAAUUUAAAAUCUUCAUAAAAAUCAUAUUUGUAUCAUUAGAAAAAGGACUUAAGAGGGCCAAAUACUUGGCCCAUUAGGGCCUACACUAAUCUGGCCUAAACUUAGAGGAUGGGGCUUAAGGCCCACCUGAACCAAUCUAGGCCCACAACUUAAAGCUUUGGGAGCCCACCAACAAAAUGGCUACCAUGAAGAUCAAAGGGUGCCACCUCCUCAUUUUUUAAAAGCUAGAGGGAUGGCUAAUGGGUAGCAGGUUAGCGGUGAAGAAUAGGGCCUGCAUGUCGAUGAUGGCUGUGAUGAAAUAGAGGAAUGGAGUGGGAGUUGCUGCCCAUGAACUACCGCGCGGGCAAGCGGACAAGAGCAUGGGUGCGGUGGAGGGCUUCGUCGUCUUCACCGCCAAGCGCCACUACCUUACCGCCACAAGUGCCGGAGGAGGUGAAACAGAAAGCGGAGAAGGGGACAACUGCUCCCCCGCCGACGCUAUCGUCCAUUUUAAUGACGACUCUUGGAGGCGAACCCAGCGGCACCUCUCUCGGCCAUUUUCACGAACCCUUCACGCUCUGCUCGGAGCUUCUUGAUGCUGCCUUUGAUGCGACUUUGGAGCUACGUCGGCGUGGCUGCGGGAGUGAGGAAGACUGCCACCUUAGGAUCUUUUGGAUCGAGCGGCCCAACCUUGGCUGUUAGGCGGUAGUUGUGUGGCUGUCCAUGAAGGAUGGGAACGUGGCAAUGGAGGAAAAUGGGUACAUAAAAAAAAAGGUGGGUAUGAAAGGUAGUGAAGGCAUGAAGGGUGUUUAACUUUGGAUUUGGGUCCAUGCGCGUGGAUAAAGUUGAUGGUGAGCAUAUGUUGGAGGGGGUUCUCGGUAGACAAGAGUCUAAGAUUUUCAUGGAAGUUUCAAAUGGAUCCUCAGGAACAGAGCAGGUUCCAAAGUCAUGCUAAAUUCAUUUUCUUGCUAUACCCGGUGGGUGAGGCGAACAACGAGCAUCCAUGCUAUUAAAUGAAUAUCAAAAUAAAUAAAAAAAUUUGAUACCUUACUCAUUUAUAAGAGAAAACGAAGAAGCGAAAAAGAAGAACAAAACAGAGCAAGUGAAGCGAGCUUAGGCUCAACAAGGUCCAAUCCUCAACAAGUGACGUUCAAGACCAGCAAUGGCAAAUGAGGAAGAAUAAAAAAUAAAAAUGAAAUGAAAUAAAAGAAAUCUGAAAGCAAAGGCAUCCAAUAUGGCCAUACCUGAGUUUCCCUAGUGAAGCUUUGUCUCGCUUCCUUUGACUGGUUUUUUUCUCCAGCUGCUUUCCCCCCUUCUGAAAAGUCCUUCGUUCGAGCUCACCCUUUUUUCUCUCUCCUCUCGUCUGGCUUCUCCUCCAAGCUAUUACCCACUCCCUUGUUCACCGAUCAGCAAGCAUGUCAUCUUCAACCACCACCAUGGCUAGCAAUGCUCCUUACCACCCAUCUAUGCAAUUGGUUCUCGGCAUAAGGAAGGGUUCCCCCACUCGUCUAAGGUGCUGCCCGCUCCUCCAGGUGGUGAGAAAGCAUCCUCCUAAUGCUAUAAAAUCCCUCAAAAAAACUAAUAGCCUUUAGUUUUUAAAAAGGGGUCUACACAUUUAUAAUUACUAAAUAAAUUAUUUUAAUAUACAAAUUAUUACUCUUUCUUUUUAAAUUGAUUAAUACUAAAAAAAAAUAUAUCUCUUAAUGUUGAAAUUUUUAUUGAAAUUUAAUUUUUUUUUUUAUUUUAUUCCUUUUACAAUGAAAUUUUAAAUUAAAUAUUAAUAUUUUUAAUUUUAAAAUUUAUAUAAUAAAAUUAAUUUAAAAAUUAAAAUAAAAUAUUUAGUAGUAUUUGGGCUUUGUAGUAUUGAAACUUUGGUAUAAGAAAUUUGAAAAUACUUCUAUAAUUAUUAAAAAAAAUUAGUAGAAUAAGAUAGUCCUUUCAACAUAAUUGAGACAUUAAAUUUUAAGCACUCUAAAAUUAUAAUCUUUACAAAUAAUAAAGAAGUUUUUGCAUCGAGACCAACUGAAUAUGAUUUGUAUGUUCUUAAUUUUCAUUUUCUUAUCUUUUAUCUUCCUAUACCUACAAGCCUAUUUAGAGAAAGACCUUUUAUUGAAAAAUGAGAGUUCAGAGUUAUUUCCCUUUGAAAAUAGAGUGGAUCGGAAGGUCUUUAUUAAAUAUAGGGUUUCUUCUAAAACGAGAUGAAGUAAAUUAGCAACUCUGAACAAUCUGAAGGAAAAGGAAUUUGAGUUAAGUUGAUGGGGCGUGCGACACUUUAUUAGGACUUUAAGAGAUAUUUUCUCUUUCACGCUAUCCUUUGAAAUUGAGUUGUGUCCGUUUUCAACUUAAUUUUUUGCUCUCUGUUUUUCUAAUGAAAAUAUAUCUUUUGUUGGGAGAAAAUAUUUUGUUGAAUAUAUAUAUUCAAAUGGAAGGUAAGCAAAAAAAAAUGAUAAAAAAUGGGUGUGAUGAAAUUUCAAAUUAUUGAUCAUCAUAUGUAUUUAACCUAAAUCUUAAAAAAGUGAAUGAAAUUAACUCGUUAAAUUUGUUCAAUACCACUUUUUAUAAAUAAUUUUUUAAUCAUGUAGCAUUCAAAACAAAAAACAUAUAAUUAACGAUAACAUGAAAUUAUUAAAAUAUUUAAAAUUAAAUAAUAUAAAGAAACAAUAAAAUGGUUCAUUUAUAUUGUUAGAACCAUUGUUUUAAAAACUGGUCACUCCGAUCGGUCGGAUGGUCCAUCAAUGCCCUUUCCAGUCUGAUCUAGGGAAAUGGACAGAGACAACUGACAAUCAGACCAUCGACCAUUCUUCAUGGACCAGUCAAGGUCAAAACCUAAAUGGCCUUGCCCAAAUCCAUUAAUUCCUAACCCGUUUGCUUGUUCCCAAGGUUAACUGACAUACCAUCGACCAUUCUUCAUGGACCGGUCAAGGUCAAAACCUAAAUGGGCUUUGCCCAAAUCCAUUCAUUCCCAACCUAUGUGCUUGUUCCCAAGGUUUGUAAGUAUAAAUACCCAUCUAUUGGCCCAAAUUCAUUAUUUCAAGCCCAUUUGCUUGUUCUCAAGUUCUACAGGUAUAAAUACCCUAUAAGUGGUUUAUAGAUUUCCAAUGUGGGAUGAGUUUUGAUAAUAAUGAAAGGAGCUUUGCAUGGUGGGGAAUUGAACCUAGGACUUAUUUUUAACAAAAUGUUAGCACACCACUAUGUUACAAAGCUAUUUGAUUAAUAAUUUGAUAAAUAUCUAUAUAUCUGUUUUUUAAUUUCUAUCAUAUAAAACAUUUAAACAAAUAUAAAUAUUUAUAUCUACUAUUAUUUUUAUAAUAAUUAUACAUAUCCUAUUUAAUAAAAUUUAAUAUAUUAAUACAUUUAUAUUUAUAUUUAUCAUUUAAUUUGACAAAUUGAACAUAAAAAAUAAAAUAUUAUUAAAAUUUUUAAUAAAAUAUAUUUUAAUUUAUUUUAAUUUUAUUAAAAUAUAAAUUAUAUAUUUAUAAUGUCAUCGAUUUGAUCGCGGUUUGACCACUGGUUCAACUAGUGAACCAUGAACUGGUAACUUUUUCGGUUCAAUAUUCGAUCCAAUUUUGAAAACAUUAGUUAAAACUUUUUUAUUUAUAGAAAAUGGUAAUAUGCUUUAAAGUUGUAGGAUGUUAAAAGCCCAAAUACAUGCCUACAUAUUUUCUUAUUUAUCUCCUAGUAUUUUUACCAAGUGAUAGAUAUAUUGGUGGCCAAGCAUUAUCAUCAUCAUUAUUUAUCUCCUAACAUCUUUAUGAAGUGAUAGGUGUAGGAAGAGUGUAAAUAAUUUUUAUUUUUAUUUUAUUUUAUUCUAUUAGUUUUAUAUUUUUUGGGAAGAGUCCUAUUGGGAAUUAUUUUUAUUUUAUUUUAUUCUAUUAGUCUUAUAUUUUUGGGAAGAGUCCUAUUGGGAUUGUGCUAGUGGAGUCCCAUUCCUUUUAUAAGUAGAAUCCUCUUCCACUUUGAGUUAUCUUUUGAUUACAAGCAGAUUCCCAUUAGGAUUGUGUUAAUGACCUAUAAAAGCAGGUCACCUUUUGCUCUCUAUAUGCCAAUACCAAUUUUUCAAAGAAUUUUUCAGAGCGUUUUUCAACCAUCUAUUUGGAUGAAUUUUUUCAAAAACCCGAACUGUAUACAUCUCACUUACAGAAUGCACCCAAGGCGACAUCUAGGUGUUGAAUCCCGGAGAUAGACCAUUGGUACCCUAGUGUACCGAAUUUGUCUUCGAGUAGGAUGAAUCUAUUUCAAGGACAGUGUUUGUCAUGCCUCAUUCGAUAAGUUUUUCUUCUUAUUAAUUAUGUUCUUUGUUUGUGUCUUUUGGGCUAGUCAUUUGUUUCCAUACCCUUAAUCCAACAAUCUUGAAAUAUAUCCAAAUGUAAGCUUCUCUAGUUCACACCCAUCCUAACACCUCUAAAAUUGAUCCCUUCAAUGGGACAUUCUUUAAGAGAUGGCAGGAAAAGGUUUUCUCUACAAUUGAUGUAGUGAACUUAGGACACAUUUUGACUGACCGAAUACCAAAAGAUAGUUCUCAUUUGUUACCAACCUGGGAAAUUGGAAAUAAACAAGUUAGGCAUGCUAUUCUAAGUACCCUUUCUAAUGAACUUUUUGAUAUUUAUUGUCAAUUUAAAGUUGUAAAAGAAAUUUGGGAUGCAAUGAAUAAAAAAUAUAGUUUGGAAGAUACAGGAACUCAAAAAUAUGCCAUAGAGAAUUUUAAAAAUUUCCAAAUGACUGAGGAUAGAGAUGUAUCAUCUCAAAUCCAUGACUACCACUUGUUGAUUAAUGACUUAGCUAUUGAAGACAUUAAAUUACCCGAACCUUUUGUAGCUGGUUAUUUAGUAGAGACUUUUCCAGAGUCUUGGAAAGACUACAAAAAUAACAUGAAACAUAAAAGGAAACAAAUGUCCCUAGAGGAUGUCAUAAUCUAUAUUAAGAUUGAGGAACAAAACCGAAAUAGGGAUAAUGCUGAGAAAGUUAAGGACUUGUCUUCUAAGGCUAAUGUAGUAGAAGAAAAACCUAAACCCAAAAACAAUAGGUCCAGGAAACAAAACUCUAGGAACAAACCCAAUGCAUCAAACAAGAUCCAAAACCCAAUUAUUAAAAAGAAAAAGAAAAAGUAAGGAUCUUGUUUGACUCUAAUAAAAUAGUUUUAACCAAGAAUGAUGCAUUUGUGGGGAAGGGCUAUUGUAAUAAGGGUUUAUUUAUGUUGAAUGUUUAUGAUAUUAUCAAUAAUAAUGCAUCUUCUUCUUUUUCUGCUUACAUAGUUGAUUCUUGUGAUAUUUGGCAUGGUAGACUAGGACAUGUGAACUUUUCAUAUAUGAAGAAAAUGGUUGAAUUGAGUUUAAUCCCUAAAUUGUCCUUAGAAAACCAUGGAAAAUGUGAAUCUUGUGUAGAAUCUAAAACCACAAAGAAAUCUUGCAAAUCAGUUGAAAGAGAAUCAAAUGUACUAAGUUUAAUACACAGUGACUUAGGAGACCUAAAAAAUACAAUGACUAGAGGUGGUAAACGAUUCUACAUAACUUUCAUAGAUGACUACUCAAGGUAUACAAGGGUAUAUCUUUUGAGAAACAAAGAUGAAGCAAGAUAUGCUUUCAUCAAGUACAAAAAUGAAGUGGAAAAUCAACUAAGUAAGAAAAUUAAAAGACUUAGAACUGAUAGGGGAAGAUAGUAUGAGUCCAACCUCUUUAAUUCUUUUUGUGAAGAUCAUGAGAUCAUUCACAAAAAUACUCCUCCUUAUUCUCUUGAGUCUAAUGGAGUAGCAGAAAGGAAAAAUAAGACCUUAAAAGAAAUUAUGAAUGCAAUGUUGGUAAGUUCAGGAGCACCCUUGAACUUAGGGGGGAAGCUAUCCUAUCUGCAUGUCAUAUUCAAAAUAGAAUACCUUAUAAGAAAACUGGAAAAACUCCUUAUGAGUUGUGGAAGGGUUAUGCACCUAAUAUAGCAUACCUGAAAGUGUGGGGGUGUUUAGCUAAAGUUCUUUUCCCUGAACCUAAAAAAUGAAAACUAGGUCUUAAAACCUUUGAUGCAAUGUUCAUUAGCUAUGCUGAGAAUAGUGCGACAUAUAAGUUUCUUGUUACUAAGUCAGAAAACAGUCUUGUAGAUGUCAAUACUAUUAUGGAAACAAAGAAUGCAGAUUUCUUUGAAAACAUCUUUCCUAUGAAACUAAAUGGUGAACAACAAGUUUAGAAAACAAGUAGAGACAAGUCUAUUGAACCUUCUGAAUUUGAACCUAGAAGGAGUAAAAGUGAUAGGAAAGAAACAAACCUUGGAGAUGGUUUCUACACCUUCCUAAUAGAUGAGGACCUUAAUCCUACAAAGAAGCUAUAACUUUUCCUAAUGCGCCAUUUUGGAAAGAGGCCAUUAACAGUGAAAUCGAAUCAAUCAUGUAUAACCAUACGGGGAGUUAGUAGAUUUACCUCCUGGUACAAAGACUAUUGGUUGUAAGUGGAUCUUUAAAAGAAAGUUAAAAUAAGAUGGGUCCAUAGAGAAGUAUAAAGCUCAUUUAGUUGCCAAAGGCUUUAAACAAAGGAAAGAUGUAGAUUACUUUGACAACUUUGCCCUUGUGAAUACAAUAGCAUCAAGUAGAGUAUUGAUCACUCUAGCUUCCAUUCAUAAUUUGGUUAUACACCAAAUGGAUGUUAAGAUUGCAUUCUUGAAUGGGGAUUUGGAAGUGGAAAUUUAUAUGGAACAACUUGAGGGUCGUGUAGUUCCAGCGAAGGAGAAAAAGGUGUGUAAGUUGGUUAAAUCACUAUAUGGGUUAAAACAAGCUCCCAAACAGUGGCACAACAAGUUUGAUCAUGUGUUAGUAACUAAUGGAUAUUCCAUUAAUGAUGCUUAUAAGUGUAUCUACAGUAAGUAUGAGGAUAACACAUGUGUAGUCAUCUGCCUUUAUGUUGAUGACAUGCUGAUCUUUGGAACUAGCCUAGAGGUUGUGUGUGAGACCAAGAAAUUCCUAGGUCCUAAGUUUGAUAUGAAAGACCUAGGAGAGGCAGAGGUGAUUUUAGGAAUUAAAAUAACUAGAACACCUAAUGAGCUUAAACUUUCUCAAGAGCACUAUGUAGAAAAGAUCCUAAGGAAGUUUGAACGCUUUGAUUGUAAACUAGUGUCAACUCCUUAUGAUCCCAGCUCACUACUGAAGAAAAAUAAAGAACAUAGUGUUGCCCAAAUAGAGCAUGCUCAGAUCAUAGGGGACCUAAUGUACUUGAUGAACUGUACUAGACCUAACAUUGCUUAUGCAAUAGGUAGAUUGAGUCGAUACACCCAAAGUCCUAAUCAGGACCAUUGGACUAUUGUUCGUAGAGUCCUUAAGUAUUUGAGAGGCACCAUUAGUGAUUUAGUGGAUUUCCAAGUGUCCUUGAAGGAUUUAGUGAUGCAAAUUAGAUCUCGGAUUCAGAUGUGAUGAAAUCCACUAGUGGAUAUGUUUUCAUAUUUGGUGGAAGUAUAGUUUCUUGGAAGUUUACCAAGCAAACUUGCAUUACUCGGUAUACUAUGGAGGUUAAGUUAAUUGCCUUAGAAAAGACAAGUUUUGAGGCUGAGUGGCUUGAAAACCUCUUAGCAGAUAUCCCUUUAUGGACGAGACAAACCUCGCCUGUGUCUAUGCGUUGUGAUAGCCAAGCUACAAUUGCUAAGGCUAAGAGUAAAAUAUUUAAUGGGAAGAAUAGGCAUAUAUGGCUAAGGCACAAUAUUGUGCGGUAGCUUCUUGAAACGAAUUUGUGAGGUCAGAGUUGAAUUUGGUCGAUCCUUUGACCAAACCACUAAAUAAGAAACUAGUGGAAGAAACAUUGAGGGGGAUGGGGCUUAUGCCUAUUACAGAAGUUAAGAGUGGUGGUAACCCAACCUAUUAGAAUGGAAAUUCCAUGAAGUAGGUUCAUAUGGGUAAUAACAAAUCACUUGUUGACUUGAGGUGCUAUAUCAACUCUAAUUGUAUGAGGGUCUAUCCCUAUGGUGUAGAUAGAGCGUAUUUUGCAUUGAUUAAGGUUGAGUGUUUACUCUUAAUGAAUACCAUAUUCCUUAUGGAUGGUAUGUUUAAAUGCAUAACAUACUUGAUGGAUUCACCUAUAUGAGAGUGGAGCCGGGGCCGCUUCCUAUGAGAACUUAGGUAGUUUCUCUAGAACUCUCAUGAAUAUCCAGGUAGGGCGCAUGGCCUAUUUGUGCCAACCCAUUUUGUACAACUCGUAGUGUAAUUGAGAAAACCAAUGUGGAUAAAAGUUCAUUGAGUUACAUCAAGAAACACUGGUUCAUAGAAAUUUAUUUUCACCCUGUUUUGUGAUUCAAUACCUAUUUGUCUUAAGACUAGUUCAUAGCCUUUGGGUACCAGUACUAAUGCAUUGGAUUUUUUUUCCUCAAAAAAUAAAUAAAUAAAUAAAUAAUCACGUUUACACUUUGUGGGGGAUUGUAGGAAAAGUGUAAAUAAUUUUUAUUUUUAUUUUAUUUUAUUCUAUUAGUCUUAUAUUUUUGGGAAGAGUCCUAUUGGGAUUGUACUAGUGGAGUCCCAUUCCUUUUAUAAGUAGAAUCCCCUUCCACUCUGAGUCAUGCUCUGAUUACAAGUAGAUUCCCAUUGGGACUAUGUUAGUGGCCUAUAAAAGCAGGUCACCCCUCGCUCUCUAUAUACCAAUACCAAUUUUUUAGAGAAUUUUUUUAGAGAGUUUUUCAAAUAUUCUUUUCAUACAUCUAUCUAGACGAAUUUUUUCAAAAACCCGAGCUGUACACAUCUCGCUUACAAAGUGCACCCAAGGCAAGAGCUGGGUGUUGAAUCCUGGAGGUAGACCACUGGUACCUUAGUGCACCGAAUUUGUCUUCGAGGAGGGUGGAUCUAUUUCAAAGACAAUGUUUGCCACACCUCAACCGACAAGGCGGCACAACGUGCACAACCAUUUUUUGAUUUUUCUUUGGGAAUUUUGCUUUGUUUAGGAACUUUGCUAAAAUGGGCACUUGACCUUGAUGAACAUUUUUCCUAGAUGGACACUCGGCCUUGGUGGGCAUUUUACCUAGAUGGGUGCUUGGCCUUGAUGGACAUUUUGCCUGGAUAGGCACUUGUUCUUGAUAGGUAUUUGCUUAGAUGGGCAUGUCACCUUGUUGGGCACUUGGCCUUGAUAGACAUAUCAUCUAGAUGGGCAUUUUGCCUUGAUGGGCACUUGGCUUUUAUGAGCAUUUUGCCUAGAUGGGUAUUUUACCUUCUUUGAUCUUUCAUAGGUUGGAACUCUAUAGGUGGUGGGGUUGUGUUUUGGGUUGUAUUUUCCAGGCACACAUGUGUAGGGGUAGGGAAAUGCUGCAUUUCCUCCUGGUUUUAGCUCUAGAUGUGCUUAUUGCCAUGCACACAUGUAAGUAUUGUUCUGCUUCUUCUUCUUGUGUUUAAGGGUAAGUUGAGUUUUUUUUCGUACUCUUACAUUUUCUCUCCAUCUUUCUUUGUCUUUAUUUUGUUGUGCAGAUGAAGUGUGGCAUCAAGGAUUUUAGUAGGCGGAAAGGUGAGCUUCACUACCACGUUGCUGAAACUGACCAACUGAGGUAAGUCAGGUACUUUUUUUGCAGCUAAAGCUUUUGGUUGGGUGCUUUCUUGGCACUUGACGAUUUGACCGAGUGCUUCUUGGAACCUAAGGCUAUGGUCGGGUGCUGUUCGGCACCUAAGACUUUUUGGUUGAGUGCUUUUUUGGCACUUAAGGCUUUGUUGGGCUCUAUGCUUGGCUGGGUACUACUUAGGCACCCUAGGCUUUGUUGGGCACUAGGCCCAACUGGAUGCCACUUAGGCACCUUAGGCUUUAUUGGGCUUUAAGCCUGGUUAGGUGCUACUUGGGCACCGUAGGCUUUGUUGAGUGCUAGGCCUAGCUAAGUGCUACUUGGGCACCCUAGGCUUUAUUGGGCUUUAAGGUUGGUCAGGUGCUACUUGGGAACCUUAGGCUUUGUUGUGCUCUAGGCCCAACUAGGUGCCACUUUGACACCUUAGGCUUUAUUGGGCUCUAAGCCUGGUUAAGUGCGACUUGGGCACCUUAGGCUUUAUUGGGCACCCUAGGCUUUAUUGGGCUCUAAGCUUGGUCGGGUGAUAUUGGGCACCUUAGGCUUUAUUGGGCUUUGGACUUAGCCAGGUGCUACUUAGGCACCUUAGGCUUUGUUGGGCUCUAGGUCUGGUCGGGUGCUACUUGGGCACCCUAGGCUUUAUUGGGCUUUAGCCUUGGCUGGGUGCUACUUGUGCACCUUUGACUUUGUUAUGCUCUGGCCCUGAUCAGGUGCUACUUGGGCACUUUAGGCUUUGUUAAGCUCUAGGCUUGGCCGGGUGCUACUUAGACACCUUAGGCUUUUAAAGUCUAAUGCUUCUUUAUACCUAAGGUUUUUUUUUUUUUUUUUUUUUUUUUUUUUUUUUUUUUUUUGCGGUCAUGCGAUGCGUAACAUAUUUGAUUUGAAAAAUACAACAGUUGACGAUAUUGCUUCCCCAUUUGGGGAUCUUUGCUUUUAGAUGGAUUAGGCCAUUUGGUAAGAGUAGGAAGUUCUUCUUUGGUAGAUCCACCAGCGCCUCUUUGUCCACUGAUAGUGUCUAGGCAGUUGCAUUGAGUCAGGCCACCAAGAUCUAGUUCUCCCUUUUGAUUCGGUUAACAAGUCUUCUCAGUUUGUCCAACUACCUUCGAUACUUGUUAGCUACGGUUCAGUUGUUUGUUGUGGCCACUCAUAAGUUGUUGGGAUGACACUCUCACCAUCAACAUAGUUAGCUGCCAAUGUAGUCACCAUGGUUGGCUUUUGUUUCAUUCCCAUAGAUGAUGCCAAUUGUUGGUGCACAAUCUUUCUAGAUGUGAUGAUUUGGUGACUAUCCGGGUCGCUAUCCAAUCUUCUAUUGUCACCUCCUCUAUUGGUGGGUGUCUUGGUUCUCUAGGAAAAUGAUAUUUUUUUUCCUUGUUCUUCUUUCUCCUUUAUAGGUUAGAGUUAGACGUUGGAGGUUGUGUGGAGUACACGAUUAGCUUGGCAGGUUUGUGUUAGGCAGUGUGUGGUCGACUAUCCCUAACGCUUCAUGUUGAUGUGACAAGAUGAUGUUUUCCUUAGAGAUUUGUUCCUCAUACAUGUCUUGUUGUUGCCUUUGGUAUUCAUGCCACAUGAUCCAUGUUGGCAGCCUAAAAACUUCUUCCCAGUGACCAAUUUUUUAGUUCUUCUAGGAUCAGUUGGAGUGGGCUCUCGGAUCACUAUAGGUUUAAAUAGAGUCGGGAUGACUUCUCGAUCGGGAGACAAUAUUCAGCCGAUACAACAUCCGGGUACCCCUUCUUGGCAAAAUUCGGCACCCUCAGGAGGCAGCUUUUAUAGCGAAAUCUGCCACCCCCGACCCGAGUAAGCAGGUAGACCCACAGGUUGGCUGGCUUCUAUGGUUUGUACCUCCAAUUAUAAUGGAAGUAUAAAUUUUAAAAAGAUUCAGUGAUUGUAGGAUUCAAUUCUAAUGCUCUUAUAGUAGCCAAGGGUCCUCGGACUCAUGGUAGCACACAGACAUGUCCUCUUCUAUCUAUGCAAAUAGUCAUGCAAAAUACAAAUAUUCCCUCAUACAUUCUUAUAGUUUUACAUGUAUAUGAAUUUAAUUAUUUUAUGUUCUGACUAGUGAGUAGAAAGUGAGUUAAGGUCUCCGACAACAAGGUCUCCAAGCAACCAUAUUUCCCCAUUUUAACCUCGCUACUGCCAUUGAUGCGGUAGUAGAGUAUAACUGGCACAUAUAGAUAUGCCAGAAGAGCAAUCGAGAGCAGAUAGCUUCAAAUUCUGAAUGUGAGGUUCAGUUGGAGACUGGUUUUAUUAGCCUUUUAGAUAUGAUUUGAACCUCUAUUUUAGACAAGAACUUGGAGCUUCUGAAUAUAUGUAGUACAACUCCUUUGGUCAUGUAUAUAUGUGCAUAUUGCGUUGAGAUAGACAACAUACAAUCACUUGGCAACACAAUAUUAAAACUUUCAGAAUAUCACAAAAUUUGAUUGAUGUCAAAGACUCAUUCUGGACAUUUAGGAUAGGAGGUUACAAUAAAGCCAUUAACUGUACACAUAAGUUCAUUUGCAAGAAUUGGGAACCAAUUUAGAAGGUCAAGUAUAUUCGCUGUCAACAAGAAUGACGCCCUCCGAUUUAAGAUCUCUACUGAGGAGGAACCCAGUUUGAUCAAGAUUCUAGGAUCAAACAACAGAGUCAAAGUCAAAUCAAGAGCAACGUUCCAACUUGUCAUGAAGACCAAGAAUAGUAAUUGCUUUUGAGCAAGCAGUGAAAUUAUUUGCAAUCAGACAAUCAUCUUCUUCUUCAAGAAAUGCUGUAAUGAAAUUCUUACCAGUUGUGUCUGAUUCUUCGAAACAUGAAGUUAGCAAACAGAUUGUUCAUAUAUAAUGUCAGUUGGCAUAAAUGUAGUGUUCAAUCACCAAGCCACAAAGAUGAUACAACAGAACAGUUGCAGCAGGAAAACUUGGUUGUUUAUUCAAAAUCAAGUAAAUCUCUAGGUCCCUCAUACCACGAUUGCUCCCAAUAUUUAGGUCUUGGCGUAGACAAUUCCUUUCGUGUCUAUGUGGACAGAACAAUGCUUGGUGUUCUAGUUGUUGUCUUUCACCAUGGUCUAUAGAAAAAAUGUCCAGAAAAACAACUAAUGAUCAGUAGAAGUGUAAAAGGGAAGAAAGAAAACUACUGAUAGAUUGGAUCAUGACAGAUAUUUAUUUUUCCUAAAAGAAUGUAAAUGUAUGGUUGCUCUUUGAGUACAGCUCUCUACAGCACAAAAAUAAGGCAAUCAAAUGAAACAAACCAAGAAAACAACAAUAUUAAAAGAGUUAUGAAAUAUCACCAGAUGAGAUCCAACAGUAAAUUAAGAAACUUUAUAUAAUCUUGUUUACCUUAGGGCCAUGUCUGGAGGAGUUCCAAUUGUAGGCCUAGGGCCAAUGUUGAUAGGCACAUGCCCAGAUCUUAGACACCCUCAAGAUGAACAGUAGCAGCUACUCUAGGCGCUCCUACUGCACAGGCAAAAAACAAGUUAGUCAAUGUUUCUUGGCUAUUGGCUUUGGCUUGGACCUUGGUGGUUAUGUCAAUUUUAGAUAAAUAUGUUAAUAAUCCAAUGACUAUACUCCAAGAUUGAUGAUAUAUAUGCAAUAUAUCAAUUUGGAAAUGUCGAUAUAAACAUUUAAGGAAUUUAAAUUAGUCAAUUUUCAACAAUCUAGCAUUCAAAAGUGUACAAAAUGGUUAUAACUUGAAAGUUUGAAUAUAAACUGAGGUACAAUAUUCCUAUAGGCUCAAGUCUCCCUAGAACAAGGCAUCACAUCACAUAUUUAUGUGGCCUUAUGUUUGAGGUAAGCACCUUAUCUAUUGGCGAGUUCAUCAAUAAUAAGCUUUUUGCAAGAAAUUGGAGACCUAAAAUUACUCUAAUACUUCUUUUAUUGAACAUUAAAUUUUCUUAAAAGUGUUAUCGAUUAUCAAACAUUUAUAUCAAUGGUGGAAACUAGUUUGCUACCAAAGUGAAGGUCAAAGUCCUAAUUAUCAUUUCACUAAACAAUGUAAUAUAGUAUUAUACAAUUAUUGCUUUUAAAAGAAAAUUUACAAGCUAACUAGCGAAAUUUAUGAUUAUACCUUUUUCCGACUUCACUCACGCCAUUGAGCUUUAUAAUUUGAUGAAACAAGCCUAAAUCAAAAUUAUACAAAAAAAAAUAAAGAAUUGGAGAAAACAAACUUGUAAGCACUAAAUUUUGUACUUUAAAAGAGGAAAUAGGAUGCCAAUUGUAGGUUUAAUUUAAAGAAACCUUAAAAAAAUAUUUUUAAAAUUAUAGGAAAACCCCCAUACCUUAGAAAAGAUUGGGGCGAACAGUCUACCUUUUGGCGAUGUUCACAUCUUGAGAGGAAUGACUUCUUUCUUAGUAGAUCUGAUGAUGGUGUUGAUCUUUGGGAAGAGAUGAUUAGAAGGCUACGUUGAAUUUUAGUGAGUGAGAGAGAAAGCAACACCCAAAACCCUAAAGCAAAAAAGGAAUUAAUAACUUAAAUAGAUUCCAUUUUUUCCUUAUGACAUGUCUACCUUAGUAAGGUUUUUAUGGCAGUGAUACCAUUUGGAUAAUUAAGUCAUUGAUUUUGAUGGAUCUUUUCCAUUUGAAUUUUUAAUAUAUAAACUUAAUCUUUUUACUUGGGGUAAUAUAUUUGGUAUUUUAGGAUUUCCUUUUUAAUAAUAUGCUUUUAGUAGAUGGUUUAACUAUGUCCUAGUGUAAUAAGUAGUCUUGCAUUACAUUAUCUACUAUGGAGUAGGAGUGUGUUGCUUGUUCAAGGGAUGUAUGGGAAGUUGUUUAUUUGAUGAUAUACUUUCAACACUUAGAGUCACGACUUGAGCUAAUAAGUUUAUCAAGAUCUAAGCAUUGAUGGUGUUGCUACUCUAUUGUAUAGCAAGGAUCCAAUUAGUCACAUUGUAGGACAAAACACUUAUAGACAAUUGAUUCUACUACAUUCAAGAUAUUGUUGCUUAAGGGGAGGUAGAGUCAAAACAAGUAGACAAUUGAUACAACUACACACACAACAUAGAGACAAAACACAUGAAUAAUACUAUGGUUGAAUAAAUUAAUUGGAUGACAUCAAGCUAACAUUGAUCUAGUAUAAUUAUUUGGAGCCUAAAUGAGGGUAUGAUGAGAUGAUAAUUAUUUUGUCAUCAACAUAGUGAACAACAUAAAUUAAAAUCUUGAAAUGUCACCUUAGCCAACCUAGUAGAAAUGAUUCAUCAAAAUAUUUGAAUGUGAGAUCUUAAAUUGGUGUUUGACAAAUAAAUAUGGUAAUAAACAUAUAUUAAGUAUAUAUGAAGUGACCAAGCUGAGAUUUGUAUCAUGUUAUUAUAGGGAAUCCCGAAUCUCUUUGUUCCUUAUCCUAUGAUUAGGCUAGGUACAUGCGAAUCUUUCUAAGUUUUUCUAAAUCGUAUGAACAAUGGAAAAAUUGUGUUUUAAAAUAAUAACAAGAUUUAGAAUUUGCAUUAGAAAACAUUACCUUAGAUUUGGAUGUUCCCAAAUCUAAUUCACGUAGUAAAGGAGAAGAUUGAAGUUUUCAGAGGUCUUGAACACCCAAGAUCUUCCACCAGAUGACUUUUCCUUGAUUUUAGAUCUUAAUUGGUGAAGAGGAAGGAAGACUAAAAAGGCUAUGGUUCUCUCUCUCUUUGAAUAGUGAAAAAUGGCUCACUUCAAAAAAGUAAUGAAAACCUUAUUAUUUAAGGGGUAUUUAUUGGGUUCCCUAAUUGGGUGUAAGUGACUUAAGCGUACUAAAGGUUUGAAUCAUUUAAUUUAGCUCAAAAUGAGUCUUAAUUGAUUAAUUAACCUAACAUAGUUAUCUAAUUAAUUAAUUAGCUAAAUUUGGAGACUUUGUUCACUUACCCCUAUGCAACCUUGCAUAAUUACCAAAACACCCUUAUACGUAAAAGUGAACCAAGAGUUGUGUCAUCAAGGUAUAUGAGCUUAGGUGGAGACCAUUGAGACUUAUAGGACAGUACUAGCUACCCCAAAAUCUAAUUUUGAAGUUGAUUUAACAUUUCACUAUAGAGAAUCAAUUGCACUAUAAUACCUUAUGUAAAUAACAAUGAGAUGCUAAGUGGUCGAGCCCAUGACUUAUUAUCCAUUGCAUUCAGUCUCCCUAUGAACUGGUGUUUGUAGUCUAAUAAGGUGAAAACUAUCAACCUUUCAAGACUACCUCUACUAUCUUUGAAUUACAAAUCCUCUUAUUAUGUAUUUAAUUGAUAUAUCUUAAGUCUCCAAGAGUCUAUGUCAAGUUCCAUUUAAGAAACUACUAUGACCAUAGUUUACAUGAACAUACCUCCUUAGGAUCACUUAAGGGGACACUCUGUCUCAAUCCUCUUAGAUUUCAUGGUACUUCUGUUACAAAUACUCAUUGUCAUAGACUUGGAUCAAUAGUGAACCAAUCCAUAAGGAACAUAUCUUACGAUUUCAUUAGUAGGUCAAAGUCACUACUAACUUUAACACAAAUUCUAUAUUCUCUCAAGGUUAAGAGAUAAAACAAUGAAGCAACUUGGUGAAAUCAUGACUAUUUAAUAGCUUUAUGUCAUGAUUCACCAUAAGUCUUGUCUAAUGUGUAACCAUAUGCACUAGUAUACUCACCAUGGAAAACCCAUCCUGAUAACCAAGACCAACCAUUCCUCUAAAUAUGAAGUAGCAUACUAUAACCUCUAAUGGGUUACCUAGGCCUAUGAAUCGGUUGUGAACAAGUCAUUUACUUACAAUGAAUCCAUUUCUUAAAUUUUUUUUGCAACUCUUAAUGCACUCAAGUCCUGUACAAUACAAGAUAUAUAUAUUAAAAUGCUUACAAGGUAUAAUGUAUAGGAUUAGGAUAAAUAAAAGUGAACUAAAAGUUUAUUAAUAAAUAAUAAAAUUUUAAAUUUAUUACAUCGUGUCAUGCUUUUAUGAAACCUUUAAAAUACUAAGAGCAACCUUUCAUAAUCAUGAAUUAAACUUUAGUUUCAACUUCUAUCAAAGGCUAAAUGAGAAAAGCUAUCAUAGAGGAGGCCUCAGCCAAUGGGUAAGAUGCACUGUUAUACCAAACAAUAAGUGGAAAAUACAAUUUUAUUAAUACUUGAGAAAAAAAAAAAGAAAGAAAUAAAAGGAAGAUUUUACACUCAAACCAAGCAUUUAUUUAUAAUGAAGUGCAGUCUCCGUACGCACAUGUGGACUUAUUGGAAAAUCAUACAAAUUAUUGAAGGACGACCUUAGCUAGGCUAACAGUCUCCUAAAUAGGCUAUCUUUUAUAUAUCUUUGCAUUCAUCCAUCUCCUCAUUGUCUUUGAUUUUAGAUGGUGAGGAUGUGAAAGUAACAGGAAGCAGUGGACAAUUGUUCACAGUGAGGCUUAGCACAUCAGCUCUCGAAUAAUGUCCUACCACAUCGAACUGGAACUUUGCUUUAGGAAUCUCUCCACGAACAUCUACAUAUCAAGUGAUCACAAAAAUAUUUCAUCGGUCCAUGAUAAAUAUCAUAGAAUAUCAAGUCUUCGAUAAAACUAAGUUUGCAGUCCUCUUAAACCUAAAGAAUCAACUCAUUUGCCUUAUCUGCAUACUGAAAUAUUUGGAUAUAUAAUUGGAGAAGUUAGGGCCAUACCAAGAUCAGCUGUGAAGAGGCCUUCUCCUUCAUAAUUCGGUCCUGCUAGAAUUUCGCCAUGGGGCGAAAUGAUGACACUACCUCCAGCCCAAACAAUAGAAUCUGGAGUGACAUCUUCUUCUGUAGGACUGUAAAGAUACUCAGGUGGAGGUGGGUAAUCUUUCCUCCGACAGAACUGGAUGGGUGAAAGAACAUAGCAUCCACCCUCAAUAGCGACGUGUCUCAUUGUAGCUACCCAUGUAUCCCCGGAAUCGGCAGUAGGAGCACAAUAUAUCUCAAUACCUAUAGAGAUGUACAUUCGUAUUUUGUGAUCAAUCAAUCCCAUAUCAAAGCCAUAAUGUAUUUCAAGCCUAUUUAUAGGCUAAAACCCUAACAACUUAAAAAAGAGUACUGAAGUAUUUCAAGCCAAACCAUAUUAGUUAGUGAAGAAAAAGACAUACCUUUGCCAUACAUUGAUGUCCUGAAAAGCGGCAUUCUAUUUUCCCAACAAAUGACCGAACCAAGUUUUCCAUAUGGAGUAUCAUAAACUGGAGUAGUCGAGCAAUCUCCGAAACCCCAGAACAGCCGCUCCCAAUAUGUUGGCAUGAGUUUCCUAUGUUUUCCAAGGUAAUUACCUUCAGGAUCAAAGAAGAGAACAGUGCAAUACAAUGUGUAUCCAUCUCUCUCAACAACACCUGUCACUAAGUAGACUUUGUAUUUCGCAGCCAUUGAUGCCAAUCUAUCCACUUCAGGUCCUGAAAAUACAUUAAUAUGAGAUCAAAGAUGAAAUAUGUAAGCUGAUGGCUCAUCACAAAGCAUAAGUAGAUUUUUUUUUUCUUGGUUCAUUCAUCAAACGUGUCUUGUUUCAAUAACUAAUUAAGUGGUUCAGUUCUUUGGCUAUUUAAGGGAGAAAGAGAGAGGUAACUGACCCGGCACAUUAAUGGCAGAAGCAUGGUACUUGCGGAAACUUUCUUUCCCUCUUGGCGACUGGUCGGCGAAAUUGUAUCCCCGGGGAUACCCACCGAUAAAUGCUUCAGGAAACACAACCAGUUGGGAUCCUAGUGCAGCUGCUUCUUUCAAAAACCUCUCAGCCUUAUCUGCUCUCAAAAUCACAUUGCAAGAAUUAAUAAUCCACGACUUAGUAAAUUAAUUGGUUGAAUGGACAGAAUGAAAAUUAACUUCAAGAGAUCCCGAAUGACUUUUUGGUUGCUGAGAAAACUCAAGGAAAAAGAGACCUAGAUGAAACUUGAAACUCUCAUAUUUUCAGCUGUUUUGUAACUAAGAAAAGAGAAACCACCUCAACCCAACUCAUUAAAAUAAUUGUAAAAGCAGUAAUUCCUUGAUUGGCAGCUGAAAAUAUGAUCAGGGUUCAAUCAUCCUUUUCUUUUUUUCAGUCUCUGAGCAACCAAUUAGAUCACAUAUUCCAUUACACAAGUUGAACAAUUGAAAGAAAUGGUACGUUACCUAGAGUGGCAGGAGUAUCAUAAAAGAUACUAGAAGCUUGAACAACGGUGGCUCUAACAGUUGAAGACAUUGCAGAAAUCGUAUGCUUUUUCGUUUCCCUUUUGUUUGAGGAUUCCUUACACAACGUUCAGUAUAUAUAUUGCCCAUGAACAUGAGGUUCUUCUGCCAUUACUUGAACGAGACGAAGAGGCUGUGAAAAGUCUACCUUGGUUUUCUAUAUUCAUUGUGAGCUUUUCUCCUCAUCACAAAUUUUGAAGUUAUCCGCAGACAUUGUGGACCAGCCACAUGACUUGUACAAAUUGAAAAUGACUGUAAGAAAAUGACUCAGCCAAUUCAAGAUAUUUGUCAUUAAAAGAAUAGUCAUUAAAAGCACAAGAUAUUUGUCAUUUUUUUUUUUACAAAAACGACUGAGUCGUACAUAGUGUUAUGGUUAUAGACGCCCAAAAGAAGUCUUUUUGUGCCUUGUAAGAAAACCUUAGCCAAUUCAAGAUGACCACAGAAUCAAAAUAAGUUUUAUCGCUUUCUUUUUUUUCUACAGGUACGAUGAUUAUCUUUGAACGAAAAGAGGGAGCCGCCCACAUGCACAUAAAAAGGGAGUAAUGAGUGAUUCAAUGGCAGCUAUGGUAGAAAAAUAAAAAGGGAACUAUGCUUACCCUCACGUUGAUUCAAGCAAAUAUAUUUUUUAGGAAUUCUAAUUUUCAUAUUUCACCCCAAACACAUAAUCAAUAAAUUUAUUCUUCAAAUAUGUAUUUUAAUAACAACCAAAAUGAGAAUUCUAUAGUUAUCCCUUUUAAAAUCUUUAAUAUGACAAGUCAUCAUUUGAUCUGUUUGAUAUCCUCUCCAUAUCAUGUCUUUGAUAUCCUAACUUUGACAUUUUUUUAUUUAUAUACGCUGAAGUGAAUACACUUUCAUAUUUCUUUUUAUUCUUUUAAUAUUUUCAUAUUUAUUAACUUAGUCAUUUUUUUGAAACAUUAACAUAAAAUUAUAAUAUAUGAUCAAUAACUAAUAAGAACAAAUUAAACAUAAAUAUAAGUACGGAAUGGACAGAAAAUAAAAAAUUUAUCCUACAAAUAAUACACUAUAUAGUUUAAAAUAUUAAUUAUAAUAAUAUAUUUGAUACUUUAGGGUUUAGAUUAAAAAAUUAUGUUUUAUUUUUUAGAGGCUAGGAUAUAGGAUUUCCAUUAACCAAAGAUUUUUUGUAUGAAUCCUAAAUAAAAUGUGUAUUUAUUUUGCAAAUUCUUAUCAUAUAUAAAUAAAAUAAAAUAAAUAUAUUUUUAUCAUAUUAUUUUUAAUUUUUAUUAUUUUGUGUCAAAAUCACAGUCAAUGAUGGUGGUUUUUGUUAUGAUAUAGCUCUUAAAAGGAUGUUAUGAUGCAAUAAAUAUGAAGUUUAUUAUUUAUUUAAUGGUAUUUUGAUUUUACUUUUAUUAAUCUUUAUUUCAUGCAUUUUACCUUAUGAGUAUUCUAGCUUGACAUUUCUUGCACUAUACAUAACUUGGGUGCAUUAAAAAUUGCAUGAAAGAUCCAAGUUAUAGGUUCCUUGCAAGUAAAUGAUUUGUUCACAACCGCUUUGUGAACUUAAGCAAUCCAUUUGAUGUCGUAGUUCACUACCUCUUCAUUAGAGGAAUGAUUUAUCUUGACUACCAAGAUAGAGUUCUCAUGGUGAGUACACUAGUAUGAUGAGUUAUAAUUUAUAAUGUAAGGUUGUUGGGUAGUCAUAACUCACUAAGUUGUUAUAUUGUAUUAUCUUCUCAACCUUGAGAGGAUACUGAACUUGUGCCAAAGUCUAUAAUUGUUUGACCUAUGGGUGAGAUUCUAAAGUGAUUAUAUAUUCCUUACAGAUUGGUCACAGUAGAUAGAAGUCAGUAGUAAUAAGUAUUCUCAAUACAAACAUCACGAUAUCUCAUGGAAUUUGAGAUAGUGUUGGGUCAUAAUAAGGACAUGUGAUCAUGAAAUCUAUGGUCGCAUUAAUUCUUUAAAUGAAAUUUGAUAUAUGCUUUUGUGAGUUAGAGUAUGCUAGUUGAUCAUAUAAUAAGAGAAUAUGUGACUCAAGAAUGGUAUAGGUAAUCUUGAAAGGCAAAUAUCUUUCACCUUAUUAGAUUAUAAACACUAAUUCCUGGGGAGACUAUAUGCAAUAGAUAGCAGGUCACGAACUUAAGCACUUUGUGUCUUGUUGUAAUACACAUAGGGUAUUGAAGUGUAGUUGACUUUCUAUAGUAAGAUGUUGAGUCAAUUUUAAAAUUUGAUUAUAAGGGAGCUAGUACUAUCCUAUGGGUCUUAGCAGUCCUUGCUCAAGUUCAUAUAUCUCAAUGGCAUGGUUUAUGAGGGUUGGAUUAACUCAUGAUUCACUUAUGUGCAUAAGGCUGUUUUGGCAAGUAUGCAUGAUUACAUAGGAGUUUGUUGGGACAAAACCUUAUAAAGUAUGACAUGAUGUAAUAGAUUUAGUUUCAUUAAUAAAUUUAUUUAUUUACUAUUCUAGUUCCCUUGUAUUAUCCCAUUGGCAUUAAUUGGUUAUCAAAGUAUUUACACCCAUAUCACUUGCAUUGUACAUGACUUAGGUGUAUUUAGAGUUGACCAAAAAAUCCAAGUCAUGGGUUCUUUGCAAGGUAAUAAAUAGUUUAUAGUAGGUUCAUGGAUUUGAGCAAUUUAAUAGAGACUAUAGUGUACUACUUCCCAAUUGGAGAGAUGACUAGUCUUAGUCACCGAGAUGACUUUCCCAUGAUGAGUGCAAUAAUGUGUAUAGUUACACAUUGGACAUGACCUAUGGUGAAUCAUGACAUUAAUUGUUGGGUAGUCAUGAUUCACCAUGAUACUAGAUUGUAUAAACUCUCAACCUUGAGAAAAUAUUGAGUUUAUGCUAAAAUCAACAAGAAGCUUUUAUCUAUGGGUGAGAUCCUAAUGUGGUCAUAUAUUCCUUACAAAUUAGGUUACAGUUGAUGAAGGUUGGUGGCAACAGGUAUUCUUAAUAGAGACAACAUAAUAUCUUAUGAGAUUAAGACAACGUGUCUCUUGGGUGAUCCUAAAGACAUGUGAUCAAGAUGACUAUGACCAUAGUAAUUCCUUUAGUAGAAUUUGACAUAUGCUCUUUGUAAGCUAAAGUAUGUAAAUUGAUCAUUAAUAAGAGGAUUUGUAACUCAAGGAUUGGAGAGAUAAUUUUGAAAGGUUGCCAUCACUACCUUGUUAGAUUACAGACACCAGUUCACGGGGAGUUUACAUGCAGUAGAUAGUAGGUCAUAGACCUAAACUUUUCCUUAUUGUAAUUAUAUAGGAUAUUGGAGUGUAGUUGACUUUCUUUAGUAAGGUGUUAAGUUAACCUUAGAAUUGGAUUCAAAGCGAGCUAGCAUUUUCCUAUAGGUUCCAAUGGUCCCUGCUCAAUCUCUCAUUUAAUGGUGUCACAUUUGUUUAAGGUAUUUUAGGUUUGUAGUUAACAAGUGUGCAUUAGGGGGAAUUUAAUAAAAAUACAAGGUUGGACUAGAUAUUGUGAAUAGACUUUCUAGAUUGGCCUAAUUUAUUAAUGGAUUCCAAUAUGGCUAAUUAAUUAAUUAGGAUCUAAGUGAGUUAAAUUAGGUAACCUAAGCCCACUUUAGGCUUAAGUCACUAAAGUUCACAAGGAAGCUUAUAAAUAACUAUUUAAAGCUUAUUGGGUUUUAUGAGUAACUUAAGCUUGCCUUGGGUUUGGGUAAGUUAUCAUAACCUAAAAAAGUUCUUAAUUGAGCGCUUAGAUUAAUCAAUUAGCUUAGUCCAGAAAUACCUUUCACCAACUCUAUUGGAAACUUUGAAUUACUCCAUUUCAUGAUCUAGGAUCAAAUAGGGUGCAUGCAACUAUCUUUAGGUUUUUCUAGAUCUAAUGCACUAGAAAAAUAUGGAUAUAAAAUCCAUAAAAUGUACUAGAUUUAUAGAUUAAAACUCAUACCUAUGAUUUCAAUGUUUCUAAAUUAAAUCCAAUCCCUAAAAGAUAUCAAAGAUGUUUUAAAAGUCAUCUAUCAAACAAUUUUCCACCCAAUCUCUCCCUCCACAAAUAGACCCUAGCACAAAAAAAGGUGAAUGCUGGAAUUUUCGUCAAUUAUUGGAUCAAAACAAAAUUUAUAACCUAAUUCACUAUUCUAUAGCAGCUUGUACCCGAUCAAAAAGUGGUUUUAGUACAAACUAUUGUAGUAUAGUGGUUUUUAGGUGUCGUCCACUAGGAUGGAUUGUUCUCGGUAAUUAAGGCUUGAAUGAGAUGAUAAGAAAUUAUUGCAAUCAAGUGAAAAUGAUUUGACAAUUCAUGAUAAAAGUUCAACAUAACAAUGAUUUCAAAUUUAGAGGAAAAUGAAGGGUAAAAGAGAAGAAAAUUAAUAGAAGAUGAAAUUCUUGGAGGUAGGAUUUUCUAGAAAAAAAUUUCCACGGUGAAUAGAUGUUGAGAUCUAAUUUUCAUCAAGUUAGAUUGAAAACCUAAAUUUUCAUCUAAACCAAUUUUUGAUUUAGCUUUAGGUCUAGAUCUAAUUUCUCUUCAAAUUAGGUCAUUUAAUCCAAGAGAUCAAUUCAAAUUAUAUAUUCAAUUCAUCUUAAACUAUCUUCCAAUGAUUCACAUAAUGCAACUAUUCAAUCUCAUCAAAUCUAGCUUUAAGAAUUUGAUGAAUCUACCUAGCUUGCAUUGUAGUAAUCAUCCAAGACAAUUUGAAGAGAAAAAUCCUCAAAUUUCAAUUAAUCAAUCAAUUGGAUCAAAUUACCUUUUCAAUUCAAGCUCAUUUCUCUAAUUCACCAUAGAUUUUGCCUCUAGAUCCUCCCUCCUUUGAGAAAAAUGAGAUUUAGCCACUCAUGCUUGGAGAUUUUGCCUCACAAAACAUUUUUGGCUAGCGAGAAAAUGAAGGAAAGUGGAAAAUUCUAGAGAAAGAGAAAAUAUGGAAAAUUCUACAAUUAGAAAAUGUCUAAUUUUUUUUGAAAAUGAGUAAAUCAAGUUUCUAUUUAUAGGCCAAGGUCAAGAGGACACUUGGCAUCAUCUAAGAGGUCUUUUAAAGGCUUCUUCAUCAAGAAAUUUGGAGUUUAGUAAUAAAAUGUCCAUUUCGCAAGAGAUCCAGCACUUUCACACGAGCUCCAUCAAUUUCGCAUGAGUGUGCGAAGUGGAAAAUGCAUCAGCACCAAUUUCGCCUUCUUAGAGCAUUUCGCAUGACUGUGCGAAAUUUUCGCAUGGUCGUGCAAAAUCAGCUUCAAGAUUUCCCUUUGAGCUGUAGCCAAAAUUGCCUUCUGGUCCAUUUCAAUUUUAUACUCUGUGUUUUUGGGAUGAAUGACAUGUGAAAGUUGGAAUUUGCUAAAAAAAUAUACAUAUAUUUUUUUGAGUUAAUGUUUGUAAGCAUAAUUCUCCCAAAAACCGGUCAUGCUUCAUCAUAUUGUAUGUUUGUUUUUUUUUAUAAUGUGUGGUUAUUCAUCUUUAUAUUUGUGUAAUGGAUUGAUAUCUAUAAAUUAAGAGUAUCAAUUGAUAGGUAGAUGAAUCAAUUGAUUGGGCAUCUAAGAGUCUUAUGUGUAGAAGACUAAAAUUAUAAAUGGGGAGUUAGAAAACUUUUCAUUUAUAUGAAUAGGGUGUUACAAUUUUUGUAAUCCUAUCAUUAUGAGAUUUAAUUUGUAUAUAAAGUUUAUGAGUAAUGGAGGAAGAUGGAAAAGUAUAACCUAUGCAAUUAUAUAAAUGCAUUCAAGUUGGUAACCCACAAUUAUCCAUUAAUUUGUACAUAAUGUUUGUAAAUAAUGAAUAUAACUCCCGUGUAGUCUUUGAUGCAUGAGAAGACUAAGAGAUAUAAAUCUCUUUUAUAAGAUCAAGAUCCUAAGUCAUACUCUCAUUCUUAUGUCUUUUUGUUAUUUUACUUAUAACAACAUAUAACACACAAGUGACCCGUCUACUAUAUGAGAGUAGUGAGUUGAAGAUCUUGAGCAAAACAAUUCACAAGAUGACUCAAGCUCACUUCAAAAGUAUUAUCAAUAUCAUGGAUGAAGGUAAAAAUAUGAUCAUUAUAUUAUCAUUGCUUUAGCAUUUAUAUCUAUUAUGUUUUAUGCAUCCAAAAUUGAUUUUCCAAAAUAAUUGUUUUCACAUAAAGUUUAGUUAACAUGUACUUCUAUUUUAAAAUUUUAAAAUUUUAAAAUAAAUUUGCAGAAAUCACUUUUAAAUGUUUUUUUAUAAAAAAAAAUUUAAAAUAUGAAAGAAUCACAUAUUUUUUCAACUUUGAAAAAUAGACCUAAUAAACAUAUUUAACAUUUAUAGCAAUUAAAAAUUAAUUAAUAUUUUUUAAAAAAAAAUUAAAUAAAAGCAAUGGUGUAUCCAAAUAAUACCUUAUUCACCCAAUUUAGUUAUCAUAUGCCUUUAGUACCGAAGUGGCUGACUAAAUUUUUUCUCAAGGUAUAAUAAUGCUAAAAGAUCUUUAACCAAAACAUGGACUUCACUCUUAUUUCUUCCUACCACUUUAAUUUCACCCAACUUCACCUAUAGAAGCUCAUUCAUGUCUUAUCUUGUUUGUCUAGUUUGAACCUCAUGUUGCUCAAGUCCCAAAAGGAAUAAAAUUUCAUUCAGAAUAUAAUUAUGCACAAAAUCCUCAUUAGGGUUAGAGUUUGCUCCUUCAUUAAUUAAUUAUAAUGGUUUAGGGUCAGAAUAACAUACUUUAUUAUGUUAAAGUAUCCUAAACUUUGUUAGCAAACACAUAUGGCUGAAAGCGAAGAAUGAUCAAGAGUCCAAGUACUAACAAAGGGCACUUAUGAACCAUAGGUUGAGGAAAGUGGCUUGAGCCCAAGCUUGGGGCUUAGGUUAUUUUUUGUUUAUGCAAUACUUAAAUCCAAACUUAAAGGUGACAUUAGAAACAUAUUUCAAUCUCAUAUUUUAUCCUCUUAACUAUUGGACCUAAUUGCACUCGACAUGGAACUUGUUUAUGCAUUUUGGGAAUCACAUGCAUUUUAGUCCCAAAAUAGCUAUGCAACUUUUUUUUCCACCUAAUUAAGUUCAAAAUUAAGGGGGUGUUUGGUAAAACUUAAUACCUUUUACUAAUGACUUAAAUUGACUUUAAGUUAAAUUAUAUUUAACUUGCUAACUUAAAACUUAUUAUUUAAUUCUUACUUCAAGUAUUAAGGUUGUUUAAUAAAAUUAAUUUAAAACAUAUUUUAAAUCAUCAAAUUGAUAUAUUAUCCUCAUAAAUUAUAACUAGAGUAUAAGAGGUUGAGUGACAAUGAAGGUCGUGGAGUAGUAAAGAAAAUUGUGGAGGUAACUAGGAUAAAUGAGAAUAAAAAAGUAGAAUGAAAAUAUAAAUUUUAAAAUAAGUUAAUUGGUUUUACUUUUUCUUAAAAUUAUUUUUGAUUUUAAGUCAUACCAUUAAAUUAUUUUAAUAAACAUAAUUUACUUAAUAACUUAAAUUAAAUUAUUAAGUUGUUAAUUUACCAAACACCUACUAAUUUUCAAAUUCUAAGUUUAGCUUUGCUUUGCAGUGAAUGCAUUUAGGAUUAUCAAAGAGGUCAUCAAGGGUUUCAAACAUAUUUUAUUGCUCAACUUCUCGAAGAGGGACUUCAGAAGAGAAGAUUCCAUAAUUCUAGUUUUGUAUGCGAUUGUAUGUAUCCUACCACAUGGAGACGAUUCCUCAGCAUGCUGAUUUAUUAUUAAGUUCAUGUGAAUUACGUAUGGAAUUCCAAUUGAUGUGAACAUAAAAUUAAUUGAAUUAUGUGACAUUUUUUUUACGCAGAAUAAAACAUAUACAGUUGGAAGAUAUCUCGAGAUUCUGAUUUUAUAUCUGGCCCUCAAAAUUCUAUUUCACUGUCAGGUUGUGGACGUUCCACCCAGCUGGAGCAGAUCCCUUGGCAUGCUGAUAUGCCAACUAUUGAAAAGUCUGCACCCAUUUUCUAUAUUCAUGAGCUUUUCUCCUGUUCGAAUUAGUUUUGAAGUUAUCUACAGACAUGACUUGUACAAAUUGAAAAGUUUUAAUUAGGGCAGCAAAAGUAAUCCCUUCAAUUUUAUUAUUAUUGUUAUUAUUAUUACCUUAUAAAAAGAAUUUACCCAAUCAAAAGUGAUCGCAUAGUCAAAAUAGAUUUUAUUUUUUCUUAUCUUACAAUAAUAUAAAAAAAUAUAUAUAUACUUUCAAUCAAUGUCUCAUAUUUCUAACACGUACGCGCUCUAGAAUUUCUCGAAUUGUAGUCUAGAGUGUCAACUUUUAGUGUUUGAUCAAAAAGGCCAUAAACAAAUAUAUGAAAAAAGUAAUCAACAAGCAGAGGAUUCUUUUUGAAUAAAAAAGACCCACUUACAAGCAUGGAUUAUAAAUUGUCUUCAGUUGCGGCUGAAACUUUCUAUAUGACUUUAAAGAAAAAAGAGGUCAUAAAUAGAUAGCUGAGAACAAGUUGAGGGAUUCAAAGGCAGCUAUGGUAUAAAUAUUGUUUUAUAAAUUAAACCUUUUGUACCGCCUCUACAAAGGAACACAAAAUUGAGAGAUUCAAAGGCAGCUAUGGUAUAAAUAUUGUUUCAUAAAUUACUUUUCAAAUUUAAUUUGAUAGCAAAAAUUUAAAAUAUAAAAGUAUAAAAAAUUUGUUUCAUUCCCAAAAUUUUUGCAAAUAAAAUUUAAAGUAAUAAAUUAACACCAUGACUCUUUUCACAUCUUAUUCUCAUUUCUAUCAAAGCAAUGAUAGUAAUUGUCUUAUCUAUAAAUUUUAAAUGAUGUAAGAUCAUUGAAUUUUUAUUUUCUUUUAAACUUCUUGUUAUGUAAUUAUCAAACAUAUUUUUUUAAGACAAGAAAAAAAUUACACCGAACAAAUAGAUUUGAUACUUAGAAUAAUUGAAAACAUAAUUCGUAUUUUCCAUUUUUAAAAAUAAUAAAAGCAAAGGUGUUUCAAAACAAUACCUCAUUUGCUCAAUUAAUUAUCACAUUUCCUAAGUACAAAAGUAGGCAAGUAAAUUUUUGCUCAAGUUACAAUAGUGCUCCAAAUCCUUAUCCAAGAUUUUGAUCCUAUUUCACAAUUGUUUUUUAAAACAGUUUUUUUCUUCUCUACAACAAAAAAAAAAAAAAAACAAGAAAAUGUGUUUGAGAAUUGGAAAAUAAAGUGUUUUCAAAAAAACAUAUGUUAGUUGUUUUUAGUUUUUCUUCAUUAGCUUUUUUGAAGGUUGUUUUUAAAAAUAAUUAUACAAAUAUGAAGAAUUAUUAAAAAUAUAAUUUUAUAGACAAAAGUUAUUUUAAAAUUAUAUGCACGAGUUUUGGAAAGUCUUGCAAAAUAAGCAAAACUAUAGGAAAAAUAUGCAAAUAAAAUUUGUAUUAAAAUCAUUGGGGGCCCCCGCAUUUCGGCUCAUGCGCUUCCACUCGAUGGUGAGCUCGAUUUUUAUUUUGAAAAAUGAUUUAUUAUUUGAAAAAUGACUUGAAGUCGCCACUUAUUUUUGUUUUAUUUUUAAAGGGUAAACAAAAUAAGAAAGAAAACUCUAAAUGUGACUCCUUAUUUGGAAAAGGUGGUCUGUGAAAAACCGGAUCGGGCUCGGGGGUUAGGUUACUUAUUGGGAAGGUACGGUAAAAACCGUAGCACCCCUCUAAGUCCCCAAAAACGGGUCUUUACUAAUGAAAUGAAGCAAUCAUGACAAUUGAUAAGUAAAUCAAUGGAUACCGAAUGAAAAUCGAAACAAAAUACCCAAAUGAAUUUGAGAGACAAAGAACGUACCUGAGUGACGAGCUGAUUUAUUUCAUUGGAAACAAAGGUUAGUGAACAAACACAAAUGAUCGUGUGCAUAUCAUAGAAUAGAACAAAUCAAUCACAUAUAGCAAUCAAAUCAAUCAAUCAUAAAAUCGCAUAUGUUGGGCCCCCACUAAAACCCAUUUAUUUUUGCAUGAAUUAAUUCUGUAAAUUCCAUCACUCGGAAUUAUAGAAUUUAAUUCAUGCUUAUUUUAAAACAUUUAAAAAACAGAGGAGAUGUGAGUAUUGCUCAUCAGAAAAGAAGAUGGCAACAAAGUUUUAUUAAAAAUGGGAUUUUUGGUACCUAAAACUCUAAGGAUGAAAAUUUUGGAGUUGAGAUUAUUUAAAAAGUUAGAAUCUGAAAAAUUAUUUUUAAAAAAAGAUUUAGAAAGUUAUUUUCAAAACCAAAAGGGAGAAAUAGGAGGUGGCAUGUGGCCCAAAGGUGGCCAUGCGGAGGUGGCCAUGCAAAAACAUUUUCUUCUGGGCCAAGGGAGAGACUGCGCUAUAGGGAUCAAUGGUAUUGUUGGGCUUGUCAUAACUCUAACCAGGAUAGGAUCCCAGCCACAUAUAGCUGUAACUAGGUUGCUACAUUGAAAGAGUACCAAGAGAGGCACCCUAGCUUAACGGAGGUCAGGCCUGGUAGCCUUGCGGAGGAUAUCUCUAACCAUUGCCAGAUUUCUGAUAUGAUUCUCACUGAUGACUUCGUUGACCAACUGUUCAGCAAACUCAAUCUGUUCACUGGUACUGCCUAUGUGUGCAAUUCUCUCCAUUGAUAUGUCACCAGAAAGGAAAUGCAAAAGUAUAAACUAGAUACGAGCUCCUGUCUUGGCUUGCAUAUUUCUAAUGAUCUCACCGCCCUUACCAACUAUCAGACCAACCUUGUUGUUUGGUACUUUCAUCACGAGCUGUCCAAACCCAGUCCAACCAAUUAACCUUCAAGAAAUUAUGCCAAACCUCUUUGCUUAUAUCUGUUGUGUCAUUCCAUAAGAAUUGAACGCACCCAUAUGUAAGCACCCGUGAUGUGUCGUCACACUCCAACUGCAAAUUAAAUCGAACAAGACCUUUCAUGGAAGCAUCUCUGACAUCUAAAUGAGACCCUGUCAAACCUUGAAUUAUCUGGAGUUCAUCAAGUGCAUCAUCAAAUGCUCUUCAUUCAGAGUGUCCAACUUAGCAAUAGCUUCAUCAAAAACCUAUUUAUCCAGAUUACAAGCAUGAUCCAGGGGAUUCAGAAUCUUAUAGUAAAAGACGGAGAAGUUAAGUGCAAGCCUCAAGCAGAUAAGACGGGUUGAAGCCAAUUCCACAGCUGCAAUAUCCUACGCUGAUUUUAUAAGCUACGAGAGUGCUCUCCGUCGCCUCUCUCAUCUCGGCUCCGGUCUUGAAUGCUGAUAGAUAACAACGAUAAUCGCUCUUCAUCUUUAAACAAAGCGACUUUGGGUCACUAGCCAUAGCCGAAUGAAUAAGCUACGAAUCCAGCAGACGAAGAGUAUCGUCACAGAUGGAGGAUUGUUGAAACAUAACACGCAUAUAAUGGAAACAGACUCGUGUUGGCUCCUGCCCGCUCCCAAUGGGUAUGGCCCUCAUGCUCAUUGACAUGUUCGAAGACGUCAACAAGCGCACCAUAGACCUUCUGUAGGCAGAGGAUUGGGUUUAAUGGGUUUAGAAAGAAUUUGUGGCAUGUAUGGGUAUGGAAAUAGGUGUGAAUGAUAGCCUUGCAUGCAUGAGGAGUGGUGAAUAGGUUGAAGAGAGUGGGUUUAGAGGAUAGAAAUAUGGGUAUAGUUGUGGGUUUAGAAAAUGGGUACAGUAUUAGUGGGACGGGUAGUGGAAAAAUGGAUUGGAAGGCAUUGGAAAAUGAGGUCUCUAUGGUGGCCAUGCAUGCGUCAAAAAAUAGAAAGGAGUGCAUGGAGGUUAAAUGGAAGGAUGAAUGAUGGAAGUAGCAGCUUGGGUAGGUGUAAGCUUUGGAUUUGGGUAGGUAAAAAAAAUGAGAGAUAGGUAUGAGAUAGCCAAUGAGAGAUCUGCACCAUUUGGCAUUGUGAUCGCUCGGUUUUUGUCGUUUAUUGGAUCAAAACAAAAUUUAUAACCUAAUUCACUAUUCUAUAGCAAUUUGUACUCGAUCAAAAAAUGGUUUUAGUACAAACUACUAUAGUAUAGUGGUAUUUAGGUAUCGUCCACAAGGAUGGAUUAUUCUCGGUAAUUAAGGCUUGAAUGAGAUGAUAAGAAAUGAUUGUGAUCAAGUGAAAUUGACUUGAAAUUGCAUGAUAAAAUUCCAAAAUAACAAUGUAUUCAAAUUGAGAGAAAAAUGAAGUGUAAAAGAGAAGAAAAUUAAUAAGAGGUGAGAUUCUCGGAGUUAGGAUUUUCUAGAAAGCAAUUUCCAUGGCGAAUAAGUGUUGAGAUCUAAUUUUCAUCAAGUUAAAUUGAAAACCUAAAUUUUCAUCUAAACCGAUUUUUGAUUUAGCUUUAGGUCUAGAUAUAAUUUCUCUUCAAAUUAGGUAAUCUAAUCCAAGAGAUCAAUUUGAAUCAUAUAUUCAAUUCAUCUUAAAUUAUCUCCUUAUGAUUCACACGAUGCAACUAUUCAAUCUCAUUAAAUUUAGCAUUAAGAAUUUAAUGAAUCUACCUAGCUUGCAUUGUAGUAAUCAUCCAAGACAAUUUAAAGAGAAGAAUCCCCAAAUUUCAAUUAAUCAAUCAAUUGGAUCAAAUUACCUUUGCAAUUCAAGCUCAAUUCUCUCAUUCACCAUAGAUCUUGUCUCUAGAUUCUCCCUCCUCUGAGAAAAACAAGAUUUAGCCACUCAUGCUUGGAGAUUUGAUCUCAUAAGACAUGUUUGGCUACCAAGAAAAUGAGAGAAAAUGAAGGAAAGUAGAGAAUUAUAUAGAGAAAAGAAAUCUGAAAAGUUCUACAAUUAGAAAAUGUAUCAAAAGUCUUUAAAUGAGUCAAUCACAUUUUUAUUUAUAGGCCAAGGUCAAGAUGACACUUGGCAACAUCUAAGAGGUCUUUCGGAUGCUUCUUCAUCAAGGAAUUUGGAGAAAAUACAUUUUCGCACGAGCCUUAGCAAUUUCGCAUGAUGGUGCGAAGUGGAAAACCAUCAGCUUCAUUUUUGUCUUUCUGGAGCGUUUCGCAUGACUGUACAAAAUUUUCGCAUGGUUGUGCGAAAUUGCUUUUCACUUUUCCCUUAGUAUGCUACAGCCAAACCUAUUCUGUUUCAUUUCACAUGGUCAUGCGAAAUUGAAAAACAUGUUUUUUCGACUCCUCUUUGCAAUUCUUUCCAUUUCUUCAUUUUUAAUCCACCUCUACCACUUUCAAUUCAACUCCAAAUCCCAAUCCAAACCGAUUGCAUUGCUUAUUUCAUUAUGCAUUUGGAUCAUCAUCAACUUUAUUUGUUUUCUUCAAUUUGGUUCAUCUCUUUUGUCACCAAUUUAUCAAAAUCAUACCUUAAAAUGACUUUAAAACUUCAUAAAACUUGUUAGUAACUAUUGCAAGGGCAAAAACAUGUUAAUUGAGUGUUUUAGGCAUAAUUACUACUCAAAAGAUGUGAAAAUCAUGAGAAUUAUUAUCUAAAAUAUGCUCUUUUUGAGUAGUAAUCAUUCCCCCCAACCAACACAUUGCUAGUCCCUUAGCAAUUGUAUGACAAAAAGAAAGAAAAAUAAGGCCAAAGAAAAGAAAUCAUAACUCACAUAAGCAAAUCAUUUGAAAAAAAAAAUGUUUGAAAUUUCCAUAGCAUAAAUGGUUGAUAAACAAGCACACCCUACUAUCCAUAGGUAUCAACAAAAUCCCAACUUAUUUACUAUCUCUAAUAGAAAUAAUAUCAUGCUAAUCAAGGUAUCAAAAACAUAUCCAUCUUCAUUUCCCAAACAAUCUUUGUAAACAAGUCUUGAGUGUAAUUAAGCUAGCUCCCGAAUAUAGUACUCAAAACUAAUCCUCCCCCCAACCUAGCUCAAUUUAUCUCAAACAACAAAAAUCACUCUCUCAUAGGUUAAGAACACACCUAUCUUUAUUUUAUUAUUAUUUUUUUUACAAAUGACUUAUUGUAGGAGUGCAAUGCUAAAGGUAUCUCCAAGUAUAUGGUCCAUGUAGCGGGGAUUCAUCGAUGACUCCCAAUCAUAAGGCAUAGGGCACCAAGUUUAUAGGACUAUUUAACUAGCCACUAACUCCUCAGACUUCACCCCGGACUCCUCAAAUUAGGAUCCAAUACAUUAACACCUACAAUUGAGUUCAUACCCCACCUAUCCACCCAUGUAACAAGCAUUGAGGUCGGUGGCUCCCAACCAAAAUGGCUUAGGGCACCAGGCUUUAAAGACCUUUGGGCCAUAUACCCCUCGGACCUUGCUCAGGUUUCAAGGCAAGCAUAACUCAACAUUUUUAUUCAUCAACUCUUUUUUUUUUUUUUUUUUCAAUUGGGCACAUUGGCCUCUUUUUAAGGUGUCUCAACUCAGUUCAAGAGUAAUCAAUGUUACAAGAUAAUUAAGUCUAAGUCUUAAGGUUAGAAUAGUUUUUCAUCUUAUAUCUGGGGUCUAGAGUGCAUAGUAUGUGUCAAGACUCAAAUAGAAAUGACAAUUUGGAAAAUGAAGACUUUAAAGUCAAAUCAACUUUAAUUCACAUAACCAAUCUUCUAAGAUCAAGCAAAUAAGCUAGUAUUCUAAAUCAACUUUUUUUAAGUUAGGUUUGCUCAUUCAUCAAUCACAAAUGCUAUAGUCAUCUCAAAAAAAUCUCACCAAAUAAGUCACAAAUGUGAUUUAUGAAAAAAAAAAAUUAUAGAAAAACUAAUAACAUAUUUCCUUCUCUUCAUUUUUAACCCUCCCCCAACCUAACUUGUACAUUGUCCUCAAUGUGUAAUGAAAAUAUACAAAGAAAGGAAGGAAAGAUACCUCAAUCUCUCAUGAAUUUCAGUUUCAAUAGCUAAAACAAAAAUAAGAUCACACAUGAGAAUUGUUGGAUAUGAAUGACAUAAGAGAAGAAAAUAUGAAAACAAAUCUAUUAAAAACCAAAAAAAAAAAACUAUGUUAGAGACACAAUGUAUGGAGUAAAAUCAAGGUAUAGAUGAUGACAAUGUCCAAAGAAAACAUGAUUUCAAUGAUAAGUCAAUGAUUCUCAUGGAGUUUUUGAAAAUUUCAGACAAGUGUGCAAACUAGACAAGAAGGUGGUGUGUGUUGCAACCACUUUUUCUUUUGAAAUAAUUUGGCACAAUCAUGCGGAAAUUCGCAUGUACAUGCGAAUUGGUCAAGAGAGCUUUAUCUUAUUAUAGUCUUCAGCAUAAUUUUCGCAUAGUCAUGUGAAAAUUCGCAUGUUGAUGCGAAAUGGAUCUGAGGCUUAAAACUGUUGUAGUCAUCCACAUUAGUUUCGCACAGUCAUGCGAAAACUUCACAUGAGUGUGUGAAGUGGUCCAGAUGGCUCAUUUUACUACAGUCUUUAAGAUGGAUUUCGCAUAGUCAUGCGAAAUGCUCUAGAGGGUUCAUUUUUACAACUAUCAUUUUCAGUUUUGCACAGUCAUGCGAAAAUUUUGCAUGACCAUGCGAAUUGUGACAAAGACUCAUUUUGUACAUUUCCGAAGAUAUGAAAACUCCCCUAUUUUGGCAUGACUGUGUUAUUUUGGCAUGACCUCCCUGUUUUGGCAUGACUAUGCAAAAUGGUGAUGGGCCAUUAAAACUCUUUUUUCCUUUGCUUCAUGCAUUCCAUCCAUCCAGAAAGUCCUUCAAAACACAAGUCAAAGAAUUGAGAUGGAUUUAUUUAAUGGAAACUAAAAAAAAAAUCAAAAUCCAAAGGAAAUGAUAAACCAUUGGGCUAGCUAGCCAUUGACAUGACUAAGCCCAUUAACCUUUGCAUCAAUACUCAAUUUGGAUAUGGCUUGCAAACAAUGAAUGGACCAACUCCUUGGUACUUAAGCUUUCCCAGAAAAAUAUGUGGCUUGAAAUAACCUUCUUUGAACUUGUUCUUUUGAAUAAGUUGGUCAUGCCAUUCCUUGAGUUUCUUUUUCAUGGUCUUUGGAUUAUUUUUCAUACCAUGCUUCAUUUUUUUCACUUUCUUGAAGCUGAAAGACCAUUUCAUUAACUUCAAAGGUUGAAUUUCUUUAUUGAUCCUCCAAACUUCAAUCCGUUCAUUGGAAAUUGCUUCACUAAGUUUUGAAAAAUUAUCUUCAACCUUUUCUUUCACUAGCACUUUCAUAGGCAAUUCAAUCAAAUAAGCCUCCUUAAGUUCCUCCUCCUCCUUGGUACCAUGCUUCUUAUAUGAAUGAAAAAUGUUUAGCUCAAUUGUCAUGUUACCAAAGGUAAGUUGCAUCACCCCACUUCGACAAUUAAUUAAUGCAUUUGCUGUGGCAAGGAAAGGUCGGCCAAGUAUAAUAGGAACAUGGUUGAGUCCACUAGUUCCUUGUUUCAUAUCAAGCACCACAAAAUCAACCGGAUAAUAGAAGAUAUCGAUUUGGAUCAACAUAUCCUCAAUAAUUCCUCUUGGAAACUUAACCGAUCUAUCCGCCAAUGAAAGUGUGAUGGAAGUAGACUUUAGUUCUCCAAACCCCAAUUGCUUAUAUACCGAGUAGGGAAGAAGAUUCACACUUGCCCCCAAGUCUAAAAGUGCUCUUUUCACAAAAGUGUUGUCAAUCUUCACCGAGAUAGUUGGACAUCCCGGAUCCUUAUACUUGAUUGGGGUUUUACAUUGGAUGAUUGCACUAACUUGUUCAGUCAAGAAAGUUUUCUUUUUCAAAUGCAUCCCUCUCUUUAUGGUACACAAAUCCUUAAGAAACUUGGCAUAGGUUGGAAGUCUUAUCAUGUCAAGGAGUGGUAUAUUGACUUUGACUUGCUUGAGAACUUCAAAAAUUUCUAGAGCAUUAUUUACCACUUUCUUGGAUUGAAGAGCCAUAGGAAAAGGUGGAGCUAAGAGCAUAUCUUUCUUCUUAACCUCUUCUUUAACAAUCUCAUCUUCCUUUGAUCUAUCAUCCUCAUUCACCUCUUUCCAUUUUUCUUGUUCUUUCACAUUUUCCUUUUGUUCCCCUCUUUUAUUCUCUUUUGGUUUUGGCAUAGGUUGAUCAACUUGCUUACCACCUCUUAAGGUAAUGACUGCUUUGACUUCAUCCUUCUCAAUAGAACUUUCACUUGUCUCUCCAAUUUCAUGGACUCCACUUGGAUUUUGUUGGGGUUAUGAAGAGAAUUUUCCUUUUUCUUACACUGUAUGCAUGCUUGUGAGUUUAGAAAUAGCAAGCUGCAUAUUAUCAAUCUUUUGUGUGAGAUUGGUUUGCAAGCUAUCAAAUUUCUGAUUGAAAGAUGUCUCCACAUGAUCUAUUCUUUGGUUUACUUGAAUAUUGAUAUUCUUUUGAUCACCAAUAAAAUCACCCAAAAUUUUACUCAAGCUUACAAUAGCUUGCUCAACCAAAGAAAUUUGUUGUGGAGAGUCUUCCAUGACUUGUUGGCUUUGUGAGUAUUGACUUGAAGAAAAUUGUUCUUGUCCACAAUUCCAUGACAUGUUUAGAUGAUUCUCAACAAGUCUUUCCCCCAUAGCUAGUAUUGUAGGACAAUCACUCACUUCAUGUUCUAUAGAUUGACAAUUAGAACAUUGCUCCUUGUAAAUUGGAUUAUCAUAUAUUGCAUUCACCACAUGAAAUCCCUUAGCUUCAAGUUCCUCUAGCCUUUUUGUCAAAGCUACCAUUUUAGCUUGUAGAUCAACAUCUUCAUUCAACAUAUACAUUCCUCCAUUUGAAUUGCUUUGAGACUUGGACUUGUGUAAAUCCCUUUCAUGUGGCUCAUUCCAUGACCUUAAUAUUUUAGCCACAUAAUUCAAGAAUUCAAAAGCUUCAUCGGGACUUUUGCUCAUAAAGCCACCUCCACACAUGGUUUCUAGCAAUUGCUUCAUAGUUGGCGACAUGCCCUCAAGAAGUAACUCACCAACAUCCAUGUGUCAAAACCAUGAUGAGGACAAACAUUGAUUACUUCCAUAUAUCUUUCCCAACAAGCAUAAAAUUUUUCAUUGUCCAAUGCCACAAAGUUGGUAAUUUGCCUCUUCAAGCCACUUGUGCGAUGUAUGGGGAAAAUUUUCUUUAAGAAGGUUGUUUGUAGUUCCAACCAUGACCUUAUGGUUUGGGGCCCCAAUGAGUUGAACCACAACUUAGCCUUAUCCUUCAAUGUGAAUGGAAAAAGCUUCAAUCUCAUAAGCUCAAUGGAUGUGUUUCCCUCAUGAAAUGUAUGAAAAACCUCUUCAAAAUCCUUGAUGUGAGUAUAAAGAUUCUCAUUCUCCAUUCCAUGAAAUUGAGGUAGAAGGGGUACCAAGUGAGUUUUUAUCACAAUAGCCUCAUUAGGAAGAACUAUACAUGAUCCCAUGCCUAUCCUUUGAGGAUGCAUAUAUUCUCUCAUUGAUCUAGACAUGUGAGAAUUGCCAUUGUUUGGUCCUUGUUGAGUUUGUUGAUUUUCCCCUUGAUUUUCCAUUUCCUCAACAAUUGGAUCACAAAACAAAGAUGAUUAGCAAUAUAAGUUUUUUUUCAAUCUCUCCCUUGAAUUUUAUUCUCAAUGUAGUAUGCAAUGGAGAGCCUACAAAACAAGCUUAGAAAAACCAAAACAAACCAAGAAGAACAAAAAGAGAAAUAAAAGAUAAAAAUGGAAAAAAAAAUAAUAAUAAGAAAAAUGGAGAAUCGAUAAAGAGAACUUCACCAAUCUUGUGAUGUGGAUCACAAGGGCUAAUCCUCACCAAAAAAAAAAAUGCCUCAAUCACCUAGGCACCAUCCCCGGCAACAGUGCCAUUUUUGAUUGCUCGGUUUUUGUCGUUUAUUAGAUCAAAACAAAAUUUAUAACCUAAUUCACUAUUCUAUAGAAAUUUGUACCCAAUCAAAAAAUGGUUUUAGUACAAACUACUGUAGUAUAGUGGUAUUUAGGUAUCAUCCACAAGGAUGAAUAUUCUUGGUAAUUAAGGAUUGAAUGAGAUGAUAAGAAAUGAUUGUGAUCAAGUGAAAUUGACUUGAAAUUGCAUGAUAAAAUUCCAAAAUAACAAUGUAUUCAAAUUGAGAGAAAAAUAAAGUGUAAAAGAGAAGAAAAUUAAUAAGAGGUGAGAUUCUCGAAGUUAGGAUUUUCUAGAAAGCAAUUUCCAUGGUGAAUAGGUGUUGAGAUAUAAUUUUCAUCAAGUUAGAUUGAAAACCUAAAUUUUCAUCUAAACCGAUUUUUUAUUUAGCUUUAGGUCUAGAUCUAAUUUCUCUUCAAAUUAGGUAAUCUAAUCUAAGAGAUCAAUUUGAAUCAUAUAUUCAAUUCAUCUUAAAUUAUCUUCCUAUUAUUCACAUGACGCAACUAUUCAAUCUCAUUAAAUCUAGCAUUAAGAAUUUAAUGAAUCUACCUAGCUUGCAUUGUAGUAAUCAUCCAAGACAAUUUGAAGAGAAAAAUCCCCAAAUUUCAAUUAAUCAAUCAAUUGGAUCAAAUUACAUUUGCAAUUCAAGCUCAAUUCUCUCAUUCACCAUAGAUCUUGUCUCUAGAUUCUCCCUUCUCCGAGAAAAACGAGAUUUAGCCACUCAUUCUUGGAGAUUUGAUCUCACAAGACAUGUUUGGCUACCGAGAAAAUGAGGGAAAAUGAAGGAAAUUAGAGAAUUAUAUGAGAAAAGAAAUCUGAAAAGUUCUACAAUUAGAAAAUGUAUCAAAAGUCUUUAAAUGAGUCAAUCACGUUUCUAUUUAUAGGCCAAGGUCAAGAUGACACUUGGCAACAUCUAAGAGGUCUUCCGAAUGCUUCUUCAUUAAGGAAUCUGGAGAAAAUACAUUUUCGCACGAGCCUUAGCAAUUUCGCAUGAUGGUGCGAAGUGGAAAAUCCAUCAGCUUAUUUUUUGUCUUUCUGGAGCGUUUUGCAUGACUGUGCGAAAUUUUUGCAUGGUCAUACAAAAUUGCUUUUUACUUUUCCCUUAGUAUGCUGCAGCCAAGCCUAUUCUAUUUCAUUUCGCAUGACUAUGCGAAAUUGAAAAACAUGUUUUUUCGACUCCUCUUUGCAAUUCUUCCCAUUUCUUCAUUUUUAAUCCACCUCUACCACCUUCAAUUUAGCUCCAAAUCCCAAUCCAAACUAAUUGCAUUGCUUCUUUCAUUAUGCAUUUGGAUCAUCAUUAACUUUAUUUGUUUUCUUCAAUUUGAUUCAUCUCUUUUGUCACCAAUUUAUCAAAAUCAUACCUUAAAAUGACUCCAAAACUUCAUAAAACUUGUUAGUAACUAUUGCAAGGGCAAAAACAUGUUAAUUGAGUGUUUUAGGCAUAAUUACUACUCAAAAGAUGUGAAACUCAUGAGAAUUAUUAUCUAAAAUAUGCUCUUUUUGAGUAGUAAUCACAUUGCAACACCCUUAUUUUGUUAUACCCAUUUGUAUGCUUAUCCUUUACAUAAGGAGCUUGUCUGACACCUUUAUAGAAGCGGACAAAAAGCAUGGCUUGCUUGUAGAUCCAGUGCAACUUUCAGUAACACCCAACCCCUAUCAUUUUGACCCAAAAGGAUCUAUACCUAUGAUCAUUGAACUCAUUCCAUUUUGAGAACAAUCUUCAUGAACUCAUAAACGAAAUAACUUAUUGAAACUGAAGGUAGCACCUGUGGUAAGCCGAUUUCAAUAUAUCAUGCACACCAUAGAAAAUUGCACCUGAAGGUGCCAUACUUAUAGUGGAAGGCACCAAACCCUUGUAAAUGGAGAAGAAUCCUUCAGUUCGGAUCAUAUGGAGGAAAUGCCAAUAACACUACCCAAGGCUUUACCACCCGGUGCCACCAUCUUGGUCUGGAUUUAACAUGGUACCCAAUAGUAAGCGGAGUAUGGUAGUAGUAAUUCUAGCUGCAUCACCAGCAAUUGUCUUAAUUAGCUCAAAUAUAUGCUUCUGUUCACCAUGAACUAUAUAUUCCAGCUUUAGUCUCCUUUGAUUGCAUAUCAUUUCCUCCACAAAACUUUCGUUUACUAUCAUCAAACUGCCAUCCUAUACCACAAUGGUCCCAUCAACCCUACUGACCAUCCAAAUGUCAUUAAAUGAGCUAGAAGCUGGGGACUCUCAACAGCAAGAGCACCUUGAGGUUGAAUGAAUUUAGAAUAACCCACUGAAAACUCUUAUAUAGCUUCUUUAGGUGGAGAUGAGGAAGGAGAAUAGCCAAAAUAGAGCACAACAGAGUGAGCAAAGCAUUAAGUGGGAUCCCCCUUUCAUAUUGAAAUCAAGGGGUUCCAGCCAGUGGUGCAACAGGAGAGUUUAAAACAAAGAUCCAAAUGAGAGCAUCAAUAAACUCCCACCAUGGGAGUGAGCCAUAUUCAAAAAAACAAAUAUAAGAGAAAAGUAAUGCAUCAUCACAUACCCAGACAAUCGUCCAAUGCUUAGAAAAAAAAAAAAACCAAAACAACCAGAGAAGAUGGAAGAUAAAGAAAACAGAGUGAUGAGUGAAAAUAAUCCAAAAAGCUAUAUCAAAUGUACCUAGAAAUGCUCUUUCCAAUUUUCUUUUCUUCCCAACUACCUUCAGCAAACUAGAUUUGCUUUCUCUCCUCUGCUCCUAAUCAAACUACACCCUCAAGCAAUCUGAAAAAUGCAAUCCUCUCUCUCACAACCUCAGCGCACCAACCAUCUCUACUUCUCUCAUUGUUGCUCCAACUCCUUACAAAAAUAUCCCCUCUUUGUCUCUCCUCCCAAGCUCUUUCUCUCUCUCUCUCUCUCACUUCUCCUCAGCUAUGCUCUCUCAAUCCCUCUAAAAAAAAACAUCCUUCUCUCGCUCCUCUGUAACCUCAAACUUUUCUCUCAAGCUAAAGGAAACUUCUCCCCCCGAUAUCUCCUCUCCUCCCUAGCAACCAAAAAUACCCCUCCUCUGCCAGAAUGCCUCACCUUCUCUCUCCUACGCUCCUCCAUAACGGCCUGAAGAUUCUUAUGCCAUGCAUCAGCCGCUGAUUGCCUUCAGAAAAGAUCACUGCCUAUCCAUCCUCUCAUGCACAUGUUGCCAAAAAUAAAAAAAGGUGGUAAAGAAUGCUCCCUAAAAUGCCCUUACCUAUAAACCAAAACGAGGGUUUUACAGGCGCACAAUAUUUGUGGAAAAAUAUUCUUUGCUGAAGAAUAUUUUUUAAAGAUCAAUUGAAAGCCUAAAGCAGCUUGUUCCCAAAUGAAUUUAUUGAAUGGUGAAAAACACGUGUGUUGCGAUUUUUUGGAUUUGUAGGGGGUAUUUUAUAAAGCUUUUUUCUCUUUGUGAAACUCCUUUUCAUAUGUGAAAUUGUUUUAUUUUUAUUUUAUCAUUUUCAUUGAAGGAAGUUGCAAAUAUUUAUAGAUAAAAUUUUAAAAAAUAAAUUUAGAAUUUCUAAGAUUUGAUUACUUAAUUAAAAAAAAAAAUUGGUUUCUUGAUUUUAGCAACUUGUCUUCUUCAUUAAGGAAGUUUGCUAACAAGAGAAUAUUUACUUCUCAUUUUAUUUUGACUUCAAUUGGAAGACUUGUUUCAUUUGUUUACAAAAUUUUCCAACAAGAAAAUAUUUAUUUCUAAUUCUCUUUUGAUUUCAAUUGUUUGAUUUGAUUUGAUUUUGCAAGACUUUAUUUUAUAGCCUUCCAAAUUUCACUACGUGUCAUUUUUUGAAUUGAAUGCCACAUGCUCAAUAUAUAUGACUCAUCACUUAUUAAGCCUGAGUUUUGUUGAGCUAAAGAGUUACAAUUUUGAAGACUAAUUUGGUAGUAUUUUAAUCCACUAAAAUUUUUUGUCUACAAAUGCCCCCUCUUCAAAAUAGAUCACACACAUGCAUUGUAAUGUAUAAGAGGUGAGUCUUGAAGUUAGCCUUUUGAAUCUUCAAUAUCCUUCUUUGAUUUUUUUUUUCGAAGAAAUAUUUUAAUAGGAAUUUCCUAUUCAAAAUACUUUUCUUCAACUUUUUUCGAACAUUGCUUUAUUUAUUUAUUUUUUUUCUACCUCGUAUCAAAGAAAAACCUUGUGUUAAUGGGAAAGCUUCUUAUUUGAACAUCUAUUGUCUUUUCUCAUGGUAUUUCACUUCCAAUUUGUCAACCUAGAAGAAGUCCUUCACCCUAGCUUGUUCAAUUGCAUCUUAGACUUGGUCACAUGCCUUUAACUUGCAAUUCUUCCUCCACUUUGUCUUUUUCUUUUUUAUUUGUUUAAAAAAUAGUACAAAAUAUUUGAGCAAGACCAUAAGCAAGAGAAGAGAGGUGGUGAAUGGAGCACCAACUAACCUUAGGUCAAGAUCUUGAGCAAGAGAAGUAAGGUGGAGCGUAGAGCACAAACUUCUCUAGAGCAUGGUAGGCAUACCAUCAUGGAGUUGUCUUCUGCAUGGAGCAUGGUAGGGCAUUAUAUAUAUGAUAGGGUGGGCCAUUAUGUAACAAUGAAGAACAAAAAUCCAUGGUGUACAAUUGGGAACAACAAUUCAUGCUAUCAAGCUUCAACCUUUUUUUUUUUGUUUUUUUUUUAAUCCCUAUCUCCACCCCCCGACCCAAUAUUUUUUCAAGUUUCCAGAUUCCUUUUGAUUCUUUCUCAUUUUAUUUUUUUCAACUCUUUUUUUUCCUCCCUUUUUAACCAUUGUUUUUAAGGAAGAAAUAGAUUCACCAUCCCUUACCACAAGGUCAAUCUCCAUUGCUUGCAAAGACAAAUUUGCUUUUUGGUGUUUUUUUUCUUCAAAAAUUAUCUUAACAUUUUAAGAUAUAUAUAUAUAGAUAUAGAUAUUUAAAAAACUUAAAUAUCCAUAAUAAAAAUAAAUAUUUAAGGCUCUUGACUUGUUUAAAUUGGCUUGACUUGGAUACUUAGCGGGACCAUACUUAACACCCAUGUAGAUGAGCUAUAAUCUUGAUGGUAGGUUGUGUUGUAUUUUUUGACAUUUAAUGUGGCUUAAGAGUUAAAGUCUUCACUCAUGCAAAUUAGCUUGGUUUGGAUGCACAAUGGUCUCUAACUUCUUAAUGCUUAAUUAAACUUGGAACCAUAUUUAACACCCAUGUAGACAAGUCAUAAUCAUGACAUGGAGCACUAUUUUAUUUUAACUCUUAAUGCAACUUAAAUAUUAAAGUCUUCACUCAUACAAAUUAACUUGGGUUAGAUGCACAAUGGUGUUCAACUUGGUAAAAUUAAUUAAAAUUGAAACAUUUAACACCCAUGUAAACAAGUCAUAACUUUCACAUGGAACAGUGUUGUAUUUUUAGCUUAAUGUCGCUUAAGUGUUAAAGUCUUCACUGAUGUAAAUUAGCUUGGCUUAGAUGCAUAGUAGCAUUCAACUUUUUAACACUUAAUUUAAAUUCAUACCAUAUUGAAAACCCAUGUGGACAAGACAUAAUGAGAAAAUAAAUGGCUAAUCUAAAUAGAUAAAAAUACCUAACAAGGAAGGAGGGGGGUGAAUUGGAGUUUAAAAAAAAAAUAUAUUUUUAAACACAAUAAAAUUAAGUACAAGAAGCACAAAUAUAAAGAGAUAAGUUAUAGAAAUCAAACUCAGAUUUAUAGUGGUUCGACACUUCCUUGCCUACAUCCACUCUCCUCAAACUCCUAACCGAGUGAGGGUUCCACAUAUACUUGAAGCUUCAACCAAGCUUCUAAUCACUUUUUACACUUGGAUUUUAGCUCCAAUGGGCUCUUACACAUUCUCUUCAAGUCUCUACUCACUUGAAGAUUUUAACACACAAUUAACAGUUUGAAACUCUCAACCUAGCUCAACAAUGGCUCAAAUACAACUCAAGGCUAGGAUGAAUCACAAAGGUGCAUUAAAUAAUAUGCAAAUGAAGAUUUAAUGCACUGAGAAAAGAAUGAGAGCUUUUAUGGCAAGAACAAGUAGGUAAACAAAUCAAUGGAGGUGUUCUCUUACUCAUAAAUGAAGUGGAACUCUCAAUUUAUAGGUUUCUAAUCUCGGAAGCUAAAAAACCAAAAAGUAACCUCGAUUGGUCGAGUUAGGGGUCGACAGGUUCACUAGUCGUUAGAGCAUUAAAUGCGUGGCAGGUGAUCGUUACCCUCGACCGGACCUUGACUGGGAAGGCAAAUCUCUCAACUGGGAAAGAAAGGCUAUUGGAAGAGAGAAGGCUUUUUGCAUCUUUUGACUAGACCUCAACCGAGAAGGAGCAACUGAUCGACCAGUACCCUAGCCGGUUGAGCCGGUUGGCCAGUGCCUCAACCAAUUCACCAUUUUUUGGCCCUAAAACCUAUCUUUUUGUGGUCUUUUUUGCUUCUAACACUUAAACAAGGUCUUUAGGUAAAAUAAUAUGUCAAUUUUGAAACGCUUUGCCUAAGGUUCAUUUGAUAGAACUCGGAUUUUGAUGGAAAUGUGACUUUAAUGCGUAAACCGAGUUUUAAAAGAUGUAUGAAAUGAUAUGAAAAUUCUAAGUACACUCAUGCAUUCAUUUUACAUAGUUUUCUAUAAUUAAAAAGUCUUUCAAAAGUCUUGAUCUUGCAUCCAUUAGAUCAUUUGAUUAAUUUCCAAAUUAAUAUUUGAAAUUCUUUAUAAUUCAAACCAAUUAGUAACUUAACCAUGGUUUGUUAUCAUCAAAACAUGAUUAGGAGAACCCUUGGGCUAACACAUAACAUUGUAGCAAUGUUAUAUUUUUUACACUUAAUGCAGUUUAAGUUCUAAAAUCUUCAUUUCUAUGAAUUGGUUCACCUUGGAUGCAUAGUGGUGUCUAAAUUAUAAUACUUAAUUAAAAUUGAAACCAUAUUUAACACCCAUGUAGACAAGUCAUAACUUUGACAUGGAGUGGCAUUGCAUUUUUGACACUUAAUGCAACUUAGGUGCUAAACUUUUCACUCAUGAGAAUUGGUAUGGGUUGGAUGCAUGUGGUGUCGAACUUUUUAACACUUAAUUAAAAUUGGAACCAUAUUUAACACUAUCUAGAUAAGUCAUAACCUUGAUGUGAAGCGACAUUGUAUUUUCAACACUUAAAGCAACUUAGGUGCUAAAGUCUUCACCCAUGCAAAUUAGUUCAUCUUGGAUGUACAAUGGUGUCCCAUUUUUUAACAUAUAAUUAAAAUUGGAACCAUAUUUGACACUCAUGUAGACAAGUCUAGCCAUGAUGUAAAGUAGUGUUGUAUUUUUAAAACUUAAUGCAGCUUCAAUGGUAAAGUUUUUACUCAUGUGAAUUGGCUUGAUUUGGAUGCACAAUGAUGCCUAACUUUUUAACAUUUUAUUAAAUUUGGUAUCAUAUUUAACACCUAUGUAGACAAGUCAUAACCUUAAUGUAGAGGUGCUGUAAUAUUUUUGGUACUUAAUGCCGCUCAAGUGCUAAAGUCUUCACUCAUGUGAAUUUUUUUGGUUGAGAUGGACGUCUCUAACAUUUUAACAUUUAAUUAAAAUCAGAAUCAUAUUUAACACUCAUGUAAAAAAGUCAUAACCUUGACACAUAGUAAUAUGCAAUGUUUUAACAUUUAAUAUGACUUAAGUGCUAAAGUUUUCACUCAUGUGAAUUGGCUUGGCUUGGAUGCAUAAUGGUGUCUAACAUUUUAACACUGAAAUUAAAAUUAGAGUUAUAUUUAAUAAUCAUGUAGACAAGUCAUAACCUUGACGAGAAGCAAUAUUGUCAUUUUGACACUUAAUAUUGCUUAAAUGCUAAAGGCUUCACUCAUGCAUAUUGACUUAGCUUGGAUGAACAAUGGUAGCUAACUUUUUAACACUUCAUUAAAUUUGGAUUAUGGUUAACAUCCAUGUAGAAGAGUGAUAAACUUGAUGCAAAGUGAUGUUAUAUUUUUGGUACUUAAUAUAGCUUAAAUACGAAAAUCUUCACUUCUAAUAAUUAACUUGGCUUGGAUGCAUAGUGGUGUCCUACUUUUUAACUCUUAAUUGAAAGUGAAAUCAUAUUUAACAUCCAUUUUAUGCUAGUCAUAAACUUGAUAUAGAGCAAUGUGCAACUUUUUAACAUUUAAUGCAACUUAGGUGCUAAAGUCUUUACUCAUAUGAAUUAACUAAACUUAGAUGCAUAUUCGUUUCCAACUUUUUUAAUACCUAAUUAAAAUUAAAACCAUAUUUAAAAACCAUGUAGACAAAGGCAUAAUCUUAACAUGGAGCAGUGUAUAACUUUUAGCACUUAAUUAAAAUUGGGAUUAUACUUCACAACCACAUAUUCCUCCUCCUAUUUUUCAAUUUUUUCUUGUGGUGAUGAUUGAACUCAACUAGUUUGUCCAAGUUACCUGCAUACCUUAACAGAGAGGGGAUCAAGUCAAACUUAGUUCAAAGUAUUUUUUUAAUAUCUAACUUUUGCCAAGGCUAAUGAUUUUAAUCUUGAAAGCUUGUCUUAACUUUUGACUAUAUAUGUAGUGUUUUCAAGUUUCAAUUUAGCGACCUAUGAAUUGUACAAAUUGAAAAUGACUUCACUCAUGUGUAAAAAUAAAAGAUAUUCAUUCAUAGUUUUAGGGCAACGAAAAGUAAUCGACCCUUUUUUGCAUUAUUAUUAUUAUUGUUGUUGUUAUUAUUAUAAUUAUUAUAUUACCUUAAAAAAAAGACCUUCUCCAAAAAAUUUAAUCUACAAGUACUUGGAUUCUAUUUGAAUAUAAAAAGAGCCACUCAUAUGCAUGAAUUAAAUAUAUGUCCCAUGGAUAAGUUGUACUUAGCCACGGCUGAAGCUUUCCAUUAUGACUUGAAGGGAAAAAAAAAGAGAGGAGAAUAAUGUCAUUAAAAAACUGAUUGCCAUGUGCCUAUGCCUGCCAGUAGAUGGCUGAAAACUAGUUCUAUUCUUUUGUUUUUGCCUCUACUAAUGAACCAUAAUUGAGAGAUUCAUUGGCAACUAUCGUAUAAACAAUGGUUCAUAAAUUACUUUUAAAUUUUGAUAGCAAAGACUCAAAAUGUAAAACCAUAAAAAAUUUGUUCUAUUCCCAAAUUUUUUUAAAUAAUAAAUUAAUGCACAUGACUGUUUUCACAUCUUAUUCUCAUUUCUAUCAAUGCAAUAAUUGUAAUCAUCUUAUCUAUUAACAUGGCCUAGAGCCAUAGAGCUUCCUUUUCUUUAGUCCUAGAGCCAUUUCAGCUAAGAGUAGUCUUUCCUUAGCAUUUCCGGUCCAAAGCUUCCAUUUCUUUAGGCCUAGAGGCAUUUUCAGUCCAGAGCUGCUGUUUCUUUCGGCCUACAACCAUUUUCAGCCUGAAGCUGCCUUUCUUUAGCAUUUUCAGCCCAGAGCUACCUUUCCUUGGCAUAUCAGCCCAAAGCUUCUAUUUCUUUAGGCCUGGAGCCAUUUCAACAUACAACAUUGGUUUCUUUGGCCGGGCCUUGAGCCCUUUUCAACCCAGAACUGUCAUUUCUUCUAAAUAACUUCUCUUUUAAAAAACUUCAAUUUGUCUUUCCAAUAAAAAAAUUUAAGGCUUUGUUCUAGGUUUCAAGAAGCUGGCAUAGAAAAAAAAAAGGAAAAAAAAAAUUCUUGAUGGCAUAAAGUAGGACAUGGCCGGGAUAGUUUGAAAUACAUAAUUUUCCCCAUUCAAAUGCAAAACAUAUUAAAAGAACAUUUGGCAUGAUUUUAUGAAGUGAUUCUAUCUUUUCUAAUACUUCAAAGUUAUGAAGUGAUUCUAUCUUUUCUAAUACUUCAAAGAUAAAUUUUUUUGAAGUAUUAGAAAAAUUAGAAACAUUUCUUAAAAUCACUACCCUUAACUAUAUUUAGAUACUUUAACCAUUUCAAAUGCUACAUGUUGUUUCCUUCUACAUUUCCUCUUUAUUUUGUUUUUCUCUUACAUUUUUCCUCAAAUUUUCUAAAAACCAAACAUAACCUAAAAGAAAAGAUAAUUUGACUUAUUUUGAAAGUUCUUUAUAUAUAUAGUUUAUAUGGAAAAUUGUUUCAUGUUAAUUUAAUAAAGCAUUUAUAAUAUUGAGAUCGCUCUUUCAUAAUCAUAAAUUAACCUUUAGUUUCAACUUCUACAAGAGGCUAAAUGAAAAAAGCUAUCACAGAGGAGGCCUCAGCCAAUGAGUAAGAUGCACUGUUGUACCAAACAAUAGGUGGAAAAUACAAUUUUAUUAAGACUCUGAGACAAAAAAAAAAAAAAAAAGGAUGAUUUUACACUCAAAACAAGGAUUUAUUUAUAAUGAAGUGCAGUCUCCAUAUGCACAUGUGACUGCAUUUACAGCAUAAAGAAAGACAAGGAAAUUAACAAAUGUUGGACUCAUUGGAAAAUCAUACAAAUUAUUGAAGGAGGACCUUAGCUAAGCUAACUGUCUCCUAAAUUGCCCAUCUUUUAUAUAUAUUUGCAUUCAUCCGUCUCAUCAUCGUCUUUGAUUUUAGAUGGUGAGGAUGUGAAAGUAACAGGAAGCAGUGGACGAUUGUUCACUGUGAGGCUUAGCACAUCAGCUCUCGAAUAAUGUCCUACCACAUCGAACUGGAACUUUGCUUUAGGAAUCUCUCCACGAACAUCUGCAUAUCAAGUGAUCAUCAAAAUAUUUGAUCAGCCCUUUUAAAUAUCAGAGAGUAUCAAGUCUUCCAUAAAACCGUGUUUGCAGUCCUUUUAAACCUAAAGAAUUCACUCAUUUGCCUUAUCUGCAUACUGAAAUAUUUGGAUAUACAAUUGGAGAAGUUAGGGCCAUACCAAGAUCAGCUGUGAAGAGGCCUUCUCCUUCAUAAUUCGGUCCUGCUAGAAUUUCGCCAUGGGGCGAAAUGAUGACACUACCUCCUGCCCAAACAAUGGAAUCUGGAGUGACAUCUUCUUCUGUAGGACUGUAAAGAUACUCAGGUGGAGGUGGGUAAUCUUUCCUCCGACAGAACUGGAUGGGUGAAAGAACAUAGCAUCCACCCUCAAUAGCAACGUGUCUCAUUGUAGCUACCCAUGUAUCCCCGGAAUCGGCAGUAGGAGCACAAUAUAUCUCAAUACCUAUAGAGAUGUACAUUCGUAUUUUGUGAUCAAUCAAUCCCAUAUCAAAGCCAUAAUGUAUUUCAAGCCUAUUUAUAGGCUAAAACCCUAACAACUUAAAAAAGAGUACUGAAGUAUUUCAAGCCAAACCAUAUUAGUUAGUGAAGAAAAAGACAUACCUUUGCCAUACAUUGCUGUCCUUAGAAGCGGCAUUCUAUUUUCCCAACAAAUGACCGAACCAAGUUUUCCAUAUGGAGUGUCAUAAACUGGAGUUGUCGAGCAAUCUCCGAAACCCCAGACGAGCCGCUCCCAAUAUGUUGGCAUGAGUUUCCUAUGUUUUCCAAGGUAAUUACCUUUAGGAUCAAAGAAGAGAACAGUGCAAUACAAUGUGUAUCCCUCUCUCUCAAUAACACCUGUCACUAAGUAGACUCUGUAUUUCGCAGCCAUUGAUGCCAAUCUAUCAACUUCAGGUCCUGAAAAUACAUUAAUUUGAGAUUAAAGAUGAAACAUGUCAGCUGAAGGUUCAUCACAAAGCAGCAUAAGUAGAUUUUGUUUCAACAACUUAUUAAGUGGCUCAGUUCUUUAGCUAUUUAAGGGAGAAAAAGAGAGGUAAUUGACCCGGAACAUUAAUGGCAGAAGCAUGGUACUUGCGGAAACUUUCUUUCCCUCUUGGCGACCGGUCAGCGAAGUUAUAUCCUCGGGGAUACCCACCGAUAAAUGCUUCAGGAAACACAACCAGUUGGGAUCCCAGUGCAGCUGCUUCUUUCAAAAACCUCUCAGCCUUAUCUGCUCUCAAAAUCACAUUGCAAGAAGUAAAUUAAUUGGUUGAAUGGAGAGAAUGAAAAUUAACUUUUAAGAGAUCCCGAAUGACUUUUUGGUUGCUGAGAAAACUCAAGGAAAAACAGACCUAGAUGAAACUUGAAACUCUCAUAUUUUCAGCUGUUUUGUAACUAAGAAAAGAGAAACCACCUCAACUCAACUCAUCAAAAUAAUUGUAAAAGCAGUAAUUCCUUGAUUGGCAGCUGAAAAUAUGAUCAGGGUUCAAUCAUCCUUUUCUUUUUUUCAGUCUCUGAGAAACCAAUUAGAUCACAUAUUCCAUUACACAAGUUGCACAAUUGAAAGAAAUGGUACGUUACCUAGAGUGGCAGGAGUAUCAUAAAAGAUACUAGAAGCUUGAACAACGGUGGCUCUAACAGUUGAAGACAUUGCAGAAAAUUGUAUGUUUUUUCGUUUCCCCUUUGUUUGAGGAUUCCUCACACUGCGUUCAGUAUAUAUAUUGCCCAUGACAUUGUGGACCAGCCACUUGACUUAUACAAAUUGAAAAUGACUGAGUCAUCUGUGAAAAGCAAUUUAAGAUAACAUUCAAAAUUAAUAAGCUUUAAUUUUUAUUUAUAUAUAUAUAUACAUAAUCUACAAGUUGUUAUCAUUAUAUUUGAAUAAAAAGAGGGACCCGCCCACAUGCAUGGAUUCCAUCCAUCUAGCACACAGAUAAAUUGUCUUUAGUGGCGGCUGAGGCUUUCUAUGACUUAUACCAUAUAUCUAUACACCCCAGUAUAUAGCUAAAAACUGGGUAAUGUAUUGGCCCCUACCUAAAAUUAUUGAUUGAUUCAAUGACAGCUAUCUGAGAAAAAUAAAAAAGGGAGAACUAUUCUUACGCUUGCCUUGAUUUAAGCAAAUAUACUUUUAAUUAGGAAUUCUAAUUUUCAUAUUUUACCCCAAACAGAUAAUCAAUAAAAUUAUUCUCCAAAUAUGUAUUUUAAUAGCAACAAAAAUGAGAAUUCCAUAAUUAUCCCUUUUAAAAUCUUUAAUAUGACAAGUCGUAAUUUAAUGUGUUUGGUAGCUCUCCUUUUUCUUUUUUUCUCCUCUACAUCACUUUCUCCAUAUAAUGUCUUUGAUAUCCUCUCCAUAUCAUGUUGUUGAUAUCCUACCUUUGACAUUUUUUUUUAUCUAUGUGUUGAAGUGACUACACUUUUAGAUUUCUUUUCACUCUUUUAAUAUUUUCAUAUAUAUUUAUUAACUUUAAUAAAUUUUUGAAAACAUUAAACAUAAAAUUAUAAUAUAUGAUAAAUAAUUAAUGAUAACAAAUUAAAUAUAAAUAUAAGUAUGAAAUGGACAAAAAAUAAAAAAUUUAUCCUACAAAUAAUAGACUAUAUAGUUUAAAAUAUUAGUUAUAAUAAUAUAUUUGAUACUUUAGAGUUUAGAUUAAAAAAUUAUGUUUUAUUUUUUAGAGGUUAGCAUAUAAUAUUUCCAUUAAACAAAGAUUUUUUUAUAUGAAUCCUAAAUAAAAUGUUUAUUUAUUUUGCAAAUUCUUAUCAUAUGCGAUAUAUAUAUAUAUAUAUAUCAUGUUAUUUAUAAUUUUUAUUAUUUUGUGUCAAAAUCACAGUCAAUGAUGAUAAUUUUAGUUAGUAUAGAGCUCUUAAAAGGAUGAUAUGAUGUAACAAAUAUGAAGUUAUUAAUUAUUUACUGAUAUUCUGGUUUUACUUUUAUUAAUCCUUAUUCCAUACAUUAUAUUUUAUGAGCAUCCUAGUUUGACAUUUCUUAUACUAUACAUGGCUUAGGUGCAUUAGAAGUUGCACGGAAGAUCCAAGUUAUAGAUUCCUUUUUUAAUUCAAUAUUUUAAAAAAAAAAUUAUACUUUCAGUCAAUGUCUCAUAUUUCAAACACGUACACACUCUAGAAUUUCUCGAAUUGUAGUCUAGAAUGUCAACUUAGUGUUUGAUGAAAAAAGGUAUAAACAAAUAUAUGAAAAAAGUAAUCAACAAGCAUAGGAUUCUAUUUGAAUAAAAAAGAGCCACUUACAUGCAUUGAUAAAGGAAACUCCAACUCAGCUAGCAUACAAUCCAUGCCAAAGCAGAAUCUUUACGUAAGAAGUUGAUAAUGCAAUUUGCCAGGAAGGAAAACUACUCUCCAUAUUUGUAAUGUGGAAAAUCAAGGUUGGAAGGAAAUUUUCACUUACUUAUUCUGUAUAAUAUUCCCUUUUUUUUUUUUUUUUGUAAAGAAAGUAUGUAUUGUUUAUUUAUUUUUUAGAAAACAAUUAGUAAAGUGUGGUGCGAAUUCAACCUUUCAAAAAUAGUUUCUAUUCUUCAUGGUAUCGGAGCUAGUUAAUCUAAAACAAUCCAAAGCUUCCAUGGAAACCCCAGAAAAUGUUCUUAGCAUUCAGGCUUUUCAUCAAUGCUCGAGCCUCAUCUCCAUCAAACUGAAUAUGUCCAAUCUCCUUUUGUGGCACUCACAAGUUCUUCCUCUUGUGCGAAGCCUUGGAUUAGUCCAUCAUCUCUCUGAAAAUAGACACGCAUAAGAGGGGAUAAUGGAUAGUGAAACAAAGGAGACCUAUGAUUAGUCAAUAGAGACAUGGUCUCACAAUGAUGAUCUACUUACCUCCUGGCUUCUUGGACCCAUGACAGAAGAAGUGAUUCUUUUAUUGGAUGGAACAGAGAUUGCCUAUGAUGUUUGGAACUCUCUGGAAGAAAAACUCCUUCCAAUGACCAAAGAGAAGGAUAUGCAAUUGACCAAUAGACUCCGAGGGCUGAAGAAAGGCACAAGGUCCCUUGAUGAAUAUCUAAGGGAGUUCAAAGAAAUUUUUGAUGCAUUAGCUACAGUUAGAAAACCAGUAAGUGACCUAGACAAAGUUUUUCAACUAGCUCAAGGUCUCAUAACUAAAUACAUGGAUUUUCGGGUGGCCAUGUUAUCAAAGCCACCAUAUCCCUCUUACAAUCAAUUUGUUCUGGCUCUACAAGGGCAUGAACAAAUGAUUAUGAUAGAAAAUGAAGAGAACAAAGAGUCAAUAAACCAUGAACAAGCCUAUUUUACCCAAUGAGGAAGACGAAGAAAUCAAGGAGGAAGAUUUCUUUCUAGAGGUCAUGACUUCAUUCUAGCAAGACGAUUCAAUCACAAUGCUACCAAUGACCAAAGGCAGAAUGUUCAUCCCAACACCAGAAAUCCAAGAAAUAGCUUCAACAACCAGCUUCCACCAGAACAAAAACUCCAAAAAUCUAAAGGUACUCUUAUUUACCAAAUUUUUAAUAAAGCUAACCAUUCAGCUUUGGAUUGCUAGAACAGAUUCAACUAUUUGUAUCAAUCAGAAGAGAUUCCUCAAGCUUUGGCUGCUAUGGCUCUAAAUGAAGAAGAUAAGGAUCCUAAUUUUUAUGUGGACUCGAGAGCAAAAACCCAUAUAACAAAUGACCUAGGUAAGAUUACCCAAGUAAUUCCAUAUAAAGGGCAUGAUGCAAUUUUUGUUGGAAAUAGAGAAGCUGUAAGAAUCUCACAAAUUGGUGAAGCUAGACUAAAAACUAAACAUAUAGAUCUAAAGCUUAAAAAAUUAUUGGUUAUUCCAAAAAUUAAGAAAAAAUUGUUAUCCAUUGGACAACGUACCUCUGAUAACCCAUGCUCCAUAGAAUUCUCAUCAACUAGUUUUGUCAUUAAGGAUCAACUUCAACAAGUGCUAGCUAGAGGAACUAAGAAGAGAGGUCUCUAUGCAUUGGAGGAAAAUGUGAUUCAAGCCAUGAUAGUUACUAGGUCUAGCAAGGCACCAUAAGAAGUGUGGCAUCAACGCAUGGGGAAUCUGCAAACAAAAUCUAUAAAGCUUCUACAAGAUAAGAAUUUCAUUGAAGUAUCUAGUUGGAUGAAAUCAACAAUAGUUUGUGUUAGUUUUCAAUUAGGAAAAAGUUGUAAAGUUUCUUUUGGCUUAAAAAAUAAAAUUUCCAGCAAUCUUCUUGAAAAAAUUCAUUGUGACUUAUGGGGACUUGCACCAAAUAAUUCAACUCAAGGAUACAAGUAUUAUGUUGUCUUUAUUGAUGAUCAUACUCACUAUACAUGGCUUUAUCCCUUGAGAAGAAAAUCAAAUUUCUAUGAAUGUUUUUUGAAGUUUCAAAAUCUGGUUGAGAAUCAACUUGAAAGAUAGAUAAAAAUCUUCCAAAGUGAUGGUGGAGGUGAGUUUCAAUCAAUUAAAUUUCAAAAUCACCUAAGCAAGUGUGGAAUUUUGCAACGAGUCUCAUGCCCAUGAACUCCAGAACAAAAUGGGGUUGUAGAGAGAAAGCAUAAACACAUUGUUGAAAUGGGUUUAACAAUGCUUUUCAAUGCCAAAUUACCAUUGAGUCUAUGGGUAGAUGCAUUCCAUACUGUCGUAUACCUUAUUAAUCGACUGCCUUCCAUGGUGUUGAAAAUGUAGAGUCCAUUCUUUAUGUUUUUCAAACAAUAUCCAGAAUAUAGGAGCUUGAGAAUUUUUUGUUGUCGAUGUUUUCCAUACCUUUGAGACUACGGGAAGAAUAAAUUCUCACCUAAGAUAUCUCCAUGUGUUUUUAUUGGAUAUAGCUCUCUACACAAGGGUUAUAGAUGCUUGCAUCCUUCAACUAAAAGAGUUUACAUAUCUCAUCAUGUCAUCUUCAAUGAAAAUUGCUUUCCUUAUGCUAACUCUCUUGUUAAGAAAAAUCAUUUACAGAUUCCUAUAGAAAUGGUAUCAUUCUCAACUUCAGAUGUUUUUUGUGAGACUUAAAAAAUGGAUCACCAAACUAAGUCUUGGAAGGAGAACACUGCUAACCAAUCAAGCAACUCCAAGAAGUUCAACCAUUGGUCAUGCACUACUAGGUAAAGAAACUGGUUUAGUGUUGACGGAAGAAUUUCUACUAGUUGUAUUACUAACCAAAAUACAAAAGCAUCAUGUGUUAAUCCGACUGGAACUCCCACUACUAUUACUGUUGAAAUUUCCACUAUUGUUACUAGUAAAAAUGACCAUAAUACCGUCAUUACUACUGAAACUCCCACUGAUGUUGCUCUUGGUUCUAGUGGCCACAAUUUCAACACUGCAACUACUAUUGGAACACUCUCCUAGAUUGAGUCUACUAGUAGCUACAAGCCUGCCAAUGUUAGUAAUUUUCCUUAUAUCAGUAAGCACCUAGUAGUUGAUCUCUCUUUCCCUUAAAAAUGGCAGAAAAAUGAGCAUGUUGGUUCAUCUCCGCAAAACAAAUCCACCAGUCACAGUGUUGAUGAUGAAGUUCCUGAUAUUAGCAAGCAAAUUGUUGUUGACAUCUCUUCUCCUCAGGGCUAACACAUAGAUAACAAAGAAACUCAUAUGAUCACCAGAAGUAAACUCAAGAAUGAUCCCAGUUUAAAGUCUCAAAUGGUUACUUUUGUUGCCAUAAGAAGUAAUAUUAGUGAGCCAAAAACAUAUUGUACAACAUUGAAAAUUCCCUAUUGGUUCAAACAAUGCAAGAGGAAAUUAAGGAUUUAAUCCAAAAUCGAACAUGGGAUUUGGUUCCUAGGCCUCCAACUGCAAAUAUUGUGGGUUCUAAAUGGGUGUUUAAAACAAAGCUAAAGGAAGAUGGAACCAUAGAUAGAUACAAAGCACAAUUAGUUGCUAGAGAUUUUUCUCAAAUACCGGGUUUGGACUUUGGAGAGACCUUCAGCCUAGUUAUAAAGCAUACUAUAAUCAGAUUGAUCCUUUCAUUAUCAGUAACCUUGGGGUGGACAAUGAGGCAAUCAGAUGUUAAGAAUGCCUUCAUACAUGGGUUUCUAAAGGAAAAAGUACUCAUGGAACAACCUCCAGGAUUUAUAAACAAGGACUUUCUGAAUCAUGUCUACAAAUUGAAUUGUUCUCUUUAUAGCCUUAAGCAAGCUCCAAGGGCCUAGUUAAAUAAACUAUUUCAAUGUCUUCUUCAUCUGGGGUUUUACUGUGGUAAAAUAGACUCGUCUUUAUUUAUUCUUCGCAAAGGUCAGUCUAUUGUUUUGCUACUUAUCUAUGUUGAUGAUAUUAUAGUCACAGGCAAUGAUAACAACAUCAUUAGUGACCUCAUCAGCACCCUGAGUAGUGAAUUUUCUCUCAAGGACUUAGGAUUUUUGCAUUAUUUUUUGGGAUUGGAGGUUAAAUAUCUUCUUAAUGGGUUGUUUCUUUCUCAAACAAAGUACACUAGAGAUCUCCUAGAGCACACAAAAAUGAUGGAGUGUACUCAUAUCAACACAUCCAUGGCUCUUAAGUCCAUCAUCACACCUUCUGAUGAACAACCUAUUGAUCCUACAUGAUAUAGGUAACUUGUUGGAUUCCCCUAAUAUUUAACCUUCACAAGGCUUGAUUUUGUGCAUGCAGUAAACAAGGCCUACCAACAUUUCCAAGCACCCACUAAAGUUGACUUGCAAGCUGUCAAACGCAUCCUUAGAUAUUUGAAGGAAACAAUGGAGCAUGGAAUCAGGUUUUUCAAGCAAAGUUCGCUUCGUCUCACUGGUUUUUGUGAUGCUGAUUGGGCAGGAUGCACAAACACAAGAAGAAGCACAUCUAGGUAUUAUAUUUUUCUAGGAGCCAAUUGUAUCUCAUGGUCCUCAAAGCGACAACCUACAAUUUCUAGAUCAAGCACCGAGGCCAAAUAUCGAUCCCUUGCGUCCAGUGCUGCAGAAAUAACUCGGCUUACUUUCCUUCUCCAUGAUAUUGGCAUUCAACUAUGUGAACCUUCUCAAUUUCUAUGCGAUAACCUCAGUGCCCUUCACAUGACAGUACAUCUCGUCUUCCAUGCAUGGUCCAAGCAUAUUGAGUUGGACUAUCAUUUUAUUCGGAAAAAAAGUUGCAAGUGGAGUUUUGAUUACUUGUUUCCUUCCAUCGUCCUUACAAGUAGCUGAUAUAUUCACAAAGACACUCCCUAAGACUUCAUUCCAAGUCUUUCGAUUCAAGCUAGGAGUGCACAAGUUACCACUCACUAGCUUGCAGGGGGCUAAUAAAGGAAAGUCAAACUCAACUAGCAUACAAUCCAUGCCAAAGCAAUCUUUACGUGAGAAGUUAGUAAUGCAAUCUGCUAGGUAGGAAAACUACUCUCAAUAUUUGUAAUGUGGAAAAUCAAGGCUGGAAGGAAAUCUUCACUUACCUGUUCUGUAUAAUAUUCCCUUUUCUAUGCAAAUAAAGUAUGUAUUGUUUAUUUAUUUUUUAGAAAAAAUCAGUAAAGCGUGGUACAAAUUCAAUCUUUCAAAAAUAGUUUAUGUUCUUCAUGCAUGGAUAAUAAAUCCCAUGGAUAAAUUGUAUUUAGCAGCGGCUGAAGCUUUCUAUAUGACUAAAGAGAAAAAAAGUCAUUAAAAAACUAAUUGCCAUGUGACUACGUCUACCAGUAGAUAGUUGAGAACAAGGUCUAACUCUUAACCUUUUGUACUACCUUUACAAAGGAACACAAAAUUGAGAGAUUCAAAGGCAACUAUAGUAUAAAUAUUGUUUCAUAAAUUACUUUUCAAAUUUAAUUUGAUAACAAAAAUUUAGAAUACAAAAGUAUGAAAAAUUUGUUCCAUUCCCAAAAUUUUUGCAAAUAAAAUUUUAAAGUAAUAAAUUAACACCAUGACUCUUUUCACAUCUUAUUCUCCUUUCUAUCAAAGAAAUGAUAGUAAUAAUCUUAUCUAUAAAUUUUAAAUGAGGCAAGAUCAUUGAAUUUUUAUUUUCUUUUAUUUUCUUGUUAUGUAAUUAUCAAACACAUUUUUUUUUUAAGACAAAAAAAAAUUAGACUGAAGAAAUAUAUUUUUGCCCUGAUUUAGUCACUUGGAUUGCAAUUCGAAGGAUGGAAAUAAAAGUGUAUUCUUGGAGUUAAAGAUCAAUUGAAAGCUUAAAGCGGCUUGUUCUCGAAUGAAUUUAAUGAAUGACGAAGAAUACAUGUGUUGUAAUUUUUUGGAUUUGUAGGGGAAUUUUAUGAAGCUCUUUUCUCUUUGUCAGGCUUCUUUUUUUGUAUGAUUUUUUUUCUUCAUCAUUUUCAUUCAAGGAAGUCGCAUAUAUUUAGAGAUGAAAUUAAAAAAUUAAAUUUAGAAUUCCUAAGAUUUGAUUACUUAAUUAAAAAAAAUUGGUUUCUUGAUUUUAGCAACUUGUCUCCUCUAUUAAGGAAGUUUGCUAAUAAGAGAAUAUUUAAUUAUCAUUUUCUUUUGACUUCAAUUAGAAGAUUUGAUUCGUUUGUUCAUAAAAUUUGAAAACAAAAAAAAAAAUUAUUUCUAUUUUUUUAUUUCAAUUGUUUAAUUUAAUUUGAUUUUGGAAGACUUUAUUUUAUAGUUUUCCAAAUUUUGUUACAUGUCAUUUUUUGAAUUGCAUGUUACAUAUUCAAUAUACAUGACCCAUCACUUAUUAAGCAUAAAUUUCGUUGAGCUAAGGAGUUACAAUUUUGAAGACUAAUUUGAUAGUAUUUUAAUCCACUAAAAUUUUUUAUGUCUACAAAUGCCCCGUCUUCAAGACAAACACACACAUGCAUUGUCAUGUAUAAAAGAUGAGUCUUGAAGUUAGCAUUUUGAAUCUUUAAUAUCCUUCUUUGAUAUUUUUUUUUUCAAAGAAAUAUUUUAAUAGGAAAUUUCCUAUUUCAAAAUACCUUUCUUCAACUUUUUCCAAAAACGACUUUAUUUUCUUCCUUUUUUUCUACCUGGUAUCAAGGAAAGACUUUGUGUUAAUGGGAAAGUUUCUUAUUUGAACAUAUAUUUGCUUUUCUCAUGGUAUUUUCACUUCCAAUUUAUCAUCCUACAAGAAGUCCUUCACCCUUGGUCGAUUGUAUCUUAGACUUGAUCACAUGCCUUUAACUUGUAAUUCUUGCUCCACUUUAUUUAUUUUAUUUUAUUUUAUUUUAUUUUUAAAAAAGAAUACAAUGUAUAUGAGCAAGACCUUGAGCAAGAGGAGCAAGGUGGAGGGUGGAGCAUGAGCUAGCCUUAGGGUAAGACCUUGAGCAAGAGAAGUAAUGUGGAGUGUAGAUCACAAACUUCUCUGGAGCAUGGUAGGCAUACCGUCACAGAAUUGUCUUCCACAUGGAGCAUGGUAGGGUUUAUACAUAUGAUAGGGUGUGCCAUCAUGUAACAAUGAAGAACAACAAUCCAUGGUGUACAAUUGGGAACAACAAUUCAUGCUAUCAAGCUUCAACAUUUUUUUUUACCCCCAUCUCCAUUUUUUCAACUUCUUUUUUUUUUUUUUGUCCUUUUUUUUUCCCUUUUUUUAAGCAUUGUUUUUAAGGAAGAAAUAGGUUUGCCAUCCCUUACUAUGAGGUCAAUAUCCAUCACUUGCAAAGACAAAUUUGCUUUUUGAUAUUUUUUCUUCUUCAAUAAUUAACUUAACAUUUUAAUAUAUAUAUAUAUAUUUUAACAAACUUGAAUAUUCAUAAUAAAAUAAAUAUUUAAUGUCUUUACUCAUCCAAAUUAGCUUGACUUGAAUACUUAGUAGAUCCAUACUUAACACCCAUGUAGACGAGCUGUAACCUUGAUGGCAGGUUGUGUUGUAUUUUCGACACUUAAUGUGCCUUAAGAGUUAAAGUCUUCUCUCAUACAAAUUAGCUUGGUUUGGAUGCACAAUGGUGUGUAACUUUUUAACACUUUAUUAAACUUGGAACCAUAUUUAACACCCACGUAGACAAGUCAUAAUCAUGACAUGGAUCACUGUUUUAUUUUUAGCUCUUAAUGUGGCUUAAAUAUUAAAUUCUUCACUCAUACAAAUUAAAUUGGGUUAGAUGCACAAUGGUGUUCAACUUGUUAACAGUUAAUUAAAAUUAGAACCAUAUUUAACACCCAUACAAACAAGUCAUAACUUUGACGUGGAGCAGUGUUGUAUCUUUGGCUUAAUGCCGCUUAAGUGUUAAAGUCUUCACUCAUAUGAAUUAGCUUCACUUAGAUGCAUAGUUGUAUUAUACUUUUUAACACUUAAUUUAAAUUUGGACCAUAUUGAAAACCCAUGUGAACAAGACAUAACCUUGUAGUGGUGUUAUAUUUUUGACACUUAAUGUAGCUUAAAUGCUAAAGUCUUCACUUCUAUGAAUUGGUUCACCUUGGAUGAAUAGUGAUGUCUAAAUUGUAAUAAUUAAAAUUGAAACCAUAUUUAACACUCAUGUAGAUAAUCAUAACUUUGACGUAAUGGCAUUGUAUUUUUGACACUUAAUGCAGCUUAGGUGCUAAAGUUUUCACUCAUGAGAAUUGGUAUGAGUUAGAUGCAUUGUGGUGUCCAACUUUUUAACACUCAAUUAAAAUUGGAACCAUAUUUAACACCAAUGUAGAUAAGUCAUAACCUUGACGUGAAGCGAUAUUGUAUUUUUGACACUAAAUGCAACUUAGGUGCUAAAGUCUUCACCCACGCAAAUUGGUUCAUCUUGGAUGCACAAUGGUGUCGAAUUUUUUUAACAUAUAAUUAAAAUUUGAACCAUAUUUGACACUCAUGUAGACAAGUCAUAACCAUGAUGUAGAGUAGUGUUGUAUUUUUAACACUUAAUAUGACUUUACUGGUAAAUUCUUUACUCAUGUGAAUUGCCUUGAUUUGGAUGCACAACUAACUUUUUAACAUUUUAUUAAAUUGGGUAUCAUAUGUGUUGUUUUUUUAACACUUAAUACGACUUUAGUGGUAAAUUCUUUACUCAUGUGAAUUGUCUUGAUUUGGAUGCACAAUGAUGCCUAACUUUUUAACAUUUUAUUAAAUUGGUAUCAUAUUUAACACCAAUGUAGACAAGUCAUAACUUUAAUGUAGAUGCGGUGUAGUAUUUUUGGCACUUAAUAUUGUUUAAGUGCUAAAGUCUUCACUCAUGUGAAUUUUCUUGGUUGAGAUGCACAAUGGUGUGUAACAUUUUAACAUUUAAUUAAAAUUGGAACCAUAUUUAACACUCGUGUAGAGAAGUCAUAACCUUGACAUGGAGUAAUAUGCAAUUUUUUUAUAUUUAAUAUGACUUAAGUGCUAAAGUUUUCACUCAUGCGAAUUGACUUGACUUGGAUGCAUAGUGAUGUCUAACAUUUUAACACUUAAUUAAAAUUAGAGCUAUAUUUAAUAAUCAUGUGGACAAGAAAUAACUUUGACGUGAAACAAUAUUGUAAUUUUGACACUUAAUGUUGCUUAAAUGCCAAAGUCUUCACUCAUACAUAUUGACUUAGCUUGGAUGAAAAGUGGUAUCCAACUUUUUGACACUUUCUUAAAUUUGGAAUUAUGUUUAACAUCAAUAUAGACAAGUAAUAACCUUGACGCAGAGUGAUGUUAUAUUUUUAGCACUUAAUAUAGCUUAAGUGCUAAAAUAUCCACUUCUAAGAAUUGACUUGGCUUGGAUGCAUAAUGGUGUCCUACUUUUUAACACUUAAUUGAAAGUGAAAUCAUAUUUAACACCCAUUGUAUGCUAGUCGUAAACUUGAUAUAGAGCAUUGUGCAACUUUUUAACACUUAAUGCGACUUAAAGUGCUAAAGCCUUUACUCAUAUGAAUUAAUUGAACUUAGAUGCACAUUUGUUUCCAACUUUUUAAUACAUAAUUAAAAUUAAAACCAUAUUUAAAAACCAUGUAGACAAAGACAUAAUCUUAACAUGGAGCUAUGUAUAACUCUUAACACUUAAUUAAAAUUGAGAUUACACUUAACAACCACAUAUUCCUCCUAUUUUUCAAUUUUUUCUUGUGGUGAUGAUUGAACUUAACUAGUUUGUCCAAGUUGCCUAUAUACCCUUAACAGAGAGGGAAUCAAGUCAAACUUAGUUCAAAGUAUUUCUUUUAAUCUCUAACUUUUGCCAAGGCUAAUGAUUUUAAUCUUACAAGCUUGUCUUAACUUUUGACCAUAUAUGUAGUCUUUUUAGGUUUCAAUUUAACGGCCUAUAUAUGACUUGUACAAAUUGAAAAUGACUUCAAUCAUGUGUAAAAAAUAAUAAAAGAUAUUCAUUCCUAGUUUUAGGGCAACGAAAAAUAGUUGAUCCUUUUUUAUAUUAUUAUUAUUGUUGUUGUUAUUAUAAUUAUUAUUUCACCUUACAAAAAGACCUUCUGCAAUUAAUAUUUUAUACAUAUAUAUAUAUAUAUAUUUUAUCUUUUAUAUAUUUAGUUUUCAUAGUAUUUUUUAAUUCAAUAUAUAUAUUUUUUAAAUAUCUAUACUUUCGGUCAAUGUCUCAAAUUUAAAGCACGUGCAUGCUCUAGAAAUUCUCAAGUUGUAGGCUUGUGGCCUACAAUGUCAACUUAGAGUUUGAUGAAAAAGCGCAUAAACAAAGACAAAAAAAUUAAUCUACAAGUACUUGGAUUCUAUUUGAAUAAAAAAGAGCCACCCACAUGCAUGGAAUAAAUAUAUAUCCCAUGGAUUAGUUGUAUUUAGCCACGGCUGAAGCUUUCCACUAUGACUUAAAAAAAAAAAAAAAGAGGAUAAUGCCAUUAAAAAACUGAUUGCUACGUGGGUAUGCCUGCCAGUAGAUGGCUGAAAACUAAGUUCUAUUCUUUUCAAUAGUUGAGAGAUUCAAUGGCAACUAUCGUAUAAACAAUGUUUCAUAAAUUACUUUUAAAUUUUGACAGCAAAGACUAAAAAUGUAAAACCAUAAAAAAUUUGUUCCAUUCCCAAAUUUUUAAAAAUAAAAUUGAAAAUAAUAUAUUAACGCCCAUGACUGUUUUCACAUCUUAUUCUCAUUUCUAUCAAUGCAAUCAUCGUAAGCAUCUUAUCUAGAAAUAUGGCCUAGAGCCAUAGAGCUGCCUUUUCUUUAGUCCUAGAGCCAUUUCAUGAGCUAAUAGUAGUCUUUCCUUAGCAUUUCCAGCCCAAAGCUCCCAUUUCCUUAGGCCUAGAGACGUUUUCAGCCCAGAGCCGCUGUUUCUUUCGGCCUAUAACCAUUUUCAGCCUGAAGCUGCCUUUCUCUAGCAUUUUCAGCCCAAAGCUUCCUUUCCUUGGCAUAUUAGCCCGAAGCUUCUAUUUCUUUAGGCCUGGAGCCAUUUCAACCCAGAACUGUCAUUUCUUCUAAAUAGCUUCUCUUUUAAAAGACUUCAGUUUGUCUUUCUAGUCACAAAAUUUAAGGCUUUGUUCCAGGUUUGAAGAAGCUGGUAAAAAUCUGGCUGUUGACUAAGCUCAACUAAAAAACAGUAAAGCUUGCUGACCUGGGUAAUAAAUAACAGCUAUCUUGGCAGUAUUGUUAGUUAGUUAGAGGUUUUUUUUUUACUAUUAUAAAAGGUGCAGACUUGGGAAAACUGAAAUAAGGUAUUCAAUUGUACAGAAUAGAGAGCAAGAAAAGCAGAGAGCUUUGAAAUCCAUAACCACAGGUCUGUUUCGGUUUUCCUAUAGAGAAAAGAAAGAAACAGAGGUGAGGAGGGUUCUUGGGGAAAGCCUAUAAGUUCUUUGUUUUUUAUUCUUGUGUAAAUUCUGGUUGGUACAAUUUAAUAAAGGCUUCAGGAAAUCAGUGUGAAUGUAGAUCAAGUUGAUCGAACCACGAUAAUUCUCUUGUGUUCUUGAUCUUGGUUGAUUGUCUACAAGCUGUUUGAUUUUAUUCCUAAGAGAAGUUCUUGCAAACUGGUUGUCUUUUUCUGGUUUAGUUUCUGCUCUAAUAGUCCCUAAUUCAAGACUGGCUUUUCUCAACAGCAUGGUUUGAAACACAUAAUUUUCACCAUUCAAAUGCAAAACAAUUAACUAAUUUCAAAUGCUAUGUGUUGUUUCCUUCUAAUUUCCCCUUUAUUUUUUUUUCUCUCCUAUUUUCCUUCAAAUUUUUGGAAAACCAAACAGAGCCUAAAAGAAAAGAUAAUUUUACUUAUUUUGAAAGUUGUUUCAUGUUAAUUUAAUGAAGCAUUUAUAAUAUUAAGAUCGCCCUUUCAUAAUCAUGAGGUAACCUUAGUUUCAACUUCUACAAGAGGCUAAAUGAAAAAAGCUAUCACAGAGAAGAAGGCCUCAGCCAAUGAGUGGAAAAUACAAUUUUAUUAAUACUUGAUAUCAAAAAAAAGAAAAAAAAAAAAAAGGAUGAUUUUACUUUCAAACCAAGGAUUUAUUUAUGUUGAAGUGCAGUCUCCAUAUGCACAUGUGACUGCAUUUACAGGAUAAAGAAAGACAAGGAAAUUAACAAUGUUGGACUUACUGGAAAAUCAUACAAAUUAUUGAAGGAGGACCUUAGCUAGGCUAACUGUCUCCUAAAUUGCCCAUCUUUUAUAUAUCUUUGCAAUCAUCCAUCUCAUCAUCAGCUUUGAUUUUAGAUGGUGAGGAUGUGAAAGUAACAGGAAGCAGUGGACGAUUGUUCACAGUGAGGCUUAGCACAUCAGCUCUCGAAUAAUGUCCUACCACAUCGAACUGGAACUUUGCUUUAGGAAUCUCUCCACGAACAUCUGCAUAUCAAGUGAUCAUCAAAAUAUUUGAUCAGCCCGUGAUAAAUAUCAUAGAGUAUCAAGUCUUCCAUGAAACCAUGUUUGCAGUCCUUUUAAACCUAAAGAAUUGACUCAUUUGCCUUAUCUGCAUACUGAAAUAUUUGGAUAUACAAUUGGAGAAGUUAGGGCCAUACCAAGAUCAGCUGUGAAGAGGCCUUCUCCUUCAUAAUUUGGUCCUGCUAGAAUUUCGCCAUGGGGCGAAAUGAUGACACUACCUCCAGCCCAAACAAUAGAAUCUGGAGUGACAUCUUCUUCUGUAGGACUGUAAAGAUACUCAGGUGGAGGUGGGUAAUCUUUCCUCCGACAGAACUGGAUGGGUGAAAGAACAUAGCAUCCACCCUCAAUAGCGAUGUGUCUCAUUGUGGCUACCCAUUUAUCCCCGGAAUCGGCAGUAGGAGCACAAUAUAUCUCAAUACCUAUAUAUAUGAACAUUGGUAUUCUGUGAUCAAUCAAUCCCAUAUCAAAGCCACAAUGUAUUUCAAGACUGCUUAGAUUAAAACCCUAAUAAUGUAAAAGGGUGCUGGAGGUCCUAUUUGGUAAUUGUCUUCGGAACAGUUUUGAGAAAUAGUUUUUGAAAGUUGUUCUUUAAUAGUUUAUAAAACAUAAGAAUAUUUGAAACCUAAAAUAUAUUCAACUUAUUAAAAAUAAUUUUUAUAUUUAAUACUUUAUUUUUAAAUAUUCUUCAUAUUUAUAUAAUUAUUUUUUAAAACAACCUUAAAAACAAAUGAAAACAAUGAAGAAAAAAGUUUAAAAAAUAUUAUCUGAAAACAUUUUGUUUUAUGUUUCUAAGAAAAAACAAAAAGCGGUAUUCUAAUUGUCAAUUGUGUUUUCCUAAAUUUUUUUUGGAUAACAAAAGAUUCCUCUAAAAUAUAAUUGUGAAACAAAGCCAAACUAUUUCAAGCCAAACCAUACUAGUUAAUGAAGAAAAAAAAAUGGUAAAAGAUGUACCUUUGCCAUACAUUGAUGUCCUGAAAAGAGGCAUUCUAUUUUCCCAACAAAUGACCGAACCAAGUUUUCCAUAUGGAGUGUCAUAAAUUGGAGUUGUCGAGCAAUCUCCGAAACCCCAGAAGAGCCGCUCCCAAUAUGUUGGCAUGAGUUUCCUAUGUUUUCCAAGGUAAUUGCCUUCAGGAUCAAAGAAGAGAACAGUGCAAUACAAUGUGUAUCCAUCUCUCUCAACAACACCUGUCACUAAGUAGACUUUGUAUUUCGCAGCCAUUGAUGCCAAUCUAUCAACUUCAGGUCCUGAAAAUACAUUAAUAUGAGAUCAAAGAUGAGACAUGUAAGCUGAUGGUUCAUCACAAAGCAGCAUAAGUAGAUUUUGUUUCAAUAACUUAUUUAAGUGGUUCAGUCCUCUAGCUAUUUAAGGGAGAAAGAGAGGGGUAACUGACCCGGCACAUUAAUGGCAGAAGCAUGGUACUUGCGGAAGCUUUCUUUCCCUCUAGGAGACUGGUCCGCGAAGUUGUACCCACGGGGAUACCCACCGAUAAAUGCCUCAGGAAACACAACCAGUUGGGAUCCCAAUGCAGCUGCCUCUUUCAGAAACCUCUCAGCCUUAUCUGCUCCCAAAAUCACAUUGCAAGAAUUAACAAUUCAUGACUUAGGAAGUAAAUUAAUUGGUUGAAUAGAGAAUGAAAAUUCACCUCAAGAUAUCCCAAAUGACUUUUUGGUUGCUGAGAAAACUUAAGGAAAAGGAGACCUAAAUAAAACUCGAAACUCACAUAUUUUCAGCUGUUUUGUAACUAAGAAAAAAGAAACCACCUCAACCAACUCAUCCAAAUAAUUAUUGUACAAGCAGUAAUUCCUUGAUUGGCAGCUGAAAAUAUGAUCAGGGUUCAAUCAUCCCUUUCUUUCUUUCAGUUUCCCAGCAACCAAUCAGCUCACUGAUUCUCUUACAGAAGUUGCAGAAUUGAGAGAAAUGGCACGUUACCUAGAGUGGCAGGAGUAUCAUAAAAGAUACUAGAAGCUUGAACAACGGUGGCUCUAACAGUUGAAGACAUUGCAGAAAUCGUAUGUUUUUUCGUUUCCCCUUUGUUUGAGGAUUCCUCACACUGCGUUCAGUAUAUAUAUAUCGCCCAUGAACAAGAGGUUCCUCUGCCAUUACUUGAACAAGACGGAAAGGCUUUGAAAAGUCUGACUUGGUUUUCUAUACUCAUGGUGAGGUUUUAUCCUCAUCACAAAUUUUUAAGUUAUCCGCAGACAUAGUGGACCAGCCACAUGACUUGUACAAAUUGAAAAUGACUGUCACAUGGGAUUUUUUGUAAUUUUUAAAAAUAAUUCCCAAAUGUAGUGGAAAAAAUAAUUCUAAAUCUAACAUAGUUUUUGCAAGAUAGAAAAGAAAAAAAUAAAAAUCUUUAUUUCCUUUAAAAAAAAAUUAUAAUGAAAGAAUCGUCUUUUGAAAAGACAAUUUCUCAAAUUUUUUUUUAAAAAAUAAAAUCUAUCGGUUAGAAAUUGUCUCUUGAAAAUCGUCAGAGAUGAUUUUCAAAAAUUCAUUUUUUCAUUUUCUCUUUUUUUUUUUCAAUAAUAUUUUACUAAAUAAUAUAUUUAUACAAUUAUGAUUUUUUUCCUUUUAAAAAAUUAUAAUGAAAAAUUCUCUUUGGAAAAGAUGAUUUCUUAAAUUUCUAAAAAAUAAAAAUAAAAAUCUAUAGGCUAGAAAUCAUCUCUUGAAAAGACGAUUUUCGGAAAAAAAAAAAAAUUAGGGAGAAAUUGUCUCUUUCUCCAUUGAUUAAAAAAACUGGAGAAAUCUUCUCAAGAUGAUUUCUUAAAAAUAAAAAGAAACAUAGAAAAAAAAGUCAGUCAAUUUUCAAAAAUUUUGUUUUCUAUUAGGAAAUAUAUAUUUUACCAAAUAAUAUAUUUAUACAAUAAUAUAUAUAUAUAUAUAUAUAUAAAUUGAUUAAUUUUAUUUACUAAAUUUAAUAUGUAAAAAUAAUUAUAAUUAUUGAUAUAUUUAUCAACAAUAAUAUUUAUAAAAAUAUAAAUUAUGUUUAGCAUCCGAUAUUUAAAAAUAUUAUUUUAUAUUAAGUUAGACAUUAAUUUUAAAAAUAUUUUGUUCUUUAUCUUCAGUUUUAUCUUUAAAUUAAUUCCAUUAAUUGUAACUAAUAAAUUAAUUUAGUUUUAUAUUUUUAUUAUUUAUAAUAUAAAUAAUAUUUUAUCUCAUUCUCUUUUUUACUAUCUCACCUUUCUCUCACCUAUUUAUUAAUGGAAUCAAAUUGAAUAAUUUUUCAAUCAUUUUUCUCCAACAAAUUGAACAUGAGAGAUAAAUGAUUAAAAAUUAUUAAUGUCAAAUGCAUUUUUAAAGUAAAUAAUUUUUAAAUACCUCAUCAAAUAUUAUUCUUUUAUUAAAACUUACAUAAUAUAUAAUAAAUAUUUUUUAAAUACCUUGGAAACUUACAUAAUAUAUAAUAAAUAUUAUUCUUUAUUUCAAACUUAUGUUAUUUAUCAUAUAUAUUAAACAAUUUUUAAACACCUUAUAAAAUAUUAGUAUUCUUUAUUUGUUCUAACUUGCAAAUUAGACAUAAUCAAAUAUUAUAUAUUUUUUUUCAAACUUAAGAAUAUAUAAUAAAUAUUUUUUAAAUACAUUGGCAAAUAUUUUUUUUUCUUACUUACAAAAUUAAAAAUAUGUUGUACAUUAUUUCUUAUAGGUCUUAACGACAUAGUUUGGUUAAAAAAAAAAAAAAAAACUAUCAAUAAUCGUCCUAAUGUCAAGCUCAAGUUGUUUAAAAAUCGCACAAAACCUAUUAGGAGCCUUGUACACCCUUGUAUACUUGACACAUUUCUCUUGUAUAAUUAGUGUAACAUUGUACAAUGGUGCAAAUUUCAUAUCCCUCCUAAGUUGUGUCUAUAUAGGUGUGUUAACCAUGUUUCCAAUGGUUUGGUUGAGAAAAAAAUGACUUAUGGUCAAAUUUUUUUCUCCAAACAUCAUUAUUGGGAAAAUCAUUGGAAUUUCCAUGUGGAAGUUAAAUAAAGUGCAUGACAUGGGUAUACAAUCCUUGGGUGACAAGGAAAAUAAAAAAGUGGUUUAGAAUCAAUUGAAAUCUUUCACAAAUGGUAGUCUUGUAUACCCUUGUACACUUAGUAUAUUUCCCAUCUUUAAUACCUUUGUAUAGUGGCACAAAUUUCAUAUCCCUCCUAAGUUAUGUUCACAUAAGUGUGUUAGCCAUGUUUCCAAUUAUUUGGUUGAGAAAAUGUUGGAUGAAUUAGGGUCAAUUUUUUUUUCCCUAAACAUCAUUAUUGGGGAAAAUAUUGGAAGUUCCAUGUGAGAGUUAAAUAAAGUGUAUGACAUGAAUGUAUAAUCUGUGGGUAACAAGGCAAAAAAAAAAAGAAAAAAAAAGGGGUUCAUAAUUGAUUGAAAUCUUUCACAAAUGGUAGCCUUAUACACUCUUUUGCACUUAGUACAUUUCUCUUGUACAAUUAGUGUAAUACUUUUGUACAAUGGCACAAAUUUCAUCUCCUUCAUAAAUAAUGUAUCCACAUAGGUAUGUUAACCAUUUUCUCAAUGGUUUGGUUGAUAAAAUGUUGGAUGACUUAGGGUUAAAUUUUUUUCCCUAACAUCAUUGUUAGGGAAAACAUUGGAAUUUUCAUAUGAGAGUUAAAUAAAGUGUAUGACAUGAGUGUACGAUCCGUGGGUGACAAGGAAAAUAAAAAGAAGUGGUUCAAAAUUGAUUAAAAUCUAUCACAAAGGGUAGUCUUGUACACCGUUAUACACCCUUGUACACUUAGUACAUUUCCCUUGUACAGUUAAUGUAAUACCCUUAUAUAGUGGCAUAAAUUAUAUAUCCCUCCUAACUUAUGUAUUCACAUAGAUGUGUUAACUAUGUUUCCAAUGGUUUAGUUGAGAAAAUGGUGGAUGACUUAGGGUCAAAUUUUUUUCGCCAAACAUCAUUACUGUGGAAAGUAUUAAAAUUUUCAUGUAGGAGUUACAUAAAGUGUAUGACUUAGGGUCAAACUCUUUUAAAUAUUUUUAUUAUUUUCAUAUAAAAAAAUAGUACUAAACAAGGUUUUCAAUUUUCAUUUUUAAAAAUAUUUUUCAUUUUUAAUUAAAUGUAUUUUUAAAAAGAGACAAUAUAGAAAAUAAAAAUUAUUUUAAGAAAUAAAAAAAUAGAAAUAAAAACUAGAAAAAUAUUUUUAAACCAGACUUAAACAUAAUCUAUUUAAUUUUUAACUACUUGUUUUCAUCUAAAAUGAGUAAAUAUACUUUUCAACCCUUUUAUAUAAUAAAAAUUCAAUCUUUACUAUGUAUUGAUAUAAUCCACUUCCAAAAUUAAGUCAUAUGAAAACAUUUUAAUUGGAUAUUUAAAAUAAAAACUCUCCAUCCAUCCUUUUUUUUUUUUUUUCUUAUUUUGAUAAAUUUUUAAUUAAUACAAAUCAUAAAAAAAAAAAAAAAUACUUAGUAAACAAAUUUGCAACAUUUUAUAUCACUUAUUAUUAAAAGUCAUGUUCAAAUAGUUAUUAAAAUAAGGAAGGAAGAAGAUUAAAAAAAAAAUUGAACUUUUUAUUUUAUAAUAGUAAAAAAAAAAAAAAAAACUUUAAAAUACUUUUUAGUAUAAAAAAAAGAAAAGAAAAAAGAAAAUAGUGAAUAGAUUUAUUUUAAAUAGCGUUUUAAUCAUUAAAUGAUUUACUUCUAAAAAGUAAAGGAUAAUUUUUAUUUAUUUAAAUUAACAGUUUUAGAAAGUAUUUUCCAUAAUAGUUUUUGAAUUAUUAAUAUAAUUUUUGUUUAUUUAUAAUUUAAAAAUAGAAAAUAAUGUUGAUUUUUCAAUUAUUUAUAAAAGAGUUUUAAAAAACAAUGAAAAAUCCAAAAAUGGUUAAGUAAGAAAGAAUUUGUUGGUAGUGGCAUGUUAAUAGUGGUAGAAUAAUAAUAAAAAAAAAGAGUCAAAUGAUUAUUUUUGUCCAUUACUAUCUCAUAUCCUUGUAAUCAAUUAUGGGUGACAGGAGGACCUUAGCUCAAUUAUCAAGUAGAGCUAGGUCGGAAACACAAUUCUCCCAAUAAUUUCCGGGCAUGAUAAUCAUAUUUAAAUAAAAAAGAGGGAGCUGCCUACAUGCAUGGAUUCCAUUGUCUUUAGUGGUGAGUAAGGCUUUCCAAGAUCAAUACACACACACACACACACACACACACACACACACACACACACACACACACACAUAUAUAUAUAUAUAUAUAUAUAUAUAUAUAUAUAUAGAGAGAGAGAGAGGUAAAAACUAAGUCUAACCCAGGGAGGAAAAUAUCGAGUAUCGGUGGACCUUGACAUGAUAUAUGAGGGAGAAAUAUCGGUCCCUUGAUUUUUUGACAAUUUAUCGUGAAUCUUGCUGACUUUUUGGAAUUUAUCAACAUUUUACCUAUUUAUCACGAUAUUUUGGACCGGUCAAUGCGACCUCUACAGUCAAAUAAAUUCAUUUAUUUGAAUACCAAAAAUAUAAAAAUUAUCAUGAUAAUUUUCUUCAUAGUAUUUUUAAUAUCAUUAAUAUAUUAAUUAAGUAUAAAAAAUUAUACAUAUAUUAUCAUUUAUUUUAUAUCAUUUAAUACAAUGAAAUUAAAUGAAUUAUAAUUUUAAUAUUAAAUAUAUUUUUAAGUUGGACAUAUUAUAAUCAAAUAUCACAAUGUUAUUAUCAAAUAAUAUUUGAUAUAAUUUAAUAAUAAAUGUAUACUUAUGAAAUUCAUAUUUUUUAUUAGCAUAUACAAUAUUAUUAUCAAAUAUAAUAAAUUAUAUUAUAUAUAUCAAUUACAAUUCUAUUAUACUUUUAAUUUUAUUUUUAAGAGUUUUUUCUUACAUUUUUAUAAUUUCUGAUCAAUUUUAGGUUCAUCGAUAUUUUAUGUCAAAAUAUCCGUCGAUGUAUCUGUAAAAUGAAAGUACCGAUAUAUCCGUAAUUACCGAUAUUUUCAUCCUUGGUCUAACCUUGUGUAUUGGCCCUUCCAAAAUUUGAGUGAUUCAAUGGCAGCUCUAGUAAAACAUAAAAAGGAAGAACUAUGUUUACCCUCAUGUUCAUUCAAACAAAUAUAUUGUAUAGGAAUUCUAAUUUUCAUAUUUGAUCACCCCAAACACACAACCAAUAAAAUUAUUCUUUAAAUAUGUAUUUUAAUAGAAACUAAAAUGAGAAUUCUAUAAUUACCCCUUUUUAAAAUCUUUAAUAUGAAAAGUCAUAAUUUAAUGUAUUUGAUGGCUCUCACAUCUGUUUUUUUUUUUUUUUUUUUCUCCUCUACGUCACUUUCUCCAUAUAAUGUCUUUGAUAUCCUCUCCAUAUCAUGUCUUUGAUAUCCUACCUUUGGCAUUUUUAUUUAUUUAUAUAUGUUGAAGUGACAACACUUUCUCUUCCCAACCUCUUUACUUUCAUAUUUCUUUUUACUCGUUUAAUAUUUAUUAACUUUAUUUAAUUUUUUGGAAUAAAUAAAUAAUGAGAAUAAAUUAAAUAUAAAUAUAAGUAUGCAAGCAACAUAAAAUGAAAAUUUAUCCUAAAAAUCAUACACUUGAUACUUUAAAAUAUUAAUUAUAAUAUAUUUGAUAAUUUAGGAUUUCGAUUUAAAAAUUAUGUUUUAUUUUUUAGAGGCUGGGAUAUAAGAUUUCCAUUAACCAAAGAUUUUUUAUAUGAAUCCUAAAUAAUAUGUUUAUUUUGCAAAUUCUUAUCAUAUAUAAAUAAAAUAAAUAUAUUUUUAUCAUAUUAUUUUUAAUUUUUAAUAUUUUGUAUCAAAAUCACAAUUAAUGAUAGUGAUUUUGGUUAAGAUAGAGCCCUUAAAAACAUAACAUGUUGUAAAAAAUAUAGAGUUUAUUAUUUAUUUAAUGAUAUUUCAAUUUCACUUUUAUCUAUCCUUAUUUUAUGCAUUAUACCUUAUGAGCAUUCUAACUUGACAUUUUUUGCAUUGUUCAUGACUUGGGUGAAUUAAGAUUUACAUGGAACAUCCAAGUCAUGGGUUCUUAUAAGUGGAUGAUUUGUUCAUAGUCGCUUUAUGGACUUAAGCAAUCCAUUUGAUGUUGUAGUGCAUUACCUCUUAAUUUAAGGGAUGACUAGUUUUGACCAACAAGAUGGGACCCUCAUAGUGAGUGCACUAAUGUAUAUGAUUGCAUUUUAGAUAAAACCUAUGGUGAGUCAUGAUGUAAGAAUAUCAGGUACUCAUGACUUCACCAAGUUGCUAUAUCGCAUUUUCUAUCAACCUUGAAAGAAUAUUGGGUUUGUGCCAAAGUUUGUAGUGACUUUGACAUAUGGGUGAAAUCCAAAAGUGAUAAUAUAUUCCUUAUGGAUUAGGUCACUAUAAAUAGAAUUAAGUAGCAAUAAGUAUUCUCAAUAGAGGAAUCAGAAUAUCUCAUGGAGUUUGAGACAUUAUGUCCCUUUGGAUGAUCCUAAGGACACAUGAUCAUGAAAUCUAUAGUCGUAGUAAUUCCUUGAGUGGAAUUUGAAAUAUGCUCUUAUGGGUUGGAGUAUGUCAAUUGAUCACAUAAUAGGAGGAUAUGUAACUGAAGAAUGAUAGAAGUAACCUUGAAAGGCAAAUAGUAUUCACCUUAUUAGAUUAUGAACAAUACUUCAUAAAGAGACUAUAUACAAUGGAUAGUAGGUUAGGAACCCAAGUAGUGCAAUCGACUCUCUAUGGUAGGAUGUUGAGUCAACUUUAGAAUUGGAUUAUGAGGGAGCCAAUACUAUUCUAUGGGUCAUAGUGGUACCGACUCAAGUUCAUAUAUCUUAAUGGCAUAACUUAUGAGGGUUGGAUUAGUUAAUGAUUCAAUUAUGUGCAUAAGGGCAUUUUGGUAAAUAUGCAUGGCUGAAUAGGAGUUUGUUGGGACAAAGCCCUAUAAAGCAUGAUAUGAUGUAAUAGAUUAAGUUUCAUUAAUAAAUUUAUUUAUUUAUUAUUCUAGUCCCCUUGUGUUAUCCCAUUUGCAUGAAUUGGUUAUUUGAGCAUUUACGUUCAUAUCACUUGCAUUGUACAUGACUUAGGAGUAUUAAGAGUUGAAUAAAAGAUCCAAGUUAUGGAUUCUUUACAAUAUGAUAAGUGAUUAGAAGUCUAUUCAUGGAUUUAGCAAAUCUAGUAUAAACUAUAGUGUACUACUACCUACUAAUUAGAGGGAUGCCUUGUGAUGGUCAUCGGGAUAACUUUCUCAUGGUAAAUGUGUACAAUUACAUAUUAAAUAUGACCUACGAUGAAUCAUGAUAUUAGUUGUUGGAUAGUCAUUAUUACCCAAGGUUUUAUACUACAUAAAUUCUUAAGCUUAAAAGGAUAUUAAGUCUAUACUAAAAUCAAUAUGAAGUUUUGACCUCUGGUUGAGAUCCUAAUGUGGUCACAUAUUCCACAUAGAUUGGGUUAUUGAAGGAGACCGGUAACAAUAGGCAUUUUUAAUAAAGGAACCAUAAUAUCUCAUGGGAUUAAACUUCAUGGGUGAUCUUAAGGGCAUGUGAUCAGGAUAAAUGUUACUAUAGCAAUUCCUUUAGUAAAAUUUGAUAUAUGCUCUUUGUGGGAUGGAGUAUGUCAGAUGAUCACUUAAUAGGAGGAUCUAUAACUCAAGGAUUAGAAAGGUAAUCUUGAAAGGUUGAUAUCACUACCUUGUUAGAUUAUGAAUAUCAAUUCAUGGGAAGUCUACAUUGUUAGGAUAGAGCCCUUAAGAGCAUGACCUGAUUUAAUAAACUUUUGAAUUUAAUUAUUCCUUAAAAAUUUUCAAUUCACUUUUAUCUAUUCUCAUUCCAUGUAUUCUAUCUUGUAAGCAUUUUGACUUACAUCUUUUUCAUUGUACAUGACUAGAGUACAUAAGGUUAUCAAGUUGUUAUGACUUCACCAAGCUACUUCAAUAUGUUUCCUUUAGAGAAUAUUGAGUUGGUGCUAAAGUUAGUAGUGACAUUGACCUACAAGUGAGAUCAUUAGUUGAUUAUAUAUUCCUUAUGGAUUAGGUCAUUGUUUAUCGAUGCCAAUUACAAUAGGUAUUUUCAAUAGAGGCACCAUAAUAUCUCAUGGGAUUAAGACAAGUGUCCUAUUGGGUGAUCCUAAGGAGGUGUGUUUAUGUAAACUAUGGUCAUAAUAGUUUCUUAAGUGGAACUUAACAUAAACUCUUGGAGAGUUAAGAUAUGCUAGUUGAGCACAUAGUAAGAGGAUUUAUAACUCAUAGAUAGUAGAGGUAGUCUUGAGAAGAUGAUAGCUUUCACCUUGUUAGACUUUGGACACCACACUACAAGAAAAAAGGUCAUUAUUGACAUAUAUCAUCUUGACUUAAGAUAAUAUAUGUGAAGAUUGUCUAUUUAAAUGAACAAUUAUGACAUAUACAACUUAGUUUAAACCAAUAAUGACAUGUAUAAUAGUUAUUGCAUUUUUCCAUGACUUAUGAUGAUGCAACCUUGACAAAUAAUUUAUAAGUCAAUCUAUAAUUAAUAUGUUCAUAUGUCAAGGUACCGAAAUGAAAGCAAUAAUGACAUAUAUAUAUAUAUUUGCUAAAUUUUCCUUGGUUUAAUGAUAUGCAAUCUUGACUCAAAAUUUAUUAGUCAAAGUAUAGUUAAUCUUUUCUACCUAAAUAAAAGUAAUAAUGACAUAUAUGCAUUUGCUAAGUUUUUAUAUGGUUUAUAAUGAUACAACCUUAAUAGAAAUUUAUAAGUUAAUAAAAAUUCAAUAAAUUAAUAUGUUAAGAUUAGAAUCUUUGGUUGCGCCACUUUAACAUAUAAUUUGUAAGUGAAAAUAAGCCUAUUUUAUUUUAAUUUAUUAAGGUUGAGUUAUUGAAAAAGAAAAUCCUAAUUUAAGGCAAUUUUAUCAAAUUUUGGUAGUUUUUACAAGUAUAUUUAUUAUUAUUUUGAAUAGAAACUUGUGAUUAAAAAGGAUAAGAUAAUGUUUCCAUUUAAAAAAUAAUAUCAAUGUAUUGAAAACUAUAUCUAUAAUCUUAUUUUAAUAUUUUGGAUAAGAUACUAAGUUAUGUCUCUAUAUUUCUAAUUAUUGGAAUUAAAAUAUAUUGCCACUAACUUGUGUUAGGGUCUCACAAGUAUUAGGUAAUUAAAUUAUUAUUUAUGUAUUUAAUUAGACAUUAAAUCUACUAAGAAUAACUUAAUUAGUAUUUAGGCAUUCAUUAUAACUAAUUGCAGGCCCACAAAAUCAAUCCAUAGACCCAUUUCUUUUAAAAUGUUUUAAGCCCAUUUUAUUUAGUUUGGGUCCAUUACAUUUAUACUUUUUCUUGAGCCAUAAAAAAAACUCAAUAUAUAAAUUUUUUUCCUCUCUAUUCCAUUUACAGUCGCCCCAUCUACCCCAUCUACCCCAUCUUCCCUUUUUCUCUUCUUUUCUUACUUUUUUUUUUAAUUCUUUUUUCUUCUUCUUUCUUCUUUCUUUUUUCAUCCUCUCAUCCUCAUAUUCAUGGUAGACCCUACACCGCCACCUCCAUCUCCUGUGUUGUUACGAUCCAUGAGUCCUACACCCACCAUGGCACCAUCUUUCUUAUCACCAUUGUCGUUCCCAUGUUCGCUACAACUCAGACAUGCUUCCUGAUGUUUUGCCACAAUCUCGACGUGGUUGUUGUUGUUUCGCUUUAGCUCGGACGCUAUUCUUGAUGUUCCGUCUCCAUCAUAGCCACCAUUGUUGCAGCCCAUAGCCUUGGUACCUCCUGCACUACCCAUUGACUUUUGUUGGAUCACCAUCAGCACCAUCUCCAUGGUUGCCACUUCCUUCUUCAUCUUAGAGCUUCAAGAGACGUAGGUAAGUUUCCUUGGAUAUCUACAGUACUUGUUGUGGUAGUUUUAAUUUAAUUUUUAUAUGGGCUUGGGUCUCAUUUGCUUUAUAAUUGGGCUUCAAAUUAUUUGGUACAUAGGCUUGAUGUUAUAAUAUUUUAUUACUUGGGCCUUGUGUUUCACUUGGUUGAGCCCAAUAAUAAGAGUAUCAGGCACACAUAAGCAGGUUGGUUCUUUGAGAACCAUUGAGUUUUGUUGAACCUUAGGAUUUUUAAGGCCAUGCUUCACCAUUGAUUGGGCUUCAAGUAAGAGAUAAGUAUGGAAGUUGCAGUUACUGACCUUAGUGUCUCUACUCCUGCCCAUGGUUUCAACAUGUGGGUCAAUUGAGGGGUUUGGUGAAGCUCUCCAUAUCUUCAAGACCUCUCUGGUUGAAGAAUAGUCCAACGGCCAAGUGACUAUGGAAAAAACCACAUGUUUGGAGUUAAGUUAAUGUUGGAUAAGUAUUAAUGUACACACAAAAUAAUGAAAAAUCGACGUGGUUGGGGCUGAAGAGCCACAACAUCAUAUAUAUUUGGUUCUGAUGGAGGAGUUAAUUAAUUGAUAUUACCAUGAAGGAAUUUCUAGUAGUUUUAAUCUAUUUAAUCAUACCAUCUAAUUGAAAAGAUGUUUUUGUCCUUUUCUUUUUAUUUUUAAUAUUCUAGAUGAUAUUCUUUGUUAAAAAAUUUAGAAAUAAUACAUCUUUGUAAUUGAGCUAGCUACUACAAAAUUAUAAGUGCUCAUUUCAUUCAUCAUCUCAAAAUUAUGUCUAGUGGCCUCAACUUUGAGUCAGUCAUUGAGGGGCUUAAUUUUAGGAGGAGAAUUAAAAUGUUCUCUUUUUUUUUCUUCUUCUAUUUUUUUUUCUUGAAUAUCCACUGUGUUUUACAUUGAAUCUAGAAUCACAAAGUCAAUUCAAUUACAAUUGAUGAUAUUAAAGGUCAAUAGGUGUAUUCAUUUUAUCUUUGUGAUAUCUAAAGUUAGUAUAUUUAUUGUCCUAUGAAAAAAAAAUCUUUUAAUUUUUUGGUAUUUGUUACUUACUUUUCUAUUAAUUCUAUGUUUAUUCUACUAGGUAUCUAAGAAAUACAUCAAGAAGAAGACAAUGAUGUAGAAACAAAGAUCACCUCUUAUGAAGAUGAUGUUGUACUUUUCAAUUUAAGUUUGUAUAUUAUUUUAAUUGAAUGUUUUUAGCUAGAUUUUGUUUGUAUAUAGAAAAUAGAGAGUAACUUGAACAAGAUUUAUGGAAUUGUGUUCUUAAUAUUUAAUGUAUAUGUAAUAAUUUUUUUUCCUUAAAUAGUAAUUUAUUUAAAUUAUUUUAAAGACUUGAUUGUAAUUAUCAUAAUUAAAAAUAUACCAAAUUUAAUUUCAAGAUAGGUUUCAUAUGGUAUAUAACAUGUUCAUUUUCCAUUAAAAACUAAAAAUUAUAAUAAAAUAAUAUUAAAUUUUUCAUAAGUUAUAUUGACAUAUGGCUCAUGCUCAAUAUUGACAUGUGUAGUAGCAACUAUGACAUAUGCGAUACCAAACAUUGACAUAUAUAAAGCAAUUAUGAUAUAUAUAAAAUCUAACCUUGACAUAUAUAUUUAGAAAUCUUGACAUAUGUGGGAUUAAUCAUGACAUAUAUGACGUCUGACCUUGACACUUGUUGGAGUAACCUUAACAAAAGAGUAAGUUGACCUUGACAUAAGAUCAAGUAAUCUUGUCAUAUGUUAAAUUCAACAUUGACAUAAGUAAAUGAAACAUUGAUAGAUAUCAUACUAUUAAGAUUUCAUCAUUAGUGGAAAUAAAGAAAUCUUGACAUAUGGAUAUGUCAAGGUAGCUUUAGACUUUUCUUGACACUGGCAUAGAUGACAUAUACGAAUAGUAACCUAUCUUGACAGAUAUACCUUAUCUUAACGGUGAAAAACUGUCAACAAGGGCCUUUUUUCUUGUAGUGCCAGUUCAUAAGGAGACCAAAUGCAAUGGAUAGUAGGUCAUGGACUUGAGUACUUUGUAGUGGAGUGAAGUUGAUUCUAUGUAGUAAGAUGUUAAAUCAAUUUUAGAAUUGAAUUAUGAGGGAGUCAAUACUAUCCUAUUGGUCCCAAUGGUCCCUACUUGAGCUCAUAUGUCUUAUUGGUAUGGUUUAUGAGAAUUGGAUUGACUCAUGGUUCACUUUUAUGAGUAAAGGCUUUUUGGUAACUAUGCUAGGUUGCAUAGGGGUUAGUGAACAAAGUUUCUAGAUUGGGCUAAUUGAUUAAUUAAAAGACUUUGUGGGUUAGUUAAUUAAUUAUAAUCUAUUUUAGCUAGAUUAGGUGACCCAAGCCCUUAGUAGGCUCAAGUCACUUAAACCAAUUAGGGAACCUUAUAAAUACUCUUUUAGGGGUGAAGUAGUUGUCUUCUAUAAUGUAGAGAGAAUAAAGAGCCACAACUUCCUCCCUCACAACCUUCUCACUAGUUAAAUGCCAAAAUCAAGGUAUAGUCAAUGCAAUAGAAGAUCUUAGGUUUUUAAGACCUUCAACUACUUUGUUCAGAUACUUCACUGCAUGGAUUUGAUUUGGGAACAUCCAAAUCAAGGUAAAAGUUUUCUAUCUUGAUAUCUAAAUCCUAUUAUUCAUUUAAAAUGCAUGUUUCCCUUUGUGCUUAGGAUUUAAAGAAAACUUAGGAAGAUUUGCAUGUAUCUAACAUGAUCUAGGUAUAGGAAACAAAAAUAUCUAGGAUUCUUUACAAAAAUCCAGUGGAUAGUAGGUUAUAGGCCUAAACUUUAACUUAUUAUAAUUAUAUAAGAUAUUAGAGUGUAGUUGAUUCUCUUUAAUGGAGUGUUGAGUCAACGUCAAAAUUGGAUUUUAAGAGCCAAUAUUUUCCUAUGGGUUCCAGUAGUCUCCACCCGAACUCCCAUUUCAUGGUGGCACAUUUGUUUGAGGAAUUUUGUGUUUGUAGUUCACUAAUGUGCAUAAGUGGCAUUUUGGUAAAAGUAAAAAGUUGCACUAGAUCUUGUGUGCAGUAGGACUAAUUAAAUUAAUUAGAACGGAAGUGAGAUGAAGUAAGUGACCUAAGGCCAAUUUGGACUCAAGUCACUUAAGCCCAUAGGGAAGUCUAUAAAUACCACCUUAGGGGUGAGAGCUUCAAACUUUUGUCAUUUUUCUUUUAGAAAGAGAAAGCAAACCCUAACCACCUUUAAGUGAGAGAAAAAGAGAGAAGCUUUCCCUUCUCUUACGCGAAGGUUUGUUGUGAAAGAAAAGAUCGGGUGCAAGAUUAUUAGGUAAAUGACUUCUAUGACACAUUCUAGGGAUUGGAUUGAAUAUGGGAACAUCCAAAUCAUAGGAAUGAAUUCUAAUAUCUAAAUCUAGUAUAUUUUAUGGAUUUUAUAACUAUAUUUUUCCAUUGCAUUAGAUCUAGAGAAGCCUAGAGAUAGUUAGAUGGACUUUAUAUGAUCCAAGGUUAAGGAACAGAUUAAUUCGAAGUUCCCAUCGAAGUUAGUGAACAAUAUUUCUAGAUUAUUAGGUUGAUUAAUUAAUUUAAGCCCCCAAUUAGAAACCUUUUUAGUUUAAAUUAAAUGGCUCAAGUCUAAGGUAUGCUCAAGUAACUUAAGCCUAAUGGGAAGCCUUUAAAUACCUCUUGAGGGGUUAGGGUGUAGACCCACAUUUUUCACGUGCGUUCCCACUUGAUCGGCGAGACUCGCUUUUUAUUUGGUGAAAAAUUAAUUUUGGAAAAUUCGGAAUCGCCAUUUAUUUUAUUUUAUUUUAAAAGGGAAAAUAAAACAAGAAAUAAAACCCUAAAAAAUGACUUCAUAGUUUUUGGAAAAGCGUGUCUUUAAAAAACCCGAGUCUAGGUCUGAGGAUCAGGUUACUUAUUGAGAAGGUAUCUCUAGGAGGUAACACCCCUCUAAGCCCUAUAAAAGUCUCUACUGACUAAGUUAAGGGAAAUGUGACAAUUAAUUGAUUAAUUAUAGAUACCUAGGUAGGCUAGGUGAUUUCGAAAAAUAGCAUGCUAAACAAGAAAACCGAUCACAAAUCAUAAAGAAGAUUUAGGGUGCGUACCUGGACCACUUCUUAAGUGCUAUCACAAAACAUCAAAGGUUACUUUAAAUAGUAUAUCACCCAACAUGCACUUUAUCAUAAAUGAUCGAACAAUGUAACAAAAUCAAGACACCUAAGCACUAUCAAACAUAGGCAUAAUUCAUAAUGACAAUCAUAUUUAUAGAAUUUAGAAAGUGGGUGUUAGGGAGCGUACUUAGAUAGCAUAGAUAACUCAUAAUACGCUUCCUCGAGACAUGGAGGGUUAGAUAAUAAAUAAUAAAAUAAGAAAUUCUAGCAUGCUUGUUAUUUAAUUAGCAUGACAAAAAAAAUGAUCAAAGUAUACUAAAUCAUCAAUUAUCACACACAUCUUGUAUACAAUUCUUAAAAAAAAAAGAUAGAUAUGAUUACAACAAAUAGCAAGAGUGGUAGCAAAAAUAAGUUUUGAAAAGAUUUUCUUAUAUAGGGGUUUCACCAAUUCCCCAAUCGAUAUACACGAAUUUAGCCUAGAAUUAUCCAAUUUAUUUGGGACCACAAGCUUUGAUUCGUGUUUUGUUCAAAACCAAAUUUUUUAUUGAAAACUGAGAAAGAUGCGAACCGAUUAAAAAAAUGGUUGCAUAUUAUUUUAAGAGAAUGAGAUUUUGAUUCUAAAGACUCUAAAUGUACUUUUUUUUAAAUAGAUUUUCAAAGGGGUCUUUUGAGAAAAGUGUUUUGUUUUAAAAUAAAAGAAAUUAAUUUCGAAAACAACAAAACAUAGAAAACAAAAUACCAACAAAAAAAAAGGAAACAAAAAUCACAAAAUAAAGAUUUAGACAAUCAUGCCAAUUAAAGUAGUGAGAGUAGGGCCAACCUUCAUGGGUUUCCAGUGGCCUUCAAAAAAAGGAUUUGACCAACAAUCACUAAGGCAACAAAAUUAUGACUUCCUAAUCAAACAAACUAAUAAAAAUAUUAUCCAAGACUAACAUUUAGAUUUCAAAAAACACAUGAAUUAAGAUAAAAAAAAAAAAUCCAAUCAAGGAUUAAAGUCAACAAACUUAGCAUAUGGAGAUAAUAAUGUGGGAUUGAUUAAGGUAAAUUAACAUUCUAACAAAAUAUGAUAAAUCAAAAACCAAAAUUUAGCAAUCUUGAAAAUAUGAAAACAAUAACAUGCAAUUAACUAGAUUGAUUAUCUAAAAUUCCUAAAAACUCGAACUAAAUAUUAAUAGAUCAAAACCAAAAUAUGCCAUGCUCAAAAUAUGAAAAAUAAUAACACGUGAUUAACUAAAUUAAUUAGCUAAAAUUAUAAUAGUCAACUACAAAAUUGGAUAUAAAUGGAUUAAAAUCAAAAUUAACGAAAUAAAAAACGCACAAACACAUUCAAACUAAAAAUAAUUAAUACUAGAUUAAAUUAGAAUUAAAAACAUCAACAUCAUCUAAUAAGAUUGGCUAAACUAUUAAAUUGAAAUUGCAAAUACAUUUAAACUAAAGCAAAUAAAUAAAUUAGCAAAUUAAAACUAAACUACAAUCGGAAUUAAGACAAAAAAACAUGAAAUUUGUCUAAGAGGUUUGGUCAAACAAUUGAAUUAAAAUCAUGAACGCUUUCAAAUUAUAGAAUAAAUUAAAACUAAACUAGAUUGAGAUUAAACUCUAUCUAAGAAAAUUAGUUAAUUAAACUAAUAAAAUCAAAAUCAACAAUCAAAACUAAACUAAAGAAUAAAUUAAGACAAAACUAAUUGGAUUAAAAUCACAAACACAUUUAAACUAUCAUAUAGAUUAAAAUAAAUUAGCAUGGAACUAAUGAACUACAAUCACAAAAGAAGAAAAAAAAAGUCUAUUCUAAAAAAAAUGCGCAAAUUGAGAUUUAAAAGAAUUGAGCACAAAGAAUUAAUUAAAUCAAUGAACUAACAUCUAAAUUAAAAAAAAAAAAAUCUGUCAAAAACUGACCUGUGUUGUGAAAGAAAAAAUCCUCUCUUUGUGCGUCAAAGUGGCAACCCGAUCUUUGUCUGAAGUCUUCUGCUGCUCCCCAAAAACUCUUGUGCGUGUCCUUUCUGAAAAAAAAAAAAUUCCCCCUUGAUCUGUUCUCCUCCUCUUAUUUAUAUGGCAGCCCACUCCUAUGGAAUAUUUUAUUUCCUUUUUGGAGAUAUAUUUCCAACCUUAAAGGAGAUCCAAAUUUCCAAACUUCUGAUGGCACUUUCUAUUUCAAUACCCAUUGUCUCUCAAUGUUGUAGUCCCCAAUCUCCCUUCUAAAAAUGUUGUCAAAAUCUUCCCUGCCUCAUCUCUUGUCGAACCCUUGGAUCCUAUUGGCUAUUGUUGAAUCUGAGUGCAAUGUCAUUUGCAGAUGUCAUGAACAACUCAUCUAGCAAGCCUCUGCUGCCCCCUAUUGACCCUACGCCAACAAACUCAACUUCUCACAUCAUAUGUCAUUUUGUACGUGGGACUCACUGGAUNNNNNNNNNNNNNNNNNNNNNNNNNNNNNNNNNNNNNNNNNNNNNNNNNNNNNNNNNNNNNNNNNNNNNNNNNNNNNNNNNNNNNNNNNNNNNNNNNNNNCCCCCAUGGCAUUUCUUAUUCAUUCCAUCAUCAAUUCUCUCCACUUCUUAUCCUUUCUUCCAAGUGCUUGGUAUUCAAGACCGUUCAAGUCAUCAAGUGAUUUGUUGUUUCUUGUGAUUUGAAGUGCUACUAUCACAAGAAAGUGAUCGUUGUAUCCUGGGAGACGAUUGUCAACAAACCAUAAGCACCAGUGUGGGGCAAAUUUAUCUUAAGGACAUAGAGUCAAACUUUAGCCUCGAUCAACCAUUUGUACGAUUCAAUAUUUACUUACCUUCUCAUUUAUUUAUUAUAUGUAAUUAUUUGACCAUACAUUUGUGAUAAUUCCAGAAUAACAAUCUUAAGACGAAUUUCUUUUUAAUCUUUUGCUUCUGUCUAUGUUUUUAAUUCAGUUAAUAACAUGACCUUUACAAAUAUUAUUGAUACCCCUGUUGUUACACCUACUACUACCCAUGGUGAGAAACCAGAGAAAUUCACUAGGUUGGACUUCAAGCAGUGGCAACAAAAGCUGUUGUUUUAUCUCACAACACUUAACUUGGCUAAAGUGUUGCAUGAAGAUGCACCUACCUUAAAGGAGGAAGAGACUAACAAGCAAAUUGUGGCAGCAGUUGAAGCAUAGAAACAUUCAGAUUUUCUAUGCAAAAAUUACAUCCUCAAUGGACUUGACAACACGAUGUAUAAUGUGUAUAGUCAAGUGAAGACAACUAAGGAGCUGUGGGAGACUUUGGAGAAGAAAUACAAGACUGAAAAUGCUAGCAUGAAAAAAUUCAUAGUUGGUAGAUUUCUAGAUUACAAAAUGGUUGACUCCAAGACAGUGAUAAGCCAAGUCCAAGAGCUUCAAAUAAUUUUGCAUGAAUUACAUGCUGAGAAGAUGGAAUUAAGUGAGUCCUUUCAAGUUGCAGCGAUUGUUGAAAAGUUACCACCAUCUUGGAAGGACUUCAAGAAUUAUCUGAAACACAAGCGCAAGAAAAUGGGGCUUGAGGACUUGAUUGUGAGACUGAAAAUUGAGGAAGAUAUUCGUGUUUUUUAGAAGAAAGUGGGAAAACAUCCCAUGGAGUCCAAGGCAAACUUGGUGGAACCAAAGGCUAAUAAAAAGAGAAAGCACUUUGGUGAAGGUCCAAGUCAAGGAAAGAAUAAAUACAAGAAGUUUGUUGGGAAGUGUUACAUUUGUAAUAAGCAAGGCCAUAGGGCCAAGGAUUGCCGCUUGAAAGGACAAAGUAAUGAAAAUAAAACACAAGUGACUGAGGAAGAGGAGUUGGCAAACAUGCUUUCCGCAUUGGUACUGUUUGAAGCUAACAUGGUAGAUAACCCAAACGAAUGGUGGGUUGACACAAGUGCCACCCGUCAUGUUUGUGGAGAAAGAAACAUGUUCUCCACAUAUGUACCAGUCAAUGGUAGAAAUUUGAUCAUGGGAAAUUUUGCCACAUCUAGGGUUGUGGGAAUUGGAAAAGUGGUGCUAAAGAUUACUUCUAGAAAAGAACUUGUUCUCAUAUAUGUGCUACAUGUGCCUGAUAUUUGCAAGAAUCUUAUUUCUAGUUCUAUGCUUAGCGAAAAUGGGUUCAAGUUAGUUUUCGAGUCUGACAAAUUUGUAUUCAUGAAAAAUGGGAUGUAUGUGGGUAAGGGGUAUAUGACCAAUGGCCUGUUUAAGAUGAAUGUAAUGAUUGUUAAGCGUGAUUUCAAUAAUAAUAAAGCAAGUACUGCUGUUUACUUGAUUGAGUCUUUUACUUUGUGGCAUGAUAGGUUAGGACAUGUUAACAAUAAAACUUUAAAAAGGUUGAUUAACAUGAAUUUGUUGCCUUUUUUUAGCAUUGAUUUUAAACAUAAAUGUGAAGUGUGUGUGGAAGCCAAGAUGGCUAAGCCACCGUUUCAUUCAAUUCAAAGGAACACAGAACCUCUGGAUUUAAUUCAUAGUGACAUCUGUGACUUAAAGUUUAUACAAACAAGAGGAGGGAAAAGAUAUUUUAUUACCUUUAUAGAUGAUUAUACAAGAUACUUUUAUGUGUAUUUGCUAAGAAGCAAAGAUGAGGCCUUAGAUGUGUUUAAACACUACAAGAAUGAGGUUGAAAAUCAACUUAGCAGAAAGAUUAAGGCAAUAAGAAGUGAUAGAGGUGGAGAGUAUGAAGCUCCUUUUGGAGAAUUUUGUUCAGAACAUGGAAUAAUCCACCAAACUACUACUCCUUAUUCACCUCAAUCGAACGGUGUUGUUAGCGCAAGAACCGUACAUUAAAGGAAAUGAUGGAUGCUAUGUUGAUAAGUUCGGGUCCACCCCAAAACUUAUGGGGAGAAGCAAUUCUUUCUGCAAACCACAUUCUUAACAAGAUACCACAUAAGAAUAAGGAUGUAACUUCAUAUGAGUUAUAGAAGGGUCACAAACCCUCUUACAAAUAUUUGAAAGUGUGGGGGUGUUUGGCUAAAGUAGGAGUGCCUAAACCUAAACAAGUUAAGAUUGGGCCUAAAACUAUUGAUUGUGUAUUUAUUGGAUAUGCAAACAAUAGUUGUGCAUAUCGUUUUCUUGUACAUAAGUCUGACAUUCCUAAUAUACAUAAAGAUACAAUUAUUGAGUCUAAGAAUGCGUCAUUUUUUUAGAAUAUUUUUCCUUGUAAAGAAAAGCAAGAAGUAAGUUCAAAUAAGAGAACUUAUGAUACUGUAAAUGGUAAUCAUCAAAAUGAGGAAGAAAUAAGAUGCAGUUAGAGAGCCAAGAAGACAAAGUCUUUUGGCUUGGAUUAUCUAACUUACAUGUUAGAUAACGAACCCAAGACAUUCAAAGAAGCAAUGUCAACACCAGAAGCCCCAUUUUGGAAAGAGGCUAUCAAUAGUGAAAUUGAAUCCAUCAUGCAUAACCACACAUGGAAAUUGGUGGAUUUACCACCAGGAAAUAAACCUUUGGGUUGCAAAUGGAUCUUCAAGAAAAAGAUGAAGCCUGAUGGAACAAUAGAUAAGUACAAGGCUAGAUUGGAGCCAAAGGAUUUAAAUAAAAGGAAGGCCUUGAUUUCUUUGAUACAUAUUCACCAGUUACGAGAAUAACAUCUAUUAGAGUGUUAAUUGCAAUCGCAGCAUUGCAUAAUUUGGAAAUUCAUCAAAUGGAUGUUAAGACAAUCUUUUUAAAUGGGGAGUUAGAAGAAGAAAUAUAUAUGGAACAACCUGAAGGGUUUGUUGCUCCUGGACUAGAAAAAAAGGUGUGUAAGUUGAUAAAGUCCCUAUAUGGGCUAAAACAAGCACCAAAACAAUGACAUUAGAAAUUUGACAAAGUAAUGUUGUCAAAUGAUUUUAAAAUUAAUGGAUGUGAUAAAUGUGCAUAUACAAAGAAUACACAAAGUGAGUAUGUCAUUGUGUGCUUGUACGUGGAUGAUAUGUUAAUUAUUGGUAGCAAUAAUGAUGUCAUUAAAGCUACUAAGAAAAUGCUGACCAAUUAUUUUGAUAUGAAAGACAUGGGUGUCGUAGACGUGAUCUUAGGUAUAAAAAUGGCCAAGACAUCUAGUGGACUAAUAUUAUCUCAAUGUCAUUACAUUGAGAAAAUUCUUAAACGGUUUAACUAAUAUGAUGAUAGUCCAAUUAAGACACCAGUAGAUUUAAAUCUAUAUUUAGCUAAAAAUAAUGGUCGAGUAAUUGACCAGUUGGAAUAUUCUUGUAUCAUUGGUAGUUUAAUGUAUGUCAUAAACUGCACGCGUCCAGACAUAGCCUACGCAGUUAAUAAACUAAGUAGGUUCACUAAUAAUCCGGGAAAAGACCAUUGGAAGGCGUUGAUUAGGGUUCUUAGAUAUCUAAGAUACACCCUAAACUAUGGACAUCAUUAUUUAAGGUAUCCAGCCAUACUAGAAGGAUAUAGUGAUGCAAAUUAGAUAUCUGAUACAAAGGACUCAAAGUCCACAAGUGGAUAUGUAUUCACAAUUGGUGGUGGUGCGAUAUCAUGGAAGUCAUCUAAACAAACAUGUAUUGCAAGAUCAAUGAUGGAAUCUAAAUUUAUUGCUUUAGAUAAAGUAGGGGAAGAAGCAGAAUGGCUUCAUAAUUUUCUAGAAGACAUUCCAUGUUGGCCAAAACCAAUGCCUGCAAUAUGUAUACAUUGUGAUAGUCAAUCAGCGAUUGGAAGAGCACAAAGUAGCAUGUACAAUGGUAAGUCUCGACACAUCCGUCACAUACAUAAUAUUGUAAGGCAGUUACUUGUAAAUGGAAUUAUUUCCAUUGAUUAUGUUAAGUCAAAGGACAACUUGGUGGAUCCACUAACUAAAGGAUUGUCUAGAGAUCAAGUAAACUGCUCAUCGAGGGGAAUGGGAUUAAGGCUUAUCACUAAAGAGUUUCAUAAUGGAAACCUAACCUAGCUGACUAGAGAUCCCAAGACCUAGCUAGGUUCAAUGAGGAACUAAAUUAUGAAAUACUCUGUGAAGAGCACUAGGGAAAAAUAAAUUCCUACCCAUUCCUAUGGUGAAGUAGUGCUAUACAAGAUGUGUUUAGGAUAAGCUAUGCUUUUAAUGAUUCUAAUAAUUUGAAAGAGUUCAAGUGGAGUAUGGUAGAAUAUUCGCACUUGUAACGGCUAAAAUGAACACAACCGUGAGAAUCAAUGGUGAUCUGGAAAGGAAUUGUGUGAAUACUAUUGUCUUGAUUUACAUCAAUAGCUGAAUAGUUCAAGACAUCACAUUCACUGAUUAGCUAGUAAAUCCGAUAGUAUUUCACUAAGGUUCAGAGCCAUAAACUACCUAUCCUGAUGCGAUCACUUUCCAAUUUUGUAUUCUCUUGAUUGUUUAGUUUUCCAUUUGCCUUUUUUAAGUCAAUUUCCAUUCAUGUGGGGGAUUGUUGGGAUAUUUAUAGGUGAAUGGAAAUUAAGACAUACUGUUUCAAUUAGACACAACUCUUCGUAAUGGACACAACUUGUGUCAAAGGAUAUGUCAAGUAUUUAAGACACAUCUCUUCUAAGAGUCACUAGAAAACCUAUAAAUAGGGGGGCCCCAUGGCAUUUCUAAUUCAUUCCAUCAUCAAUUCUCUCCACUUCUUCUCCUUUCUUCCAGGUGCUUGGUAUUCAAGAGAGUUCAAGUCAUCAAAUGAUUCACUGUUUCUUGUGAUUUGGAGUGCUACUAUCACAAGAUAGUGAUCGUUGUAUCCUGGGAGACGAUUGUCAACAAACCGUAUGCACCAAUGCAGGGCAAAUUCGUAUUAAGGACAUAGAGUCAAACUCUAACCUCGAUCAACCGUUUGUAAGAUUCAAUAUUUACUUACCUUCUCGCUUAUUUAUUAUACAUAAUUAUUUGACCAUACAUUUGUGAUAAUUCCAAAAUAACAGUUGAAUCCUCGGCCACAGCCUUUGCGGCAGCUAGAAACAAUUCCAGAAGGAUUCGUGGAAGGACAGUUGUUGAUGUAGAUUUGGAAGUACACACAACAAGACCUCUUAAUAACCGCAACAAGCGUGGAAGAGCUCCAGAACAAUCUUGGCAUGUUCCGCUUCUGCCACCCAAGGAGCCCACCUUCAACUGUAGGAAAAGGGUCACCAUGAAAGAUACCAUCAGAAUUUAACUUCCUGCAGCCAGCUGAGUAUGAUGCCUGGGCCAAUCAUGUAAUUAUGCAUAGGCUUAAAGAUUUUCAGCGUACAAGAAGGUGGGUUAUAAAGACUGGCUUUUGGAGGAUAGAAAGAGAAAUGAAAGAUGGCUCUUGGCAUGUUAUCAGACUCUUUUAUUUUUGCCCUCACAGACGGUGAUCCUCGUCUGCACGCUCUUGAACUCCGAUAUCCGACAUCGUAUGGUGAUGCCACCUGGGCGCUGAAAUGUAUACUCCUCCUCGGAUUCUCUCAGAAACUCACCAAACAAUGGGUGAUCGAAGUAUAUCACCGACACAAGGACUCGUGGAAGUCACCGUCUUUUUGAUCCACGUACACCGCCAGAUGGCCUUUCGGAACCGUCACCGCUAGCAUCUCCUCACCCACCAGAAGGUAACCAGAGAAACGAGCCGGAUCCGAGUUCAACAAACAUGUCUUUUUGGCCUUGGUUUUGAGACGUUGACCCCAGUUGCAGAGUCGAGAAAUUGUCUUGGUCUUGCCAGUCGGUAGCCAGAGACGGUGGUACCCAAAUGGGUUUCGGUGGAAAAAACCAUCCGUAGAACUUGACGACCUGUUUUCCUAGUUUGAAGCCCCUGAUCUUUCUCAUGGUGUAAGUGUUUGGUGCGAGAGAAAAAUUCAGAAGCUAUAAAUUACCAGAAUUUUCAAAAGAAAGAAAACGGUAAGAUUUGGCUCAGGAGAAAGGUCAUGGAGCUUUUUGUCUUAAACCCUUUCUCUUCGUCAACACUUAACGGUGGCAGUGGAGAUGUGGAGGAGGAUGGGUUUUCUAUUCUGAAAACAGAUGGAUAUGGUGCGGCGGACUACUCCAGAAGUGAUGAAGUCUAUAGGCGACCCAUUGAGUUUCAAUGGCGGUGCACUACACCAACAGUUAUGAAUUUGCCUUUUUCAAUACAGAAUUUGCUUCUUCAAGAGAACGUCCAAGAAGUCUCGCUAUCGGUGUGGUGGCUCCUUUUUAUACCAGCAUCAGAAGUCACUGGAACUCCAGCUGUCACUCAUUCUCAGGCAUGGUGUGCAUGUCCUCAUGUUCACGUGUUCUUCACACCGGAUCAUUCUCUCUAGAGACUUCCAGAGAGCCUCCAAAAAAUGCCUGACCUCUAAUGCCAUGCCACCUCACGUGACAGCUCUCACCAACUUCAUCUUUUUGUUUUCACAGGAGCCUCCCAUUCCUAAAUAUGCAAUCGUCUCCUCAUGCAAAACAGAAUAAAAUAAAAUAAAAAAAAAUAAAAAAAAAGAGAAGAAACUAAUGAAAAUCAUGAGAUUGGUAAUAAAAUAAAACAUGAUUUAAAAGAAAAAAAAGAGAGACCAGAUUAUAUAAUUCCAUCAUUCAAUAAGGGGGUCGUAUGUAUAUUUAAAGUCUAAACAAUUCAAGCAAUUUUCUAUUAAGUAAAUAAAAAAUAAAAAUAAAUAAUAAAAGUAAAAAUAAAAAUGAAUAUAAUUAUCAAAUGCAUGCAAUAAUAAUAAAAAGAUUAUACAUAAAAAAGUUAAGCCUCAAUGAAGUGUCUAAGUGGGCCUAAGUGGGUGCCUAAUGAGCCAAGUGCGUCUAAGUGAACUUAAGGUGUCUAAACGAGCCUAGGGUGAGACUAGGUGGGUCUAAUUAAGUCUAACCUAAAGUGCACCUAAGUAAAACCUAAUCAAAAUCAAGACUAUCAAGGAUCAUAAUAAGGGGUCAAAUAAUCCCUCAACCAGAGUUUCCGAGGUGGCUCUAAAAAAAUGGGCUACACGAGAAGUAAUGGGCCACCAAGGAAUUGUUGUAAAGUACGGAACAAAUACCUAAUAAGACAUGUGCUAGAAUGAUAAAAUGGAGGGUCUACAUAGGGCUUCAGACUCUUAGACUUUUACUUCUUCCAUUCUCUUUUACAUGUCUAGAGAGAGAGAACCUAGCCCCUCCACUUUUCUCAAUCUCUACCAUCUAAGUAUCUAGCUUCAAGGAGAGUCAUUGAGGAGAAAACCAAUGGUUUCAUGAGAUUUUCAAUGACUACUAUGCGUUUGAGAACCUUCUUCACCACAAGGCUGUUUUGCUUCAUUGGUGGGGGAUAAGCUUAGGAAAGCAUGUAUGCACCUAACAAGAUCUAGGGAUAUAAAAUGGAGUGAUCUAUUUUUUCCUACAAUUUUAGCUUUCUUACUUGUAGUUUUAAUUGACCAUAUGUAUAGCUUUUCUUGGUUAAAAUUUUAAUUUUUUUGAAUGAUGUACAAUGCACUUAUUUUGUUUUUGAAAAGAAUGUUUUUAUUUUUCUUAAUAACGUACUUUUUUUUUUGAAGGAUAUACUUAAUUUUUUAAGAAAUGUAUUUAAUUUUUCUAAAGAAUUCACUUAUUUUUCUAAGGAAUCUAGUUAUUUUUCUUAGAGAUAUACUUAUUUUUUAACAACGUACUUGUUUUUUUUCAUAUUGUACUUCUUUUAAAAAUGUACUUAUUUAUACUAUCACAAAUAAUUGAAAUUAAUUAGCAAAUUAUACUAAAACAUUAAUGUAUAUGAUUCAUAUACAAUGUACUUAUUUUCUUAGGAAAGCAUUUUCUAAAGAAUGUUCUUAGUUUUUUUUAGGGAUGUACUUAUAUUAUUUAAGGAUAAACUUAUUUAUAUUGAUAGAAAUAAGUGAAAGUUGGUGAGAAAUUUAUGAUAAAACAUUAGUAAAUAUAAUUAAUGAUAUUCGAUAAUAAUAUACAUAAUUUAAGAAUUUAAAAUAUAUUUAAUAUUCAACAUAUAAAAGAACUUAUGAUAUAUAUAUAUUAUUUUGAUGAUUUGUAUAAUUUGAAUAAUUUUUAAAUGGAAUAUGAAAAUGAAAUAAUUAAAAUGUACAAACGUAGUCCUGUAAGCCAUUGAUUAAUGUGCUUAUCGUGAUCAAAGAUUCAGAUAAUGUAUAUUAAUUGAAAAUUUAUUAGCAAAUAAUAGUCAAACGUUAAUGUAUAUAAUUUAUAUACAAUGAACUUUUUUUUGAGGAAUGCAUUUUCUAAAGGAUAUUCUUACUUUUUGGAGGCAUGUGCUUAUUUUUUUAAGGCUAAACUUAUUUAGAUUGGAGCAAAUAAGUGAAAGUCCAUGAGAAAUUCAUGAUAAAACAUUAAUGCACAUAAUUUAUAUAUUAUGUACUCAUUUUUUAUUUUUUUAGAAAUGUACAAAUAAUGGAAAGUUCAUUAGCAAUUUAUAGUAAAAUAUUAAUGUACAUAUUUUUUUGAAGGAUGUAUAAUAUACGUAUUUUUUAAAGGAAUGUAUAUAUUUUUUUUCAAGAUAUAGUUAUUACAUACCUAAGACUACAUUUAUGUUCAUAUUGAAAUUAAAGAGCUUUCAUAAGAGAAAGUGUAGCCACUUGAUCAUAUAAAAAAAUAAAAGAAAAGAAAAACAGAAAUAAAAGGGUAUAUAUCAAACACUUUCAAUUAUGAUUUAUCAUAUCAAAGAUUUGAAAAAGGGACAAUUCAUUUAGUAGUUAUUUAAAUGCGUAUUUUAGAAAUAAUUUUAUCCAUUGUGUGUUUGGGAUGAAAUGUGAAAGUUGGAAUCCUAAAAAAUAUACUUAUAUAUUUUUUAAUUAAUGUAUGUAACCAUAGUUCUCCCAAAAUAUGGCCAGGCUUCAUCAUACUUCUGUUUUGAAAUGUUAAAAUUUAAAAAUAAUUUUUCAUGAAUCACUUUUAAAUGUUUUUUAUAGAAAAAAAUUAAAAUAUAAAGUAUGAUGUAUUUUUUCAACUUUGAAAAAUUCUCUAAACAUAUUUUUAAGUCAUAAAUUAACACCAACUUUUGUCACUUCUUAUUCUUCUAUAUCAAAAGACUAACAAUAAUCAUGUUAUUUAUACGCAUAAAAUUAAUUAAAAUCAUUUAAGAUCAUGAUUUUUUUUAAAAUUUUUGUUAUUUAAUUAUAAAAAAAUUAAUUUUUUUAAUGAGAAGAAAAAAAACAAGGCUUAAUAACCAUAUUUAACAUUUUUAAAAUAAAUAAAUAAAAGCAAAGGUAUAUCCAAAUAAUACCUCAUUUGCUCAAUUCAAUUAUCGCAUGCCCUAAGUAUCAAAGUAGUUGACUAAGAGUGAGUUUGAUAGUAACUUUAGAAAGAUUAAAACACUUCUUCGAAUUACCACCAAAUAUAUUUUAAGGCACGCAAGGAAAAGUAAUCUCUUCUAUUAUUAUUAUUAUUAUUAUAAUUAUCAUACUGCCUUAUAGAAAGGACUUCUAUAAUUCAAAAUAAUCACAUGGUAAAAAUAGAUUUUAUUUGUUUGUAUCUUAUAAUGAUCUUAUUAUAUAUAUAUAUAUAUCUUAUCCUUUAUACAUGCAUUUUUUUUUUCAGUUUUGGUCGUAUAUUUUUAAUUUAAUAUUAAAAAAAAAAUUUACGCUUUUUGUCAAUGUCUCAAAUUUCAAAUAUGUUCAUGCUCUAGAAAUUCUCAAGUUGUAGUCUUGUAGCCUAGAAUGUGAAGUGAGAGUUUGAUGAAAAACGAAAAAAACAAAGAUAUAAAAUAUAAUUUGUGAGUAAGGAUGAAAAUAUCAGUUUUGACAGAUAUAUUAGUAACUCGAUUUUAUAGAUAUCAGGGUAUAUUAGAAAAUAUUGGUAAAUAUUUUGACACAAAAUAUCAAUGAUAAAAAAUUGAUCAAAACUCAUGGAAAUUAAAAAAAAAAAAACUCUUAAACAUGAUAAAAUAAACAAUAAUAUAUUUAUUAAAGUUUUUUUUUAUUAUUGUAAAACUUAAAACACAAAAUUAUCAACAAAUAUCAAUGAAAAAUUUGAAAAAAAAAAUCAAAAUUAAUAAAAACUCAUAAAAUAUUAGUAAAAACUAAAUAUAUAUAUAUAUAUAUAUAUAUAUAUAUAUAUAUAUAUAAGAAGCAAUAAUACACAUAAUGAAGUUAUUUAUUAAAAAAAUUGAUAUAAUUUAAUAUAAUUAAUGAUAUUUGAUAACAAUAUAUCUAAUUUAAGAAUUGAAAAUAUAUUUAAUAUUCAAAAUAUAAAAGAAGUUAAUAUAUAUAUAUAUAUAUAUAUAUAUAUAUAGAUAUUAUGAUGAUGAUUCGUAUAAUUUGAAUAUUUUUUAAAUGGAAUAUGAAAAUGAAAUAAUUAAAAUUAAUUUACUUAUUAUUAUUUUAUUUUAUCAGUCUAGGAAUGCAACUAUUUUUAAUUUAUGUGUGUUGCAUAUUUAAAAAAUGUUGAACUAGCUUAGUUGGCCAAAGCCCCAUCCAUGCGCACCCGAGACCCAGGUUAAAGCCUUAGUGUUGUUUCCAUUAAAAAAUUUCAAACGUUGACCCAAUAAUUUCAAUAUUGACAUUUUCAUCCUUGUCUACAAGUACUUGUGUUGGGAUCCAUGCAAUAAUUAAUGGCGGAAAAAUAGAAAAACGAGAAAGAAGAACACAAAGAUUUAACGUGGUUCAACUAAUUACCUACGUCCACGGGAAUAGGGAAAGAUGAUUUUCACUAUGUUAAAAUUAAGGUUACAUAAAAGGGUAUUUAUACUAACCCUUAGGAAUGAAAAUUCAAAAAACACCCCUGAACCCUACACCCCUCAACCUAUCGUUCACCUCACAACAAAAGAAAUACAAGCCUGAAUGACAAAUUCCGUCGCUAUGCUGCCAUUCCACUCCACUUCGCUCCCGCAUUUUGCCCAUUUUUCUCCAUAUGUCUUUUCGAUCAAAUAUGAGCCACAUACUACAACAAUCUCCACCUUGGCAAAUAUUCACUCCCCCCUUAGGAGACAAGAAACAUUGCUUAUAACUCCACCUGGGACAAUAGGUUGGGGUAUCUCCCAUCUAGCAACUAGAGACAUUAAUCAAGUUCAAGCAAUGCUUGAACUUUUCUGUGGUAACAGGCUUUGUCAACAUGUUUGCUGUGUUCUUAGAGGUGUGGACCUUCACAAGUAACAGUUCACUAGAAGAAACCAAUUCCCUGAUCUUAUGAAACCUCACAUCUAUGUGUUUGGUCCUUGCAUGAUACACCUGGUUCUUUUCCAAAUAAAUGGCACUCUGACUGUCACAAUAUAAUUGAACUCCACCUUGUUGAAUACCCAACUCCUUAAACAAACCUGUAAGCCAUAAUGAUUCCUUUGCAACCUCAACUAUUGCCAUAUAUUCUGACUUAGUAGUAGAUAGUGCAACUAAAGACUGUAUCAUAGACUUCCAACAAAUAGGUCCCCACCAAGGGUGAAUACAUAACUUGUGGUAGACCUCCUGUCAUCUAAGUCACCUGCAUAGUCUGCAUUAACAUAUCCUCUAACUGAAGAAUCACUUUGUUGUUUGAUGAACACGAUGCCAUAGUAUAGACCCGCAUUUUUCAUGUGCGCCCCCACUCGAUCGGCGAGACUCGCUUUUUAUUGGUGAAAAAUUAAUUUUGGAAAAAAAGUCGGAGUCACCACUUAUUUUAUUUUUAUUUUAAAGGGAAAAUAAAACAAGAAAGAAAAACCCUAAAAUGUGACUCCAUAAUUUUUGGAAAAAGCAUGUCUUUGAAACACCCGAGUCUAGGUCCGGGGAUCAGGUUACUUAUUGGGAAGGUACCUCUAGGAGGUAGCACCCCUCUAAGCCCUAAAGAGGUCUCUACUGACUAAAUUGGGGGAGAUGUGGCAAUUAAUUGAUUAAUUGGGGAUACCUAGAUAGACUAAGGUGAUUUAAAAAAAUAACAUGUGAUUACUACCAAAAAGUGCUAUUUUGUAGACCUAAUUAUAAUGGUUUUAAGCACCUUUGAGUAGUAAUCAUAUUCAUUUAACCCAAUUAAUUCAUUAAGGUCCUUAGUAAUUGGUUUUAACCUUUUUGUGGCAAGUUGACAUGUUUUUAUCAGCUUAUGAAUCGAUUCAAGCAUGCCAAUUGAUGGAGGAGCUAUUUGGGUGAGUUAAGCAAGGAUUUUGUACGUUUAUAGGCUUGAAUUUCAAGUGGAAACACGAGCACAAGCAAUGGAGAAGAGGAAAACAGAGUGAAGAAAACAGCUGCAGUCUUCCUUUGAACUUUUGAAGCACUUUCCGAAGUCUAUUUUUUGUAUGCUAUAUACCAUUUGAAAGCUUAGGAAGUCAAGAAUCCAACGCUUCAAACCGUGUAUGAUUUGGAGCUGAAAUGAGGAAGAUAUGGCCUUCGGAAGGCAACUGCAUCAUGUCAAAUGACCAAUUUCGCAAGGUGAAUUUCACAUUGCGAAAAUUUCGCAAGGAGAUUUUCUUCAUGGUGCGAAAUUUUGCCACUUCGCACCAUGAAGAAACACCUUGCGAAAAUUUCGCAAGGUGGAUUUAGGCACAUUGCAAAAUUCCUUUGAAUCCCCUGUUUUGAGACGUUGUUGAUGUUAUUCCACUACCGGUUCUCCAAGAUAUUUUGCUUGAUUUUUAGCUUUGUAAAUACCUAUUUUACCCUUGUAAUCAACCAAUGAAUAGGUUGCUUUUGUAAUAGCUCUUGUAAUUUAGCUUGUUAUUGUCUUUAAAUAGAGGUGAAGAGCCUCAGACACGCAUCAUCUAAUCUUGUAACCUGUAACUUUAUAAGUUAUAAGAGCACUUUUGUUCAGAAGCUUCUUUUCUCUUUUCUUUCUCAUUUUCUUAGUAGCCAAACACCCUUGGAGGAUGAAAUCCCCAAGGAUGAGAGGCUAAAACCUUUUAGUUUCUUGAAGUAAUGGAUGCCAUGUGAAGCUCCCGUGUCAGGAUGGAGAUUUCCAAGCCAUGAAUGUAAGUAGCUGAGCGUCAUAAAUGUUUUCAUUCAAAGUAAAGCUUUUAAUCCCUCUGACUUGCUUUGAAUGGCCAAUACUUGAUAACCUUUUGGUCUCAGUGGAUUCUUAUUGUUAAAUCCACUGACGUUCAUUAGUUAUCUCCUACGAGCCAUUGUAUUGCAAGUCGAGGAGAUGACCUAUAUCAUUAAAAGGGCAUUUAUGAGGUUCAGCUACCCUUUUUGUAAGUUUUCAAGGACUAAAACUCAGUUGUUAAACUCAUACCGGUUCGGGAAGUAAGCAUCACCUUAGUUGCUUCCCCAACUCGAGGUGAAAAGUCCCAAAAUCUCCAUUUUUACACAGUGAGUUAAGCAUGACUAUCCAAAGCUUUGAGAAACUUCUUUCUCCAUCUUUUAACCUAUUUUCAAGUUAGUUUAGUUUACAACACCUUUAUCUUUUUAUGUUUUCAUCUUAACCUAAUUUUUAUUAAGAAAAGUUCACUCCAUCCUCCGAACUUCACCAGUUAAAGUAAAAACCCUUCCCAGUGUUCGAUCCUAGAGCCACUAUGCUAUAGUAGCUUUGCUACUUUAGUGUAAGGACCUUAGGUUAUAAAUUUUGUUGAUACCUUACAUGCAAGCUACCAAGAGGCGGGUUAUCAAAUGGCGCCGUUGCCGGGGAAGGUGCUACUUCACUGUGAAUAUAUCAGCCGGAGGUAACUUGUGAGACUUCUCAUGAGUAAGGUGAAUUCUAUCUCCUUUUUCAUUUACUAACUUUUUAUUUUAGUUUUAGAACAUUUUUAACUUAGUUUAGAUAAGUUUCUUUUAGCUUUUAACUUUCAUUUUUAGUUUAUUUUUCAUACUCUGUUUUUCCUUCCGCAUGCUCUGUUUUUUUUUUUUCUUUUUCUUUGUUUUGUUUGUUUGCUUUGUUCCAGCUGAAUCCGUGCAUGCCCUAUUGGAUUAGAGACCAAGAGGGAAGGUUAGUGCGGAUAGAGACUCCACGAGCUAUUGAAUUAGAGAUUAUUUUAGAAGUCAUGGAGAAUCAGCCAGAGGAUCAACAUUCACAACACGGGCAGGGGAAUGAUCCGAACUUGUAUAGGUCCAUGAGGGACAGGAUGCACCCUCCGAGGAUGAGUGCACCAUCUUGCAUCAUUCCUCCUACAGAGCAAUUGAUUAUCAGGCCACACAUCGUGCCUCUGCUUCCUACUUUCCAUGGGAUGGAAAGUGAAAAUCCAUAUGCGCACAUAAAGGAAUUCGAAGAUGUGUGCAAUACUUUUCAAGAAGGGAGAACAGCUAUUGAGCUUAUGAGGUUGAAGCUCUUUCCAUUCACAUUAAAGGACAAAGCCAAGAUAUGGCUCAAUUCCUUGAGGAUGGGAAGCAUAAGAACAUGGACAGAACUUCAAGCUGAUUUUUUGAAGAAGUUUUUCCCUACUCACAGAACAAAUGGAUUGAAGAGACAAAUCUCCAACUUCUCAGCACGUGAGAAUGAAAAAUUUUAUGAAUGCUGGGAGAGGUAUAUGGAGGCCAUCAAUGCAUGUCCUCACCACGGCUUUGAUACAUGGCUUUUGGUGAGCUAUUUUUAUGAUGGCAUGUCAUCUUCAAUGAAGCAGAUAUUGGAGACAAUGUGUGGGGGUGAUUUCAUGAGCAAGAACCCUGAGGAGGCUAUGGACUUCCUAAGUUAUGUCUCAGAGGUUUCCCGUGGAUGGGAUGAGCCCAAUAGUAGAGAAAUGGGGAAGAGGCCAGUUCAGCAAAUGUCAAGAGGGGGGAUGUACAGUCUGAGUGAAGACAUGGAGAUGAAAGCCAAGGUAGCUGCCAAUGGCUAGAAAAAUAGAGGAAAUGGAGUUGAGAAAAGUUCAUGAAGUCCAAGCUAUUUCAGAACCUCAACAACAAGCCAAUCCUUGCUCCAUCUGUCAGUCAUUUGAACAUAUGGUGGAAGAAUGUCCCACCAUUCCGGCAGCAAGAGAAAUGUUCGGGGAACAAGCUAACCUGAUUGGCCAAUGGAAGCCAAAUUCAAAUGCUCCCUAUGGCAACACGUACAACUCUAGCUGGAGGAACCACCCAAACUUUGCAUGGAAGCCAAGGCCAAACCCAUAUCAGUCACCAGCCCAAUCAAGCCAACAGAGUCAAGGUCAAUCCUCAGUUGAGCAAGCACUCGUAAGCCUUAGCAAGGUUAUGGGUGACUUUGUGAGUGAGCAAAAAUCCAUCAACUCUCAACUAAAUCAGAAGAUUGACAACGUAGAGAGUACAUUGAACAAGAAGAUAGAUGGGAUGCAUAAUGAGUUGUCUCAGAAAAUUGACAACAUCCAAUAUUCCAUCUCAAGGCUCACAAAUUUGAACACUGUCAAUGAGAAAGGGAAGUUUCCCUCUCAGCCUCACCAAAAUCCUAAGGGGAUACAUGAAGUGGAAUCCAAAGAUGAGGAUUCUUCAAAGGUGAGGGACGUGCAAGCUAUUAUCACUUUGAGAAGUGGUAAGGAAGUGCAUCAGCCGGAGCAUGAUCAGAGGAAAGCCAAAGAAGAUAAGGCUGAUAGAAAAGAAGAAAAGAAGAAUGAACAAAAGGGAAAGGAAGUUCAGAUGAAAGAAAGCAUCAUUCCUAGCAUGGAUGAGGAACCUCAAAUUCUUUUAAAGGAAGGCAUGAUGAAGAAGUACAUGCCUCCUCCAUUUCCUCAAGCCUUACGUGGGAAGAAACCGAUCAAGAAUGCUUCUGAGAUUCUUGAUGUGUUAAGACAAGUGAAGGUGAAUAUUCCUUUACUUGAUAUGAUCAAGCAAGUACCCACAUAUGCAAAGUUUUUGAAGGACUUGUGCAUUGUGAAAAGAGGACUCAAUGUUACAAAGCAAGCCUUCCUAACCGAGCAAGUGAGUGCUAUAAUCCAAUGCAAGUCUCCAAUCAAAUACAAAGAUCCGGGGUGUCCUACAAUCUCAGUCAAUAUUGGAGGAACCCAAGUGGAGAAAGCAUUGCUUGAUUUGGGGGCAAGUGUUAACUUACUUCCAUACUCUGUAUACAAGGAGCUGGGGUUGGGAGAACUCAAGCCAACAUCAAUCACCCUAUCCUUAGCUGACCGAUCAGUGAAAAUCCCCAGGGGGGUAAUAGAGGAUGUAUUGGUUCAAGUUGACAAAUUCUACUAUCCAGUAGAUUUUGUGGUGCUUGAUACGGAUCCCAUUGUCAAAGGGAUCAACUAUGUUCCAAUCAUCCUUGGAAGACCAUUCCUUGCAACAUCCAAUGCAAUCAUCAAUUGUAGGAAUGAGGUCAUGCAACUCACUUUUGGGAAUAUGACAUUGGAACUCAACAUCUUCCAUCUAUGUCAAAAGCACAUCCAUCCUGAAGAAGAUGAGGGCCCGGAAAAAGUGUGUAUGAUAGAUACCCUGGUGGAGGAGCAUUGUAAUCAGAGUAUCCUUGAUCAGUUUGAAGAGAAUUCAGAUGAAAGCCAUGAAGAUCUUGAUGAUGGGUUAGCUGAACCCAUGGGAAUGAAUGCCGUUAUGUCAAACUGGAGACAAAAGCCAGUGAUCCUCCCUUUGUUCAAGGAUGAGGAAGAGAUGAAAGAAGCUAAGGAUGCAAUCCUUAAGCUUGAAUUAAAGACCCUUCCUGCCGAGUUGAAGUAUGCUUACUUGGAGGAAGGCAAUAAAGCCCCGGUGGUAAUUUCUUCUUCUUUAACCGUUUCACAAGAGGGCAAUCUUCUGAGAAUCCUUAGAAAGCACAAGAAGGCCAUCGGAUGGCAAAUUUCUGAUUUGAAGGGGAUAAGCCCAUUGAUUUGCACGCACCAUAUUUAUAUGGAGGAGGGAGCUAAGCCAACUCGUCAGCCACAGAGAGAUUGAAUCCUCAUAUGCAAGAGGUAGUAAGGGCUGAAGUGUUGAAGCUUCUUCAAGCGGGCAUCAUUUACCCCAUUUCNAUAGCACUUGGGUGNNNNNNNNNNNNNNNNNNNNNNNNNNNNNNNNNNNNNNNNNNNNNNNNNNNNNNNNNNNNNNNNNNNNNNNNNNNNNNNNNNNNNNNNNNNNNNNNNNNNAAGCUUGAAUUAAAGACCCUUCCUGCCGAGUUGAAGUAUGCUUACUUGGAGGAAGGCAAUAAAGCCCCGGUGGUAAUUUCUUCUUCUUUAACCGUUUCACAAGAGGGCAAUCUUCUGAGAAUCCUUAGAAAGCACAAGAAGGCCAUCGGAUGGCAAAUUUCUGAUUUGAAGGGGAUAAGCCCAUUGAUUUGCACGCACCAUAUUUAUAUGGAGGAGGGAGCUAAGCCAACUCGUCAGCCACAGAGGAGAUUGAAUCCUCAUAUGCAAGAGGUAGUAAGGGCUGAAGUGUUGAAGCUUCUUCAAGCGGGCAUCAUUUACCCCAUUUCGGAUAGCACUUGGGUGAGUCCAACCCAAGUUGUUCCAAAGAAGUCCGGGAUAACCAUAGUCAAGGGAGAAAAUGGAGAUGAAGUGUCCACACGCCUCACAACUGGUUGGAGGGUGUGCAUUGACUACAGGAAGCUGAACGCAGUAACGAGAAAGGAUCACUUCCCUUUACCUUUCAUGGAUCAAGUCCUUGAGAGAGUAUCUGGGCAUCCUUUUUAUUGCUUCUUGGAUGGGUAUUCCGGGUAUUUUCAAAUAGAGAUUGAUGUGGAGGACCAGGAGAAGACUACCUUCACUUGUCCAUUCGGCACCUAUGCUUAUAGGCGGAUGCCUUUUGGAUUAUGCAACGCUCCUGCUACCUUCCAAAGAUGCAUGCUUAGCAUCUUCAGUGACAUGGUUGAACGAAUCAUGGAAGUCUUCAUGGAUGACAUAACUGUGUAUGGGACUUCUUUUGAGGAUUGUUUGUCACAUCUUAAAGAUGUUUUGAAAAGAUGCAUAGAGAAAGACCUUGUACUCAAUUGGGAGAAGUGCCAUUUUAUGGUAAAUCAAGGUAUUGUUCUUGGGCACGUAAUCUCAAAGAAGGGUAUAGAGGUAGAUAGAGCUAAGGUAGAACUAAUUGUGAAGUUGCCACCUCCCACCAAUGUAAAAGGAAUAAGGCAAUUCCUUGGGCAUGCCGGGUUCUAUAGGAGGUUUAUAAAGGAUUUUUCCAAGAUUGCCAAACCUCUUUGUGAAUUAUUGGUGAAGGAUGCCAAGUUUGAGUGGGAUGAUAAAUGUCAAAGGAGUUUUGAGCUUCUUAAGCAAUUCUUGACAUCAGCGCCCAUUGUGAGAGCACCAAAUUGGGAGUUGCCAUUUGAAGUGAUGUGUGACUCAAGUGAUUAUGCUAUUGGGGCUGUUUUGGGACAAAGAGAAGAUGGCAAACCUUAUGUGAUCUACUAUGCAAGCAAGUCUUUGAAUGAUGCUCAAAAGAAUUACACCACCACUGAGAAUGAAUUACUUGUUGUGGUGUAUGCUUUGGAUAAGUUCAGAGCUUAUUUGAUAGGGUCUUCCAUUGUGGUAUUCACGGAUCAUUCAGCUUUGAAGUAUUUGCUAACCAAGCAAGACGCCAAGGCUAGGUUGAUUAGGUGGAUACUUUUGCUUCAAGAGUUCAACCUCCAGAUCAGAGAUAAGAAAGGUGUUGAGAAUGUGGUAGCUGACCACUUGUCAAGGCUCAACAUUGCUCAUGACACCCAUGGACUUCCCAUAAAUGAUGAUUUCCCUGAGGAAUCCUUGAUGCUUGUGGAGGAAGUGCCAUGGUUUGCACACAUUGCCAAUUACUUGGUCUCGGGAGAAAUACCAAGUGAAUGGAGCUCUCAGGACAAGAAGAAUUUCUUUGCCAAGGUCCAUGCAUAUUAUUGGGAGGAGCCUUUUCUCUUCAAAUAUUGUGCGGACCAAAUUAUAAGGAAGUGUGUGCCUGAACAAGAGAAGCAUGGGAUCCUAUCUCAUUGCCAUGGGAAUGCAUGUGGAGGCCACUUUGCCUCUCAAAAGACGGCAAUGAGAGUUCUUCAAUCGGGCUUUUGGUGGCCCUCACUUUUUAAGGAUGCCCAUGAGGUAAGUAAAGGAUGUGAUAAGUGCCAAAGACUAGGCAAGCUUUCAAGGAGAAACAUGAUGCCUUUGAACCCCAUCUUGAUAGUGGAUCUUUUUUAUGUUUGGGGCAUAGACUUCAUGGGACCUUUCCCUAUGUCUUUUGGCCACUCCUACAUCUUGGUAGGAGUUGAUUAUGUUUCAAAGUGGGUUGAAGCUAUACCCUGUAGAACCAAUGAUCACAAAGUGGUUCUCAAAUUCCUAAAAGAAAACAUCUUCUCGAGGUUUGGAGUGCCUAAAGCAAUCAUCAGUGAUGGAGGCACUCACUUUUGCAACAAGCCCUUUGAAGCUCUUUUGGCCAAGUACGGAGUUAAGCAUAAGGUAGCUACACCUUAUCAUCCUCAGACGAGUGGCCAAGUAGAGCUAGCCAACCGGGAAAUUAAGAACAUCUUGAUGAAGGUGGUGAACACCAAUAGGAAAGAUUGGUCUGUUAGGCUCCUUGAUUCCCUAUGGGCGUAUAGGACGGCUUAUAAGACUAUCCUUGGGAUGUCACCAUACCGUCUUGUUUAUGGCAAAGCUUGCCAUCUUCCUGUUGAGAUUGAGUUCAAGGCAUGGUGGGCCAUUAAAAAGCUCAACAUGGAUUUAACUAAGGCUGGGCUAAAGAGGAGUUUGGAUUUGAAUGAGCUUGAGGAAUUAAGAAAUGAUGCCUAUCUCAACUCAAAAAUAGCUAAGGAAAAGCUAAAGAGAUGGCAUGAUCAGUUGGUGACCAAGAAAGAAUUUUUCAAGGGACAAAGAGUCUUGCUAUAUGACUCUAAGCUUCACCUAUUUCCGGGAAAGCUCAAAUCAAGGUGGGUAGGGCCUUUUGUCAUCCACCAAGUACACUCACAUGGAGUAAUUGAGUUACUCAACUCAAAUAGUGCAAAGACCUUCAAGGUAAAUGGGCAAAGACUCAAGCCCUACAUCGAGCCAUUUUCCCGUGACAAGGAGGUACUCAUCCUCCAUGACCCAUCACAUCCUUGAGAAAGUGUGGUAAGUUGAUGAGCUUAGCAUGAAAAGCUAAGUGCUCAUCUCUUUUUGUUUUAGUUUUAGUAUUACAUUCUUGUUUACUUUGCAUUUUUAAUACUUUUGCACAUAUUUUGUUUAGGUUUCUUGGUUUUGAUUUUGAUUUUUUUAUGUUUUUAAUGGAGCUUUGAUGUCCAAUAGCAGGUACGAAAGCUCACAAGCUCACAAAUGUGGAGAGAAAGGUGAAAUAGGGGAGAAAUAUAUCUAAGUCCAAGCUUAAAAGCCCAUUUCGCAACUCAAAAAGUGAGUUGCGAAAAUUUUGCAAGGUGAAUUUCACCUUGCGAAAUGCACAUUUUGGCAAGAUGCAAAAUGCAACCUCUCGAGAUUGCACUUUCGCAAGGAGUAACCAGUGCGAAAAUUUUCGCAAGUCAUUUUUCACCUUGCGAAAUUGUUUUCAAAGCAAAUAUCAAAGUGCAACCUCUCGGGAUUGGUUUUUAAGGGGAGUAGCCAGUGCGAAAAUUUGGCAAGGUGAAUUUUCACCUUGCGAAAUUUUUUCUUCAUGCUUACCAAGGUUUUGAUUCUUUUUAAAUUCAUUUUCACAGCUAUCCUGGACCAGCACUCCGCCAUGCUAUCUCAGAUCCACCAUCACCUGGGCAUAUCACCUCCUCCACCUCAGGAGCCACAUCCAUGAUUGGAUAUUUCUAUCUCCAUUUUGUAUUUGUUUUUUGUAGAUGUACAUGUUUUAUAUUCUGAGAUUGUAUGUACCUCAUGCUUCUAUCUUGUACUCAACUCUCUCAGUUUAUAUAAGCAUCAUUUUUUGUAUAUUAUUUCCUCUCUCACGUUUCUUAUGGUUUUUGAAUCAUGUGGAUGCACUCACACGCCUUGAAUACCACAUCACCAUAAGGUAUAUCAUUCCUUCCUUGUAUUUUUCGAUAGAAACAUUGGGGACAAUGUUCAUCUCGGUUGGGGGGAGAGUUGAGGAAGUAAGUAUUUCCUAUUCUAGUUAGUUAUUUUGUUGAUUUAGUAGUUGUUGCCCUUUUUCAAAAUUUUUUUGUUUCAUUCUCUAUGGUUGUUAAAGAUAAUUUCUCAAAAUAAAAUAGGAUAAGUCGAGUUUUAACUUAAUUACUUAAGUCUUAGAGUUUGUUUUAUGCUUUCAAAGUUGAUAAUCUAUUGAAGCCCUCUUUGAUUUCGAACUUAUUUCUUCCAUUUCAAGCUUUACACACACCAUGCACAUUAGAUCCCGGAUUUAUGAUGUAAAACUUUCUCACCCUCUAAGCUUAGGAAAAUUUUGACUUGGUUUAUUACUUAACCUCUUUUUAAUAAUGUUGGGACACCUCAAAAAGACCAAUGAGUCUUAGAAAAAGAAAAAGAGAAAAAGAAAAAAGAAAAGAGAAAAAGAAAAAGAAAAAGAGAAUAAGCUUCUAUUCUUUCCUUGAAACCUAAGCAUGAUCCGAAGGGGUGGCGAAAGCCUUUAAAACCCGAUGCCCUAAACCUUGAUUGGUUGGGAGUCAUCGAUCCUCUGCUUGCUACAUAGGUGAAUUGGUUAAGUUUAGUGAGUAAAAAGAAUUGUGAAUAAGAAGGUGCGUUCCUAACCUAUUAAGAGUUGGUUAAUUUUGCCAAUGUCCGAGAAAAGCUUAGGUUAGGGGGAGAGGAUAGUUGUGCAUACUAUAUCCGGAAGCUAAUCUCAUUAACACUUAGCUCAUUAUGGAAGAGUUUGAUCCGGAACCUUGAGAGUAGAGAUUCUUUUGAUACUUAAUUGCAUAAUCUCCACUCUUUGUACUUUUUGUUUAAGUUUUAGCUUUGACAACUCCUAUUGCAUUUUGAAUCUUCGUAUCUUUAGUUCACCAUGUGAGAUGUGUUUUGAUUUCAGUCAUGCCACUCAAUUAUUUUUUGGAGUGAUUUGCAUGAUCCCUUUUAUGUAUAUUAUUAUAGUUUACUUAGUUUUUAUCUCCUCCAUUGCUAAGGGACUAGCAAUGAGUCGGUUGGGGGGUGUGAUUACUACCAAAAAGUGCUAUUUUGUAGACCUAAUUAUAAUGGUUUUAAGCACCUUUGAGUAGUAAUCAUAUUCAUUUAACCCAAUUAAUUCAUUAAGGUCCUUAGUAAUUGGUUUUAACCUUUUUGUGGCAAGUUGACAUGUUUUUAUCAGCUUAUGAAUCGAUUCAAGCAUGCCAAUUGAUGGAGGAGCUAUUUGGGUGAGUUAAGCAAGGAUUUUGUACGUUUAUAGGCUUGAAUUUCAAGUGGAAACACGAGCACAAGCAAUGGAGAAGAGGAAAACAGAGUGAAGAAAACAGCUGCAGUCUUCCUUUGAACUUUUGAAGCACUUUCCGAAGUCCAUUUUUUGCAUGCUAUAUACCAUUUGAAAGCUUAGGAAGUCAAGAAUCCAACGCUUCAAACCGUGUAUGAUUUGGAGCUGAAAUGAGGAAGAUAUGGCCUUAGGAAGGAAACUGCAUCAUGUCAAAUGACCAAUUUCGCAAGGUGAAUUUCACAUUGCGAAAAUUUCGCAAGGAGAUUUUCUUCAUGGUGCGAAAUUUUGCCACUUCGCACCAUGAAGAAACACCUUGCGAAAAUUUCGCAAGGUGGAUUUAGGCACAUUGCGAAAUUCCUUUGAAUCCCCUGUUUUGAGACGUUGUUGAUGUUAUUCCACUACCGGUUCUCCAAGAUAUUUUGCUUGAUUUUUAGCUUUGUAAAUACCUAUUUUACCCUUGUAAUCAACCAAUGAAUAGGUUGCUUUUGUAAUAGCUCUUGUAAUUUAGCUUGUUAUUGUCUUUAAAUAGAGGUGAAGAGCCUCAGACACGCAUCAUCUAAUCUUGUAACCUGUAACUUUAUAAGUUAUAAGAGCACUUUUGUUCAGAAGCUUCUUUUCUCUUUUCUUUCUCAUUUUCUUAGUAGCCAAACACCCUUGGAGGAUGAAAUCCCCAAGGAUGAGAGGCUAAAACCUUUUAGUUUCUUGAAGUAAUGGAUGCCAUGUGAAGCUCCCGUGUCAGGAUGGAGAUUUCCAAGCCAUGAAUGUAAGUAGCUGAGCGUCAUAAAUGUUUUCAUUCAAAGUAAAGCUUUUAAUCCCUCUGACUUGCUUUGAAUGGCCAAUACUUGAUAACCUUUUGGUCUCAGUGGAUUCUUAUUGUUAGAUCCACUGACGUUCAUUAGUUAUCUCCUACGAGCCAUUGUAUUGCAAGUCGAGGAGAUGACCUAUAUCAUUAAAAGGGCAUUUAUGAGGUUCAGCUACCCUUUUUGUAAGUUUUCAAGGACUAAAACUCAGUUGUUAAACUCAUACCGGUUCGGGAAGUAAGCAUCACCUUAGUUGCUUCCCCAACUCGAGGUGAAAAGUCCCAAAAUCUCCAUUUUUACACAGUGAGUUAAGCAUGGCUAUCCAAAGCUUUGAGAAACUUCUUUCUCCAUCUUUUAACCUAUUUUCAAGUUAGUUUAGUUUACAACACCUUUAUCUUUUUAUGUUUUCAUCUUAACCUAAUUUUUAUUAAGAAAAGUUCACUCCAUCCUCCGAACUUCACCAGUUAAAGUAAAAACCCUUCCCAGUGUUCGAUCCUAGAGCCACUAUGCUAUAGUAGCUUUGUUACUUUAGUGUAAGGACCUUAGGUAUAAAUUUUGUUGAUACCCUUACAUGCCAAGCUACCAAGAGGCGGGUUAUCAACAUGCCAAAUAGGAUCAAAUUACAAUAAAGGAGAGUUAGGGUGCAUACCUGGAUGGCUUCUCAAAUGCUAUCAUGAAACAUAAAAGUUAGUAUAGAGAUACAUCACACAACAUGUGCUUUUGUCAAAGAUAAUCAAGCAAGCAUCAAAUAUAUAUCAAGGCAAUAAAACAGGAUGGCAAGCAUGGGCAUAGUACGCAAUGACAAUCAUAUUCAUAGGGUUUAGAAAGUGGGUAUUAGGGAACGUACCUGGAUAGCAUAGAUAACUUGUAACGUGCUUCCAUAAAACAGGAGAGGUUAGAUAGCAAACAAUAAAAUAAGAAGUCCUAGCAUGCUUGUUAUCUAAUUAGCAUAGAAAAAAAAAAAAUUAUCACAGUAUACAAAACCAUCAAUUAUCACUAAUAUCUUCUAUAUAAUUUCUAAAAAAUAAAUAGACAUGAGUUCAUCAAAUAACAAAGGGGGCAACAAAGAUGAGUUUUGAAAAUUUUCCUUAUGUAGGGGUUUCACCAAUUCCCCGAUUGAUAUACACGAAUUUAGCCCAGAAUUAUCCCAUUUAUGUGGGACCACAAGCUUUGAUUCAUGUUUGAUUUCAAACCAAAAUUUUCGUUAAAAAUCGAGAAAGAUGCAAAUCGAUCAAAAAAAUGGUUGCAUAUUAUUUUAAGAAAAUGGGGUUUUUGAUUCUAAGGACUCUAAAUGAAUUUUUAAAAUAGGUUUUUAUAAGGAAAAUUUUGAGAAAAGUAUUUUAUUUUAAAAUAAGAGAAAUUAAUUUGAGAACAAUAAAACAUAUGAGAAACAUUGUACCAAGCAAAACAAAUAGAAACAAAAUCAUAAAGUAAAAUUUUUGGCAACCAAGCAAACUGAAAUGGUGUGAAUGGAGGCCAAUCUUCACAAUUUUCCAAUGGCCUCCAUGAAUCAAAUAUAAACGAACAAAUGUCAAAGAAAAUAACUAAACAGCCUUAGAUCAAAUAAAGUCAACCAGAUAUCAAUCAAGAACUAACAAAGAUUAGUCAAGCCCAUAAAUUGAGGAUAUAAUCAAUAAUUAAAUUAGAUUAGUCAAACACACAAACCUAUGAUUAAGGUAAUGUUAAAUAUAGUACCAUAAGAACUUACAAUUCUAAAACACUUGAAUUGAGUAAGGAUCAAUCAGGAACUAGAGCUUAACACACUUAAAACAUGGAUAUAAUGACAAGGGGUCAGAUAAAUUAAAUAAUUAAAAUUCUAAAGACUCAUAAAACAAAUAUGAUGAAUCAAAAAUAAUAAUAAUAAUAAAAAUAAAAAAUAACUGAAAUUAAUAAACAUAGUGAUAAUGAUAUAGAACCAAAUGAAUUAAUCACCUAAAAACCUAAAGCAUCACAUGAAUCAACUAAGAUGAAAAUAAAAAAAAAAAGAAUAAAAUAACAUGAUGAUAAUGACAUAGAAUCAAAUAAAUUAAUCCAUUAAAAUUUUAAAGCAUCACACGAAUUAAUUAGGAUGAACCCAUGAACUAAAAUUAAAUAAAACAAGAUGAUGAUGACAUAAAACCAAAUAAAUUAAUCGACUAAAACUUGAGAGACUCGAAAACUUAAUAGAGUAAAAAAUUAGCAAACAAAGCCCUAACUUUCAAUCUAAAAAAAAAACUAAUAAACUAAUGGAUAAAAAAAAAAGAAAUCAAAAACUCAAGAACAAGGAAACUCACUUACCUUUGGAAGAUGCAGCCUACUCGCUUUGGGGAUCAAUGGCGUUCAUGGUUCUCUUGAAGAUACCAUGAAGAUCUUUAUGGAAAUUGAGGCAUGGACCCCUUAAAAUGCAACCUGCUGCCACUUUUCCUUCAAAAAAUCUCACCAUCUAAAAGUGCAACUUGCUUCCAUUUUUCUUUCAAAAAAAUCUCACCCCCUCAAAAUGCAACUUGCUGCCACUUUUUUUUUUAAACAAAUCUCACCCUAAAGUGGCAAUCUGCUGCCACUUUUCUUUUAAAAAAUCUCACCCUAAAGUAGCAGUCUGCUGCCACUUUCCUUUCAAAAAAAAUUCACCCUAAAGUGGCAGCCUACUGCCACUUUCCUUUCAAAAAAAAAACUCACCUUAAAGUAGCAGCCUGCUGCCACUUUUCUUUCAAAAAAAACUUCACCCUAAAGUGGCAGCCUUGGAGAAUCCCCACUGUACGGUUGUGUUCCAAAAAAAUUGAAUGCUGCCACUUUUCUUUUCAUCAAACUCAUAGUGCGCCCCAUGGAGAUUAAUAGAAAUCCCUUUUCCUCAUUUUGGAUGGUCACGCCCUCUCUCCUAUAGUGCAUGUGCAGAUCCAAGGAUGCAGCCCGUGAAGUGAUGUAACGAUUCCUAUUGAGUCUGUUAGUGUUGCCAAACCAGAAAGUACCCAAUUAUGAAUGUCCAGAAGAUGCUGAGGACAUGCAUGUCUUCCGACAAUGAUGUCAGUUCAGGACAGCGAUAAAUUUGAAGACGUUAGUAAAGGGAGGCUGUCCAUUGAGUGUGAUAAUGUUAUCAAAUUUAGGGCAGCAAUUUGAAUCCCUGAAUAGAGAUAGCUUCCAAGGCUUCAAGUGGGGUGAGAUGUUGAAUCACUUGUGAUAGAGAGAUUAAGCUACUAGCACAUCACUGAGAGAAUAUUAAUCUAUGACAAUUCCCACUUUCGAGUUGCUUUAGAGAAGUAAGGCGUCACAACUACAUUACCAUCUAGUAUUUUGCUUUGACUUGGCAACACUUACAUCUUUUUCAAUCAUGCACGGGGCUGUUUUGAAGUCCAAAAGUGCAAGUCGUUUUUGGAUGGCGGCUGGUUCUUGUUUGCUGUUCCUUGAGAUCAGUUUUAUUGCCAAUCAGAAUGAUGAGAAUGGUCUUAUCAGCGUGACCACGUGACUCUUCCAACCAUCGGGGUAUGUGGUCAAAACUUUGGCGUUUAGUUAUGUCGUAAACCAGCAUUGCGUCAACAGCACUCCUGUAAUACGCACUUGUAACGGCUCCGUGUCGUUCUUGGCCAGUAGUGUCCCAGAUCUGAGCCUUGACACUCUUGCGUCGGAUGACGAGGGUUCGAGUCUGGGACUCAACCCCGGUUGUAGCCUUGGAAUCCAAACUGAACUCGUUCCUAGCGAACCGAGUUUACGACUUGCCCACUUCGGUGUCUCCGAUCAUAACCACUUUGAAAACGUAGUUGAUCUUUUGGCUCGAAUUGCCAUAGCUUCCACCACUCGCCAUCACCGCACCACUCCGUUCUCUCUCUCUUGAACACUCUCUGUCUGGAUUCAAGAUCAGUCACAGCCUUCCUUUUCCCAUCCUCAAUUCUGUCCGCUGGGAAACCGAAUUGCCACCAUCAAACAGUUGGUUCCUUGCAGCCGCUGAAGCUUGUCAGCAUCACCAAGAGACCAACCAAUUGGGUUGUAGGAGAAGUCAAUCUGUUUCCAUGUAAUCUGAUCCCAAACUCCAAUCCCAUACACGUGGCUUCAAUCUUUACCGCUAGCAAUAAUCCUAUAAUCUGAAUUAAAACCCAGAGCUCCGACAAUUUCCUUUCUUUAUGGCAGCCAGAUUUGGAUCCGAUCUCGACUCUCCUUUGAGAUUAAGCAAUUUAUCAAUGUAUAAUCAGGCCGCUGUGGACAAAUCCAUGCUUGGUAGUCAUGCUUAUUGAUGAUAGUCUAGAGAUGUGGAAAUCAAACAAUUCUGAUGAACCCUCUCCCAUGCGUGAUGAGGCCGAUGAUGUGUUAUUCCAGAUUCAUCUCCGGAGAUCCCUCUAAUUAGAACGUUCAGAAUCCCCCAGAAACGAGAGCUCUCCUUGCGGUCUCCUUCUCCAGCAGCGUUCAUCCCUCCCCCCCUUUUUUUUUAUAUGCUUCACGAACUUCAUCACAUGAAUUACCACAAUCAUCAUCCGUCACUUCUGCUCCAUAGCAUGAACCACAAUAUUUUCCAUUGCGUUCAAGCCUGCCACCAUGUCCUUGUAAUAGCUUCUCAAUCCGGGGCCACCAAUUCCAUCUUGCCUAACUGCUACCACAUUACCAUGGGCGUCAAUGGAGAGAGAGUUUUGACCAGCAUGGGCGCUCGUACCAUUGGAGAUGCAGCCUUGAAGAUUCCCCCAGUGUGACCUGCUGCUGGUGCGUGUCUUCUAUGGAAUCUGUGCUGCGUGCUGGUCCUCUUGAUGGUGAGGAAUACGGCUGUGUGCUUGUCGUCUCCCUCCUAGUGGCAGCCCCCCACUUUGAGAGAAUUUGUGGCCGCUCCUUCCUAGAGAAUCCCUUAGAUGUUUCGUUUCAUCAUUUUAGCCGGAUCCAUUGCAAGCAAGGAAAUUCAUUGAUGAUUUGCUCCCCUUUUUAGGAAAGAAAGCUCAGAAUUCUGAUGCAUGUGUAGAAGCUUUGCAACUUAUUCGAGAUAUUAUACCAGUUUCAGUGAGUGAAACUUCUCCAAAAAUCUUGAAUGUCGUUUCUUCUCUGCUAAUUUCUGCUGGACUGGAUAUACGUUUGGUUAUUUGUGGCCUUCUUGGUGAUCUUGCUGAAACUGACCCUUAGGUACUCUCUGUGGCAAAUCCCAUAAAUGAAUUGGAUGUGACCUCUGUUACGGAAACGAGUGGCCUGGAUUAUGACACCAUAGUUUAUGCUUAUGAAAAGAUUAGCAUGGAGUUCUUUAAUAAUAUCUCAAAGAAUCAGGCACUGGUCAUUUUGUCGCGUUGUAUAUAUGAUAUGUCAUCCAAUGAACUGAUCUUAAGGCAUAAUGCAUAUAGGUUAUUGGUCUCUUCUGCUGAACUCUCCGUCCAAAUUCCUAAACUUGAAGUGAAGAGUGACCAUGAAACGCCCGAAGCAAUAAUAACAUUCAUAGCUGAUGGUUGUUGGAUUUAAGCAUGUAUUCAGCGCAUGAUAAACAAAUUCCUUUUGAAGCAUAUGGCAGAUGUAAUGGGCAAGGAAAAUUUUGUUCAGAAGGAAUGGGUUGAUUUACUGAGAGAAAUGGUGCUGAAGCUUCUAGAGGUGCUAAAUCUUCACUCAUUCAGGAUCUUGUAUUGUCUGAAUGUGUUAAUAAAAUUGGACCAAUGGAAGAUGCUGUGAAGGCUCUAUUUGCCUAUGGGCUCCAUCUAACUAGUCGGUAUAGGUUUUCUGAAUGAGAUGACCAUGGGAAUGGCCAAAUUUGGGAUUUCCGUAAGGUAAGAUUACAGUUAUUGCAGUUUAGAGACAGGCUGAAGACAUUUCUUGGGAUAAAUAUGGGUAGGUUCUCCGUGAAGGAAUACAACAAAUUUCGCAUUAUGCUUAUCAAUGAAGCUGCUGCUGCACUUGCUGAGAGUGGAAAAAUUGGGGCCUUAAACCUCCUUUUCAAGCGUCAUCCUUAUACACUCACUCCUUCCAUGUUGGAAAUUUUAGCUGCUGUCCCUGAAAUAAUUCAAGUUCAAACAUAUGGGCAACUCCCUCCUGGGAGGUCUCCUCCUACCAGUUUUGCUCUGAGGGAAAAAGAUUGGGUUGAAUGUGAAAGGAUGGUAGGCUUUAUCAACAGAUUACCCGAGGAUAAAGAGGGCAGCAUUCGCAUCAAAACUGAACCCAUUGCGAGGCAGAUCUUGGGAUUCUCUUGGCCAUAAGCUGAUGAAUUUUCUAGUUGAUACAAGUGCUGAAAUUUUUAUUGGUCAGACCGUUGACCUCAAAGAGCAGCAAAAUGCUCUUGGAAUCAGUCAGGAACACAUUGAAAGCGCUGCAUCACUGGAGGAUUAUGCUACCAUGAAUCCAGCCAAUUAUUUCACCUUUGUCUCCCAUAGUGCUAGAAGGUACUCUACCAAGAGGUUCUGGAACGCUCAAAUAUUUUAAGUGGAGGAUUCUAAUGCUUCAAUAGCACUCACCCUAUGACGAAUACUCAGUUUAUGAUGAAAGAGUGGAGUUUCUGGCAUCCACCUAUGCACCGAAUGCAGAAUCAAUAUUUGCUCCUCUCAUAGGAACAAACGGUUUUCACAACAAAGCAAGUGAUCAAGAUGAUGCAGGCUGCAAGAAUUUCCCGAAAGAAUUGCAAAUGGCCAGACUAGACGAUGAAGCUGUUCUCCAAAAACUGAGGCAAAUGCCAUUGGAAGUGGGAAAAUUGAAACAGAAUUUAUAAUGCUCUCCUUCCCUCAUGUUCAAAGGCUGAUCUGAACAAUACUGGAGUCGCCUAUGCAGCCAUGCUAGACAUUAGAAGCUUUAUGAGGUUACAAUAAAACCAUUAACUGUACACAUAAGUUCAUUUGCAAGAAUUGGGAACCAAUUUAGAAGGUCAAGUAUAUUCGCUGUCAACAAGAAUGAUGCCCUCCGAUUUAAGAUCUCUACUGAGGAGGAACCCAGUUUGAUCAAAAUUCUAGGAUCAAACAACAGAGUCAAAGUCAAAUCAAGAGCAACGUUCCAACUUGUCAUGAAGACCAAGAAUAGUAAUUGCUUUUGAGCAAGCAGUGAAAUUAUUUGCAAUCAGACAAUCAUCUUCUUCUUCAAGAAAUGCUGUAAUGAAAUUCUUACCAGUUGUGUCUGAUUCUUCAAAACAUGAAGUUAGCAAACAGAUUGUUCAUAUAUAAUGUCAGUUGGCAUAAAUGUAGUGUUCAAUCACCAAGCCACAAAGAUGAUACAACCGAACAGUUGCAGCAGGAAAACUUGGUUGUUUAUUCAAAAUCAAGUAAAUCUCUAGGUCCCUCAUACCACGAUUGCUCCCAAUCUUUAGGUCUUGGCGUAGACAAUUCCUUCCUUGUCUAUGUGGACAGAACAAUGCUUGCUGUUCUAGUUGUUGUCUUUCACCAUGGUCUGUAGAAAAAAUGUCCAGAAAAACAACUAAUGAUCAGUAGAAGUGUAAAAGGGAAGAAAGAAAACUACUGCUAGAUUGGAUCAGUCAUCUUCUUCAUUAGAUCAUUACAAACAGUUGGCUUUGAAAAAUUUGAAGUUAAUCAACUACAAUCAUGACAGAUAUUUAUUUUUCCUAAAAGAAUGUAAAUGUAUGGUUGCUCUUUGAGUACAGCUCUCUACAGCACAAAAAUAAACAAAUACUGUGGUCAAAGCUGUCAAUCAAAAUCCCCCUAUCCAGAAUGCAUGGCAAUGGCUGAUCCAAAUGGCCAUGUACUAGUACACUUACUAAGAUUUCCUUCAAGAAUCAUGUACAAGUGACCACCACUGUUCUCGGUGUCCAGAGGCAGUUUUCCAUACUCAUCUCCUUCUCCAUGAGGCUCAUGUAGUUAUUGGAAGGAUUCAAUAAAUAAUCUCGAAACCCAUGAGCGUUUUUGGCCCAAAGAAAUUCAGCAUAUGACAUAAUUUCGUGUAUAUAUAUAUAUGGAGAGAGAGAGAGAGAGAGGAAAAGUUUAUGAAAUAACCAUGAUUACUAGACGGGAAAAGUGUGUUUUCAUCUUUUGAUAUGACUAUAUCAGUAAAUGAGUACCAACUUUUCCAUCUCAUAGUUUGUGAAUGGAUCAUAGACUGAAAAUGAAUUAUAUGUAAUCUACUUAAUUUACCAAAGGUAAUGAAAUCUAAUUUACAAUCAAAUUAAUUAAGACACUAGGAUACCAAUCACUACUAUACGUACAUAAAUCAUAUUACAUUUCUGUAACAUUACUUUUCUUCAAUACUUCCCCUGAUCAAGUUACAUAUCAAGAACUGAAAAAAUUAUAAGGCAAUCAAAUGAAACAAACCAAGAAAACAACAAUAUUAAAAGAGUUAUGAAAUAUCACCAGAUGAGAUCCAACAGUAAAUUAAGAAACUUUAUACAAUCUUGCUUACCUUAGGGCCAUGUCUGGAGGAGUUCCAAUUGUAGGCCUAGGGCCAAUGUUGAUAGGCACAUGCCCAGAUCUUAAAAACCCUCAAGAUGAACAGUAGCAGCUACUCUAGGCGCUCCUACUGCACAGGCAAAAAACAAGUUAGUCAAUGUUUCUUGGCUAUUGGCUUUGGCUUGGACCUUGGUGGUUAUGUCAAUUUUAGAUAAAUAUGUUAAUAAUCCAAUGACUAUAUUCCAAGAUUGAUGAUAUAUAUGCAAUAUAUCAAUUUGGAAAUGCUGAUAUAAACAUUUAAGGAAUUUAAAUUAGUCAAUUUUCAACAAUCUAGCAUUCAAAAGUGUACAAAAUGAUUAUAACUUGAAAGUUUGAAUAUAAACUGAGGUACAAUAUUCCUAGAGGCUCAAGUCUCCCUAGAACAAGGCAUCACAUCACAUAUUGAUGUGGCCUUAUGUUUGAGGUAAGCACCUUAUCUACUGGCGAGUUCAUCCUUAAUAAGCUUUUUGCAAGAAAAUGGAGACCUAAAAUUACUCUAAUACUUCUUUUCUUGAAUAUUAAAUUUUCUUAAAAGUGUUAUCGAUUAUCAAACAUUUAUAUCAAUGGUGGAAACUAGUUUGCUACCAAAGUGAAGGUCAAAGUCCUAAUUAUCAUUUUGCUAAACAAUGUAAUAUAGUAUUAUACAAUUAUUGCUUUUAAAAGAAAAUUUACAAGCCACCCAGCAAAAUUUAUGAUUAUACCUUUUUCCAACUUCACUCACGCCAUUGAGCUUUAUAAUUUGAUGAAACAAGCCUAAAUCAAAAAACUAUACAAAAAAAAUAAAGAAUCGGAGAAAACAAACCUGUAAGCACUAAAUUUUGUACUUUAAAAGAGGAAAUAGGAUGCCAAUUGUAGGUUUAAUUUAAAGAAACCUUAAAAAAUAUUUUUAAAAUUAUAGGAAAACCCCCGUAGCUUAGAAAAGAUUGGGGCGAACAGUCUACCUUUUGGCGAUGUUCACAUCUUGAGAGGAAUGACUUCUUUCUUAGUAGAUCUGAUGAUGGUGUUGAUCUUUAGGAAGAGAUGAUUAGAAGGCUACGUCGAAUUUUAGUGAGUGAGAGAUAAAGGAACACCCAAAACCUUAAAGCAAAAAAGGAAUUAAUAACUCAAAUAGAUUCCAUUUUUUCCUUAUGACGUGCUUACCUUAGUAAGGUUUUUAUGGCAGUGAUACCAUUUGGAUAAUUAAGUCAUUGAUUUUGAUGGAUCUUUUCCAUUUGAAUUUUUAAUAUAUAAACUUAAUCUUUUUACUUGGGGUAAUAUAUUUGGUAUUUUAGGAUUUACUUUUUAAUAAUAUGCUUUUAGUAGAUGGUUUAACUAUGUCCUAGUGUAAUAAGUAGUCUUGCAUUACAUUAUCUACUAUGGAGUAGGAGUGUGUUGCUUGUUCAAGGGAUGUAUGGGAAGUUGUUUAUUUGAUGAUAUACUUUCAACACUUAGAGUCACGACUUGAGCUAAUAAGUUUAUCAAGAUCUAAGCAUUGAUGGUGUUGCUACUCUAUUGUAUGCAAGGAUUCAAUUAGUCACAUUGUAGGACAAAACACUUAUAGACAAUUGAUUCUACUACAUUCAAGAUAUUGUUGCUUAAGGGGAGGUAGAGUCAAAACAAGUAGACAAUUGAUACAACUACACACACAACAUAGAGACAAAACACAUGAAUAAUACUAUGGUUGAAUAAAUUAAUUGGAUGAUGAGAUGAUAAUUAUUUUGUCAUCAACAUAGUGAACAACAUAAAUUAAAAUCUUGAAAUGUCACCUUAGCCAACCUAGUAGAAAUGAUUCAUCAAAAUAUUUGAAUGUGAGAUCUUAAAUUGGUGUUUGACCAAUAAAUAUGGUAAUAAACAUAUAUUAAGUAUAUAUGAAGUGACCAAGCUAAGAUUUGUAUCAUGUUAUUGUAGGGAAUCCCGAAUCUCUUUGUUCCUUAUCCUAUGAUUAGGCUAGGUACAUGCGAAUCUUUCUAAGUUUUUCUAAAUCGUAUGAACAAUGGGAAAAUUAUGUUUUAAAAUAAUAACAAGAUUUAGAAUUUGCAUUAGAAAACAUUACCUUAGAUUUGGAUGUUCCCAAAUCUAAUUCACGUAGUAAAGGAGAAGAUCGAAGUUUUCAGAGGUCUUGAACACCCAAGAUCUUCCACCAGAUGACUUUUCCUUGAUUUUAGAUCUUAAUUGGUGAGAAGGAAGGAAGACUAAAAAGGCUAUGGUUCUCUCUCUCUUUGAAUAGUGAAAGAUGGCUCACUUCAAAAAAGUAAUGAAAACCUUAUCAUUUAAGGGGUAUUUAUAGGGUUCCCUAAUUGGGUGUAAGUGACUUAAGCAUACUAAAGGCUUGAAUCAUUUAAUUUCACUCAAAAUGAGUCUUAAUUGAUUAAUUAACCUAACGUAGUUAUCUAAUUAAUUAAUUAGCUAAAUCUGGAGACUUUGUUCACUUACCCCUAUGCAACCUUGCAUAGUUACCAAAACACCUUUAUACGCAAAAGUGAACCAAGAGUUGUGUCAUCAAGGUAUAUGAGCUUAGGUGGAGACCAUUGAGACCUAUAGGACAGUACUAGCUACCCCAAAAUCUAAUUUUGAAGUUGAUUUAACGUUCCACUAUAGAGAAUCAAUUGCACUAUAAUACCUUAUGUAAAUAACAAUGAGAUGCUAAGUGGUCGAGCCCAUGACUUAUUAUCCAUUGCAUUCAAUCUCCCUAUGAACUGGUGUUUGUAGUCUAAUAAGGUCAAAACUAUCAACCUUUCAAGACUACCUCUACUAUCUUUGAAUUACAAAUCCUCUUAUUAUGUAUUUAAUUGAUAUAUCUUAACUCUCCAAGAGUCUAUGUCAAGUUCCAUUUAAGAAACUACUAUGACCAUAGUUUACAUGAACAUACCUCCUUAGGAUCACUUAAGGGGACACUCUAUCUCAAUCCUCUUAGAUUUCAUGGUACUUCUAUUACAAAUACUCAUUGUUAUAGACUUGCAUCAAUAGUGAACCAAUCCAUAAGGAACAUAUGAUUAGCUUACGAUUUCAUUAGUAGGUCAAAGUCACUACUAACUUUAACACAAAUUCUAUAUUCUCUCAAGGUUAAGAGAUAAAACAAUGAAGCAACUUGGUGAAAUCAUGACUAUUUGAUAGCUUUAUGUCAUAAUUCACCAUAAGUCUUGUCUGAUGUGUAACCAUACACAUUAGUAUACUCACCAUGGAAAACCCAUCCUGAUAACCAAGACCAACCAUUCCUCUAAUUAUGAAGUAGCGUACUAUAACCUCUAAUGGGUUACUUAGGCCUAUGAAUCGGUUGUGAACAAGUCAUCUACUUACAAUGAAUCCAUUUCUUGAAUUUUUUUUUGCAACUCUUAAUGCACUCAAGUCCUGUACAAUACAAGAUAUGUAUAUCAAAAUGCUUACAAGGUAUAAUGUAUAGGAUUAGGAUAAAUAAAAGUGAACUAAAAAUUUAUUAAUAAAUAAUAAAAUUUUAAAUUUAUUACAUCAUAUCAUGCUUUUAUGAAACCUUUAAAAUACUAAGAGCACCCUUUCAUAAUCAUGAAUUUAACUUUAGUUUCAACUUCUAUCAAAGGCUAAAUGAGAAAAGCUAUCAUAGAGGAGGCCUCAGCCAAUGGGUAAGAUGCACUGUUAUACCAAACAAUAAGUGGAAAAUGAAAUUUUAUUAAUACUUGAGACAAAGGAAGAUUUUACACUCAAACCAAGCAUUUAUUUAUAAUGAAGUGCAGUCUCCAUACGCACAUGUGGACUUAUUGGAAAAUCAUACAAAUUAUUGAAGGACGACCUUAGCUAGGCUAACAGUCUCCUAAAUAGGCCAUCUUUUAUAUGUCUUUGCAUUCAUCCAUCUCCUCAUUGUCUUUGAUUUUAGAUGGUGAGGAUGUGAAAGUAACAGGAAGCGGUGGACGAUUGUUCACAGUGAGGCUUAGCACAUCAGCUCUCGAAUAAUGUCCUACCACAUCGAACUGGAACUUUGCUUUAGGAAUCUCUCCACGAACAUCUACAUAUCAAGUGAUCAUAAAAAUAUUUCAUCAGUCUAUGAUAAAUAUCAUAGAAUAUCAAGUCUUCGAGAAAACUAAGUUUGCAGUCCUCUUAAACCUAAAGAAUCGACUCAUUUGUCUUAUUUGCAUACUGAAAUAUUUGGAUAUAUAACUGGAGAAGUUAGGGCCAUACCAAGAUCAGCUGUGAAGAGGCCUUCUCCUUCAUAAUUCGGUCCUGUUAGAAUUUCCCCAUGGGUCGAAAUGAUGACACUACCUCCAGCCCAAACAAUAGAAUCUGGAGUGACAUCUUCUUCUGUAGGACUGUAAAGAUACUCAGGUGGAGGUGGGUAAUCUUUCCUUUUCCAUUUUUAAAAAUAAUAAAAGCAAAGGUGUUUCAAAACAAUACCUCAUUUGCUCAAUUAAUUAUCACAUUUCCUAAGUACAAAAGUAGGCAAGUGAAUUUUUGCUCAAGUUACAAUAAUGCUCCAAAUCCUUAUCCAAGACUUUGAUCCUAUUUCACAAUUGUUUUUUAAAACAGUUUUUUUCUUGGGAGAAUUACCCAAAGGGGUGGGUUAGAAAAAAUAAUGACUAUGAAGGCUCACUCUUUUAGAAGACAAUUUUACCCUUUAAUAUGUUUUUUAUAUUAUUUAUAAAUAAAUUGAGAUUGUCAAUGAUGUGGGGCUCAUACAUAAUGAUAAGUACAAGUUGAUAAAUGAUGUGGGACUCAUACAUGAUGAUAAGUACAUGUUGAUAGGCAAUCAACGGUACAUUUUUCAACUUGAAAAAAUUGUUAUCACUUUUGAACAAUUAACUAUUUAAAAAUUUGUUAUUUUUUUUUAAAUUGAGAUUUUUUAAAGAACCUUAUAAAAAAAAUAAUUUUUAAUAUCUCAUAAAUAAAAACCAUAUCCUAAAGUUAUUAUAUCAUUUUAUAUAUAAAACAUACAAUUAAAAACUUUGUUAUCAUAAUAUAAUAAAUAAUUAUUUUUUACGAGCACUCAUCAAUUGAAUAAUAUAUAAAUAUUCAAUUGACUAACACACACCUAUUAAAUGGAAUAACUCACAAUUAUUCAUUGGGUAAUAUAGCACGUGAAAAAAUUAAAUAAAAAUAAAUUACAUUAUGUUAUAAUAUAUUGUAAUGAUAGUGUAUUUAUAUUGUAAGUAUAAUGCAUUUAUGUCGUACCUAUAUUUUAUUAUAAAAGUAAUAAUUUUAAAAAUGUUUAUUCAUACCCUAUUGGUAUUAACACAUCGUAUUAAUAUAUUAACAACAUUUAUUUAGUGUUUUGAAAUUAUUUAAUAAUUUUUGUAUAUAUAUAUAUAUAAACUACGUGAAUUCAAAUUAGUAUUUCAUUUGAUUUCAGAAAUUAUUUAUGAUAUAGGUAUGUUGUGAAAUAUGGUAUGAUCAUACAAAGUUACCAUUUUCAUAAAAAAAUUCAUAAAUUUCUUAAUUAGGUUUUAUUGUAAUGUAUUGUAAUGUAAGUGUAUUUAUAUUGUAAUUAUAACAUAUUUUUGUUGUACUUGUAUUGUAUAAUAAAAGUAAUAAUCUUAAGGAUCACCUUUUAUACCUUAUUAAUAUUCAACAUAUCAAAUAUAUUAACAUCAUCCACUCGAUACAUUGAGAAAAAAAAUUUAUAUAAAAAUUUAAAUAAAAAAAAACACUAUGCAAAGGAAAAAAAAUCAUAUAAAUUUUUUUAAAUUAUUUUAUUAUAAAAAUAAAAAAUGAUUAAACAUUUUCUAUCAUUUUCUUAUUAUUUUUAGAGAAUUUGAAUGAAAAAUUAAACAUUUUAUCUUCCUUAAAUUUAAUACAAAAACAUAAUUUAUCAAUUUAAACUUAUAAUAUAUAUAUAUAUAUAUAUGAAAAAAUCAUCAUUUUUAUUAUAUAAUUAUAAAACUUAUUUUUUUCUUCAUAAAAUUAAAAAUUAGAAUAAAAAUAAAAAAAGGUAAAAAAACAAUAAAUGAUAUUUUGAAAAUAUUUUUUAAAAGUAUUUUUGUUUUAAAUAGUAAAUUUAAAUAACAAAUUAUAUAUAAUUGUAAGGGUUAAACCCAAAAUUUUGAUUUAAAAUUUAAAUAUCAAUAAUUACAAUAAAUGUGGGACCCAUGUACCAUAAAUGUAUUAACAAAUAAAGUGAAGUGCUUUAAAUGUUUUGAAUUUUAAAAGUUUUAGUUAAAGGACAGUUUUGGUAUAUUAAGCUUACUAAAGUCCUCCCCAAUAAUUAUUAAAAGAUACCACCCUUUCUAGUAAUUGUUUUGCCCAGCCUACCCUUUUGGAUAAUUCUCCCUUUUUUCUUCUCUACAACAAAAAAAAAAAAUGUGUUUGAGAAUUGGAAAAUAAGGUGUUUUAAAAAAAACAUAUGUUAGUUGUUUUUAGUUUUUCUUCAUUAGCUUUUUUGACGGUUGUUUAAAAAAAAUAAUUAUAUAAAUAUGAAGAAUUAUUAAAAAUAUAAUAUUAUAGACAAAAGUUAUUUUAAAAUUAUAUGCACGAGUUUUGGAAAGUCUUGCAAAAUAAGCAAAACUAUAGGAAAAAUAUGCAAAUAAAAAAUUGUAUUAAAAUCAUCAAGGGCGCACAAUAUUUGUGGAAAAAUAUUCUUUGCCGAAGAAUAUUUUUUAAAGAUCAAUUGAAAGCCUAAAGCAGCUUUUUCCCAAUUGAAUUUAUUGAAUGGUGAAGAACACGUGUGUUGCAAUUUUUUGGAUUUGUAGAGCGUAUUUUAUAAAGCUUUUUUCUCUUUGUGAACCUUCUUUUCAUAUGUGAAAUUGUUUUAUUUUUUUUUAUCAUUUUCAUUGAAGGAAGUUGCUGAUAUUUACAGAUAAAAUUAAAAAAAUUAAUUUUAGAAUUUCUAAGAUUUGAUUACUUAAUUAAAAAAAAAAAAUUGGUUUCUUGAUUUUAGCAACUUGUCUUCUUCAUUUAAGGAAGUUUGCUAACAAGAGCAUAUUUACUUCUCAUUUUCUUUUGACUUCAAUUGGAAGACUUGUUUCAUUUGUUUACAAAAUUUGCCAACAAGAAAAUAUUUAUUUCUAAUUCUCUUUUGAUUUCAAUUGUUUGAUUUGAUUUGAUUUUGCAAGACUUUAUUUUAUAGCCUUCCAAAUUUCGCUACAUGUCAUUUUUUGAAUUGAAUGCCACGUGUUCAAUAUAUAUGACUCGUCACUUAUUAAGCCCAAAUUUUGUUGAUCUAAGGAGUUACAAUUUUGAAGACUAAUUUGGUAGUAUUUUAAUCCACUAAAAUUUUUUAUGUCUACAAAUGCCCCCUCUUCAAAACAGAUCACACACAUGCAUUAUCAUGUAUAAGAAGUGAGUCUUGAAGUUAGCCUUUUGAAUCUUCAAUAUCCUUCUUUGAUUUUUUUUUUUCGAAGAAAUAUUUAAAUAGGAAAUUUCCUAUUCAAAAUACUUUUCUUCAACUUUUUUCGAACACUGUUUUAUUUAUUUAUUUAUUUUUCUACCUUGUAUCAAAGAAAAACCUUGUGUUAAUGGGAAAGCUUCUUAUUUGAACAUCUAUUUUCUUUUCUCAUGGUAUUUUCACUUCCAAUUUGUCAUCCUACAAGAAGUCCUUCACCCUAGCUGGUUCAAUUGCAUCUUAGACUUGGUCACAUGCCUUUAACUUGUAAUUCUUCCUCCACUUUCUUUUUUUUUGUUUAAAAAAUAGUACAAUAUAUUUGAGCAAGACCAUAAGCAAGAGAAUAGAGGUGGUGAAUGGAGCACCAACUAACCUUAGGGCAAGAUCUUGAGCAAGAGAAGUAAGGUGGAGAGUAGAGCACAAACUUCUCUAAAGCAUGGUAGGCAUACCGUCAUGGAGUUGUCUUCUGCAUGGAGCAUGGUAGGGUAUUAUAUAUAUGAUAGGGUGGGCCAUCAUGUAACAAUGAAGAACAACAAUCCAUGGUGUACAAUUGGGAACAACAAUUCAUGCUAUCAAGCUUCAACCUUUUGUUAUUUUUUGUUUUUUUUUUAAUCCCUAUCUCUACCCCCGACUCCAAUUUUUUUUUCAAGUUUCUAGAUUCCUUUUUAUUCUUUCUCAUUUUAUUUUUUUCAACUCCUUUUUUUUUCCUCCCUUUUUAACCAUUGUUUUUAAGGAAGAAAUAGAUUCACCAUCCCUUACCACGAGGUCAAUCUCCAUCGCUUGCAAAGACAAAUUUGCUUUUUGGUGUUUUUUUUUCUUCAAAAAUUAUCUUAACAUUUUAAGAUAUAUAUAUAUAUUUAUAUAUUUAACAAACUUAAAUAUCCAUAAUAAAAUAAAUAUUUAAGGCUCUUGACUUAUUUAAAUUGGCUUGACUUGGAUACUUAGUGGAACCAUACUUAACACCCAUGUAGAUGAGCUAUAAUCUUGAUGGCAUGUUGUGUUAUAUUUUCGACACUUAAUGUGGCUUAAGAGUUAAAGUCUUCACUCAUGAAAAUUAGCUUGGUUUGGAUGCACAAUGGUCUCUAACUUCUUAAUGCUUAAUUAAACUUGGAACCAUAUUUAACACCCAUGUAGACAAGUCAUAAUCAUGACAUAGAGCACUAUUUUAUUUUAACUCUUAAUAUGACUUAAAUAUUAAAGUCUUCACUCAUACAAAUUAACUUGGGUUAGAUGCACAAUGGUGUUCAACUUGGUAAUAGUUAAUUAAAAUUGAAACAUUUAACACCCAUGUAAACAAGUCAUAACUUUGACAUGGAACAAUGUCGUAUUUUUAGCUUAAUGUCGCUUAAGUAUUAAAGUCUUCACUGAUGUAAAUUAGCUUGUCUCAGAUGCAUAAUAGCAUUCAACUUUUUAACACUUAAUUUAAAUUCAGACCAUAUUGAAAACCCAUGUGGACAAGACAUAAUGAGAAAAUAAAGGGCUAAUCUAAAUAGAUAAAAAUACCCAACAGGGAAGGAGGGGGGUGAAAUGGAGUUUAAAAAAAAAAAAAUUAAACACAAUAAAAUUAAGUACAAGAAGCACAAAUAUAAAGAGAUAAGUUAUAGAAAGCAAACUCAGAUUUAUGGUGGUUUGACACUUCCUUGCCUACAUCCACUCUCCUCAAGCUCCUAACCGAGUGAGGGUUCCACAUAUACUUAAAGCUUCAACCAAACUUCUAAUCACUUUUUACACUUAGAUUUUGGCUCCAAUGGGCUCUUACACAUUCGCUUCAAGUCUCUACUCACUUGAAGGUUUUAACACUCAAUUAACAAGUUUGAAACUUUCAACCUAGCUCAACAAUGGCUCAAAUACAACUCAAGGCUAGGAUGAAUCACAAAGGUGCAUUAAAGAAUAUUCAAAUGAAGAUUUAAUGCACUAAGAAAAGAAUGAGAGCUUUUAUGGCAAGAACAAGUAGGUAAACAAAUCAAUGUAGGUGUUCUCUUACUCAUAAAUGAAGUGAAAUUCUCAAUUUAUAGGUUUCUAAUCUCAGAAGCCAAAAAACCAAAAAGUAACCUCAAUCGAUUGAGUUGGGGGUUGACCGGUUCACUAGCCGUUAGAGCAUUAAAUGUGUGGCAGGUGAUCGUUACCCUCGACCGGACCUCGACUGGGAAGGCAAAUCUCUCGACUAGGAAAGAAAGGUUAUUGGAAGAGAAAGAAGGUUUUUUGCAUCUUUUGACCAGACCUCAACCGGGAAGGAGCAAUCGAUCAACCAGUACCCUAGCCAGUUGAGCUGGUUGGCUAGUGCCUCUACCGAUUCACCAUUUUUUACUCGAAAACCUAUCUUUUUCUGGUCUUUUUUUGCUUCUAACACUUAAACAAGGUCUUUAGGUAAAAUAAUAUGUCAAUUUUGAAACGUUUUGCCUAAGGUUCAUUUGAUAGAACUCGGAUUUUGAUGGAAAUGUGACUUGAAUGCAUAAACUGAGUUUUCAAAGAUGCAUGAAAUGAUAUGAAAAUCCUAAGUACACCCAUGCAUUCAUUUUACAUAGUUUUCUAUGAUUAAAAAGUAUUUCAAAAGUCUUGAUCUUGCAUCCAUUAGGUCAUUUGAUGAAUUUCCAAAUUAAUAUAUGAAAUUCUUUAUAAUUCAAACCAUUUAGUAACUUAACCAUGGUUUGUUAUCAUCAAAACAUGAUUAGGAGAACCCUUGGGCUAACACAUAACAUUGUAGCAAUGUUAUAUUUUUGACACUUAAUGCAGUUUAAGUUCUGAAAUCUUCAUUUCUAUGAAUUGGUUCGCCUUGGAUGCAUAGUGGUGUCUAAAUUAUAAUACUUAAUUAAAAUUGAAACCAUAUUUAACACUCAUGUAGACAAGUCAUAACUUUGACAUGGAGUGGCAUUGCAUUUUCGACACUUAAUGCGACUUAGGUGCUAAAGUUUUCACUCAUGAGAGUUGGUAUGGGUUGGAUGCAUUGUGGUGUCCAACUUUUUAACACUUAAUUAAAAUUGGAACCAUAUUUAACACUAUCUAGAUAAGUCAUAACCUUGACGUGAAGCGAUAUUGUAUUUUCAACACUUAAUGCAACUUAGGUGCUAAAGUCUUCACCCAUGCAAAUUAGUUCAUCUUGAAUGUACAAUGGUGUCCCAUUUUUUAACAUAUAAUUAAAAUUGGAACCAAAUUUGACACUUAUGUAGACUAGUCUAGCCAUGAUGUAAAGUAGUGUUCUAUUUUUAAAACUUAAUGCAGCUUCAAUGGUAAAGUUUUUACUCAUGUGAAUUGGCUUGAUUUGGAUGCACAAUGAUGCCUAACUUUUUAACAUUUUAUUAAAUUUGGUAUCAUAUUUAACACCUAUGUAGACAAGUCAUAACCUUAAUGUAGAGGUGCAGUAAUAUUUUUGGUACUUAAUGUCGCUUAAGUGCUAAAGUCUUCACUCAUUUGAAUUUUUUGGUUGGGACGAACAAAGGUCUCUAACAUUUGAGCAUUUAAUUAAAAUCAGAAUCAUAUUUAACACUCAUGUAAAAAAGUCAUAACCUUGACACAUAGUAAUAUGCAAUGUUUUAACAUUUAAUACAACUUAAGUGCUAAAGUUUUCACUCAUGUGAAUUGGCUUGGCUUGGAUGCAUAAUGGUGUCUAACAUUUUAACACUUAAAUUAAAAUUAGAGUUAUAUUUAAUAAUCAUGUAGACAAGUCAUAACCUUGACGAGAAGCAGUAUUGUAAUUUUGACACUUCAUGUUGCUUAAAUGCUAAAGGCUUCACUCAUGCAUAUUGACUUAGCUUGGAUGAACAAUGGUAGCUAACUUUUUAACACUUUAUCAAAUUUGGAAUUAUGGUUAGCAUCCAUGUAGAAGAGUAAUAAACUUGAUGCAGAGUGAUGUUAUAUUUUUGGUACUUAAUAUAGCUUAAAUACUAAAAUCUUCACUUCUAAGAAUUAACUUGGCUUGGAUGCAUAGUGGUGUCCUACUUUUUAACACUUAAUUGAAAGUGAAAUCAUAUUUAACAUCCAUUGUAUACUAGUCAUAAACUUGAUAUAGAGCAGUGUGCAAUUUUUUAAUAUUUAAUGCAACUUAGGUGUUAAAGUCUUUACUCAUAUGAAUUAACUAAACUUAGAUGCACAUUCGUUUCCAACUUUUUAAUACCUAAUUAAAAUUAAAACCAUAUUUAAAAACCAUGUAGACAAAGACAUAAUCUUAACAUGGAGCAGUGUAUAACUCUUAGCACUUAAUUAAAAUUGGGAUUACACUUCAUAACCACAUAUUCCUCCUCCUAUUUUUCAAUUUUUUCUUGUGGUGAUGAUUGAACUCAACUAGUUUGUCCAAGUUACCCACAUACCCUUAACAGAGAAGAGAUCAAGUCAAACCUAGUUCAAAGUAUUUUUUUUUAAUAUCUAACUUUUGCCAAGGCUAAUGAUUUUAAUCUUGAAAGCUUGUCUUAACUUUUGACUAUAUAUGUAGUGUUUUCAAGUUUCAAUUUAGCGGCCUAUGAAUUGUACAAAUUGAAAAUGACUUCACUUAUGUGUAAAAAAUAAUAAAAGAUAUUCAUUCAUAGUUUUAGGGCAAUGAAAAGUAAUCGAUCCUUUUUUGCAUUAUUAUUAUUAUUGUUGUUGUUGUUGUUAUAAUUAUUAUAUUACCUUAGAAAAAGACCUUUUCCAAUUAAUCUUUUAUAUAUAUAUAUAAUCUUUUAUACAUGAUUUUUCUUAGUUUUCAUAGUAUUUUUAAAUUUAAUAAUUUUUUUUUUUAUAAAAAAAUAUCUAUACUUUCGGUCAAUGUCUCAAAUGUCUCAAAUUUUAUUACGUACGUGCUCCAGGAAGUCUCAAGUUGUAGGCUUGUUGCCUACAACUUGAGUUUGAUGAAAAAGCGCAUAAACAAAGACAAAAAAUUUAAUCUACAAGUACUUGGAUUCUAUUUGAAUAUAAAAAGAGCCACUCAUAUGCAUGGAUUAAAUAUAUGCCCCAUGGAUAAGUUGUACUUAGCCAUGGCUGAAGCUUUCCACUAUGACUUAAAGGGAAAAAAAAGAGAGGAGAAUAAUGUCAUUAAAAAACUGAUUGCCGUGUGGCUAUGCCUGCCAGUAGAUGGCUGAAAACUAGUUCUAUUCUUUUGUUUUGGCCUCUACUAAUUAACCAUAAUUGAGAGAUUCAAUGGCAACUAUCGUAUAAACAAUGUUUCAUAAAUUACUUUUAAAUUUUGACAGCAAAGACUCAAAAUGUAAAACCAUAAAAAAUUUGUUCUAUUCCCAAAUUUUUUAAAAUAAAUUUUAAAAUAAUAAAUUAAUGCCCAUGACUGUUUUCACAUCUUAUUCUCAUUUCUAUCAAUGCAAUAAUUGUAAUCAUCUUAUCUAUUAACAUGGCCUAGAGCCAUUUCAGCUAAGAGUAGUCUUUCCUUAGCAUUUCCGGUCCAAAGCUUCCAUUUCUUUAGGCCUAGAGGCAUUUUCAGUCCAGAGCUGCUGUUUCUUUCGGCCUAUAACCAUUUUCAGCCUGAAGCUGCCUUUCUUUAGCAUUUUCAGCCCAGAGCUACCUUUCCUUGGCAUAUCAGCCAAAAGCUUCUAUUUCUUUAGGCCUGGAGCCAUUUCAACACAACAUUGGUUUCUUUGGCCGGGCCUUGAGCCCUUUUCAACCCAGAACUGUCAUUUCUUCUAAAUAACUUCUCUUUUGAAAAACUUCAAUUUGCCCUUUUCAAGAAGCUGGUAAAAAUCUUCUAUUUAGCAUUUCGACAGUGAAUCGAAUUCACAUAGAAAAUAAAAAGGAAAAAAAAAGUCUUGAUGGCAUAAACUAGGACAUGACCGGGAUAGUUUGAAAUACAUAAUUUUCUCCAUUCAAAUGCAAAACAUAUUAAAAGAACAUUUGGCACGAUUUUAUGAAGCGAUUCUAUCUUUUCUAAUACUUCAAAGAUAAAUUUUUUUGAAGUAUUAGAAAAAUUAGAAAUAUUUCUUAAAAUCACUACCCUUAAUUAUAUUUAGAUACUUUAACCAUUUCAAAUGCUACAUGUUUCCUUCUACAUUUCCUCUUUAUUUUGUUUUUCUUUUACAUUUUUCCUCAAAUUUUUUAAAAACCAAACAUAGCCUAAAAGAAAAGAUAAUUUUACUUAUUUUGAAAGUUCUUUAUAUAUAUAGUUUAUAUGGAAACUUGUUUCAUGUUAAUUUAAUAAAGCAUUUAUAAUAUUGAGAUCGCUCUUUCAUAAUCAUAAAUUAACCUUUAGUUUCAACUUCUACAAGAGGCUAAAUGAAAAAAGCUAUCACAGAGGAGGCCUCAGCCAAUGAGUCAGAUGCACUGUUGUACCAAACAAUAGGUGGAAAAUACAAUUUUAUUAAGACUCUGAGACAACAAAAAUAAAAAUAAAUAAAGGAUGAUUUUACACUCAAAACAAGGAUUUAUUUAUAAUGAAGUAGAGUCUCCAUAUGCACAUAUGACUGCAUUUACAGCAUAAACAAAGACAAGGAAAUUAACAAAUGUUGAACUUAUUGGAAAAUCAUACAAAUUAUUGAAGGAGGACCUUAGCUAAGCUAACUGUCUCCUAAAUUGCCCAUCUUUUAUAUAUCUUUGCAUUCAUCCGUCUCAUCAUCGUCUUUGAUUUUAGAUGGUGAGGAUGUGAAAGUAACAGGAAGCAGUGGACGAUUGUUCACAGUGAGGCUUAGCACAUCAGCUCUCGAAUAAUGUCCUACCACAUCAAACUGGAACUUUGCUUUAGGAAUCUCUCCACGAACAUCUGCAUAUCAAGUGAUCAUAAAAAUAUUUCAUCAGUCCAUGAUAAAUAUCAUAGAAUAUCAAGUCUUCAAUAAAACUAAGUUUGCAGUCCUCUUAAACCUAAAGAAUUGACUCAUUUGCCUUAUCUCCAUACUGAAAUAUUUGGAUAUACAAUUGGAGAAGUUAGAGCCAUACCAAGAUCAGCUGUGAAGAGGCCUUCUCCUUCAUAAUUCGGUCCUGCUAGAAUUUCGCCAUGGGGCGAAAUGAUGACACUACCUCCAGCCCAAACAAUAGAAUCUGGAGUGACAUCUUCUUCUGUAGGACUGUAAAGAUACUCAGGUGGAGGUGGGUAAUCUUUCCUCCGACAGAACUGGAUGGGUGAAAGAACAUAGCAUCCACCCUCCAUAGCGAUGUGUCUCAUUGUAGCUACCCAUGUAUCCCCGGAAUCGGCAGUAGGAGCACAAUAUAUCUCAAUUCCUAUAUAGAAUCGGUGUUUUGUGAUCAAUCAAUCCCAUAUCAGAGCCAUAAUGUAUUUCAAGCCUAUUUAGGCUAAAACCCUAAUAACUUAAAAAAGAGUACUGAAGUAUUUCAAGCCAAACCAUACUAGUUAGUGAAGAGAAAGAAAUGGUAAAAUAUAUACCUUUGCCAUACAUUGCUGUCCUCAGAAGCGGCAUUCUAUUUUCCCAACAAAUGACUGAACCAAGUUUCCAUAUGGAGUGUCAUAAACUGGAGUUGUCGAGCAAUCUCCGAAACCCCAGACGAGCCGCUCCCAAUAUGUUGGCAUGAGUUUCCUAUGUUUUCCAAGGUAAUUACCUUCAGGAUCAAAGAAGAGAACAGUGCAAUACAAUGUGUAUCCAUCUCUCUCAACAACACCUAUCACCAAGUAGACUUUGUAUUUCGCAGCCAUUGAUGCCAAUCUAUCAACUUCAGGUCCUGAAAAGAUAUUAAGUGGUUGAUUCAUCAAACGUGUCUUGUUUCGAUAAUUUAUUAAGUGGUUCAGUUCUUUAGCUAUUUAAGGGAGAGAGGUAACUGACCCGGCACAUUGAUGGCAGAAGCAUGGUACUUGCGGAAACUUUCUUUCCCUCUUGGCGACUGGUGGGCGAAGUUGUAUCCACGGGGAUACCCACCGAUAAAUGAUUCAGGAAACACAACCAGUUGGGAUCCCAGUGCAGCUGCUUCUUUCAAAAACCUCUCAGCCUUAUCUGCUCCCAAAAUCACAUUGCAAGAAUUAAUAAUUCACGACUUAGAAAGUAAAUUAAUUGGUUGAAUAGAGAGAAUCAAAGUUAACCUCCAGAUAUCCCAAAUGACUUUUUGGUUGCUGAGAAAACUCAUGGAAAAAGAGACCUAGAUAAAACUCGGAACUUUCAUAUUUUCAGCUGUUUUGUAACUAAGAAAAGAGAAACCACCUCAACCCAACUCAUCCAAGUAAUUAUUGUACAAGCAGUAAUUCCUUGAUUGGCAGCUGAAAAUAUGUUCAAGCUUCAAUCAUCCUUUUCUUUCCUUCAGUUUCUCAGCAACCAAUCAACUCACAGAUUCUCUUACAGAAGUUGCAGAAUUGAGAGAAAUGGUACGUUACCUAGAGUGGCAGGAGUAUCAUAAAAGAUACUAGAAGCUUGAACAACGGUGGCUCUAACAGUUGAAGACAUUGCAGAAAUCGUAUGCUUUUUCGUUGCCCUUCUGUUUGAGGAUUCCUCACACAGCGUUCAGUAUAUAUAUAUAGCCCAAAAGGUUCUUCUGCCAUUACUUGAACAAGACGAAAAGGCUGCGAAAAGUCUGCCUUGGUUUUCCAUAUUGAUUUAAGUUAUCCGCAGACAUUGUGGACCAGCCACAUGACUUAAAACAAAGGGUUGUUCUACGGUACCCACUCUUCAUUUUGGGGGUACCUACCCACAUUUGACCCCAAUAAAAAUAUGACUUGUGUAAAGUACAUAUCAUUAAAAAAUUUAUAAAAACUUAUCAAACCGGUAAAGAUGACUUGUUGGUGAGAAAUAAUCACAUGCAUUUCAUAUAUAUCUAUAUAUUACAAUUUUUUAUAAUUUAUUAUUAAAUAUCAAAUAUAAUUUGUUAUUUAAUGCAUUACCUAACUCUAUCUAAAAAACGAAAAUCUUACCUACUGCUCUUAUACUCUCUCAUUUCAAGAUCAAGUUCAAAACUUUUUUAGAGAGAAAAUUUAAAAUUUGUAUUAUAUGAAGAAGAUGAAGGAUUUCAAGUGAUUACAAGUGUCUAAGGUAAUAUUUGAUAUUUUUUUUAUCCAAAUAUAAUUGUUGUAGGAAGAAAUGUGAUGUUAAAUAACGAUUUUAGAAUUUUUUAUGAGUUUAUUAUAAAAUUUUGUUAUCAAAUUGUUAUUAAUAUUUUUAUAUAAUUUUUUUUUUUUGUUCAUAGAUUAAAUUUGAAGAUGAAGCUUUAUAUGUCUUGAAGGAUGUCAAGUGAUUACAAGUGUUAAAAGGUAACAUUUGAUUUAUUUUUUUCCAUUUACAUAUAACUAUUGUAGGUAGAAAUGUCAUGUUAAAUGACAUUUAAAUAUGUAAUGAUUUAUAAUAUCUAGAUUUUUUAAUUUUUUUUUGAGUUAUUUUUAAUCAAAUUGAGAGCAUUUAGUAAUUUGUUAUGAAAUUGUCAUCAAUAUUUUGUAAGAGAGGGUACGAACUUUGUAAGAGAGGGUACGAACUUUGUAAGAGAGGCUACGAACUUUAUAAGAGAUGGUACGAACUUUCUAAGAGAGGGUACGAACUUACUAAGAUCGGGUACGAACUUUCUAAGAUCGGGUACGAACUUUCUAAGGGAGGGUACGAACUUUCUAAGAGAGGGUACGAACUUUCUAAGAGAGGGUACCAACUUUCUAAGAGAUGGUACGAACUUUCUAAGAGAGGGUACGAACUUUCUAAGGGAGGGUACGAACUUUCUAAGGGAGGGUAUGAACUUUCUAAGGGAGGGUACGAACUUUCUAAGGGUGGGUACGAACUUUCUAAGAGAGGGUACGAACUUUCUAAGAGUGGGUACGAACUUUCUAAAAGAGGGUACGAACUUUCUAAGAGAUGGUACAAAAUUUCUAAGAGAGAGUACGAAAUUUCUAAGAGAGGGUACGAACUUUCUAUAAAAAAAAAAAAAAAAUACGAACUUUCUAAGAGAGGGUACGAACUUUCUAUGAGUGGGUAUGAACUUUCUAUGAGUGGGUACAAACUUUCUAAGACAUGGUACAAACUUUCUAAGACAGGGUACGAACUUUCUAAGAGAUGGUAUGAACUUUCUAAGGGAGGGUACGAACUUUCUAAGGGAGGGUACGAACUUUCUAAGGGUGGAUACAAACUUUCUAAGAUAGGGUACGGACUUUCUAAGAGAUGAUACGAACUUUCUAAGAGAGGGUACGAACUUUCUAAGAGAGGGUACGAACUUUCUAAGAGAGGGUACGAACUUUCUAAGAUAGAGGGUACGAACUUUCCAAGAGAUGGUACGAACUUUCUAAGAGAGGGUACGAACUUUCUAAGAGUGGGUACGAACUUUCUAAGAGUGGGUACGAACUUUCUAAGAGAGGGUACAGACUUUCUAAGACCGGGUACGAAAUUUCUAAGAGAGGGUACGAACUUUCUAAGAGUGGGUACGAACUUUCUAAGAGUAGGUACGAACUUUCUAAGAGAGGGUAUGAACUUUCUAAGAAUGGGUACGAACUAGAUAAUGUAAUUUUCUAACUACUCUAUCUUUUAUAUUUCAGUUUCUUCAUAGAUACGAUGGACAAAGGAAAAGGAAAGGAAUUUAUCAUUGAUUUGAACGAUGAAGACUUUGAUUACCAAUAUGAUAGCAUUGUUAAAACUGAGUCCGAUGAAGAGGCCAUUCUAGUUUCGGACAAGAUUUUUAAUGAUUUAACUGUUGAAGAUGUAUGGAAUAUGGAGUUUAGCUUAGUAGAGGAGGCAGAAGAAUUUUAUAAUUUAUUUGCUAAAGUUACCGGAUUCAGUGUUAGAAAGGAUGAUGUGAAACGAGAUAAAAAUCAAAAUAUAGUAUCUCGUAAGUGGGUUUGUUCGAAAGAAGGAUAUCGACAUAGAGUGUGUUUAGAGAAUGAAAAUCGAAAACGAGAACCUAAGGCAGUAACUCGAGUUGGUUGUGAGGCAACAUUUUGGAUUGUGUUUAACAAACAAAUGAACAAGUGGGUUGUGAAAGAGUUUAUGGCUGAUCAUAAUCAUCCUUUGGUGGGACAAAAAAAUGUCCAAUUCCUUUGAUCCCAUAGGGUCAUUAAAAAUGCAGAUAAAGCUCAAUUGAAUGCAAUGCGAGGUGUUGGCAUGGGAACUAGCCAAAUUAUGGAUUACAUGGUGCAACAAUCAGGUGGAUAUAACAAUGUUGGCUUCACAAAAAAAGAUCUAUAUAACCAUGUUGAUGCUGAUCGUAGAGUUCAUCUAAGAGAUGGUGAUGCAGAGGGUGCUUUGGCUUAUUUGUGUGGAAAGUCUGAAAUGGAUCCAUCAUUUUAUUACAAGUACAAUGUUAAUGAAGACAACCAUCUAGCAAACCUGUUUUGGGCAAAUUCUACUAGUAAAUUGGAUUACGGUUGUUUUGGAGAUGUGUUAGCAUUUGAUACAACUUAUCGGACUAAUGCUUAUAAAAAACCGUUGGUCAUACUAGUUGGCAUUAACCAUCACCAUCAAACUAUAGUGUUUGGAUGUGCAUUAUUGGUAGAUGAGAGUGUUAGCACUUAUACUUGGGUCUUGGAGACUUUUUUUGGAUGCAAUGAAUAACAAGAAGCCUCUUUCUGUUAUUACUGAUGGGGAUAAAGCAAUGCGUAAAGCCAUUAAGAGGAUAUUUCCAGACUCUUGUCAUCGAUUAUGUGCUUGGCAUAUUCAACGCAAUGCAUUCACUAAUGUCCAUGUCAAAGAUUUUACUAAUCAUUUUUCUAAGUGCAUGUUCAUGGAAGGCACCGUUGAAGAAUUUGAAUGUGCAUGGAAUGACAUGUUGGAAAUGUUUAAUCUUCAUGGACAUAAGUGGGUGACAGAUAUAUAUGCUAAGCGUUCUAGAUGGGUAGAGGCUUAUUUAAGGGGGCAUUUCUUUGCUACUAUGAAAAACACACAAAGGUGUGAGAGCAUGAAUGCAUACUUGAAUCGUUUCCUUAAAACUCAUUUGAAGCUGUUUGAGUUUGUCAAGCAUUUUGAUAGAGCACUCUCACGUAUUCGUCAUAAUGAGGCAAAGGCAAAGUUUGAGACACACCAUUCUUCAGCUGUUCUAACAACCAAACUCUAUGCACUUGAGAAAUAUGCAGGGAUUGUUUUCACAAGGCAAUCUUUUCUAAAAUUUAGGGAUGAGAUGAAGAAUGCAGAAUUGUUUUUCCCUGUCAGUACAGAAAAUCAUGGAGGUUAUCGUGUCCAUACAUUGACCAAGUUUAGAAGCCCUGACAAGAUUUGGAAAGUAUGUUAUGGUAAUAGUGAUCGGUCUAUGAAAUGUACUUGUAUGAUGUUUGAGUCAGUUGGUUUUCCAUGUCCCCACAUGAUUGUUGUAAUGAAGAUAGAACACCUUGAAGAAAUACCUGAGACUUGUAUUAUGAAAAGGUAGUCUAAGUUAGCAAAGGAAACGGUCCAAGUUCAUCAUGACAAUGAAAGUCAAGGUGAUGCGACUAACAUCAUACGAUAUGGUGCACUCAGCUCUAUGUGCUCACGGAUGUCUUAUUUUGCAUCUCAAUUGGAAAAAGCUUUUAAAGAGGCUAGAUGUGAAAUACAAAGACUCACUUUUCAAAUGGAAGAACUUUGUAAAAAUUCAGCGGAAGAAAGUGAACGAGAAGAUUUGAAAGCUACAAAACACCAUGUUCGAGAUCCUAUCAUUGUGAAGACGAAAGGUAAUCCGGGUAACUUAAAAGACAAAUUUAAGAAACCAAGACAUUGUGGGAAAUGUAAGAAAGUAGGACACAUUGUUCGAAAAUGCCCAGAGUUCGUCAACACUCACAAUGCAUUUAUCAACAUUGAAGAUUCAAUUGAAGAUAUGGUAUGUUCAAACACACAUUCACUAAAUUCAUUAAUUAUUCACUUUAUAGUUAUUUUUAUUUGGUUAAAUUUGUUGAAAUAAAAAAUUAAAUUCUUUAUAUUAAUACAAGGGGACAUGCCUUCAUUACUAAAUCACAACAUGGAAGGUGGAUCAAGACACGAGACAAAUGAAUUUUCUCAAAAUGUAAGUUUAACAUUUUUUAAGUAAUUUUUAUUAUGAUGUGAAAAAUAUUACUUAUUAGAGUAAUUGAAAAAUUAAAUCAUAUUACAGACAACACUUGGCACAUUUCAGAAUGGUCUAGAAACAAGCUUAAAUGAUUCAUAGCUCGGGUUACAUCCACCAAAUUACUUCACAAACCAAGUAAGAGUCAUAGAAUAACUUAUAUACACCACAUAUCAUAUAUCUAUAUAUUGACAGAAGUUCCUAAACAUUUAGUAUUUAAUCAUAUGGAUUUUCUUUCAAAAUAUUAUGUAUAACUGUAAAUAUUUUCAAUGUAGGUCACCAUGAACCACUUUACAUCCGGAAUUUCGGGAGCAAGUUCUACAUAUCAUAACCAAUGAGUUGUACUACAAUGCAAAAAAUUAUGUACAAAAAAAAAUCAACUCUUAAUUGUAUUCUAUACUCUUCUUCUCUUUAUUUUUGCAUGAUUCUGAACUUUAUCUAAUAUUAUAGCUUUCUCACUAUUUUCAUCAUCAAGAAGUAAUUCGAUUGCCAAUUUGUGUCUUAUAGUUGUAGAGUUCCAAUGGGAAGGGGUUGAACUUGAGUCCAUGAAAUCAGAUCUUUGCAUAUGAUUAAUGACAUGGACUCCACAAUCCCACCUAACAAAUAAAAUAAGUAAACAUUUAUCUAGUUAGUACAUAGAAAUAUUAUCUUGAACACAUUAUAUUUGAAGAAACAAUUAUGCUUGCUUACCCAUUGGCUUGCACCUCUACCCAUGUAGGUCUUUCAAUGGGAACACUUGAUAAAUUCUUUAGAUGCCCAUUGAGAUUAAAAAAAUGUGCACACUCUUCAACCUAAUAUUCAUAUCGUUAUAUCUUUUAGCAAAAUAAAACAUGCUAUUUAACAACUAACAUUAAAAAGUAACAAAAUUCAUUAAAAUAUAAGACAUACCACAGUUCUCACAGAUGAAGUUCGCAUGUCAUCCCUUUCUAUUGAUGGUAAUGAAUCCAAUAUAUGAAUAUUAUGUUGAUGAAGAUUUAUAACACACAAAUACCAAUGAUCCGGACAUGUAUCGUGCAUCGGGAUGUAUAUCUAAACAAAACACACAUUUUAGCAUUGAUAAUUAUUUACAACUAUGAUAUGAAUACAACUUCAAAUAUGUACCUUAUUGCAAUCAUUCAUUUCAUCCAUGUGUUUGAUAAUAUGUGUGAACAUCUUGGUAGCAGUUGCCAAUUUUCUACCACCAUGUAAGAUUAUUUGCUAUGCAAAAAAAAAAAAAAAAAAAAAAAAACAUAUAUAUAUCACAAUAUUUAUUAGGUUUAUUUUUUUUCUUUAAUAAGAAAUAUAAUGGAUGAACAUACCGCAAAUGUGGUGGGUAAGUAGCAUCUUGUAGACCGUAUUCCUUUGAAUUUGUUCUCAAAACUAUUAAGUUUGCAUGCAAAUACAUUUAUGAUCUAAAAAUGAAACACAAAAAAGUUAACAAUGUUAAUUAUGUAAUAGAAUUAAUAAGAAUUGGGUUUAUCCUUGUAUUACUCACCACAUCGAGUAAUUCUUGUCUAGGCCCUAAAGUCAAGAAGUCUGCUCGAUUUGCAUGCUCAUAUUGAAAAUUAACAAGAAGUUCACUGCAAAAUAUAAGAUAUUUAAUAAGUAUAACUUUUAAAACAUGACAUACAUAAAGUAUAGUCAAAAUAAUAGGUUUACACACCUUUUGUCCAAUGAAACAUCAAACACAUAAGCAACAACUAGAGACUCAAGUGUACUCAAGGAAUGUGAAUCCUCCACGUUUGGCAAAAUGGACAUGGGGAUUAUCUAUAUUGAAAACAUCUCUAACAAACAUUACUUAUCGUUCACUAUAUUAUUAAGUAUUUAAAAAAUACUACAUCAAUGAAGUAACAUAUUACCUCUAAUAUCUUUUGUGAUCCAACAACUAUGCUUGGGAAUCUCUUAGGCUUUGACAUCUUAUUGGAUUGAUGAAUGUAGGGUGACACCUUGAAUUUACUAGGCUUGCGUUCCAUUGUUGAUCAUGUUUUCUUCAAUUGACAUGGGAGCACCACCAAUGAACUUAGUUGUUCUUCUUGUUUUUCAACAUAUGGAACAUCAACAUUAACCUAUCAUGUAUUUGAACAUUAGUAUAUAUAUAUAUAUAUAUAUAUAGAACUUUGUAAAAAACUAGGUCUUCAUAAUAUGCAAAUACCUUUUCAUCUUGACAUUGAUUGUUGACAAUGGGAGAAACAUGUAACUCCAUGUGACCACAUGAGUCAUUCUCACUCAAUCUCUCUUCUACGACAACAUUGCUCAUAGGAAAAAACAAACGUUUCAAUUCCAUAUAUUUUUCUUCAAAUUCUCUAAAAGUUGAUUCUUUACAACUUUCAUCCAUAUCAGAAACAUUUGUUUGUAGCACAAAUUUUUUCAACUUCUCAAAAGCUUCCUCCAUACCCAUCAAACUUUUUUCUUCAACCUAGUAACAAAUAAAAAUUUCCAAUAUCAUGAAAAAUAAAGUUUGAGAUGAAUAAACUAAUGUAUAUAAAUAUAGUAUAAAAAAGUACCUUAUGCCCUUCUUCUUGUUGUUCAUGAACUUUUGCAUCUUGUUUAUCACCAUCUUCUACAUUUCUCAUAUCAUUAUCUUUAUGAUCACUUGUUCUCUCAUCUUUCUCAACCACCUUCAUUUUUUCAUCAUUUUCAUUUUCCGCACCAUUAUUUUGCUCCAUAUCCACACUUUGCCCAAUUUUUAUAAUCCAUAUCGUGACCUAUAAUUUAUCCAUAAACUUUAUUAUAAUUGCAACAUCACAUAAACAAAUAAGCUUUUCAGUUAGUAAAUGUAUCUUACCUUUGGAUCAUCAUAACCUCCAAGUGUUUUGAUUUUACGUUUCAUCCUAGAGACCUCAUCAUCUCCCCAUUCAUUUAUACGAGGGCUAUAUGCAUUAAAACGUAAGUUCAUACCCUUCUUUGUGGAAAUGUGGUCUAUGUAGAAAAUCUGCAAGAAAUAAAUUCCAAAAUAAUUAUAGAGUUGAAUAUAUCACAAACUCUAUUAUUGUUAAAAAUAUCAUAAUAUAUCAACUUUGUUAAAAAUGUAUUACCAUUAGAAAAAAUAAACAUCCUAAAAUCCCACUGCUUUGUUUCUUGGAUUUAAAGUCGUUUAUGCCUCGUACAAGGAAGAAGAAUACUAUUUGAGCCCAAUUUAUCUUCUUUAUUGAUGCAGUGUCUUGAAGGAGAUGGAGGAAGGAAGGCUUGACACUAACUUUCAUCGUUGGACAUAACAAGGCACCCAAAACAAAUAAUACAAAACGAAUUUUAAAUUCAUCCCCACAUUCCUUUUCUUGCCGUAUUUGGUUUUCUAACAUCAACAAUGGCAAUUUUCUCUUCCCAUCACAAUACAUGUUGUAUAAAUCAUUCCGUUUACUUGUGCAUCUCUCUAUAUCUACCUCCACUCCCUUAGCCUUCAAGCCCAAAAUUAACUCAACAUCCAUUGGGGAUAAUUUAAUGGAAGUGUUAUGCACACUUAAUGUGCAUGAAAGAGUGUCAAAAUUCUCUACCAACCAAUGACAUAAACUAUGAUCAAGUUUAGUACAUUGCAAUCCUAAAAUACCUCCAAACCCUAUUUCUUGUAUGACGGCCUUUUGAAUAGGUUGCAAGUGUUGAAGUAGUUUAUACACCCGAUCAGGCGAACAACGCGUGUGAAGAUACGACUAGAAGUCAUAAAUAUACAUAAGCAUAUAUAUUUUAAAUUGAAAGAAAAUAUUAUCAUAAUUUAAAAACAUAAAUUUCGAAUUUCUUACCUUUGAUGCAUUUUUUGAGUUUUGACCAUUUUGUUUUAUAUAUUCAUGAGGCCAUUUUUUAGACUUCUCUAAGAACUCUUUUUUUUCUCCAUUUGAAAGGGAUUGCCACUUUUUCCCAAUCUCUUUUCGCAACUGUAAUAUUAAAUUAGUUAGGUAUCAUAUAGAGUAUAAAAGUUGACUAAAAAACAUAUUAUGCAAAUAUUCAUGUCUUUUCUUACAUCAUGAUUUAUUAUCAAUUCCUUGUUAUCUUCUUUUCUUGCGAGUACUUGUUCUUGACUGCAAAAAACAUCACAUAAAAAUGAUUAUAUUUUCAACAUGUGAAUAAAUAUCCAAAAUGAAUUAACUAUAUAUGUAUAUAUAUUCUUACAAAUAAUAAAGCCAUGAACCCAUAGGAAGUUUUGGGUUUGAAGGGGGAUCAUUCUCCUCAAAUGAUUGUUUGCUCCUAUUUAAAACACAACAUUAUGAAUGUAAUUUACAACUAAUUAAAACUAUGUACUAUAUUCAAAUAAUUAAGUUACAAAUAUAAAAUCUUACAUAUUUGGCUUUCUAAGUCAAGAUGUAGUAAGACUGCUCAAAAUAAGAUAAACUCCUCUUAUAUUAAGCAACUGUGUAGCCUGCAACAUAGUGAGCAUACCGAUAAGAAUUAAGUUUUGAAUUUGACAACAAGAAUUAAGUUUAAAAAAAAGUCAUUAGUGAGCAUAUGUCCAAAUGUUUUAAGCUCUUUUAUCAUUCUUUUCAUCUCCUUAAGAUCUUGUUUCAUUGUAUGGUUUAGUCGUAUUUUGUAAUUUCCAAAUUACAUUACAAGUCCUCUAAGCUUCGUAGCUGAAAGUACACCAUACUUUUCUUUUAACGCUUCCCACAUUUCAUGAGAAGUUUGAUAUACCUCAUACUCAAUCAUGAGAUCAUCUUGCAUACAACUUAACAACGUUAUGCGAGCUAAAGAAUUUUUUUGUGAGAGAGGCCACAUCAACAAGAUAAAUAUACAUGUCAUGUCUGGCAUAUCAAAUUAUUUACAUGUUAUGUACAAAACAUAAAAGAAAAUGUAAUAAAUAGAAGGAAAACUAAUCUUCUCCCUUGAAACUAAAAGAAACAAUGUUAGGAUUAUACACAGUGUCUUCUAUAACUCUAGAAGUUGUUUUCAAUAACCAUAACCCUCUAAGAUUUUUAUGCCUACUAGAAUUUGAAAAUCUUGCAUUUUGCAAGUUAGGAGAAAUAGAAAGCAUUGUUGUUCGUCUGAUAGCAUUCUUCACGAAGCAUGUUUCCCAGUGUUCCUUGAAAAUAGCUACUAGGUCAUCAAAAGAACUAUUUGUGAAACCAUGAGGCCCUUCUUGAAUGGAUUCCCAUAUAUUUUCAAGAAAUUUUUUCUCAGGUUCUGUUAAUGACAUUUGUAGAAUAUGCAUUUUACGGUUUGACUCUAAGAUAUAUUCCUUUUCGAAACGUUUGAACAUAUUAGCCACAUGAUCCACAUGUUCAUUUGUAGAAUGGCUAGGGUCCCUCUUGUAGUUCAAGAUUGUAUCCAAACACGGCCAAGGUCCACUACCCCUUAGUACUUUCCUAGUUCUCCUCAAUCGUACCAUUUUGCACCUGACCAAAAGAAUUUAAUUUAAUUUUAAUGAGUAACAUAUACUCAUACUUUAAUUAAAUAUUUGAACAAAUGAAAUUUUAAUUAGAAACACACAAUUAUAAAAAAAAAAAAAUGGUUUUUUAUUGUCCCUCAAAUUUUUAUUAUUAUUUUAUACACAAGUCAACAUUCAUAAUUUCAAAUAAACAAUAUAACACUAAUAAAUGGUAUUUUAUAUCAUAUCAAGGUACUUUAUUUGAGAUUUAGGUUCGAAUCCAUGUUGCAUUAUUAUUUCUAACACUAAAAGGUUCAGAAGUCUAGAAUUUUAUUACAUUUUAAAUGAAAAAUAAAAUUAAUUUAUAUAAAAUAUUUUAUUUGAGAUUUAGGUUCAAAUCCAUGUUGCAUUAUUAUUUCUAACACUAAAAGGUUCAAAAGUCUAGAAUUUUAUUACAUUUUAAAUGAAAAAUAAAAUUAAUUUAUAUAAAAUAUUUUAUUUGAGAUUUAAUUUCUAAAAUUUUAUUAAAAAUAUGUGAUAACAAUUUUUUCUAUUAACAUUAAUGUAUUUAAAUAAUUAAAAUUAUAAUAAUUUAUCUUAUCAAAUUAAUAUUAAUUCAUAAAAUAUCGGUAAUAAAAUUCGAAAGUUCAAUUUAUAUAAAAUAUUUUAUUUGAGAUUUAGGUUCAAAUCCAUGUUGCAUUAUUAUUUCUAACACUCAAAAGUCUAGAAUUUUAUUAUAUUUUAAAUGAAAAAUAAAAUUAAUUUAUAUAAAAUAUUUUAUUUGAUAUUUAAUUUCUAAAAUUUUAUUAAAAAUAUGUGAUAACAAUUUUUUCUAUUAACAUUAAUGUAUUGAAAUAAUUAAAAUUAUUAAUAAUUUAUCUUAUCAAAUUAAUUUAAAUUCAUAAAAUAUCGGUAAUAAAAUUCGAAAGUUCAAUGGUAAAUAUUUAAUCAAAAUAUAAAUGGAUAAUUACUAAUGGUAAAGAUUUAAUCAAAAUAAUUACUAAUGGAUAAUUAUUUAUAUACAAAGAGAAAUUCCUAAAAGGCCCUACUACCUCUCACACUCGGGGCUGGGGCAUCAAGAAGCCCUUUUCUCCCUCUAGACCGAGAAUCCCUAAAAAGGCUCCAGCUCCAGUUUACUCUGCCACUCUCAAUCCUCGCAGGUACUAAUCUAAUCAUGUUAUCCUUUUUUUUUCAAUACCCGUUUGAUUCUUAACAAAAUCCAUCCCCCAUUCGAUUUGUUGGAUCUGUUUUAGGGGUCUUUUUGCUUUUGUGCCAUUCGAUUUAAAUUUCAUGAACCCUAAAUCCACGAUUUUUUAGCCAGGUUGAAAUACACAACCUUUGUCUGCAAAUCAUGACCAUAUUACCAAAUAGUAUCUUUUGUUUUUUUAAAAAAAACUGGUCAGAUUUUGCAUCCUUGUGUGUGGCCUGGACUGGUAGGAAAUAUAGGGAAAUUUCCCAAAAAAAAUUCGGUAAAAAUACCAAAAUUUUACUGAUAUUUUUUAAUCGGUCAAAAUAUCAUGUUUGUGCGUGGUCUGGACUGGUAGGAAAGAUCGGGAAAUUUUCCAAAAAAUCAGUAAAAAUAUUGUCUUUCUUAGAAAUAUCGCCGAAAUUUUCGACAUUUCAAUCACUACCAUAUGACAUAAGAUGAGUGAAGUACCUGUUCUGGGAUAGUAGGUAGAGUUGCCUGUAGGGGAGAUUGGUUGCGGAUCCACCAAAGCCCCCUGAUUAUUUUCUUGCUGAUUUCUCCUCUCUCUGAUUUCUCCUUCAAAAUCCCCACUCAGCUCACUCUCUCUGUAAAUAUUCAUUUCACUCGAAAAUUCCAUCUCCACACCCUCAAAUUUCUGAAGCUUAACUCUCUAAAACUCGGGAAAAGUUGUAAUGCCCAUCAAACUAAUAGCUCACCUUUCCGAAAAUAGGCAUCAAGUGUAAUACCCAUCAGACAAAUUUUUGUCUUUGGACAAGAUUAAGCAAGAUAGAAGUGGGAAAUCAGGUGACCAGCAACCUGCUUUUAUUUUUUAUAUAUUUUUAAAUUUUUAAAAAAUAUAUAAACCAAUUGGAUGGUCCGGAUUGAACAUCUUCAUCCAAUGGUCAAAAUUGUUUUUUGGGUAGGUACCGAAGUGGUACUGUAGAAUUUUCCUAAAACAAAUUGAAAAUAAGUAAGUCAUCUGUGAAAUAUAUAUAUAUAGAUUUCAUCUUUUAUACUUGAAUCAUCUCCCCCCUCUUUUUUUUUCCUAGUUUUGGCCUUAUUUUUUUAAAAUAUAAUAUUUAUUUUACUUUUAAUCAAUGGCUCAUAUUUCGAACAAGUGCACCAGAUUUUCUGAAGUUGUAUAUAUAAUAAUCUACAAGUUACAAUAGUGAUUAUAUUUGAAUAAAAAGAGGGACCCGCCCACUUGCAUGGAUUCUAUAUAGGACACAAACAAAUUGUCUUUAGUGGCGACUGAGGAGGCUUUCUAUGACUUGAAAAAAAAAUAAAACAAAAAUAGUCAUUAAGAAAUCAGUGCCAUGUAGUUAGUGUCCGCCACUAUCUACACUUUCUUUAAAAGAACAAAAUUGUCAUUUUCUUUUAUCUCAAAAAUCACUGAAUCGUACAAAAUAAUAUAAGAUAAGAUUCAAUUCAGUCUUUUUUGGCCUCAUAAGAAAACCUUAGCCAACUCAAGGUGACCACUACAGAAUCAAAAUAGGUUUUCUUUUUCUUCAUAGAUAUAUAGCUAACCAUUCAGCUUUGGAUUGCUGGAAUAGAUUCGACUAUUUGUAUCAAUCAGAAGAGAUUCCUCAAGCUUUGGCUGCUAUGGCUCUAAAUGAAGAAGAUAAGGAUCCUAAUUUUUAUGUGGACUCGAGAGCAACAACCCAUAUAACAAAUGACCUAGGUAAGAUUACCCAAGUAAUUCCAUAUAAAUACAAAUGACCUAGGUAAGAUUACCCAAGUAAUUCCAUAUAAAGGGCAUGAUGUAAUUUUUGUUGGAAAUGGAGAAGCUUUAAGAAUCUCACAUAUUGGUGAAGCUAGACUAAAAACUAAACAUAGAGAUCUAAAGCUUAAAAAAUUAUUGGUUAUUCCAAAAAUUAAGAAAAAUUUGUUAUCCAUUGGACAACGUACCUCAGAUAACCCAUGCUCCAUAGAAUUCUCAUCAACUAGUUUUGUCAUUAAGGAUCAACUUCAACAAGUGCUAGCCAGAGGAACUAAGAAGAGAGGUCUCUAUGCAUUGGAGGAAAAUGUGAUUCAAGCCAUGAUAGUUACUAGGUCUAGCAAGGCACCAUAAGAAGUGUGGCAUCAACACAUGAGGCAUCUACAAACAAAAUCUAUAAAGCUUUUGCAAGAUAAGGAUUUCAUUGAAGUAUCUAGUUGGAUGAAAUCAGCAAUAGUAUGUGUUAGAUUUCAAUUAGGAAAAAGUUGUAAAGUUUCUUUUGGCUUAAGAAAUAAAAUUUCCAGCAAUCCUCUUGAAAAAAUUCAUUGUGACUUAUGGGGACUUGCACCAAAUAAUUCGACUCAAGGAUACAAGUAUUAUGUUGUCUUUAUUAAUGAUCAUACUCGCUAUACAUGGCUUUAUCCCUUGAGAAGAAAAUCAAAUUUCUUUGAAUGUUUUUUGAAGUUUCAAAAUCUAGUUGAGAAUCAACUUGAAAGACAAAUAAAAAUCUUCCAAAGUGAUGGUGGAGGUGAGUUUCAAUCAAUUAAAUUUCAAAAUCACCUGAGCAAGUGUGGAAUUUUGCAACAAGUCUCAUGCCCAGGAACUCCAGAACAAAAUGGGGUUGUAGAGAGAAAGCAUAAACACAUUGUUGAAAUGAGUUUAACAAUGAUUUUCAAUGCCAAACUACCAUUGAGUCUAUGGGUAGACGCAUUCCAUACUAUCGUAUACCUCAUUAAUCAGCUGCCUUCCAUGGUGUUGAAAAUGGAGAGUCCAUUCUUUAUGCUCUUCAAACAAUAUCCAGAAUAUAGGAGCUUGAGAAUUUUUGGUUGUCAAUGUUUUCCAUACCUUUGAGACUAUGGGAAGAAUAAAUUCUCACCUAAGACAUCUCCAUGUGUUUUUAUUGGAUAUAGCUCUCUACACAAGGGUUAUAGAUGCUUGCAUCCUUCAACUAAAAGAGUUUACAUAUCUCAUCAUGUCAUCUUCAAUGAAAAUUGCUUUCCUUAUGAUAACUCUCUUGUUAAGAAAAGUCAUUUAUAGUUUCUUAUAGAAAUGGUAUCAUUCUCAACUUCAGAUGUUUCUUGUGAGACAUCAAAAAUAGAUCACCAAACUAAGUCUUGGAAGGAGAACACUGCCAACCAAUCAAGCAACUCCAAGAAGUGCAACCAUUAGCCAUGCACUACUGGGCAAAGAAACCAGUUUAGUGUUGACGGAAGAAUUUCUACUAGUUGCAUUACUAACCAAAAUACAGAAGCAUCAUGUGCAAAACCGAUUGGAACUCCCACUGCUAUCACUGUUGAAAUUUCCACUGUUGCUGCUAGUAAAAAUGACCAUAAUACCGUCAUUACUAUUGAAACUCCCACUGAUGUUGCUCUUGGUUCUAGUGGCCACAAUUUCAACACUGCUACUACUACUGGAACACUCUCCUAGAUUGAGUCUACUAGUAGCUACAAGCUUGCUAAUGUUAGUAAUUUUCCUGAUAUCAGUAAGCACCUAGUAGUUGAUCUCUCUUUUCCUUAAAAAUGGCAGAAAAAUGAGCAUGUUGGUUCAUCUCCGCAAAACAAAUCCACCAGUCACAAUGUUGAUGAUAAAGUUCUUGAUAUUAGCAAGCAAAUUGUUGUUGACAUCUUUUCUCCUCAGGGCCAACACACAGAUAACAAAGAAGCUCAUAUGAUCACCAGAAGUAAACUCAAAAAUGAUCCUAGUUUAAAGUCUUAAAUGGUUACUUUUGCUGCCACAAGAAGUAAUAUUAGUGAGCCAAAAACAUAUCAUACAACAUUGAAAAUUCCCCAUUGGUCCAAACAAUGCAAGAGGAAAUUAAGGUUUUAAUCCAAAAUUGAACAUGGGAUUUGGUUCCUAGGCCUCCAACUACAAAUAUUGUGGGUUUUAAAUGGAUGUUUAAAACAAAGCUAAAGGAAAAUGGAACCAUAGAUAGAUACAAAGCACAAUUAGUUGCUUGAGGUUUUUCUCAAAUAUCAGCUUUGGACUUUGGAGAGACCUUCAGCCUAGUUAUAAAGCAUACUACAAUAAGAUUGAUCCUUUCAUUAGCAGUAACCUUAGGGUGGACAAUGAAGCAAUCGGAUGUUAAGAAUGCCUUCCUACAUGGGUUUCUAAAGGAAAAAGUAUUCAUGGAACAACCUCUAGGAUUUAUAAACAAGGACCUUCCGAAUCAUGUAUGCAAAUUGAAUUGUUCUCUUUAUGGCCUUAAGCAAGCUCCAAGGGCCUGGUUAAAUAAACUAUUUCAAUGUCUUCUUCAUCUGGGGUUUUACUAUGGUAAAAUAGACUCGUCUCUAUUUAUUCUUCCCAAAGGUCAGUCUAUUGUUUUGCUACUUAUCUAUGUUGAUUAUAUUAUAGUCAUAAGCUAUGAUAACAACAUCAUUAGUGACCUCAUCAGCACCCUGAGUAGUGAAUUUUCUCUCAAGGACUUAGGAUCUUUGCAUUAUUUUUUGGGAUUGGAGGUGAAAUAUCUUCUUAAUGGGUUGUUUCUUUCUCAAGAAAAGUACACUAGAGAUCUCUUAGAGCACACAAAAAUAAUGGAGUGUACUCAUAUCAACGCACCCAUAGCUCUUAAGUCCAUCAUCACACCUUCUGAUGAACAACCUAUUGAUCCUACAUGAUAUAGGCAACUUGUUGGAUUCCCCCAAUAUUUAACCUUCACAAGGCUUAAUAUUGUGCAUGUAGUAAACAAGGCCUACCAACAUUUCCAAGCACCCACUAAAGCUGACUUGCAAGCUAUCAAACGCAUCCUUAGAUAUUUGAAGGGAACAAUGGAGCAUGGAAUCAGGUUUUUCAACCAAAGUUCGCUUCGUCUCACUGGUUUUUGUGAUGUUGAUUAGGCGGGAUGCACAAACACAAGAAGAAGCACAUCUAGGUAUUAUAUUUUUCUGGGAGCCAAUUGUAUCUCAUGGUCCUCAAAGCGACAACCUAAUAUUUCUAGAUCAAGCACCAAGGCCAAAUAUCGAUCCCUUGCGUCCAGUGCUGCAGAAAUAACUUGGCUUACUUUCCUUCUCCGUGACAUUGGCAUUCAACUACGUGAACCUUCUCAAUUGCUAUGCGAUAACCUCAGUGCCCUUCACAUGACAGUAAAUCUCGUCUUCCAUGCAUGUUCUAAGCAUAUUUAGUUGGACUAUCAUUUUAUUCGGAAAGAAGUUGCAAGUGGAGUUUUGAUUACUUGUUUCCUUCCAUCGUCUUUACAAGUAGCUGAUAUAUUCACAAAGGCACUCCCUAAGACUUCAUUCCAAGUCUUUCGAUUCAAGCUAGAGUGCACAAGUUACCACUCACUAGCUUGCAGGGGGCUGAUAAAGGAAAGCCAAACUCAGCCAGCAUACAAUCCAUGCCAAAGCAAUCUUUACGUGAGAAGUUAGUAAUGCAAUCUAUCAGGAAGGAAAACUACUCUCAAUAUUUGUAAUGUGGAAAAUCAAGGCUGGAAGGAAAUAUUCACUUACCUGUUCUAUAUAAUAUUCCCUUUUCUAUGCAAAGAAAGUAUGUAUUGUUUAUUUAUUUUUUAGAAAAAAUCAGUAAAGCAUGGUAAAAAUUCAAUCUUUCAAAAAUAGUUUAUGUUCUUCAUGCAUGGAUAAUAAAUCGCAUGGAUAAAUUGUAUUUAGCAGCGGCUGAAGCUUUCUAUAUGACUAAAGAGAAAAAAAGUCAUUAAAAAACUAAUUGCCAUGUGACUACGUCUACCAGUAGAUAGCUGAGAACAAGGUCUAACUUUUAACCUUUUUUACUACCUUUACAAAGGAACACAAAAUUGAGAGAUUCAAAGACAACUAUAGUAUAAAUAUUGUUUCAUAAAUUACUUUUCAAAUUUAAUUUGAUAGCAAAAAUUUAAAAUACAAAAGUAUGAAAAAUUUGUUCCAUUCCCAAAAUUUUUGCAAAUAAAAUUUUAAAGUAAUAAAUUAACACCAUGACUCUUUUCACAUCUUAUUCUCCUUUCUAUCAAAGCAAUGAUAGUAAUAAUCUUAUCUAUAAAUUUUAAAUGAGGGAAGAUCAUUGAAUUUUUAUUUUCUUUUAAUUUCUUGUUAUGUAAUUAUCAAACACAUUUUUUUUUAAGACAAGAAAAAAAUUAGACUGAAGAAAUAUACUUUUGCUUUGAUUUAGUCACUUGGAUUGCAAUUUGAAGGAUGACAAUAAAAGUGUAUUAUUGGAGUUAAAGAUCAAUUGAAAGCUUGAAGUGGCUUGUUCUUGAAUGAAUUUAAUGAAUGGCGAAGAAUACGUGUGUUGUAAUUUUUUGGAUUUGUAGGGGAAUUUUAUGAAGCUCUUUUCUCUUUGUGAAGCUUCUUUUUUUGUGUGAUUUUUUUUCUUCAUCAUUUUUAUUCAAGGAAGUUGCAUAUAUUUAUAGAUGAAAUUAAAAAAUUAAAUUUAGAAUUCCUAAGAUUUGAUUACUUAAUUAAAAAAAAUUGGUUUCUUGAUUUUAGCAACUUGUCUCCUCUAUUAAGAAAGUUUUCUAAUAAGAGAAUAUUUAAUUAUCAUUUUCUUUUGACUUCAAUUAGAAGAUUUGAUUCGUUUGUUCAUAAAAUUUGAAAACAAAAAAAAAUUAUUUCUAUUUUUUUUAUUUCAAUUGUUUAAUUUAAUUUGAUUUUGCAAGACUUUAUUUUAUAGGCUACAUGUCAUUUUUUGAAUUGCAUGUUACAUAUUCAAUAUACAUGACCCAUCACUUAUUAAGCAUAAAUUUCGUUGGCUAAGGAGUUACAAUUUUGAAGACUAAUUUGAUAGUAUUUUGAUCCACUAAAAUUUUUUAUGUCUAGAAAUGCCCCAUCUUCAAGACCAACACACACAUGCAUUGUUAUGUAUAAAAGGUGAGUCUUGAAGUUAGCAUUUUGAAUCUUUAAUAUCCUUCUUUGAUAUUUUUUUUUUCAAAGAAAUAUUUUAAUAGGAAAUUUCCUAUUUCAAAAUACCUUUCUUAAACUGCUUUAUUUUCUUCCUUUUUUUCUACCUGGUAUCAAGGAAAGACUUUGUGUUAAUGGGAAAGUUUCUUAUUUGAACAUGUAUUUGCUUUUCUCAUGGUAUUUUCACUUCCAAUUUAUCAUCCUACAUGAAGUCUUUCACCCUUGGUCGAUUGUAUCUUAGACUUGAUCACAUGCCUUUAACUUGUAAUUCUUGCUCCACUUUAUUUAUUUUAUUUUAUUUUAUUUUUAAAAAAGAAUACAAUAUAUAUGAGCAAGACCUUGAGCAAGAGGAGCAAGGUGGAGGAUGGAGCAUGAGCUAGCCUUAGGGUAAGACCUUGAGGAAGAGAAGUAAUGUGGAGUGUAGAGCACAAACUUCUCUGGAGCAUGGUAGGUAUACCAUCACAGAAUUGUCUUCCACAUGGAGCAUGGUAGGGCUUAUAUAUAUGAUAGGGUGUGCCAUCAUGUAACAAUGAAGAACAACAAUCCAUGGUGUACAAUUGGGAACAACAAUUCAUGCUAUCAAGCUUCAACUUUUUUUUUUACCCCCAUCUCCAUUUUUUCAACUUCUUUUUUUUUUCCUUUUCUUUUUCCUUUUUUUUUUAACCAUUGUUUUUAAGGAAGAAAUAGGUUUUCCAUCCCUUACUACGAGGUCAAUCUCCAUCACUUGCAAAGACAAAUUUGCUUUUUGAUAUUUUUUUCUUCAAUAAUUAACUUAACAUUUUAAUAUAUAUUUUUUUUAACAAACUUAAAUAUUCAUAAUAAAAUAAAUAUUUAAUGUCUUUAUUCAUUCAAAUUAGCUUGACUUGAAUACUUAGUAGAUCCAUACUUAACACCCAUGUAGACGAGUUGUAACCUUGAUGGCAGGUUGUGUUGUAUUUUCGACACUUAAUGUGGCUUAAGAGUUAAAGUCUUCUCUCAUACAAAUUACCUUGGUUUGGAUGCACAAUGGUGUCUAACUUUUUAACACUUUAUUAAACUUGGAACCAUAUUUAACACCCACGUAGACAAGUCAUAAUCAUGACGUGGAUCACUGCUUUAUUUUUAGCUCUUAAUGUGGCUUAAAUAUUAAAUUCUCCACUCAUACAAAUUAACUUGGGUUAGAUGCACAAUGGUGUUCAACUUGUUAAUAGUUAAUUAAAAUUAGAACCAUAUUUAACACCUAUACAAACAAGUCAUAACUUUGACGUGGAGCAGUGUUGUAUCUUCGGCUUAAUGCCGCUUAAGUGUUAAAGUCGUCACUCAUAUGAAUUAGCUUGACUUAGAUGCAUAGUUAUAUUAUACUUUUUAACACUUAAUUUAAAUUUGGACCAUAUUGAAAACCCAUGUGAACAAGAGAUAACCUUGCAGUGAUGUUAUAUUUUUGACACUUAAUGUAGCUUAAAUGCUAAAGUCUUCACUUCAAUGAAUUGGUUCACCUUGGAUGAAUAGUGAUGUCUAAAGUGUAAUAAUUAAAAUUGAAACCAUAUUUAACACUCAUGUAGACAAAUCAUAACUUUGACGUAAUGGCAUUGUAUUUUUUACACUUAAUGCAGCUUAGGUGCUAAAGUUUUCACUCAUGAGAAUUGGUAUGAGUUAGAUGCAUUGUGGUGUCCAACUUUUUAACACUCAAUUAAAAUUGGAACCAUAUUUAAUACCUAUGUAGAUAAGUCAUAACCUUGAUGCAAAGUGAUAUUGUAUUUUUGACACUAAAUGCAACUUAGGUGCUAAGUCUUCACCCACACAAAUUGGUUCAUCUUGGAUGCACAAUGGUGUUGAAUUUUUUUAACAUAUAAUUAAAAUUUGAACCAUAUUUGACACUCAUGUAGACAAGUCAUAACCAUGAUGUAGAGUAGUGUUGUAUUUUUAACACUUAAUAUGACUUUACUGGUAAAUUCUUUACUCAUGUGAAUUGGCUUGAUUUGGAUGCACAACUAACUUUUUAACAUUUUAUUAAAUUGGGUAUCAUAUGUGUUGUUUUUUUAACACUUAAUACGACUUUAGUGGUAAAUUCUUUACUCAUGUGAAUUGUGUUGAUUUGGAUGCACAAUGAUACCUAACUUUUUAACAUUUUAUUAAAUUGGGUAUCAUAUUUAACACCUAUGUAGACAAGUCAUAACUUUAAUGUAGAGGCAGUGUAAUAUUUUUGGCACUUAAUACUGCUUAAGUGCUAGAGUCUUCACUCAUGUGAAUUUUCUUAGUUGGGAUGCACAAUGGUGUCUUAACAUUUUAACAUUUAAUUAAAAUCAGAACCAUAUUUAACACUCGUGUAGAGAAGUCAUAACCUUGACAUGGAGUAUUAUGCAAUGUUUUGAUAUUUAAUAUGACUUAAGUGCUAAAGUUUUCACUCAUGCGAAUUGACUUGACUUGGAUGCAUAGUGAUGUCUAACAUUUUAACACUUAAUUAAAAUUAGAGCUAUAUUUAAUAAUCAUGUAGACAAGAAAUAACUUUGACAUGAAACAGUAUUGUAAUUUUGACACUUAAUGUUGCUUAAAUGCCAAAGUCUUCACUCAUACAUAUUGACUUAGCUUGGAUGAAAAGUGGUAUCCAACUUUUUGACACUUUCUUAAAUUUGGAAUUAUGUUUAACAUCAAUAUAGGCAAGUAAUAACCUUGACGCAAAGUGAUGUUAUAUUUUUAGCACUUAAUAUAGCUUUAGUGCUAAAAUAUUCACUUCUAAGAAUUGACUUGGCUUGGAUGCAUAAUGGUGUCCUACUUUUUAACACUUACUUGAAAGUGAAAUCAUAUUUAACACCCAUUGUAUGCUAGUCGUAAACUUGAUAUAGAGCAUUGUGCAACUUUUUAACACUUAAUGCGAUUUAAGUGCUAAAGUCUUUACUCAUAUGAAUUAACUGAACUUAGAUGCACCUUUGUUUCCAACUUUUUAAUACCUAAUUAAAAUUAAAACCAUAUUUAAAAACCAUGUAGACAAAGACAUAAUCUUAACAUGGAGCUAUGUAUAACUCUUAACACUUAAUUAAAAUUGAGAUUACACUUAACAGCCACAUAUUCCUCCUAUUUUUCAAUUUUUUCUUGUGGUGAUGAUUGGACUUAACUAGUUUGUCCAAGUUGCCUAUAUACCCUUAACAGAGAGGGAAUCAAGUCAAACUUAGUUCAAAGUAUUUCUUUUAAUCUCUAACUUUUGCCAAGGCUAAUGAUUUUAAUCUUACAAGCUUGUCUUAACUUUUGACCAUAUAUGUAGUCUUUUUAGGUUUCAAUUUAGUGGCCUAUGACUUGUAAAAAUUGAAAAUGACUUCAAUCAUGUGUAAAAAAUAAUAAAAGAUAUUCAUUCAUAGUUUUAGGGCAACAAAAAAUAAUUGAUCCUUUUUUAUAUUAUUAUUAUUGUUGUUGUUGUUAUAAUUAUUAUUUCACCUUACAAAAAAACCUUCUGCAAUUAAUAUUAUAUAUAUAUAUAUAUAUUAUCUUUUAUAUAUUUAGUUUUUAUAGUAUUUUUUAAUUUAAUAUAUAUAUUUUUUAAAUAUCGAUACUUUCGGUCAAUGUCUCAAAUUUAAUAAUAUUUUAGAAAGUGUUUAUAAUAUUUUUAACACUUGAAUGAUAAAAAAUUUUAAAUAUUAAAAAUGUUAAAGACACUUUCUUAAAUUACUACCAAACGGGUUCUAACUUCAAAACUAUUUUUCAAAUUCUAAGUUUAGCUUAGUGGUGAAUGCAUUUAGGAUCACCAAGGAGGCCAUCAAGGGACUUCAGAAGAGAAGAUCCCAUAAUUCUAGUUUUGUAUUUGAUUGCAUACAUCCUACCAUAUGGAGAAGGUUCCUUAGGAUGCUUAUUUAUCCGCUUAUGUGAAUUAUGUACAAAAUUGCAUUUAAUAUGCACAUAAAAUUAAUUGAAUUAUGUGGCUUUUUUUUUUUCCUUUUUCUUUUACGCAUAAUAUAACAUAUACAAUUGGAAGAGAUCCCGAGAUUCUGAUUUUAUAUCUGGCUUUAGGGAUCAUAUUGGGGCCUCAAAAUUCAAUAUCACUGUCAGGUUGUGGACAGUCCACCCAGCUGGAGCAGAUCCCCUGGCUUGUGGAUAUGUCAACAAUUGAAAAAGUCUGCACCCAUUUUCAAUGUUCUUAGGUUUCGAAGUUAUCAGCAAACAUUCAUUGUGGACUAGGUACAUGGCUUGUACAAAUUGAAAAUGACUUCAAAUAAUAAAAGAUAUUUAUUCAUAGUUUUAAGGCACGCAACGAAAAUAGAUUUUAUUUGUUUGUAUCUUAGAAUAAUCUUAUUAUAUUUGUAUAUAUAUAUAUAUAUAUAUAUAUAUAUAUAUCUUAUCUUUUAUACAUGCAUAUUUUUUUUUUCAGUUUUGGUCGUAUAUUUUUAAUUUAAUAAUUAUUUUAAGAAAAAAGAUUUAGAGGCCAUUUGGUAGUGUUUUUUAAAAACACUUCUGGACUAAAAAAAAAUGCUUUUGUUAAAAAAUUAAGAGCAUGUUUGAUAGUGAUUUUAGGAAACGUUUUUAAUAUUUCUAAUAUUUGAAAAUUUUUGUCAUGCAAGUGUUAAAGGGCGUUUGGCAAUGCUUUUAGAAAGUGUUUCUAAUAUUUCUAAUACUUGAAAAAUAAAAUUUCUUAAGUAUUAGAAAUGAUAGAAACUCUUUCUAAAAUCACUAUCAAACACAUUCUUACACUUUCCAUCAAUGUCUCAAAUUUCAAAUAUGUACAUGCUCUAGAAAUUCUGAAGGUGUAGGCUUGUAGCCUAGAAUGUGAAGUGAGAGUUUGAUGAAAAACGAAAUAAACAAAGAUAUAAAAUAUAAUUUGUGAAAAAUUAUGAAAAUAUUGAUUUUGAUAGAUAUAUUAAUAACUCAAUUUUACAGAUAUAUCAGGGUAUAUCCAAAAAUAUUGGUGAAUAUUUUGACACCAAAUAUCAGUAGGAAAAAAUUGAUCAAAACUCAUGAAAAUAUUGGGAAAAAAAACUCUUAAACAUGAUAAAAUAAACAAUAAUAUACUUAUUAAAGUUGGUUUUAUUGUAAAACUUAAAAACACAAAAUUAUCAAUAGAUAUCAAUGAAAUUUUUUUUUAAAAAAAUCAAAAUUAAUAAAAACUCGUAAAAUAUUAGUAAAAACUAAAAUAUAUAUAUAUAUAAGAAGCAAUAAUACACAUAACGAAGUUAUUUAUUAAAAAAAAUGAUAUAGAUUUAAUACAAUUAAUGAUAUUUGAUAAUAAUAUACAUAAUUUAAAAUUUUAAAAUAUAUCUACUAGUAACAUCAUGAUUAUUUAAUAUUCAAAAUAUAAAAGAAAUUAUGAUAUGUAAAUAUAUAUAUAAAUUACUAUGAUGAUUUUUAUAAUUUGAACAAUUUUCAAAUAUAAUAUGAAAAUAAAAUAAUUAAAAUUAAUUUAUUUAUUAUUAUUUUAUUUUAUAAGUCUAGGAGUACAAAUAUAUUUUAUUUAUAUGUGUUGCAUAUUUAAAAAUGCUAAACUAGCUUGUGGCCUACAAUGUCAACUUAGAGUUUGAUGAAAAAGUGCAUAAACAAAGACAAAAAAAUUAAUCUACAAGUACUUGGAUUCUAUUUGAAUAAAAAAGAGCCACCCACAUGCAUGGAUUAAAUAUAUAUCCCAUGGAUUAGUUGUAUUUAGCCACGGCUGAAGCUUUCCACUAUGACUUAACACUACUACAAAAAUAAUUUAUGAUGUCACUAUUUAUGGUGUCGCAUUUAAAAUAAUGACACCAUUGAACUUAAAAUUUAUAAAGGUGACACAUCAUAUAAAAAAUCUUCAAUUAGGAUAGUUAGAUGAUGCUAAUUUCAAAUUUACGGUGUCUUUUUUUGGAAGUGACACCAUAUGAAAUAAAAAGUUUUAAAUUUUAUAACUCAAUGGGCCCUUUUUCAAAAUAGUGAGUAGGAACAAUUUAUGAAAAGUCUAUUGUUUCCAUAUAUACAUUAACUAAUAUAAAAGAUCUUAUUGCUUAACCCUAACCAUCGUUUUCUUCUCCUUCUUCUCACACCCAUGGUCGGCACACCCAUAAUUGAUAUUCUUUGCUUCAUAAAAUCUCGGGUAAGUCAAAAUCCCUUAUCUAUCAUCUUCAUUUUUUUUAUUAAUGCAAAAAACUUUGUUAGUAUAAUUGUUUUAUAUCUCUUGAUUUAGUAUAUCUAUGAUGUGGGUUUUGUAAAUGGUGUUUUUUAUCGAGUUCCAUGGAAGUAAAAACUAGGUUUAACAUUCUAACAUAUUUUUUGUUUCAUUGCUAAUAAGCCCCAAAACAAAUGAAAACAAGAAAAAUGAAUUAUUUUUAAAAAUUUUGUCUAAUUGAGAAUGAGAGAUACACUAGUUUGUAGUAAUUUUUCGCAUGAAAUAAUAUUUUAUUGAAGACUUGACUAUAUAGUGUAUUGGUUGUAAUUUUUCACAUGUGAAAAUAUUUUAUUGAAGACUUGACUAUAUUUGAUACUUUUUUCCACCGUGCUAGGAGCUUUUUGGUGAAGUCUAACAAUAGAGAUUGACAUCUACUACAAGAUGAUGCUCAAUUAAUCCAAAAGCACUUAAGUUAUUUAGGGUUUUCUUCAGUUAACCUAAGAAAACAUUCCCACUUUCUUUGUAUUGAGUCACCUAAAUAGAAUAGAAUAUUGGGUAUUAGAGUGGUAAAGGGUAUUAUAAAUAUGACUUUUUUUUUUAGAGUCACCUACAUGGAAUGAAUUAUUGGUAGGUGAACAAAAUAUUGGGGUGAUUGUAAUAGUUGAAUUAGUAAAUGGAAGAUAAGUGUAUGUUGCUUUGUUUAUUCUAUAAAAACAAUAAUUUUAGUAGUUGAAAUUUACAUGCUUUGUUGUUUUAUAAAAACAAUAAUUUUAAUAUUUGAAAUUUUAAAAUGUGAAUGAAAUGCCUGAAAAUAUGUUUUGAAAAAUAGGAUAGUAAUAAAUGUUUAUAGCUCAUUUCCUAAAAAUAUUUUGAUAAAUUAAAAUAAUAUGUGGUUAAAAUAUAUUUUUGUGAAAGUAUUUAAAAAUGAAUCAAAAUAUUAAUAAUUGUUAUUUUGUUUGAAAAUAAUUUAGGAAUAUAAAAUAAUAUUGGGGAUAAUUUUUGAGUUUAAAUUGGGUUAUAAACGGUUAAUUUUUUUAGGAUUGUCUUUUUUGAAAAUAAUCCAAUGAUAAUUUUUUUAAAUAAGAAUGUUGAAAAUAAUUUUAAAAAUAAAAUUUUGUUGGCAAUGAUUUUUCUAAAAGUAUUUUAGGCAUAAAUGGAAAUUUCUUGUAUGAAAAUAAGAGAAUUUAUAUAUAUAUAAUAGACAUAAAAAUAGACUUCUUUGAUAUUUAAUAAACAAGUGAAUUUUUCUCCAAAAAAGGAAUAAAAUAAGAAUUUCUCUAUUUAAUAAAAUAAUUUAUAUAUGAGAUAGUUUUCAAUAAGAAAGUUUUGAAAAUAAAUUUGGGAUAAAAUAUUUUUUAGUAAGUUUUGUUUAGAUAAUUCAAGAAAAAAGUGGUUUAUUAACUUUUCUUAAAAAAUAACAUUCUUCUUUCUUUUUUGAAUUGAUCAUUUUUUUUAGAAAUAAAAUUGUUAGAUUCUAUUUUUUGUAAAUGUUUAAGAAAUUCUAAAAAAUUCUUUAAAAAUAAAAUGACCUUUCUACCACAUUCCUUGUAAUAAAUAACUGUUUUUUUAUACAUAUUGUAAAGUAAAAAAAGAAGUCUUUGUUUAGUUAACCUAAGAAGACAUUCCUACUUUUCUUUGUGUUGAGAGUCACCUAAAUGGAAUAAAAUAUUCAAUAUCAUAGGAGAGUAAAAAGUAUUAUAGAAAUGAUUUUGUUGAGAGAGUUAUCUAAAUGGAAUGAGAUAUUGGUAGGUGAAUAAAAUAUUAUGGUGAUUGUAAUAGUUGACUUAGUGAGGGGAGGAGAAGUGUAUGCUUCUUUGUUUAUUCUAUAAAAACAAUAAUUUUAGUAGUUGAAAACGUGUAUGAAAUGACUGAAAAUAUUUUCUGAAAAAUAAGAAAAUAAUAAAUGGAUAAUAGCUCAUUUCCUAAAAAUCUUUGAUAAAUUAAAAUAACUUGUAGUUAAAAUAUAUUCUUGUGAAAGUAUUUAAAAAUGAACCAAUAUAUUAAUAAUUGUUAUUUUGUUUAAAAAUAAUUUAAGAGUAAAAAAAUAAUACUGAGUUCAAAUAUGACUACUUUGUUAUGAGAUUCAUUAAAUAAAUAAUUGUUGAUUUUACAGUUAUUGCAUCAAAGGUUUUACUCGUUUAAUGAAUUGUACAUAAUUUCAUACUUUCAAUUAUUGUGAUAUUAAUGUUAUUCUCAUUUGAUUUCAGUUUGAUGACAAAUAAAACAUAUUCUCAAGUAGAAUUUGAUGAAAUUAGAGAAGAAUAGAUUACUUUUGUGUUAUAACUAAUCAUGAAUCAUAUUGAUGUAUCGUGAUCAUUCAUGGUAAGUCCCUUAGUUGUUAUAUGAUUGAAUUUUCCAUUGGUAUUGUAUAACAUUACUUAUUCUUUACGGACUAUUUUUAUACCAAAAUGAGAAAAAGGAAAAAGAAAAAAAAACAUUAGUACUUAGAUUUGUUUAUUGUUUAUAACAUCACAUUUUUAUUUUCAAUAAGAACUCUAAAACUCAUUAAACUAUGAAAUGCAGGUAUACACUCUUGGGAGGACAAUAUGAAGAAUAAAAAGAAAGGAGAAAGAGGCAACAAGAUUUAGGUUUUUAGAUAUGACUCUUAUGUCAUACAUUAUAGGACAUAAACAUUACUUUAUUUGGAAUUGAGAAUUUUGGGUUUUUGGAUGCAACUCUUGUGUCAUUUUAUGGUUAGCCGGUUUUAUGCAUAUGAAAUGCAAGUAUACAUGAAUGUUGGGAAGCUUAACAUUUCUAAAUCAUGUUUUAAUGUGUAUUCACUUUUCUUUUUUAGUUUUGGUGGGUUUGAUGUGUUUGAUGUACUAUCAUUUUGUGAACAUUUGAUAUAUAAAUAUUAUUGGAUGAUGUAAUAUGUUACAAAUUAAUUCAUAGGCACUAUGAAAAUAUAAGUUAAAUGUAAUAUGAUUAUCAUAUUUAUGGACAAUUUACACAGGUUGGUCUUAUUUAUUAAUAAGCAUUACAAAAAUCUACAAACUAAUCAACAAAAAACAACCAUAUCUUCCAUAAUCAUUUACAAUGAUGCGACACCAUAAAUUAAAGGUGAUACAUUUAACGUGACACCAUAACUCAAAGAUGAUGCAUUUAAUAUGACAUCUUAUAUAUCUCAUACAACUCUAUAUCAAAUUAAGCAUCACUAAAAAUAUAUGGUGUCUCUUCUGAAUGUGUCACCAUUUAUCUGCUUUGGUGUUGCUUCCAAAUACGUCACCAAUUGAUACCCUCUAUGGUGUCAGUGGAUAAGGUGACGCUAUGUUGUAGUGACACCCUAUGUUUAUAGUGACUUAUUAUAAAUGUCACCAUAUAUCUUUUUCCUUGUAGUGUAAAAAAAGAGAGGAUAAUGUCAUUAAAAAACUGAUUGCUAUGUGGCUAUGCCUGCCAGUAGAUGGCUGAAAACUAAGUUCUAUUCUUUUCGAUAGUUGAGAGAUUCAAUGGCAACUAUCGUCGUAUAAACAAUGUUUCAUAAAUUACUUUUAAAUUUUGACAGCAAAGACUAAAAUUGUAAAACCAUAAAAAAUUUAUUCCAUUCCCAAAUUUUUUAAAAUAAAAUUGAAAAUAAUAAAUUAACGCCCAUGACUGUUUUCACAUCUUAUUCUCAUUUCUAUCAAUGGAAUCAUCGUAAGCAUCUUAUCUGUAAAUAUGGCCUAGAGCCAUAAAGCUGCCUUUUCUUUAGUCCUAGAGCCAUUUCAUGAGCUAAUAGUAGUCUUUCCUUAGCAUUUCCAGCCCAAAGCUCCCAUUUCCUUAGGCCUAGAGACGUUUUCAGCCCAGAGCUGCUGUUUCUUUCGGCCUAUAACCAUUUUCAGCCCAAAGCUUCCUUUCCUUGGCAUAUUAGCCCGAAGCUUCUAUUUCUUUAGGCCUGGAACCAUUUCAACCUAGAACAUUUGUUUCUUUGGGCCUUGAGCCCCUUUCAACCCAGAACUGUCAUUUCUUCUAAAUAACUUCUCUUUUAAAAGACUUCAAUUUGUUUUUCAAGUCACAAAUUUUGAGGCUUUGUUCCAGGUUUGAAGAAGCUGGUAAAAAUCUUCUAUUUAACAUUUCAACAGUGAAUCGAAUUAAAUAAAUAAAUAAAUAAAUCUUGACGACAUAAAGUAGGACAUGGCAUAGUUUGAAACACAUAAUUUUCACCAUUCAAAUGCAAAACAUAUUAACUAAUUUCAAAUGCUAUGUGUUGUUUCCUUCUACAUUUUCUCUUUAUUUUUUUUUCGUAUUUUUCUUCAAAUUUUUUGAAAACCAAACAGAGCCUAAAAGAAAAGAUAAUUUUACUUAUUUUGAAAUUUCCUUAUAUAUAGCUUAUAUGGAAAGUUGUUUCGUGUUAACUUAAUGAAGCAUUUAUAAUAUUAAGAUCGCCCUUUCAUAAUCAUGAGUUAACCUUAGUUUCAACUUCUACAAGAGGCUAAAUGAAAAAAGCUAUCACAGAGAAGGCCUCAGCCAAUGAGUGGAAAAUACAAUUUUAUUAAUACUUGAUACCAAAAAAAAAAAAAAAAGGGAUGAUUUUACAUUCAAACCGAUGAUUUAUUUCUGUUGAAGUGCAGUCUCCAUAUGCACAUGUGACUGCAUUUACAGGAUAAAGAAAGACAAGGAAAUUAACAAUGUUGGACUUACUGGAAAAUCAUACAAAUUAUUGAAGGAGGACCUUAGCUAGGCUGACUGUCUCCUAAAUUGCCCAUCUUUUAUAUAUCUUUGCAAUCAUGCAUCUCAUCAUCAGCUUUGAUUUUAGAUGGUGAGGAUGUGAAAGUAACAGGAAGCAGUGGACGAUUGUUCACAGUGAGGCUUAGCACAUCAGCUCUCGAAUAAUGUCCUACCACAUCGAACUGAAACUUUGCUUUAGGAAUCUCUCCACGAACAUCUGCAUAUCAAGUGAUCAUCAAAAUAUUUGAGCAGCCCGUGAUAAAUAUCAUAGAGUAUCAAGUCUUCC